UUACACAGCCAUUGAUCUGUCGUGCAACAAAUUUCAGGGAGAAAUUCCAAAGGUUACCGGAGAGCUUAGAUGGCUUGCAUUGCUCAAUUUAUCUCAUAAUAGUCUAACAGGACCUAUCCCAUCAUUGCUGGGAAAUAUGAAAGAACUCCAAUCUUUAGAUUUGUCCUCAAAUCAACUGACAGGGGCUAUUCCACCUCAGCUAACUGCAUUGACAUUUCUAGAGGUCUUGAACCUCUCGGGAAACCAUCUUAGUGGAGAGAUUCCUCAGAAAGGACAGUUCAGCACAUUCAACAAUGAUUCUUAUCUAGGAAACUCCGCGUUAUGUGGAUCACCUUUGACGAAGAAAUGUGGAAACACUGUAUCACCUCCACAGGAAGUCGGAAAUGGUGAUGAAGAUGAUGCGGGUGAUGAAUGGACAUGGGAAGCAAUCGUGAUGGGAUAUGGAUGUGGACUGAUAUGUGGAUUGUCAUCUGCGUACAUUGUUCUCAAACUAGGAAAGCCUUGGUGGUUUGUGAGAUAUAUCGAAGUACUGCAACAGAAGUUGAUGAAAAGAUAUGCAUGAAGAAAGGUACUGGUAGAUCAAGAUGAAAAGAUAUGAAGAAGUAUUUGGUAUUAUGUAAUAAUCCGUUUGGUCGGGACUCAAAAUGAUUUCUCUUGCUUCAGGGGUAUUAAUAUUAACCUUGCUAUCUUGUUCAAUGUUAAUGCAAAUUAAAAAGAAUAUAAAAGCAAAAAAUUUGCAUCAAACACCUGUUGUACCAACAUGCAUCCAUUAAUUUGCUUUCAUCUAUUAAGUAACAAUUUAAGAGCGCUUCCACUCUGUUUAAGCAUGGAGAUUACACAAAGAAGGCAAGUCCAUGGAUUAACACGUAGUCCACAUCUAUGCUACGAACAAUUCACAUUGAUCUUAUAUCUGUUCAACAGUCUCCCGAAGAUAGGCCAUAAAUGUCAUCUGUGGCUCUUAUGUUUGUCAGUAAAGGAGAAUCUCUGAUGCCUAUAACCUGGUUUUCUUACAAGAUGCCCAGGUUAUCAUGGCCAUGCAGAAAAAUGCCCAAAAAUGAAUAGCUCAGGUCUCCCCAAGCCUUCCAGGACUCAUUCCAAGUCUUCGGAGGACCACUGCCUCCCCCUUUCAAAGAUGUGAUUGUAGCUCGAAAGUGAUAUAAAUUAUUUUCCCCACAUUAAAAAUAAAAAAUCAGAUUAAAUUAAUCAAUAAUAAAUUAAGGAUGAAAUCCAAAUUAAUCCUAAAUUUUGAUAAUAUAUAAAAAUUAUAAUUAUAAAUUAUAUAACCAAAUCAGAAUUGAAUUAACUUACUUGGCACUAGAAUUGCUAAAGACAGUAUAAUAAUUUAAUUGAUGAAAAGUCAAAGUCUUCUAAUAAAUCCAUAAAGAAUAUGAUAAUAUGAAAAUUAUAAUUGAAAAAUCAAAAUCAAUAGUGUAUUGGAAUAGUGUUCACACACUUAUAUAUCAAAAUUUGUGGUCCAAAAACUAUAGCACAAUAUCCUAAAUACAUCACAUUAAAUAAUAGCACAAAAAUAUUCAAUAAAUAAUUGAUUUCAUUCAUAAAUUUGUUAUUUUAAAAACUAAUAAUUUGGUUGAUGUUAACCUAUAUUUUAUAUAUAAUUUCGUCUUAUUUUAUUUUACUAGAAACAAUAUUUUUAUAAUAUUUAUUACAUUAAAUAUAUUAAAAGAUAUAAUUUUAUUAAAAAAAUUGAAUAAAAUUAAAAGGAUAAGUCUCGGCCUCUCCAAGUCUACAAGACUCAUUUCAAGUCCACCGAGGGCCUCAACCAUUGAGAGAUGUGAAAGUAGCUUGAGAGUGAUAUAAAUUAAUUAAAUUAGUUAAUAAUGAAUCAAGACUAAUCAUGAAUUAUGAUAAUAAUUAAAUAAAUUAUAAAAUUAAAUUAUACAAAUAACACUAAACCUUAGUUACUUUAUUGGUAAAAUAAAUAUAAUAUAAUAAUUAAAUUGAUGAAAAAUCAAAAUCAUCUAAUAAAUUCACAAAAAAUAUAUGAUCAUUAGUAUAUUAUAUUAGUAUCCACACACUUAUAUUUCAAAUCUAUCCUCCAAAAUUAUCAUCUCGAUAAACUAGCCGCAUAAAAUAAAAAUUUAACGAUAUUAGAUAUUUAGCUAUUUUCAUUAUAUAAUUUUUCCACACUAAAUAACAAAAUAUCUUUAUCAAAUUAUUAUUUAUGAAUUAAAUAUUCAAGUUAUAAUUCCAGCAUGCAGCGUAUAAAUAGAAGUGUGCAGUAUGAUAUCAGAUUCAUAACCCAGUUGAGGAGAAACAUGGCACACUCUGUAAAGCCUUCUCACCUUCUUCUCUUUGUUUUCUAUCUCUCUUAACUUGAAUACAUUCUUGCAACAACACAAGAGGGAGAAGCUCUUGUGAAAUGGAAGAAUAGCCUAGCCCCUUCUUCUUUUCUCGACUCUUGGUCACUCACCAAUCUCGAUGAUCUUUGUAACUGGACUGGCAUCACUUGUAACUCUGCAGGUUCAGUCUCUCAGAUCAACCUUUUCGAAAAACAACUUGAUGGAAUGCUGUCCGAGUUUGGUUUCACUUCAUUUCCGAAUCUCAACAAUCUCACCCUCGCAUACAACUUCUUCUCGGGUCCGAUACCACCGGCCAUUGAGAAUUUAACACAGCUUCGGUAUCUUGAUUUAAGCUUUAAUUCUCUCCAUGGUCCCAUUCCGUUCCAGGUUAGCCAUCUUCAGAGCUUGCUCAUCUUAAACCUGUCACAGAAUGCAUUGCAAGCUCCAAAUUGGUCCCAUUUCUCUCCCAUGCCUUUUUUGCGCAUCCUCAACCUCAUUAGCAAUCCUCUUGCGUCGAAAUUCCCAAAUUUUAUAUCCAACUCUCAUAGCCUGACUCACCUUAGCCUUAAUUUUAAUGAGUUUACUGGUGAUUUAGUACGUGAAUCAGUAUUUGCCAAUCUGCAUAAUCUUGAAUUGCUCAGUCUCGUUGAAAAUUCUUUUGAGGGGCCAUUUCCGCCGGAUAUAUUCAGGCUUUCCAAAUUAAAACAUCUUCACCUGUCAAGUAACAAAUUUUCAGGUUCAAUUUCCAAUGACAUAAGGUUGCUUUGUGAUCUUGAAUCCCUAUAUUUAGGCAACAAUUCCUUCGAAGGACCCCUUCCAUCAAAUAUAUUCAAGCUUUCAAAAUUAAAAAAUCUUGUUAUUGGGAGUAAUAAGUUUUCGGGUUCUGUUUCCAACGAUAUAGGUUUGCUUUCUGAGCUUGAAAGCCUCUAUCUUGACUCCAAUUUUUUUGAGGGGCCGCUUCCGUCAAAUAUAUUCAAGCUCUCCAAAUUAAGGAUUCUUUCCCUUUGGCAUAAUAACUUUUCAGGUUCUAUUUCUAAGGAUAUAGGUUUGCUUUCUGGACUUGAAACCCUCUUUCUUGACUCUAAUUUUUUUGAGGGUCCGCUUCCCCCGCAUAUAUUUAGGCUCUCCAAAUUAAGAGAUCUGGGUCUCUCAGACAAUAGAAAUUUAUUUGAAGGGAGUAUUCCUAUUGGACUGGGACUCUUGACUAACCUCAGGUACUUAGAUCUAUAUUCCAAUAAUCUCGGUGGUUAUAUUCCAUCUGACAUUGGAAACCUGAAGCUACUAGAAGUUCUUGAUCUCAGUUCUAAUCAAUUGACUGGACCGCUUUUAAAGAUUGUUUCUAAUCUCACAAAUCUUAUGUUUCUUGAUGUAAGACAAAAUAGUCUUAGUGGAAAUAUUCAGAGUGACUUGUGGAAAUAUAACGAUCAUCCAACUUUGGAAUUCAUCAAUUUAAGUGGGAACCAUUUUACGGGUAUAGUUUUUCUCUAUAAAUCUUUUCUUUUGUCAUAUGUAACUAAGCUAGUAAUCUGAUUAAUUGCAGUUUUACCAAAGUUUCAACAAUCUUGACAGGUGAGCUUCCAACAACAAUUUGCAAUGUCACUUCCCUUUCAAUUCUUGAUUUGUCAAAUAAUGGAUUAAGUGGUGCACUUCCAAACUGUUUCGGGAAUCUUGCAGAUAGAUUGCUUUUCAUUAAUCUUGCUAAUAAUCAGUUUCGAGGAACAAUACCAACUACUUUAUCCAAAAGUUGUCAGCUGACAUGUCUAAACAUGGAUAAUAAUGAGUUUGAAGGAUUGUUACCCCCAUCUUUGGCGAACUGUAAGCACUUGAGAAUUCUUGAUAUUGGCAACAAUAAAAUAGGUGGCACAUUUCCGUCAUUGCUUUAUGUACUUGGAGAGCUAGAAGUCCUUGUCUUGCGAUCAAAUAAACUCUGCGGUACAAUAAGUGCAAGGAGCAUAGAAGAUCCCUUCCCCAAGUUGCGGAUUGUGGAUCUGUCCAACAAUCAGUUCACAGGCCAUUUGCCAAUUCAAUACUUCAAGAAUAUGAAAUCAACUGAUAAUUUGUAUUGGUAUCGUAUUUCCACAGGAGAAUUAUUUUUCCAAUAUGAAGCAGCAGUCUCAUUAACUGUGAAGGGAAGAGAGUAUGAAGUAGCAAAUAACCUUCAUAUUUACACAGCCAUUGAUCUGUCGUGCAACAAAUUUCAGGGAGAAAUUCCAACGGUUACUGGAGAGCUUAGAUGGCUUGCAUUGCUCAAUUUAUCUCAUAAUAGUCUAACAGGACCUAUCCCAUCAUUGCUGAGAAAUAUGAAAGAACUCCAAUCUUUAGAUUUGUCCUCGAAUCAACUGACAGGGGCUAUUCCACCUCAGUUAUCUGCAUUGACAUUUCUAGAGGUCUUGAACCUCUCGAAAAACCAUCUUAGUGGAGAGAUUCCUCAGAAAGGACAGUUCAGCACAUUCAACAAUGAUUCUUAUCUAGGAAACUCCGCGUUAUGUGGAUCACCUUUGACGAAGAAAUGUGCAAACACAGCAUCACCUCCACAAGAAGUCGGAAAUGGUGAUGAAGAUGAUGCUGGAGAUGAAUUGACAUGGGAAGCAAUCGUGAUGGGAUAUGGAUGUGGACUGAUAUGUGGUUUGUGAGAUAUAUCGAAGUACUGCAACAGAAGUUGAUGAAAAGAUAUGCAUGAAGAAUGAUACUGGCCGAUCAAGACGAACUUGAAAGUUUGUUGUCCUUGUGGACAUUUCAGCUGAACCAGUAGUGUACUAUUCUCUUUGUGACUGCAUAAGUAUUUUGUAUUGUGUAAUGUUCUGUUUGGGCUUAAAUCAUAAUGAUUUUUCUUGCUUCAGGGGUAUUAAUAUAAAACCGUUUGGUCGGGACUCAUAAUGAUUUCUCUUGCUUCAGGGGUAUUAAUAUCAUCCUUGCUAUCUUGAACAAUGAUAAUGCAAAUUAAAAAGAAUGAAAAAACAAAAAUAUUGCAUCAAACACCUGUUGUACCAAGAUCCAUUAAUUUGCUUUCAUCUCUUACGCAACAAUUUAACAGCACUUCCACACUGUUUGAAAGAUUAUCAUAAAUUCGAGUUUUCCUCUCCAGCACCAAAUCCAAAUUAAUAUACAAUGCCACACAUUCCAGUCUCAGCUUCAGCUCCCAGGGUAGCAUUCAUUUAGCCAAGCACGACAGUGGCCGCUUACGUGCCUAACAAUAACAGUUGGGGAUUUGAGUGAACUUGCCUUGGUCCUGCCUUCAAAUGUCUGACAAUAACAGUUGGAUAUGUCGACAAAAAAAUUGUUCCUCACAGAGGAGCUAAUAGCAAUUGACUUCGAAUAAAUCCGACAGUUCUUUUCAUCCAGUUAUUAUUUCAGCAAUAUGUCUAGCAAAUAUGUAGUGCACUGGACACCAUACUACCAACACAAGUAGUAAAAGGAGAGACCAUUGUUUCGAAUGCUCGGAAAUUUGAACAGGGUUUUUUCCACCUGCCCCCUGACUUUUUACACAAACAGGUCAAGAAAAACAGAAGCCGGCUUCUGGAAAAAUGAAGCACUACUUUAUGAGUGACCAUUGUUUUGAAUGCUCGGAGAUGUGAAGUGGAUUUUUUCAGCCUGCCCCCAGACUUCUUUUUGUAAAACUAGAUUUCUUUAGCUCCGGUGUCUUAGUAUUGGAGAUUAUGAGUGACUGUAGAAAAGACUUUAAUAUGAGUGUGAGAUAUACCCCGGUGGAAACAGGACCUUGAUCCAAAGGGUCACGGGUUCAAACCUCACCUGAUCGGGUUCCACUCCACGCUCGGUCCACAUCUAUGCUGGAUUCAUAUUAAAAUGAUAAUGGAACACGGGCGUCCAUGGUUGGGGAUAUCAUAUUAAAAAGAUUAGCUGGGCACAGAUGAAUAUUUAUAUGGAUUUUAAAAACAAACUAUGACUUAAUAUAAGAAAAAUCAUUAUUUUUUAUUUUUCCGACUAAACAUUUGUUAGCCUUCUCUGGUGCCCAUCCAAAUCAUUCAGCGGGUUCUACUUUCAGCUCAUCACAAGAACAUCAUUCUGCAGGUACUUUCUUAUAUUGUUUGCCAGCGGUGACCGAGCCAGAAACUUUUUCGAGGAGGGGCCGGAAUAGAAAUAUUAUUUAAAUUUGAAAAUAUUAUAUAUCAUAUUGAAAAUAGUAUUAGUAACAAAAAUCCAUUUAUUUUAGGUUUCUAUGAGAAAACUCAGUCGUUUCAUUAAGAAAAUUUAAUUACUUAAUUACCAAACGGUUGAGGAUGAAGAUUUGAAAGAACGAGUUGCAACGGGGAGACUCAUAGACGCGACAGAAAAAAAUAGAAAAAGAUAUUGUUCAACAACCGAGUCUAUAUUAUUAAAAUUUAUGAUAAAUGAGAUAAUUUUAUUUUAUAAACUAACUAAAUACAUAUAAUAUAGUAUUAUAUGUAAUGCUACGUAAAAUUGGAUACAAGAUUUUGCACAAAAUGAUAUGAUAACUAAAGUGAAAUAUUUUAAUUGGUGCUAUUAAUGUAUAUAUACAUUUAUUACAAUUAAAACUUAACACAUAUUAUUAAUUUUGUGAAUAAAAUAUUUUUCUUAAUAAUAUAUAAGUAAAAAAAAUAAAAAUCUAGGAGGGGCUCAGGCCCCCUCUGGACCCCUCUAGCUCCGUCUGUAUACACCUAUCAUAUUAUUGACAGGUGGCUCUCUCAUAUUGCUCACAGGCGAACUCCUGCAUAUACUUUGUGAACCAAUCAUGACAAAAAUAUCAUCAUCCAAUCAAUUCGAUUAAUUAUUCUUUAAAUCAGUACAAAUAUUGUUAAAUAUAUGGAUGAUUAUCGUGUUUCCGCGAACCAAUCAUGAAAUGAAAUUACCUCUGUAUAAAUCCAUCGGAAAUAAGACAAUUAAUGGGGCCGUUUGGGCAAGCUUAAAAGAAGUGACUUCUUGCUUAAACUAGAGAAGUGGAGCAGAAGUGAGAAGUAAAUAAGUUAUUAAAGUGUUUGGAAAAGAAGCAGAAGCUGUGAGACAAAAGCUAGCAUUCUCAGCUUUUUAAAAGUGACUUCUUUACACAAACGGGUAAAAAAAGCAGAAGCCAGAAGCAGCUUCUGCUUCCGUUAAACAAACAGGCCCAAUAUCUCAAUCGAAUACACCCCGUGAGUUGUCAAACUCCUCGAAACGUAUUAAUCACUUUAGAAAUUUGUUCCACUGGCGCCAUUCAGUUCCAGAGUUGGUGGUAGGGGCCGUGCUUCUUGUGUUUCUUCUUUUCAUUAUUGACAUUGUCAUCUAGGUCCUUGCUUCUGGGCUUUGGAGAAGUAAACAAUGGAUCUAUUAGUCUUCCAUAUCGCUGAUACGCGCUAACGCGCAUUAUAGUGGAUUGAUCUUUAUUAGUGAUUUCUGUGGAGAUGCAUAAUCAUUAUAAGCUCCAAUAUAAAAUAAACCUAAUUUAAAGUUAGUAUGGGCAUUUGUGUUGAUAAUUUACGCAAUGUUAACAGGGAUUGCUCCCAAGUCUUGGACGGAUUCUUUCCAAGUCUUCUGAGGACCUAUUUGCACACUAAUUUGUCGCCAACUAAAAAUUCAACGAUAUUGCUAGCUCCCUCUACUAAUUUUUUGCGGGACGUUUUUUACUUUUAACACAUAUCUUUAGAUAGAAUUAGUAUUGUAAAAAGCGGGAAUCAGACUUAAUCGGUGAAGUCACAGAACAACGAUUAAUCGAUGAUUAAUUGGAUUGAUUGGGUAUCAAUCGGAUGAUUAAUGAAAUAAUCGGAUAUUUAAUCCGUUCGACGAGUUACGGAACAGGGAUUAAUCGUGAUUAAUCACCGACUUUUAGAACAGAGGAUAGGAUAAUAAAAUUAUUAUUUUUGAUUAUUUUUUUUGUGAAUAAAAAUUUUGAUUAUAUAUUUUUAUUAAAAAAGAAUUUAAAAUAAUAUUUUUAACUAACCGGUCCAAACAGCUAAAAGUGUGUGCCCAAGCGUCAUAUAAAAACGGAGGGAGCGAGCAUGUGCUGACUAACGGUUCAACUAACAGUUUACAAGUACUCCAUCUGUCCCAUUUAGUCCUAUUUAAUUAUAUACGUUUUUUUUUAACUGUUUGACACGCACUUCAAUGCUCUUCUAAAAUAUGGUUCUAUAACUUAUUUUUAAAAUUUUCUUUUUCUGAAUAAAAAUAUAACAUUCAAACUUUUAUUCAGAAAAAAAUAUCGUAAAAAUAAGUUAUAGAAUUAUAUUUUAUAAGAGCAUUAAAGUCCAUGUCGCGUCCCCGUCUUCUGAUGUAUAAAUUUGCGCAAUGUUAACGGGGAUUGCUCAUUUGCUCUCAAGUCUUGGACGGACCAAGUCUUCUAGGACCCAUCUGCACACUAAUUUGUCUGCCAACUAAAAAAUCAACGAUAUUGCUGCCUCUGCUAUUUUUUACCAGGACGUUUUUUACUUUUAACACAUGUUUAGAUAGGAUAAUAAAUAUUAUUAUUAUUGAUUAAUUUUUUUGUGAAUAAAAAUUUUGAAUAUAUAUUUUUAUCAAAAAAAGAAAAUUUUAAAAAUAAUAUUUUUAAGGGAAAUUAUUAAUGGUACUAUUGUGCUACUGGCUUUUCUAAAUGGUACUAUUUUGGUGUUUUCGACUUACAUGCAUUAUCACUUCCAUUAACGAUACUACCAUUCCGUCCCUCAAAACGUUAAAACCAUUAGUUGACCGUAUUUAUUUUGUAUUUUCCUUGUAAAAAAAACAAAAGAAUACAACUAAUAUUUGUAUUUUUUGUUUGUGUUCAAAUCGUCGAGAUAUGGAAGAGGUUAUCAGAAUUUUAGAAUUGAUUCGAUGUCCUUCAGAAAGUCAGGGGGAAACGGAAUGAGAUACGAGUUUUGAACAAGAAUCCAGUUUAGUUGUUGUUUAUCUUGAAAAACAGAUUUGGAAGUCAUAUAUUUUCAGCCUUUGGCUUCAUGUAUUUCUGUCUCAUCAUUCCCAGAUACUUGCUGAGGUUUAUAGUCACUGUUUAUUAAAUGUUGUCGUACAUUUUCCUGUAUUAUGCACCCAUGUGGCGCCUGUGUUUUGCAUGUCAUGCACAAUUUGCUCAACUACAUACAGGUCACAGGAUGAGUGCAUGUGCCAAAGGGAUUAGUGCAUUGAUCUGUGUAGUGUGAGGACACUGUGAUACAAGGCACAAUUUCUCAGAUUUCUUCUGUCAACACCACUCCCAUCCAUAGCUCCCACCUUUUCUCUCUCAAUCUCAUGUUUCUCUCUUUCUCUCGCAGCUCCGCCGCCACCACUACAUCAGUCUUCAAGAACUCAAGAAAAAAUAUGGAUAUCAGUUAUAUUUUUUGUGUUUUUUAAAGAAGUAUAUGAAAUAAAUAUAGUCAACUAAUGUUUUUAACGUUUUGAUGGACCGAAUGGUAGUAUCAUUAACGGAUCAUAAACUGAGUGGUACCACUUGUAAGUAAAAACCAGUGUUGUAAAAAGCGGGAAUCGGAUUUAAUCGGUGAAGUCACGGAACAAAGAUUAAUCGGAGAUUAAUCGGACUAAUCGGUGAUUAAUCGGAUAUUUAAUCAGUUCGGCGAGCUACGGAACAGGGAUUAAUCGGUCGUGAUUAAUCACCGACUUUUAGAACAGAGGUAAAAACACGAAAUGGUAUUAUUCAUAAAAGCCAAUACCACGAUGGUACCAUUAAUAAUUUCCCUAUUUUUAAUUACCGAGUCCAAAUAUUUAAACGUGUGUGCCCAAAAUUAAAGCCGCAUAUAAAAAAACGGAGGGAGCAUGUACUAACCGUUUCCAUAACAGUUUACAAGUAUAAGUUAUACUCCCUCUCAAUUUUUUUAUUUUUUUAUAUGACGUUUUGAUCUUGGGCACACAUUAUUAAGUGUUUUGACCGGAUAGUUAAAAAUAUUAUUAUUUAAAUUUUCUUUUCUGAAUAAAAAUAUAUAACCAAAAAUUUUAUUCACAAAAAUUUUUAGUGAUUUUUUCGUGAAUACCUAAGGCCAAUUUUUCAAAUAUUUUGUAAAAAUACCAAUUUUUUGAAAAUAUUUGCAAAGAUAAUGUAUUCAACCACAUGCAACCAUACUUAUAACCAGAUGUAACCAUAAUUGCAACCUCUGCGGGACCAAUUAACUGAAUUUGUAUUUGGUUGCACUAGUUAGUAUUUUCUUAAAGUUAGUAUUUUUGUAAAUAUUUUUAAAAAAAAGUAAAAUCGCAAAAAAAAAAAUCGAAAAAAUGGUUUGAUAAAUUUCUAAAUAUUUAAUCACAGAACAAUAACUUUUACAAUCCGAUCAACUCAUUUAAAAAUGUGUGUCAAAAGUAAAAAUGUCAUAUAUAUAUAUAUCAUAUAAAUGUCAUAUAAAUUUAAAACAAAGGGAUNCAUAUAAAUGUCAUAUAAAUUUAAAACAAAGGGAUAUAUAUUUUUUAAUAAAAUAUACUCCCUCUAUCCCAAAUAAGUGUCAGUGACAUUUUGCAAAAAUAGCUUGGGACAAUAGAUUUUUUUGCCACUCAACUUAAUGUGUUUUUAGAAAUUCGCCACCCAACUAAUUUUUUUUUCCUUUUACUCACUAAUGUUAGGUUUGGAUUUUUUUUAGCCACCAACUUAGGUUCGGAUUUGAUUACUAGUAUUAUGAUAAUUUUAUUUAUCACUAAACUUACUGCGUCUUUAGGAAUUAACCACUGAACUAUAAUUUUUUUAUUUUACUCACUAAUGUUAGGUUCAUUUUUUUUGUCACUGAAGUUAGGUUCGGAUUUGAUUAUUAGCAUUAUAUUAAUUAUGUGUAACAUUAUUAAAAUAUAGUGGUCUAUAAUAUUUUGAUGAUUUGGUAUAUGUCUGUAUCUUUAUAUAUAGUACUUUUUAUGUCUCCAAUGUCGUUUAACUUGAGUGGUAAGAAUUUUACACGCAUUUUAUGGCUUUUAAAAGAUGUAGUUUCAUAAAUAAUUUUAUUUUUUUCUUCCGAAUAAAAAUUCAGCGUUUUACACACAAAAAAAUAACAAAAAAAAGUUAUGAAGCUAUGUUUUAUAAGAGUCUUAAAAUACGUGCUAAGCAGUAGAAAAAACUGUAAACUAAUGAGAGGGACAUGUAGUAAUAAUAAUAAAAUGAUGCAUUAUAGAGGACAAUCAUCGAAAAUUAAGUUAACCUCUCUAUUUAUUUAUCUUGAAAAUUGUAGUAAAAUAAAGUUAUUAAAAUUUAUGAAGAUAAAUUUGAGAGAGAUCUUGGACUGAGCUAGUCAAUUGAAACUUUAAUAGCGAAAGAUGAUGCAUCAUAUCAAUCAAUUACACUUUAUCUUCUUAUCAUCAGGGAGGGUGAAUUGUUUGAAGUCAUUGAUUUCAUAUUCAUGAUUUAUUGAAUUUUAGAAUUCUAAUUACGAUUUUUCCUGGUUUUAAUUUUUCAUCGGCUCAUUUUAUAUUAUUUUUGUUAUAUAUAAGGAUAUAAACAUACGACACAUCAUCAAAAUAUUACAUACUAUCACUAUGUAUAAAUGAUGCGACAAAAAUUAUCAUAAUGCUAGUAAUUAAAUCCGAACCUGAGUAGUGGCUAAAAAAAAAUCCAAACCUAAUAUUAAUGGUAAAAGGAAAAAAAAAAUAGUUAGGUGGCAAGUUUCUAAAAACACUAUAAAUUGAGUGGCAAAAAAAAUCUAUUUUCCAAACAUAGCUUGGGGUAAUAACAAAACCUUAAUCAACGCAAGCACAGCAGACCGCAGGCAUAAGGCUUAUAAAUAGAAGUGCAGUAUUGUGUUGAUGGUCAAGUUGAGUGGAAAUAUGGUACACUUUGUAAAGCCUUGUUAUCCUCUUCUCUUUGUUUUCUUUCUCUCAUUACUUCAAUCCAUUCUAACAACACUACCUGAAUCCAGACGAGAGGGAGAAGCUCUUGUGAAAUGGAAGAAUAGCCUAGCCCCGUCUUCUUUUCUCGACUCUUGGUCACUCACUGAUCUCGAUAAUCUUUGUAACUGGACUGGCAUUACUUGUAACUCUGCAGGUUCAGUCUCGGAGAUUAACCUUUGUGAGAAACAACUUGAUGGAAUGCUGUCCGAGUUUGGUUUCACUUCAUUUCCAGAUCUCAACUAUCUCACCCUCGCAGACAACUUCUUCUCGGGUCCGAUACCAUCAGCCAUUGAGAAUCUAACACAGCUUCAAUAUCUUGAUUUAAGCAUGAAUAGUCUCAAUGGUCCCAUUCCUUUCCAGGUUAGCCAUAUUCAGAGCUUGCUCAUCUUAAACCUGUCACACAAUGCAUUGCAAUCUCCAAAUUGGUCCCAUUGCUCUCCCAUGCCUGUCUUGCGCAUCCUCGACCUUAGUUUUAAUAAUCUUGUGUCGAAAUUCCCAGAAUUUAUAUCCAAUUCUCAUAGCCUGACUCACCUUAACCUUUCAGAUAACAAGUUUACUGGUGAUCUUGUGCGUGAAUUUACCAAUCUACAAAAUCUUGAAACCCUCUACCUUCAAGAUAAUUCUUUUGAGGGGCCGUUUCCGCCUGAUAUAGUCCAGCUUUCCAAAUUAAAACGUCUCGCCCUGUUAGGUAACAAAUUUUCAGGUUCAAUUCCCAAUGACAUAAGGUUGCUUUGUGUUCUUGAAUACCUAUAUUUAGGCAACAAUUCCUUUGAAGGACCACUUCCACCAAAUAUAUUCACGCUUUCAAAAUUAAAAUUACUUGUUCUUUGGGGUAAUAAGUUUUCAGGUUCUAUUUCCAAUGAUAUAGGUUUGCUUUCUGAGCUUGAAACCCUCGUUCUUGACUCUAAUUAUUUUGAGGGGCCACUUCCGCCAAAUAUAUUCAAGCUCUCUAAAUUAAAGGUUUUUUCCCUUGUGUACAAUAACUUUUCAGGUUCUGUUUCCAAUGAUAUAGGUUUGCUUUCUGAGCUUGAAUAUCUCCGUAUUGGCUGCAAUUCUUUCGAGGGACCGUUGCCAACAAAUAUAUUCAAGCUUUCCAAAUUAAGUAAACUUGACCUAUCAAAUAAUAGUAAUUUUUUUGAAGGAAGUAUUCUUAUUGGAUUGGGACUCUUGACUAACCUCAGCUACUUAGAUCUAGAUUCCAAUAAUCUCAGUGGCUAUAUUCCAUCUGAGAUUGGAAACCUGAAGCUACUAGUAUUUCUCGAUCUUAGUUCUAAUCAAUUGACUGGAUCGCUUUCAAAGAUCUUUUCUAAUCUCACAAAUCUUAUAUAUCUUCAUGUAUAUGAUAAUAGUCUUAGUGGAAAUAUUCAGAGUGACUUGUGGAAAAACUCUGUAUCCUUGCGUUUCGUUGAUCUUGCAAAUAAUUAUUUGUCUGGAAACAUCCCUAAGGAAUAUAACGAUCAUCCAACUUUGGAAUACAUUAAUUUAAGUUGGAACCAUUUUACAGGUAUAUUUUCUCUAUAUAUCUUUUCCUUUUCUNCUCAUAUGUAACUAAGCUUGAUUAUUGCAAUUUUACCUAAGUUUCAACAAUCUUGACAGGUGAGCUUCCAACAACAAUUUGCAAUGUCACUUCCCUCUCGGUUCUUGUUUUGUCAAAGAAUGGAUUAAGUGGUCCACUUCCAAAUUGUUUCGGAAAUCUUGCUGAUAGAUUGCUUUCCAUUAAUCUUGCUAAUAAUCAGUUCCGAGGAACAAUACCAACUACUUUCUCCAGCAGUUGUCAGCUGACAUAUCUAAACAUGGAUGAUAAUGAGUUUGAAGGAAUGUUGCCUCAAUCUUUGGCGAAAUGUAAGCACUUGAAAAUUCUUGAUAUUGGCAAUAACAAAAUAGGUGGUAUAUUUCCGUCAUGGCUUUAUGUACUUGGAGAGCUAGAAGUCCUUGUCUUGCGAUCAAAUAAACUCUAUGGUACAAUAAGUGGAAGGAGCAUAGAAGAUCCGUUCCCCAAGUUGCGGAUUGUGGAUCUGUCCAACAAUCAAUUCACCGGCCAGUUGCCAAUUCAAUACUUUAAGAAUAUGAAAUCAACUGAUAAUUUGUAUCGUUAUCGGAAUUCCACAGGACCAUUAUCUUUCUCUUAUGAAGCAGCAGUCUCAUUAACUGUGAAGGGAACAGAGUACGAGGUAGCAAAGAACCUUCAUAUUUACACAGCCAUUGACCUGUCAUGCAACAAAUUUCAGGGAGAAAUUCCAAAGGUUACUGGAGAGCUUAGAUGGCUUGCAUUGCUGAAUUUAUCUCAUAAUAGUCUGACAGGACCUAUCCCAUCCUUGCUGAAAAAUAUGAAAGAACUCCAAUCUUUAGAUUUGUCCUCAAAUCAACUGACAGGGGCUAUUCCACCUCAGUUAACUGCAUUGACAUUUCUGGAGGUCUUCAACCUCUCGGGAAACCAUCUUAGUGGAGAGAUUCCUCAGAAAGGACAGUUCAGCACAUUUAACAAUGAUUCUUAUCUAGGAAACUCCGCGUUAUGUGGAUCACCUUUGACAAAGAAAUGUGCAAACACAGCAUCACCUCCACAAGAAGUCGGAAAUGGUGAUGAAGAUGAUGCUGGUGAUGAAUGGACAUGGGAAGCAAUCGUGAUGGGAUAUGGAUGUGGACUGAUAUGUGGAUUGUCAUCUGCGUACAUUGUUCUCAAACUAGGAAAGCCUUGGUGGUUUGUGAGAUAUAUCGAAGUGCUGCAACUGAAGUUGAUGAAAAGAUAUGCUUGAAAAAUGGUACUGGCCGAUCAAGACGAACUUGAAAGUUGUUGUCCUUGUGGACAUUUCUGAACCAGUAGUGUACUAGCUGCAUAAGUAUUUGGUAUUAUGUAAUAAUCCGUUUGGUCAGGACUCAUAAUGAUUUCUCUUGCUUCAGGGGUAUUAAUAUUAACCUUGCUAGUUAAUUCAAAUUAAAACAAAUAUAAAAUCAAAAAAUUUGCAUCAAACACCUGUUAUACCAACAUCCAUUAAUUUGCUUUCAUCUCUUACGUAACAAUUUAACAGCGAUUCCACACUGUUUUAGGCAUGGAGAUUACACAAAGAAGGCAAGUCCAUGGACUAAUAUACGAACAAUUCAUAUUGGUCUUCCAUCUGUUCAACCGUCUCCCGAAGAUAGGCCAAAAAUGUCAUCUGUGGUUCUUAUCUUUGUCAGUAAAGGAGAAUCUCUGAUGCCUAUACAACCUGGUUUUCUUACCGAAAGGAAUGUAGGUGAAACCAGGGGCAUAAAAUGAAUCGGGACUAAAAUCUGCUAAAAUGAUAAUUAUUUACUCAUCAUUCGAGAUUAGUCGGGCUCGAAUGAAGAUUUAUAUGGAUUUUAAGAACAAACUAUGACUAAAUAUGAAAAAAUCAUUAAUUUUUCCGACUCAAUAUUUUUAGCCUCCCCCGGCCCUGGGUGAAACCAUAAGCUUCUCUGGUGCACAUCCAAAUCAUUCAGCUGGUUCUACAUUCAGCUCACCCACAGGAACAUCAUUCUGCAGGUACUCUCUUAUCUGUACUUUCUUAUAUUGUAUGCCAGAAAAUUUAAUAUCGACAAACUGCACAAUACACCUCGAUCUCAUAUUAUUGACAGGUGAGCUCCUCUCAUAAUGCUCACAGGCGAACUCCUGCAUAUAUACUUUGUGAUGUCAUUGAUGAUCGAUAGGCUUGAAAAAAAAUUAUGACAAAGAUUCAUAAAAUAUCUACUUCCAUCCUAAUUCAGUAUUCAAUAUUAUUCAUUCCGUAUCAUCAUCCAAUCAAUUCUAAUAGUUCUUCUUUAAAUCAGUAUAAAUAUUGUUAAAUAUAUUGAUGAUGGUUGUCUUUCCGCGAACCAAUCAUAAAAUUACCUCUGUAUAAAUCCAUCGGAAAUAAGACAGUUAAUAUCCCAAUCGAAUACACCCCUGUCAGUUGUCAAACUCCUCGAAACGUAUUAAUCACUUUAGAAAAUUUGUUCCACUGGCGCUAGUCAGUCCCAGAGUUGGUGGUGGGUGCUUCUGGGCUUUCGAAAAGCACCCAUUUACUCCAUUGUUUAGAGAAGUAAAACCCCACCUUCCGCUCAUUUGAUUGAUCAGCUGAAUUAGGCAGAGUUUACAUGGUCAUGAUCAUAGUCUCCCAUUUCCCAGAUACGCGCAUUAUAGUGGAUUUAUCUUUAUCAGUAAUUUCUGUGGAGAUGCAUAAUCAUUAUAAACUCCAAUAUAAAAAUUUAAAGUUGGUAUGGGCAUUUGUGUUGAUAAUUUGCGCAAUGUUAACAGGAAUUGCUCCCAAGUCUUGGACGGACUCUUUCAAAGUCUUCUGAGGACCCAUCUGCACACUAAUUUGUCUCCCAACUAAAAAAUCAACAAUAUGUUACUCCCUCCGUUUUUCUUAAACGAGGUUAAAAUUUUUGACACAAGAUGGGUUGACAGUAUAAUAAAAAUUUUUGUGAAUAAAAUUUUUUUUAUUUAGAAAGAUAAUCUUGAAAAUAAUAUUAUUAACUAAGUUAAAUCACUUAAAAGUGUAUGUCCAAAAAUUAAAGCGGCAUAUAAAAAAAAGGGAGGGAGCAUGUACUAACUGUUUCCAUAACAGUUUACAAGUAUAAGUUAUACUCCCUCUCUAUUUUUUUAUAUGACGGUUUGAUUUUGGGCACACAUUUUUAAGUGUUUUGACCAGAUAAUUAAAAGGGGUUUUCUCAUAAAUACCUAAGUCUAAAAUUAUUUUUACGAAAAUAUUAUAUCUUUUUUUAAAUAUUUUGCAAAAAUACCAAACUUUGUAAAUAUUUACAAAAAUACGGUAUGCAACCCGUUGCAACCACAUGCAACCUUACUUGCAACCAUAUUUGCAACCCCUGCGGGGUCAAUUAACUGAAAUUGCAUCUGGUUGCGUUUAGUUGCAGACCGUAUUUUUGCAAAUAUUUUCUAAAAAGUUAGUAUAUUUGCAAUUUUUUUAAAAAUAUAAGAAAAUCGCAAAAAUUAUAACAAAGCUUCAAGAUUUUUAACAGGUGAGCUUCCACUAAAAAUUUGCAAAGUCACUUCCCUUUCGCGUCUCAUUAUGUCAGAUAUUGGUCAAGUGGUGCACUUCCACAGUGUUUGGGGAACCUUUCUUUGCUUGGUUUCAAUAAUCUUGCUAAUAAUCAAUUUCAAGGACCAAUACCAACGACUGUCCAAGACUUGUCUGUGCAUAUCUAAACAUCCAUAACAAUCACUUUGAAGGUUUGUUGCUCCAAUCUUUGGCAAACUGUAAACACUUACAAAUUCUUGAUAUUGGAAACAACAAAAUAGGUGGUACAUUUCCGUCAUGGCUAUUUACUGUUGGAGAGCUAGAUGUCCUAGUUAGGACGGUAUUUCGACUAGAGCAAGCCGAGUUUUGAGCGGAGCCCAAUUCGAGCCAAGUUUAAUCGAGUCGAGCCGAGUCAGUUCGUUUGGCUAAUCGAGCCUAAAACUCUGUCCGAACUCGACUCGUUUAAUUUCACGAGUUGAGUCAAGCCAGCUCAUUUAGCUAAACGAGUUGGUUUUAACGAGUUAAACGAGUGAGCUCGUAUAAUUUUAACUUAAUCGAGCCUGGAUCUCUAUCCGAACUAUUGGCUCGUGUAAUUUCGCGAGUCGAAUCGAGCCGGCUCGUUUUAUUAAACAAACCGAAAUUUUUGCCCAAAUUUUGCUCGUUUAACAAGCCGAUCUGAACCUAGUUAAAUGAGUUCGAGCUAGUCGAGCUCGCAGCUUGCGAGCUCGCCGGACAGCUCUAGUACUAGUCUUGCGAUCAAAUAGGUUUCACGGUAUAGAAAGUGGAAGGAACACAAGGCAUCUGUACUUUCUUGUACUGUAUGCCACUUUGACAGUAAAAUUUAUACUCCCUCCGUCCGAAUGAAUUGUAUACAGUUUACUUUUUGGGACGUCCCAUCAAUUGUAUACAUUCCUAAAGUAGUAAACUUUUAUAAUAUAAAACAUCAUUAAACCAACUACUUUCUUCCCCUAUCUCCAUUCUAUAAUAAUAUAAACACUAUUACACCCACUACUUUCCUCCACUAUCUCAAAUUUAUUAUUAAAUAUAAAUGGGUCCCACCACUAUACUCACUUUUCAUCCAACUUUACUCAUUUCUAAUAAAAUUUCUUGGUCUCCGUGUCCCAGCCAUUUGUAUACAAAUGACUGGGACGGAGGGAGUAUCAACAAACUGCACGAUUAAAUCCUCGUACAAUUGACAGGUGAACUCCUGCAUAUGUUCUGAACUAUUACGUACUAUAUUAUGCAAGCUGUUUGCAACUUUCAUCAAAAUUUUCAAACAUUUCUUAAUAUGUUUUUUCAAAAAAUUCUCGGGCCCUCUUAAGGCCUAUUAUUAUUGCAACUCUCACGUUAUGGACCACUAUGUAUUUUACAAGCACGACGAAUCAUGUGGUCAUUAUGGACUCCCCAAGCCUUCGAGGACUCACUCCAGGUCUUAGGAGGACCACUGCCUAGCUCACCCUUUCGGAGUGAUGUAAAUUAUUUUCUAGACACUAAAAAUAAGUAUUCAGAUUAAUCAUUACAAAAUUAAGGAUAUAAAAUCAGAAUAAAUCCUAAACUUUGAUGAUACAAAAAAAUUAUAAUUGUAAAUUAUACAAUCAAAUUAAAAUCGAAUUAACUUCCCUCACACUUAAAAUUUAUAGCGAUCAAAUCAAAAUCGAAUUAACUUUCCUAUUACUAAAAUAUAAUUACAAUAUUAUUAGAUAAAGAGAAUAUAUAAUAAUCAAGAGAAAAUAGAUUUUUUUUUGCCACUCAACUUAUCGUGUUUUAAGAAACUUACCACCCAACUAAAUUUUUUUUCCUUUUGCUCACUAAUGUUAGGUUUGGAUUUGUUUUUAGCCACCAACUAAGGUUCGGAUUUGAUUACCAGCAUUAUGAUAAUUUUUUUUGUCACUAAACUUAUUGCGUCUUUAGAAACUAACCACUCAACUAAAUUUUUUUUUAUUUUACUCACUAAUGUUAGGUUCAGUUUUUUUUUGUCACUGAAGUUAGGUUCGGAUUUGAUUAUUAGCAUUACAUUAAUUCUGUGUAGCAUUUUUAAAAUAUGGUAGUACUCUGUGAUAUUUAGAUGAUUUGAUAUAUGUCUGUAUUUUUAUAUAUAGUAUAUUUUAUGUCUCCAAGAUCAUUUACCUUGGGUCAUAAGAAUUUUACACGCAUUAUAUGACUUUUAAAAGAUGUAGUGUCAUAAAUAAUUUUAUUUUUUUUUCCGAAUUAAAAUUCAGCAUUUGAAUUUUACACACACAAAAAUCGCAAGAAUAAGUUAUGAAAUUAUGCUUUAUAAGAGUCUUAAAAUACGUGCUAAACGGUAGAAAAAACGGUGAAAUAAUGAGAGGUACAUAGGAGUAAUAAUAACAUAAAAUGAUGCACAAGUUAGUAUAUUGGACUAAUAUUCACGCAUUUAUAUACGAGAAUAUAUGGUCCACAAGUUAGUGCACAAUGUCCAAGAAUCUUUAUCAAAGUAACACGGCAAGCAUGCAGCAUAUAAAUAAGAGUGGGCAGUAUGGUAUUGCAUUCAUAACCCACUUGAGGAGAAAUAUGGCACACUUCCUAAAGCCUUCUCACCUUCUUCUCUUUGUUUUCUCUCUCUCGUUACUUCAAUCCAUUCUACCAACAAGACCAGAGGGAGAAGCUCUUGUGAAAUGGAAGAAUAGCCUAGCCCCUUCUUCUUUUCUCGAUUCUUGGUCACUCACCAAUCUCGAUGAUCUUUGUAACUGGACUGGCAUUACUUGUAACUCUGCAGGUUCAGUCUCUGAGAUUAACCUUUAUGAGAAACAACUUGAUGGAAUGCUGUCCGAGUUUGGCUUCACUUCAUUUCCGAAUCUCAACAAUCUCACCCUCGCAUACAACUUCUUCUCGGGUCCAAUUCCACCAGCCAUUGAGAAUUUAACACAGCUUCAAUAUCUUGAUUUAAGCAUCAAUAGUCUCGAUGGUCCCAUUCCGUUCCAGGUUAGCCAUCUUCAGAGGUUGCUCGUCUUAAACCUGUCACAGAAUGCAUUGCAAGCUCCAAAUUGGUCCAAAUUCUCCCCCAUGCCCUUUUUGUGCAUCCUCAACCUCAGUAGCAAUCCUCUUGCGUCGACAUUCCCAAAUUUCAUAUCCAAUUCUCAUGGCCUGACUCACCUCAGCCUUGAUCAAAACGAGUUUACAGGUGAUUUAGCGCGUGAAUCAAUAUUUGCCAAUCUGCAUAAUCUUGAAGUCCUCAGUCUUGUUGGCAAUUCUUUUGAGGGGGCCAUUUCCGCCAAAUAUAUUCAAGCUUUCCAAAUUAAAACAUCUUAGCCUGUCAGAUAACAAACUUUCAGGUUCAAUUCCCAAUGACAUAAGGUUGCUUUGUGAUCUUGAAUACCUAUAUUUAGGCAACAAUUCCUUUGAAGGACCGCUUCCACCAAAUAUAUUCAAGCUUUCAAAAUUAAAACAUCUUAUUCUUUGGGGUAAUAAGUUUUCAGGUUCUGUUUCCAACGAUAUAGGUUUGCUUUCUGAGCUUGAAAGCCUCUAUCUUGACUCCAAUUUUUUUGAGGGGCCGCUUCCGCCAAAUUUAUUCAAGCUCUCCAAACUAAAGAUUCUUUUCCUUUAUGAGAAUAACUUUUCAGGUUUUAUUUCUAAGGAUAUAGGUUUGCUUUUUGAACUUGAAACCCUCUAUCUUGACUCUAAUUUUUUUGAGGGGCCGCUUCCCCCACAUGUAUUUAGGCUCUCCAAAUUAAGAGAUCUGGGUCUCUCAGACAAUAGAAAUUUAUUUGAAGGAAGUAUUCCUAUUGGACUGGGACUCUUGACUAACCUCAGAUACUUGCGUCUAUCUUCCAAUAAUCUCGGUGGCUAUAUUCCAUCUGACAUUGGAAACCUGAAGCAACUAGAACUUCUUGAUCUCGGUUCUAAUCAAUUGACUGGACCGCUUUCAAAGAUCGUUUCUAAUCUCACAAAUCUUAUAUAUCUUGAUGUGAGUUAUAAUAGUCUUAGUGGAAAUAUUCAGAGUGACUGGUGGAAAAACUCUGUAUCCUUACGUUACAUUGAUUUUGAAAAUAAUUAUUUGUCUGGGAACAUUCCUAAGGAAUAUAACGAUCAUCCAACUUUGGAAUACAUCAAUUUAGGUGGGAACCAUUUUACAGGUAUAUUUUCUCUAUAUAUCUUUUCCUUUUGUCAUAUGUAAAUAAGCUAGUAAUCUGGUUAUUGUAGUUUUACCAAAGUUUCAACAAUCUUGACAGGUGAGCUUCCAACAACAAUUUGCAAUGCCACUUCCCUUUCGGUUCUUGUUUUGUCAAAUAAUGGAUUAAGUGGUGCACUUCCAAAAUGUUUCGGGAAUCUUGCUGAUGGAUUGCUUUACAUUAAUCUUGCUAAUAAUCAGUUUCGAGGAACAAUACCAACUACUUUCUCCAGGAGUUGUCGGUUGACAUAUCUAAACAUGGAUAAUAAUGAGUUUGAAGGAUUGUUGCCCCCAUCUUUGGCGAACUGUAAGCACUUGAAAAUUCUUGAUAUAGGCAAUAAUAAAAUAGGUGGUACAUUUCCGUCAUGGCUUUAUGCACUUGGAGAGCUAGAAGUUCUUGUCUUGCGAUCAAAUAAACUCUAUGGUACGAUAAGUGGAAGGAGCAUAGAAGAUCCCUUCCCAAAGUUGCGGAUUGUGGAUCUGUCCCACAAUCAAUUGACAGGCUAUUUGCCAAUUCAAUACUUUAAGAAUAUGAAAUCAACUGAUGAUUUGUAUAGUUUCCGGAAUUCCACAGGAACCGCAUCUAUCUCUUAUGAAGCAUCGGUCUCAUUAACCGUGAAGGGAACAGAGUAUGAAGUAGCAAAUAACCUUCAUAUUUACACAGCCAUUGAUCUAUCGUGCAACAAAUUUCAGGGACAAAUUCCAAAGGUUACUGGAGAGCUUAAAUGGCUGGCAUUGCUCAACUUAUCUCAUAAUAGUCUAACAGGACCUAUCCCGUCAUUGCUGAGAAAUAUGAAAGAACUCCAGUCUUUAGAUUUGUCUUCAAAUCAACUAACAGGGGCUAUUCCACCUCAGUUAACUGCACUGACAUUUCUAGAGGUCUUGAACUUCUCGGGAAACCAUCUUAGUGGAGAGAUUCCUCAGAAAGGACAGUUCAGCACAUUCAACAAUGAUUCCUAUCUAGGAAACUCUGCGUUAUGUGGAUCACCUUUGACGAAGAAAUGUGUAAACACUGUAUCACCUCCUCAGGAAGUCGAAAAUGGUGAUGAAGAUGAUGCUGGUGAUGAAUUGACAUGGGAAGCAAUCGUGAUGGGAUAUGGAUGUGGACUGAUAUGUGGAUUGUCAUCUGCGUACAUUGUUCUCAAACUAGGAAAGCCUUGGUGGUUUGUGAGAUAUAUCGAAGUACUGCAACUGAAGUUGAUGAAAAGAUAUGCAUGAAGAAAGGUACUGGUAGAUCAAGAUGAACUUGAAAGUUGUUGUCCUGGUAGACAUUUCUGAACCAGUAGUAUACUAGCUGUGUAAGUAUUUGGUAUUAUGUAAUAAUCCGUUUGGUCGGGACUCAAAAUGAUUUCUCUUGCUUCAGGGGUAUUAAUAUUAACCUUGCUAUCUUGAUCAAUGUUAAUGCAAAUUAAAAAGAAUAUAAAAGCAAAAAAUUUGCAUCAAACACCUGUUGUACCACAGGCUUCCGACUCAAUAUUUGUUAGCCUCCCGUGCCCUGUGUGAAACCAUAAGCUUCUCUGGUGAAUAUCCAAAUCAUUCAGCUGGUUCUACUUUCAGCUCACCGCAGGAACAUCAUUCUGCAGGUACUCUCUUAUCUGUACUUUCUUAUAUUGUAUGCCAGAAAAUUUAAUAUCGACAAACUGCACAAUACACCUCGAUCUCAUAUUAUUGACAGGUGAGCUCCUCUCAUAAUGCUCACAGGCGAACUCCUGCAUAUACUUUGUGAUGUCAUUGAUGAUCGAUAGACUUGAAAAAAAAUUAUGACAAAGAUUCAUAAAAUAUCUACUUCCAUCCUAAUUCAGUAUUCAAUAUUAUGCAUUCCGUAUCAUCAUCCAAUCAAUUCUAAUAGUUCUUCUUUAAAUCAGGACAAAUAUUGUUAAAUACAUGGAUGAUGGUUGUCUUUCCGCGAACCAAUCAUGAAAUUACCUCUGUUUAAAUCCGUCGAAAAUAAGAAAAUUAAUAUCCCAAUCGAAUACACCCCGUGAGUUGUCAAACUCCUCGAAACAUAUUAAUCACUUUAGAAAAUUUCAACAAUCUUGACAGGUGAGCUUCCAACAACAAUUUGCAAUGUCACCUCCCUUUCGGUUCUUGUUUUGUCAAAUAAUAAAUUAAGUGGUGCACUUCCAAACUGUUUCGGGAAUCUUGCUGAUGGAUUGCUUUACAUUAAUCUUGCUAAUAAUCAGUUUCAAGGAACAAUACCAACUACUUUCUCCAGGAGUUGUCCGUUGACAUAUCUAAACAUGGAUAAUAAUGAGUUUGAAGGAUUGAUGCCCCCAUCUUUGGCGAACUGUAAGCACUUGAAAAUUCUUGAUAUAGGCAAUAAUAAAAUAGGUGGUACAUUUCCGUCAUGGAUUUAUGCACUUGGAGAGCUAGAAGUUCUUGUCUUGCGAUCAAAUAAACUCUAUGGUACAAUAAGUGGAAGGAGCAUAGAAGAUCCCUUCCCCAAGUUGCGGAUUGUGGAUCUGUCCAACAAUCAAUUCACAGGCCAUUUGCCAAUUCAAUACUUUAAGAAUAUGAAAUCAAAUGAUAAUUUGUAUCGUUAUCUGAAUUCCACAGGAGAAAUAUAUAUCUCUUAUGAAGCAGCAGUCUCAUUAACUGCGAAGGGAACAGAGUAUGAAGUAGCAAAUAACCUUCAUAUUUACACAGCCAUUGAUCUGUCGUGCAACAAAUUUCAGGGAGAAAUUCCAAAGGUUACCGGAGAGCUUAGAUAGCUUGCAUUGCUCAAUUUAUCGCAUAAUAGUCUAACGGGACCUAUCCCAUCAUUGCUGAGAAAUAUGAAAGAACUCCAAUCUUUAGAUUUGUCCUCAAAUCAACUGACAGGGGCCAUUCCACCUCAGUUAACUGCAUUGACAUUUCUAAAGGUCUUAAAUCUCUCGAAAAACCAUCUCAGUGGAGAGAUUCCUCAGGAAGGACAGUUCAGCACAUUCAACAAUGAUUCUUAUCUAGGAAACUCCGCGUUAUGUGGAUUACGUCUGACAAAGAAAUGUGCAAACACAGCAUCACCACCACAAGAAGUCGGAAAUGGUGAUGAAGAUGAUGCUGGUGAUGAAUUGACAUGGGAAGCAAUUGUGAUGGGAUAUGGAUGUGGACUGAUAUGUGGAUUAUCAUCUGCGUACCUUGUUUUCAAACUAGGAAAGCCUUGGUGGUUUGUGAGAUAUAUCGAAGUACUGCAACUGAAGUUGAUGAAAAGAUAUGCAUGAAGAAUGGUACUGGCCGAUCAAGACGAACUUGAAAGUUGGUCCUUGUGGACAUUUCAGCUGAACCAGUAGGUACUAUUCUCUUUGUGACUGCAUAAGUAUUUUGUAUUGUGUAAUGUUCUGUUUGGUCUUAAAUCAUAAUGAUUUUUCUUGCUUCAGGGGUAUUAAUAUAAAACUUGGUAUUGUGUACUAGCUGUAAUAUUCCGUUUAAUCAAUGUUAAUACCUGUAAUUUUAUGCUCCUGACUGCAUCAUGCAGCUCUCAUAUUAUCUUCAUAUGUGUAUUUAUUUGGAUAUUGAAGUUGCAUGGACAUAUGGAUAUGUGUUAACGGGGAUUGCUCCCAAGUCUUGGACGGACUCUUUCCAAGUCUUCCGAGAUCCUAUUGGUUCAAAUUAGUCCAAUUUGAACUGCCAUCAAAUGCAACUCUGUAGAUUCUGUCUCUGAGAUUAACCUUUCAGGACAUCAGCUCAAUGGUACACUUGCUGAAUUCAGUUUCGUUUAAUUUCCGAAUCUACAAAUUAAGCUACAAUAACUUCACUUGUCCAAUACCCCCAGACAUUGGAAAUUUAACAGAGCUGCAACACCUUGAUUUUAGCUCUAAUAAACUCACUGCUGCAAUUCCGGACCAGGUAAGCCAUCUUCAAACAUUGCGGACCUUAAACCUGUAGGAUAAUCAACUUGGAAGCUCCAAACUGGUCCGCUUUUUCCCCUAUGCCUUCUCUGACAAACCUCUGUCUCAAUAAUAAUAAUCUUUCGUCGAAAUUCCAAGACUUCAUAUUAAAUUGUGGUAACCUGACUUACUUUGAUCUUUCAUUAAAUAUGUUAACAGGUAAUUUGGUUCCUUCAUCAAUUUUUAGAAAUUUGUAUAAUCUUGAAUUCCUUUAUCUUUCUAGCAAUUAUUUUGAGGGGCCUUUCCCGCCANNNNNNNNNNNNNNNNNNNNNNNNNNNNNNNNNNNNNNNNNNNNNNNNNNNNNNNNNNNNNNNNNNNNNNNNNNNNNNNNNNNNNNNNNNNNNNNNNNNNNNNNNNNNNNNNNNNNNNNNNNNNNNNNNNNNNNNNNNNNNNNNNNNNNNNNNNNNNNNNNNNNNNNNNUUUCCCUAUCAUAUAAUAGAUUUUCAGGUUCUAUUUCCAUAUGAUAUAGGAAUGCUUCGUGUUUUGGAAUCCCUUUUUUUAGUAGUAGUUCUUUUAAUGGCCCACCUCCACCAAAUUUAUUUAAAUUUUCUAAAUUAAAAGUUUUUUCCCUAUCAUUAAUAACUUUUCGGGUUCUAUUCGAAAUGAAACAGGGAUGCUUCAUGAUUUAGAGUCCCUCUAUCUUAAUGAACAUUCUUUUAAGGGGCCGUUUCCACCAAAUAUAUUCAACCUUUCCAAAUUAAAAGUUCUUAAUUACCUCUCAAAUAAUUCCUUUUCAGGUUCAGUUCCUAGUGAUAUAAGUGUGCUUCGUGAUCUUGAGAUACUUAAUUUGUCCUCUAAUUCUUUUGAAGGAAUUAUCCCAUUGGAGCUUGGGUUCUUGAAUAACGUGAGCUAUUAUUAUAUCUUGAUUCCACUCAAUUGACUGGACCGCUUUUGAAGAACAUUUAUAAUCUCAGUAAUUUUUUGUGUUGGCUUGAAUGGAUCAUUCCAUUCCCUCCAAAACUCAUUCCGUUCAUGUCAACCAAACAGAGCAUCAAUUACUAGUUACUGGGAAAUGCAUUAGCCUAAAUGUUCCUGGUUCAUUGUUACCGGUAUUUCUUAACUGCUGUGAUUGCAAAUUCAGUUGCAGAUUGUUCAUAUAUAUCUAGAGAGACCUGACAUAACUUUAGCCUCUGAUAUACAGCUUCCUUUCACAGUUGUGCCUAUUCACCUAGACGCGUUUUUAACUGCAUAAUGUUGGGUCAACUUCCGACCAUUUAUUUUCUCAUUUGAAAUUAGUGUAUUAAAGUUCGACUUUAAGAAAAUAUAUAGUUUUGUUAAACAAAAAUUCCAAAAGGUUUGGUACGUUUUGAGCUGGGACUUUGAAAUUGUUUGUCGUUAAAGAUGAAGAUUCACUUUUUAAGUUAUAUUAAUCUGUAGUGGUAGACUGGUAGUUUUUCUUUAUUGCUACUUUCCUUGUGCGUUCUUUAUAUUGAUUUAUUAUUUAAUUCGUAAAGUGUUGCGAACUACAUUCCUGCAAAAGUAAAAUCAGUGGAAUUUGUUUGAUAGCAUGAUGAAUAUUUAAAGGGGUUAAUUAUCAAAUUGGUCACUGAAGUGACUUUAAUGUAUCAAGUUGGUCACUGAACUCAAAACGGUAUUAAGAUAGUCACUGAAGUGGACAUAAAUAUCAAACAGGUACCUUGAAAUAUAAGUUCAAGCAGUAAAGAUAUUAUUUAUAAAAUUUUACACAUUAUUUUUAAAUGUUACCACAACCAACUAAAAGGUUAUGACUUCUAGUAUUUAAAUUAAUAUAUUUAUUUUAUCAAGUUUAUUUAUUAUUUAUAUUUUAUUAUAUAGUUAUUUUCUUUGUUUUAAUUAAAAAUAAAUAAUAAAUAAACUUGAUAAUAUCUAAAUAUAUUAUCAUAAAUAUUAGAAUUCAUAACCUUUUACUUGGUCUAGGUAACAUUCAAAAAUAAUGUGUAAAACUUUAUAAAUAAUAUUAUCUUUAUAUUCUUUCCUUUUCUAUGUACCUAUGCUAAUUAUCUGAUUAUUAAAAUUAUAACAAAGCUUCAAGAUUUUUAACAGGUGAGCUUCCACUAAAAAUUUGCAAAGUCACUUCCCUUUCGCGUCUCAUUAUGUCAGAUAUUGGAAACAACAAAUAGGUGGUACAUUUCCGUCAUGGCUAUUUACUGUUGGAGAGCUAGAUGUCCUAGUUAGGGCGGUAAUUCGACUAAAGCAAACCGAGUUUUGAGCGGAGUCAAAUUCGAGCCAAGUUUAAUCGAGUCGAGCCGAGUCGGCUCAUUUAGCUAAUCGAGCCUAAAACUCUGGUCGAACUCGACUCGUUUAAUUUCGCGAGUCAAGUCGACCCAGCUCGUUUAGUUAAAUGAGCUGGUUUUAACGAGUCAAGCGAGUGAGCUCGUAUAAUUUUAACUUAAUCGAGUCUAAAUCUCUACCCGAACUAUUGGCUCGUGUAAUUUCACGAGUAGAAUCGAGCUGGCUCGUUUUAUUAAAGAAGCCGAAAUUUUUGCCCGAAUUUGGCUUGUUUAACAAGCCGAUCUUUCAUCAAAAUUUUCAAACAUUUCUGAAUAUGUAUUUUCAGAGAAUUUCUCCGGCACUCUUAAGGCCUAUAAUUAUUGCAACUCUCACGUUAUGGACCACUAUGUAUUUUACGAGCACGACGAAUCAUGUGGUCAUUAUGGACUCCCCAAGCCUUCGAGGACUCAUUCCAGGUCUUAGGAGGACCACUGCCUAGCUCACCCUCUCGGAGUGAUGUAAAUUAUUUUCCAGACACUAAAAAUAAGUAUUCAGAUUAAUCAUUACAAAAUUAAGGAUAUAAAAUCAGAAUAAAUCCUAAACUUUGAUGAUACAAAAAAAUUAUAAUUGUAAAUUAUACAAUCAAAUUAAAAUCGAAUUAACUUCUCUCACACUUAAAAUUUAUAGCGAUCAAAUCAAAAUCGAAUUAACUUUCCUAUUACUAAAAUUUAAUUACAAUAUUAUUAGAUAAAGAGAAUAUAUAAUAAUCAAGGGAAAAUAGAUUUUUUUUUGCCACUCAACUUAUUGUGUUUUAAGAAAUUUACCACCCAACUAAAUUUUUUUUCCUUUUGCUCACUAAUAUUAGGUUUGGAUUUGUUUUUAGCCACCAACUAAGGUUCGGAUUUGAUUACUAGCAUUAUGAUAAUUUUUUGUCACUAAACUUAUUGCGUCUUUAGAAACUAACCACUCAACUAAUUUUUUUUUUAUUUUACUCACUAAUGUUAGGUUCAGUUUUUUUUUUGUCACUGAAGUUAGGUUCGGAUUUGAUUAUUAGCAUUACAUUAAUUCUGUGUAGCAUUUUUAAAAUAUGGUAGUAGUCUGUGAUAUUUAGAUGAUUUGAUAUAUGUCUGUAUUUAUAUAUAUAGUAUUUUUUAUGUCCCCAAGGUCGUUUACCUUGGGUCAUAAGAAUUUUACACACAUUUUAUGACUUUUAAAAGAUGUAGUUUCAUAAAUAAUUUUAUUUUUUUCUUCCGAAUUAAAAUUCAGCGUUUGAAUUUUACACACAAAAAAAUCGCAAAAAUAAGUUAUGAAACUAUGUUUUAUAAGAGUCUUAAAAUACGUGUUAAACGGUAGAAAAAACUGUAAACUAAUGAAAGGUACAUAGGGAGUAAUAAUAACAUAAAAUGAUGCACAAUCAUCGAAUUAAGUUUUCCUCUCUCUCUAUAUAUUUAUUUUGAAAAUUAUAAUAAGAUAAAGUUAUUAAAAUUUAUGAUAUAAAUUUAAAAGAGAUCUUAGACUGAGUGGCAAAAAUUUAGUUGGAUGGUAAGUUUCUAAAAAUACAAUAAAUUGAGCGGGAACAAAAUCUAUUUUCCCAAUAAUCAAAGUGAUGAAAAAUUAAAGUCAUCUAAUAAGUCCAGAAAAAAUAUGACCAUUAGUAUUUUGGAAUAAUAUUCACGCAUUUAUAUACGAGAAUAUAUGGUCCACAAGUUAGUGCACAAUGUCCAAGAAUCUUUAUCAAAGUAACACGGCAAGCAUGCAGCAUAUAAAUAAGAGUGGGCAGUAUGGUAUUGCAUUCAUAACCCACUUGAGGAGAAAUAUGGCACACUUCCUAAAGCCUUCUCACCUUCUUCUCUUUGUUUUCUCUCUCUCGUUACUUCAAUCCAUUCUACCAACAAGACCAGAGGGAGAAGCUCUUGUGAAAUGGAAGAAUAGCCUAGCCCCUUCUUCUUUUCUCGAUUCUUGGUCACUCACCAAUCUCGAUGAUCUUUGUAACUGGACUGGCAUUACUUGUAACUCUGCAGGUUCAGUCUCUGAGAUUAACCUUUAUGAGAAACAACUUGAUGGAAUGCUGUCCGAGUUUGGCUUCACUUCAUUUCCGAAUCUCAACAAUCUCACCCUCGCAUACAACUUCUUCUCGGGUCCAAUUCCACCAGCCAUUGAGAAUUUAACACAGCUUCAAUAUCUUGAUUUAAGCAUCAAUAGUCUCGAUGGUCCCAUUCCGUUCCAGGUUAGCCAUCUUCAGAGGUUGCUCGUCUUAAACCUGUCACAGAAUGCAUUGCAAGCUCCAAAUUGGUCCAAAUUCUCCCCCAUGCCCUUUUUGUGCAUCCUCAACCUCAGUAGCAAUCCUCUUGCGUCGACAUUCCCAAAUUUCAUAUCCAAUUCUCAUGGCCUGACUCACCUCAGCCUUGAUCAAAACGAGUUUACAGGUGAUUUAGCGCGUGAAUCAAUAUUUGCCAAUCUGCAUAAUCUUGAAGUCCUCAGUCUUGUUGGCAAUUCUUUUGAGGGGGCCAUUUCCGCCAAAUAUAUUCAAGCUUUCCAAAUUAAAACGUCUUACCCUGUCAAGUAACAAAUUUUUAGGAUCAAUUCCCAAUGACAUAAGGUUGCUUUGUGAUCUUGAAUUCCUAUAUUUAGGAAACAAUUCUUUUGAAGGACCGCCUCCACCAAAUAUAUUCAAGCUUUCAAAAUUAAAACAUCUUGUUCUCUGGAGUAAUAAGUUUUCAGGUUCUGUUUCCAAUGAUAUAGGUUUGCUUUCUGCGCUUGAACUUCUGAAUCUUCACUCUAAUUUUUUUGAGGGGCCGCUUCCGCCAAAUGUAUUCAAGCUCUCUAAACUAAGGUUUCUUAACCUCUGGGGUAACAACUUUUCAGGUUCUGUUUCCAAUGAUAUAGGUUUGCUUCCUGAGCUAGAAAUCCUCAAUCUUCACUCUAAUUUUUUUGAGGGGCCGCUUCCGCCAAAUAUAUUCAAGCUCUCUAAACUAAGGUUUCUUAACCUCUGGGGUAACAACUUUUCAGGUUCUGUUUCCAAUGAUAUAGGUUUGCUUCCUGAGCUAGAAAUCCUCAAUCUUCACUCUAAUUUUUUUGAGGGGCCGCUUCCGCCAAAUGUAUUCAAGCUCUCUAAACUAAGGUUUCUUAACCUUUGGGGUAAUAACUUUUCAGGUUCUGUUUCCAAUGAUAUAGGUUUGCUUCCUGAGCUAGAAUUCCUCAAUCUUCACUCUAAUUUUUUUGAGGGGCCGCUUCCGCCAAAUGUAUUCAAGCUCUCUAAACUAAAGUUUCUUCAUCUUCGAGGUAAUAAGUUUUCAGGUUCUGUUUCCAAUGAUAUAGGUUUGCUUCCUGAGCUUGAAAUCCUCAAUCUUCGCUCUAAUUUUUUUGAGGGGCCGCUUCCGCCAAAUGUAUUCAAGCUCUCCAAACUAAGGUUUCUUUCCCUUAAGGAAAAUAAAUUUUCAGGUUCUGUUUCCAAUGAUAUAGGUUUCCUUUCUGAGCUUGAAUACCUAUAUCUUGACUAUAAUUUAUUUGAAGGAAGUAUUCCUAUUGGACUGGGACUCUUGACUAACCUCAGCUACUUAGAUCUAAGUUCCAAUAAUCUCAGUGGCUAUAUUCCAUCUGACAUUGGAAACCUGAAGCUACUAGUAUUUCUUGAUCUCAGUUCUAACCAAUUGACUGGACCGCUUUUAAAGAUCGUUUCUAAUCUCACAAAUCUUAUGAAUCUUGAUGUAAGUGAUAAUAGUCUUAGUGGAAAUAUUCAGAGUGACUUGUGGAAGAACUCUAUAUCCUUACGUUACAUUAAUUUUGCAAAUAAUUAUUUGUCUGGGAACAUUCCUAAGGAAUACAACGAUCAUCCAACUUUGGAAUACAUCAAUUUAAGUGGGAACCAUUUUACAGGUAUAUUUUUCUCUAUAUAUCUUUUCCUUUUCUCAUAUGUAACUAAGCUGGUAAUCUGAUUAUUGCAGUUUUACCAAAGUUUCAACAAUCUUGACAGGUGAGCUUCCAACAACAAUUUGCAAUGUCACUUCCCUUGCGGUUCUUGUUUUGUCAAAUAAUGGAUUAAGUGGAGCACUUCCAAAUUGUUUCGGGAAACUUGCUGAUAGAUUGCUUUCCAUUAAUCUUGCUAAUAAUCAGUUUCGAGGAACAAUACCAACUACUUUCUCCAGGAGUUGUCAGGUGAAAUAUCUAAACAUGGAUAAUAAUGAGUUUGAAAGAUUCUUGCCCCCGUCUUUGGCGAACUGUAAGCACUUGAAAAUUCUUGAUAUUGGCAAUAAUAAAAUAGGUGGUACAUUUCCGUCAUGGCUUUAUGUACUUGGAGAGAUAGAAGUCCUUGUCUUGCGAUCAAAUAAACUCUAUGGUACAAUAAGUGGAAGGAGCGUAAAAGAUCCCUUCCCCAAGUUGCGGAUUGUGGAUCUGUCCAACAAUCAAUUCACUGGUCAUUUGCCAAUUCAAUACUUUAAGAAUAUGAAAUCAACUGAUAAUUUGUAUCGUUAUCAGAAUUCCAAAGGAUAUCUAUCUUUCCAUCAUGAUGCAGCAGUCUCCUUAACUGUGAAGGGAACGGAGUAUGAGGUAGCAAAGAACCUUCAUAUUUACACAGCCAUUGAUCUGUCGUGCAACAAAUUUCAGGGACAAAUUCCAAACGUCACUGGAGAGCUUAGAUGGCUUGCAUUGCUCAAUUUAUCGCAUAAUAGUCUAACAGGACCUAUCCCAUCAUUGCUGAGAAAUAUGAAAGAACUCCAAUCUUUAGAUUUGUCUUCAAAUCAACUGACAGGGGCUAUUCCACCUCAGCUAACUGCAUUGACAUUUCUAGAGGUCUUGAACCUCUCGAAAAACCAUCUUAGUGGAGAGAUUCCUCAGAAAGGACAGUUCAGCACAUUUAACAAUGAUUCUUAUCUAGGAAACUCCGCGUUAUGUGGAUCACCUUUGACGAAGAAAUGUGCAAACACAGCAUCACCUCCACAAGAAGUUGUAAAUGGUGAUGAAGAUGAUGCUGGUGAUGAAAUGACAUGGGAAGCAAUCGUGAUGGGAUAUGGAUGUGGACUGAUAUGUGGAUUGUCAUCUGCGUACAUUGUUCUCAAACUAGGAAAGCCUUGGUGGUUUGUGAGAUAUAUCGAAGUACUGCAACUGAAGUUGAUGAAAAGAUAUGCAUGAAGAAUGGUACUGGCCGAUCAAGACGAACUUGAAAGUUGUUGUCCUUGUGGACAUUUCUGAACCAGUAGUGUACUAGCUACAUAAGUAUUUAGUAUUAUGUAAUAAUCCGUUUGGUCGGGACUCAUAAUGAUUUCUCUUGCUUCAGGGGUAUUAAUAUUAAACUUGCUAUCUUGAUGAAUGUUAAUGUAAAUUAAAAAGAAUAUAAAAUCAAAAAAUUUAAAUCAAACACCUGUUGUACCAAGAUCCAUUAAUUUGCUUUAGUCUCUUACAUAACAAUUUAAUAGCACACUUCCACACUGUUCACACGUGUAAUGUAUAAAAAUUCCAGUCUUCUUCGGAGGCCUACAGCUUCAACAACCUCUCAAAGAUGUAGCAGUUGCUUGACAGUGAUAGAUAUAUAUUAGAUAAACACUAUGCAAUAACCAAAGUGACAGAAAAAUCAAAGUCCGCUAAUAAAUUCAUAAAAAAUAUAAUAAUCAACAACAAGAAUCAUAGUCUUACAAGUUCAUAUAAAAUAUAGGAUCAUUAGUAUUCCACAUGUAUAUUUUCUUCUCUUUCUUUUCGAGUUUUCCUCUCCAGCACCAAAUCCAAAUUAAUAUACAAUGCCACACAUUCCAGUCUCAGCUUCAGCUCCCAGGCUAGCAUUGAUUUAGCCAAGCACGACAGUGGCCGCUCUUGGUCCUGCCUUCAAAUGUCUAACAAUAACAGUUGGAUACGUCGACAAAAAUAUUGUUCCUCAUCAUACUGAGGAGUUAUUGAAUUCGACAGUUUUACACAAAGAAGACAAUUCCAUGGACUAAUCUAUUAGUAACACGUAAGCUAUAAACACGUAGUCCACAUCUAUGCUACGAACAAUUCAUAUUGGUCUUCUAUCUGUGCAACAGUCUCCCGAAGAUAGGCCAAAAAUGUCAUCUGUGGUUCUUAUCUUUGUUAGCAAAGGAGAAUCUCCGAUGCCUAUACAACCUGAUUUUCUUACAGAAAGAAAUGCAAGUGAAACUAGGGUCGGAUACCAUGUUAAAUGAUCAAUUCUCCUAAAACUAGGUUCAGGAUGAUCAUGAUAUAUUCUAACAUCAAGAUUAGCAGGACUAAAAUGAAGAUUUAAAUGGAUUUUAAAAACAAGCUCCUACUGAAUAAAAAGAAUCAUUAAUUUUUCUGACUCAACAUAUGUUAGCCUCCCCUGGCCCUGGGUGAAACCAUAAGCUUCUCUGGUGCACAUCCAAAUCAUUCAGCUGGUUCUACUUUCAGCUCAGCACAGGAACAUCAUUCUGCAGGUACUCUUGUAUCUGUAGUUUCUUAUUAAUUUAUUAACAAAAUUUAGCUAUUAAAUAUUUUGAUAAAAUAUCUAUUUAUUAAAAUAUUUUUUUAUUUAAUUGGUCUGAUAAAAAUAUUAUUGAUAUAUAAAUUUUACCUUUUUUCUGAAACAAAUUAUAAUUUUUGCUUCAAGCUUUUGUAUGAUAAGUUGAGAAAUAUUAGUUUUCUUUAUCACCGUGAGAGUAGAUCCUCGUUCCACAAAAAUUUGUAACUGAAAAAUAAAAUAGAGCCCUAAAACUUUUCGAUAAAUAUGGACUAAACAAUUUUGAUGCUCAAGUCUCAAUAGGAUUUAUAAACGGUCAUGAUGAGUUUGAUUAUCAAUGACACCAAAAAAAUAUUAGAAUUAUAUUUAAGUUAUAAAUUUGUCAAUAAAUUGUGUGAUAAUCAUACUUUCCAAGUCUUCUUCAGAGGCCUCCUGCCUCAACAACCUUUCAAAGAUGUAGUAGUUGUUGCUCGAGAGGGACAAAUAUAUUAGGUAAAGACUAUGCAAUAAUCAACGUGACAGAAAAACCAAAGUCCUCUAAUAAAUUAAUAAAAAAUAUUAUAAUCAAUAUCAAGAAUCAUAUUAUCAUAGUCUUCUAAGUUCAUAUAAAAUAUAGAAUCAUUAGUAUAUAAAUAGAAGAGUGCAGAGUAAAGCCUUUCAUAAUCCAGUUGAGGAGAAAUAUGGCAUACUUUGUAAAGCCUUAUCACCUUCUUCUCUUUGUUUUCUUUCUCUCAUCACUUGAAUCCAUUCUUGCAACAACACGAGAAGGAGAAGCUCUUGUGAAAUGGAAGAAUAGCCUAGCCCCUUCUUCUUUUCUUGAUUCUUGGUCACUCACUCAUCUCGAUAAUCUUUGUAACUGGACUGGCAUUACUUGUAACUCUGCAGGUUCAGUCUCUGACAUUAACCUUUUCAACAAACAACUCACUGGAAAGCUUUUUGAGUUUGGUUUCACUUCAUUUCCAAAUCUCAACAAUCUCACCCUUGCAGAUAACUUCUUCUCUGGUCCAAUACCAUCAGCCAUUGGGAAUUUAACACAACUUCGGUAUCUUGAUUUGAGCAAUAAUUAUCUCAAUGGUUCCAUUCCGUACCAGGUUAGCCAUCUUUCAAGAUUACACAUCUUAAACCUGUCAGAGAAUGAACUGCAAGCUCCAAAUUGGUCCGAUUUCUCCCCCAUGCCUUGUUUGACCAUCCUCGACCUUUAUCAAAAUAAUCUUAUGUCGGAAUUUCCAGAAUUUAUAUCUAACUCGCGUAACCUGACAUACCUUGACCUUUCAUAUAACAAGUUCACAGGCGAUCUUGUGCGCGAAUCAGUAUUAACCAAUCUAGGUGAUCUUGAAACCCUCUAUCUUAAUGAAAAUUCUUUUAGGGGGCCAUUUCCACCAGACAUAUUCAAACUUUCCAAGUUGAGAGUUCUUGCCCUGUUCAAUAAUUUUUUUGAGGGGCCGCUUCCGUCAAAUAUAUUCAAGCUCUCUAAACUAAGAUUCCUUUUACUUUGGAGUAAUAAUUUUUCAGGUACUCUUUCGAAUGAAAUAGGUUUGCUUUCUGAGCUUGAAGACCUAGAUCUUCACUCCAAUUUUUUUGUGGGGCCGCUUCCGCCAAAUAUAUUCAAGCUGUCUAAACUAAGAACCCUUUUCCUCUGGGGUAAUAACUUCUCAGGUUCUAUUUCCAACGACAUAGGUUUGCUUUCUGAGCUUGAACACCUAUAUCUCGACUCCAAUUCUUUUGAGGGACCUUUUCCAACAAAUAUUUUCAAGCUUUCCAAAUUAAUACAACUUGGUCUCGCAAACAAUACAAAUUUAUUUGAAGGAAGUAUUCCUCCAGGACUGGGGCUCUUGACUAACCUAGAGGACUUGUCUCUUGCUUACAAUAAUCUUGGUGGCUAUAUUCCGUCUUCCUUUGGAAACCUAACACUACUAGUAUAUCUUAAUCUCGCUCGUAAUCAAUUGGUUGGAACACUAUCAAAGACCAUUUCUAAUCUCACAAAUCUGUGGUUUCUUGAUGUACAUCAUAAUAGUCUCUCUGGGAAUAUUCAGAGUGACUUCUGGAAAAACUCUACAUCACUGCUUUACAUUAAUUUGGCAGACAAUAAUUUUUCUGGGAACAUUCCUAAGGAAUAUAAUGUUCUUCCAAUCCUGGAUCACAUCAAUUUUAGGGGGAACAACUUUACAGGUAUUUUUAAUUCCAUAUUUUUUCCUUCUGUUGUAUUUAAUUAUGCUAACAACUACUGCCUCUGUUUUCAAAUACAUAUCGUUUGACUUUUUGGCACAAAACUCUAUAAUAAUUCUAACUAUAAGGUCAAUGAACUUAGAAAUAUAUGUCAAAAAGUCAAACGUCAUAUAUUUGAAAUUAGAGGGAGUAUGGCUUAAUGACCUUUUAGCCCUUAAAGUUUGGGUAGAAGUUCCGAUGCGGCGUCGAAGUUUAAAAACGUACCUUUCGACCCUCAAAGUAUCUUUGUCGUACCUUUUAACCCUUAUGGCGUAUACCGGUAUAUAACGGGUGGGCAAAGUUGACAUUUCACACGUGAGGGUUAAAUGGGGCAUUAAACAUUAAGGGUUAAAAGGAACAUUUAAUAUAUUUUAAUGUAUUAUUUAGGGAUUAAAAGGAACGAGAUGUAUACUUUAAGGGUUAAAAGGUACGCCCAAACUUCACCCCGAAUAUGAAUUGUCAAGUUUAUCCCCCGAUUUGUAUCGGUAUUUUUAAAAAGGGCUAAAAAGUACGACAAAGAUACUUUGAGGGUCGAAAUGUACGUUUUUAAACUUUGAGGCCGCAUCGGAACUUCCACCCAUUCUUCGAGGGCUAAAAGGUCAUUAAGCCGAGUAUAUAUUACAGUUUUACCAAAGUUUCAACAAUCAUGACAGGUGAGCUUCCACCAACAAUUUGCGAUGCAACUUCCCUUUCGAUUCUUGAUCUGUCAAAUAAUGGAUUAAGUGGUGCACUUCCACAUUGUUUGGGGAAUCUUGCUGAUAAAUUGAUUUCGAUUAAUCUUGCUAAUAAUCAGUUUCGAGGACCAAUACCAACAAAUUUCUCCAAGAGUUGUCGUCUGACGUAUCUUAACAUCUAUAACAAUCACUUUAAAGGAUUGGUUCCCCAGUCUUUGGCAAACUGUAAGCACUUGCAAAUUCUUGAUUUUGGAAAAAAUGAAAUAGGUGGAACAUUUCCGUCAUGGCUUUUUACUCUUGGAGAGCUAGAAGUCCUGGUCCUGCGAUCAAACAGAUUUUUCGGGAGAAUAACUAGAAGGAGCAUACCACACCCCUUUCCCAAGUUGCGGAUUUUGGAUCUAUCCAACAAUCAGUUCACCGGCUAUCUGCCAAUUUCAUACUUCAAGAAUAUGAAACCAAAUGAUAAUAAUUAUGAUUAUUUCAACAACACAAACGAAGCCUAUUACGUUUAUCAAGUUUCUAUCACAUUAAAUGUGAAAGGAAGCGAGCAUGAAGUGACAAAUAUUCUUUAUAUUUACACGGCCAUUGAUCUGUCGUGCAACAAAUUUGAAGGAAAAGUUCCAGACAUUACCGGAGAGCUUAGAUGGCUUGCAUUGCUAAAUUUAUCUCAUAAUAGUCUUUCGGGGCCUAUUCCAUCACAACUGGGAAAUAUGAAAGAGCUCCAGUCUCUAGAUUUGUCGUCAAAUCAAUUGACAGGUGUUAUUCCGGAUCAACUUACUAGUAUGACAUUUCUUGCUAGUUUGAACCUGUCAGAAAACCAUCUUUCUGGGAAAAUCCCUCGGAAAGGACAGUUCAGCACUUUUGGCGAAGAAUCUUACUUAGGUAACUCGGCCUUGUGUGGAGUUCCUUUGACAAAGAAAUGUAUAGACGAAGUGCCCCCUUCACAAGUUGGAAAUGGCGAUGAUGAAAAUGUUGAUGAAGAUGAUACCGUUGAUGAAUUCAAUUGGAAAGUGAUCCUGAUGGGAUAUGCAUGUGGAUCAAUAGGCGGAUUGUCUGCAGGAUACAUUGUCUUCACAGUUGGAAAGCCUUGGUGGUUUUUGAGGUACAUUGAGACACUGCAGCAGAAGUUGAUGUGAUGCGCAACUAGAAACAACCUUAUCUUAGAAUGAAUCUGAUCAAUGUUAGCAUAUACUGAACUUUUUUUUUUGUAAAUAUGAUUUCAAGUUCUCAUACUAAUACAAGAACCACUUGUUAAAUCUUGACCAUGCUAAGAGGAUGCUGAAUGCUGAUUUAACACUUUGCGAUGCAAAGCAGGGGCGCAUUAGUAUUUUAUAUGUGUUGAUAAUUUGCGCAAUGUUAACAGGGAUAGGUCUUCUUCUCUGCCAGAUCUUCGACAGACUCUUUCAAGGUCUUCUGAGGACCCAUCGGCUCGAAUUAGUCCAUCGUGAAUUAUGAUCUGAGAGCUAUCUGCACACUAUUUCCAGGUCUUCUGUCUCGUUAACUAUGAAAGGAAGAAAUCAUGAAGUGAAUAAAAUUCUUCAUAUUUACACAAUUGAUCUAUCAUGCAACAAAUUUUGAGGAGAAAUUUCAGAGGUUUCCGAAGAGCUUAAAUGGCUUGCAUUGCUCAAUCUAUCUCAUAAUGAUCUUACUAGACAUCUCCCCGUUGCUCGCCAUUAGAAAACAGGGAUUAUUCACUCGUCCGCCGCACCGCGAACUCAUUCUUAGGUGCUCGGAGGUUUUUGAGGAUUCUUGUUGAUUAUUAAUUUUGUGAUUUUGUUGAAUACUCUAUCACUUAAUAAUGUAAUAAUUGUGUUAUUAAAUAAUUAUAUUUUAAAUUGUUAAGGAUAUUGAACUAUUUGUUUGAUUAUUUGGUUUAAAUAUAAAUGUAACUCUUGAAAUACAUUUAUUAUAUAUAUAUUUAACAUGUUAAUAUUUACUGAAUCCCUCGCAUCCGAAUCCCGAUAUUUUUAAAUUUACGGAUUCUCGUAUUCAUGUACCGUGCACUACCAUACCUUCAACCACACUCAUACUUUCUAGCUGCUCGGAAAUAUGAAUCAAUCUUUAGAUUUGUCUUCAAAUCGAUUGACGGAGGCUAUUCCACACCAGUUAGGCAGUUAACUAGAUUGACAUUUCUAGAGGUCUUGAACUUCUCAGAGAAUAAUCUUACCGGGAAAAUACCGCAAAAAGGAAAAAUCAGCACUUUCGAGAAUAUAUGAGUCAGUGUGGUUCACCUGUCUAGACCAAAAAUGUCAUCUGAGAUUCUUAUGUUUUUUAGCUAUAUAUGAGUGGAAGAAAAUUGUCGAGUCGAGGUUAAUCGAAUAAGGCGAGCCGGCUCAUUUUAAUUUAAUUGAGACAAAACUUCUACGGAGUUCGACUCCUUUAAUUAAACGGCUAUGAAAUCUCAUUAAAGUCAGCCUUGUAUAUAAACUCAAGCCAGGUCGAGUUUUAUUGAACAAAUUUCAGCUCAAACCAGUCGCGAGCAGCCCAGCUCAAGUUCGAGGCCUGCUCAUCUGUCUUCGAGUCUUGGACGAGAUUUGAAUCAUCAACUCCUUCCAAAAAGAGUAUUACACUGACAAAAAUGCAGUAACAUGUUUAAUUUAAAAGUAUAUCAUCUGUUCCCGCAGUUUAAUUUUACCCAUAUUUUUGAGAUUCAUAUAAAUUAUAAUUCCAUAAUAUUUUUUCAAUCAUAUUGGUUUUGAAUAAAAAUAUAAAUAUCAAACUUUUAUUUUUAAAAAAAUUAUAAAAUUAUAUUUUAUAAGAGUCUCAAAUACGUGGGAAAGUGGGAGUAUUAAUUUCGCCCACUAAGUCACUGACAGGUUUGUUAAUUUGUUUCCAUUUGAAGGUGUACACUGCAUAUUUUCACCAGGGAUGGCAACAAGUCGAAUCAGUUCAGAUAUAUCAGAUAUCUCAAUCCAAAUCCAAAUUAUUUUUAAAAUCCAAAUCCAAUCGAGUUUCACAUAUCAAAUUCAAAUCCAAAUUCACGGGUUUCAGAUCGGGUUCAGGUUUGUUUGGGUUUAUCCAAAACCCGAAUCCAGAAAUGUAAGUAGUAUUGUAAAAAUAUUAUUUUUUAUUUUUUCACCCUUGAAUUUCAUUAUAUUUAAAACUAAACUACACACAUUCACACUUUAUCUAUCCAUAUUAUAAACACAAUUUAGUAUAUUUAAAAUUGAAAAAAAGUAUAUUAGUAUACUACAUACAUAUAUUUGGAUAUUUGGAAAUUUUUUCGGGUUUUGUGUUUGGAUCGAAUUUAGAUUUCGGGUCCGGUUUUGAUACGGAAUACUUAAUAUCUAAAUCCAAAUUCAAACUGGUUCGGGUCUAAAAAUUAAAUUCAAAUCCAAAUCCAAAAUAUCAUGUUCGUUAAAAUUCAUUCGGGUCGAGGUUGAGUAUCCAUUCGGAUCAGAUUUUUCUCUAACCAAUAAAUUUUGUAAAUGGUCUGCACAAACGCAGUUACCGGCCCAUUUCCGUAUGAAGCCCAUGAACAAUUAUUUGUUCUGUAUAUUUUUCAAUCAAACCAAACCCAAACGCUAACAGCAGAAUUAAUUAAAUUCCUUUCACAUGUGAUUUUGUAAUGGGCCUACAUUACAAAAAUACUGUAGGACUAUCCCACUAUCCCUGACCCUACAUGUUUUCUCAAUAAUUUUGAUAAAUAUAUUAAACAGAUAUUGAACUGUUACAAAAAUAUAACGUCUGUUUUUCAAAUAAGUAACGUACGGUUUCCGAGAGAUAAAGUUUGACUUAUAUUGACAAGAUAACGCUUGAAUUUAAUAUCUUUUUAAAAAAAACUAAUAUAAAAUCUAAAUUAAAUCUUCUUCUUAAAUGAGAAUCCAGAAAAAUCUCAAAAAUUCACAACUACAUCAAUAAAAUAUAAUAUCCAACAUUAAAUAAAAAUCUUUCAAUAUCCAUUUUUUGUGUAAUUUUCAACCAAUCUGCUCUAAUUAUUUCGUCACCUUUUAAAAUUUAAAAUUUUUAAAUACUCAAAACAAUUACCCUAACCGCCAACCACCUUAGAAUUAUAAAAUCUUAAAAUUAAAUGCUAAUAAGAUUAUCAGUGUUACUCACCUAAACCAAAACGGUUACAAAAUCUAACGGCAAUAUUAUAAACUUUUAAAAAUUAAAUUUUUAAUUAAUUUGGCAAGUGGUAUUCAUAUAGAACAAAACAGUUACAAAAUCAAACUGCAAAUUAUAAAAUCUUGAAAUUAUAUUUAAUACUGUAAGAUUUAGCAUGUGGGUCCCACACAAUCAGAAAAUAAUAUGAACACGAAAUCUUGCUCUAUUAAAUACACACACCUGUACAUACAUAUAUAAACACCCACCGCCUCUUCAACUUUCCAACAUCAAAACCCUCGUAAUUCAAUUGGGUUUCUGCUGUUAUUCUCCCCUCUCUCCUCUCUCUCGCCGAGAUUUUUAUAUGCAUACAUGCGUGGGUAUAUGUAUAUGUACACCCCCUUGGCAAAAACACAGACUAAACACUAAAAGAACCCACAGAAUCAUACCCAUGUUAUGGAUAUUAUCUGGGGUUUGUUGAAAUUGUUGUAGAAGGCCUAAAGAUUUGAUUUUGGAGUAGCCCAUUUGGUUCUUGAUUGAAUUUGGUUGUGUUUUGAGUGUGAAAAGGCAAGAUUUUAUGAUUCUUGAUGGAUGAAAGUGCUAUGUUUGGCUUGAAUGGAGAUAAUGANACAAAAUCUUGAAACGCUGUUUCUUGAUGGUAAUUCUUUUGAGGGGACGUUUCCACCGAAUAUAUUCAGGCUUUCUAAAUUAAAACACCUUUCCCUAUCUGCUAAUAAGUUUUCAGGUUCUGUGCCGGAUGACAAGUUGGUGUCGAAAGUGAGAAUGUUGCGGUAGGGGGUGAUUCGGAUGAGCUUGUUGUUGUUGGGGAGACAGGGCAGGUAUAAUGCUGCAUUUGUUGUUUUUGUCGAUAUUAUGUGUUGCUUUUGUGUUUUUUGUUAUGUUUUCAUAUGUUUAGUCCGUUAUUUUUUGGAGAAUUAAGUAGUCUGAUGAAUGUUGAUUAAUCCAAUAUAUAAGCUGGGCGUUUUUGUUUAAUGUGCUUAUUAUGAUUAUAUUAUUUUGUUUGAUAAUUGAAUUGUGUUUAGAUUGUUAAUCCAAAGCCAAGGUCAAAAGACGUAAGGUAACAUUGAUGUUAAUUGAUAAAACUAACCUCAGAAAGUAGAUUGUUUGAGGCAAUAGAGAGUGUGAGCCUCUAUCAUGACAAUUUAAGAAGUUUAUAGUUGAGUCGUUGACUGCAUUACUAUCAAAUGCAUAGGGGUAUGGAAAUGAAAACGGUUAAUAACAUAUGGGCAUUUAACCUAAUAAUUUGACAACUCGACACUCGGACUUGUAUAUGUAAGUUGUAGUAGAUGCAUACGGUGUUUUAGUAGUUUAUUUGUGUACAAAUUAUUUCAUUGGGUAUUAUUUGAAGUGAAUAGUAUAUUGGAUUCAUGCAUGUUCAGACUUUAAUAUCAACAUCUUUCAGAUUUUUCUGGAUAAUGGUUAAUAAAUUCUUUGUUUAAUAAUGACCGCUUCACUUAAUGUCAUUUCUCUUCUUUCUUUUUUUAAUUAUCGGAGUGGAUAUUUAUUUAAUUUUUUCUGAUUUAUGUUGCAACUUCCAAUAUAAUUUGUUUGGGUGCUAUACUUUGAUGGAUUAUAGGUCGCAUGUCGAGACUAUCCUCACCCACGAGAUCUUUGUGCUAAACUUCCCUUUACAUCUACUCCUCAUGAANUGCUAAACCAGGUAAUAAUAUUUUUUCUCAGAAUUAAUUAUUACACCUCUUUUCAGUGCCGAACGUUCUGCGUAUCUUAUUUGACCAUUGUCUGUUGCAGUGUCACUGUUAUGUUUGUGAUGCACCGGCUCCAUGUCUCAAAUGGGGAACUGGCAUAUCUGUCAGUGACCAUUGUCAUGCCACUGGGAAGGUGGAAUUCUGGAAUCAACAAAGCCUAAAUUUUUUGAAAAGGCUUUAAAAAAUUUGGAAUUUUUUAAAAAAAUGAAAAAUGUAAAAAUUAAAAAAAUCUAAAAAUAUCUGGAAAUUCAAAAAAUAUACCUAAAUUUUUGAAAUUAAAAAAUUUUAGAAUUUUUCCAAAUUUUCAGAUUUUUUCAAAGUUUUAAAUUUAUUUUCAAAAUUUUUAGAUUUUUUCGAUGUUUUUUCAUAUUUUUUAAAGUAUUUUAAAAAAAUUCAACUUUAUUAAAAAAUCGAUAUUUAUAUUUUUCUCAAAGUUUUUUUUAUUUUUUUUAAAGGAUUCUGUUAAAGGCAGCUGAUAUUUAACGUCGCAGUGACCUAUUUGCAAACUUUUAUUAGUUCAGUGAGUUGACUGCAACUUAAAUCGAGUUCUGUGAUCCGUUUGCAAACUUUUUAAGUUCAGUGACUUAACUGCAAGUUGGCCAUGAGUUCAAUGAUCUUUUCGCCUAUUAACCCGGACUAAAUCUACUAAAAUGAUAAUUAUGGACUCACAAUGUAUAUUUUUAAUUUAUAUGUUUAGUUAAAAAUUGGUUAAUUUGACUUUCGAAAAUCAAAAUGAACAUGUAAAAGGAGAUCGUGGUAAUAAGCCCCUCAACGUGUGUAAAUGUUAAGUAAAAGGGAUAUGUUUAUUUUUAUUUUAAAAAAGAAUUAAAAAUAUUAUUUUACAAAUUAAAUUAUAAAAUACUCUCUAUAUUCCAAAUUAGUGAGUUCGUUAAUUUUAGGCACACUAAUUUAGAUGAUUUAACUGCAUAGCUAUAUAAUUUAUUUUUAAUAUUUUUAAAAAACAAUUAAAAAUAAUUUCACGAAUAACAGAUGAUCAUUAUCUUUUAAAUCACAUGCUGAAAAUCGGAUGUUGCCCUUAUCAUUAUCACAUUUUUAAGUAGUAAUGUCUCGAAAAUUAAAUAUUAGAUCCAAUAUGAUUUCAAAUAUCACUUUAUAAUAUUCUUUUUUGUCAUAAUAUCACUUAAUAAUGUUAAAUGAGUGACGUUUAUAUUUUUUUUAAAGUGUUACACAAUGAGAAACUCUAAAAAAUAUAACGGUAGAUAAUGUAGUAUCAUAUCAAAACAUUACUUUAUCUAACCAGAACAUAAUAUUCCAAGGACAAUUUAACUUUUUUUAUAAUAUUCAGAACCUUCUUUUUUUUUUUUGAAUAAAAGACAAAUUUCAUUAAUACGAAAUGUCAUACAGAAAAAUCUCCAACAAUACAUCUCGAGGAGACAUAAACACUUUUUGACAAUUUAAAGAACAGGAUAAUUUAGCUACUAGAUGAGCUACUCCAUUCGCUUGUCGUUUAACAAAUGAAACUGAAUAACAUGGCUUCGAAUUUAAAAUAAGCUUGCAGGCAUUCAAGAUGUGACCAACUUCUAAAAGAUUUUCCUGAGAGUCAUGCAAGGCUUUAAUGGCCAGGAGAGAGUCUGAUUCAAUUUCCACCACCUCAUGAUUUAAUGAGCACAACCACGGGAGACCUUCAAAAGAGAAAAGGCCCCCAGUAACCUUUUUUUAGUGUCAAAUGCCCUAGUUGUCAUUAUAAUAAAAAAUGGCCCUCAUUAUCACUCUAUAACACUACUUAAACUCACGUUCUGUUUUUCCAUCAUAAACGGCACACGCAACAGUGUUUCCAGGUUUAAUACUUUUUAAAAAAAGUCUAACGUAACAUGAAGUUACGUUCACUGAUCUGAGUUUUUUUUUCAUAUUACUCACAUCUUGCUUAUUUCCAUAUAGAAAGAAAUUCACUCACUAGUCAACGUUAUAACAAAUUAUAAUAAUAUUUAACCAGUGCACCCCAAAGGGUAGCGGCUGCGGUUUCCUACGUUAAAAAGAAUAUUUAAGCGUUCAUACAUGGGGUUUAGAAAAAUUUGUUUAUAAUUGUAAAUUAAUUUUCUGAACGUUAGGGUUUAGGAUUGAGGGUGUAGGGCCGGUAGGCCCUACUCCCUCGAGCCUAAAACCUAAUUAAUGCGAGGCUGAAGGGCCGAAGGCCCUGAAGCCGAGAAAUCGGCAGAAUAAAUAAAUUUACAAUCGUUAACAUUUAGGGUUUAGAUUUGGGUUGCAGAAUGAUUAAUUCAUACUGUAAAUUAAUUGGCCGAACGUUAGGGUUUAGGAUUGAGGGUGUAGGGCCGGUAGGCCCUACUCCCUCGAGCCUAAACCCUAAUUAAUGCGAGGCUGAAGGGCCGAAGGCGAGAAACCGGCGGAAUAAAAAAAUUUACAAUCGUUAACAUUUAGGGUUUAGGUUUGGGUUGCCAUAAUGAUUAAUUCGUACUGUAAAUUAAUUGGCUAAACGCUAGGUUUUAGGAUUGAGGGUGUAGGGCCGGUAGACCCUCCUCCCUCGAGCCUAAACCCUAAUUAAUGCGAGGCUGAAGGGCCGAAGGCGAGAAACCGGCGGAAUAAAUAAAUUUACAAUCGUUAACAUUUAGGUUUAGGUUUGGGUUGCCAUAAUGAUUAAUUCGUACUGUAAAUUAAUUGGCCAAACGCUAGGUUUUAGGAUUGAGGGUGUAGGGCCGGUAGACCCUACUCCCUCGAGCCUAAACCAUAAUUAAUGCGAGGCUGAAGGACCUUCAAGCCCUAAACGCUCGAGCCUAAACCCUAAUUAACUCGAGGCUCUAGGGCCGUGAGACCCUAAAGCCGAGGAACCGGAAUUAAAAUAUAAAACAAAAUUUUAAAUGGCGUUUAAAGUGGCGACAGAAUUGUAAGUUGGGUGUUAAGCUAGCAAACGACAUUAAGUUACGUUUUAGAUUUUUAGGUUAUUAAAAAAUAAAAAAAAAAAUCAAGAACGUCACAUGAAGGCACGUUUUACUUCUGAUAUCAAGAACGUCACAUGAAGGCACGUUUUACUUCUGAUAAACACACCAGCACGUGACUAAAGUCUCGUUUUCAUAUAUAACAGCAAUUGAAGUGACGUUUUGCUUUUUUUAGUUUAAAAUAAUAACCCCAUAACGUGACCAGGAGUCACGUUUUAGUAUAAAUCCUAAACGCUGCUUCAGAACAUGUUUUGGAGUGACACCCGGGGCCAUUUUACGGGAUUGUGACUUUAAGGUCCAUAUUGUUACUGAUGGUGACUCACAGGGCCAACACCCCCUUCAAAAAUAGCGCUUGCUUCGGCUUCAAGGACAGUAGCCACCAUGGCUUUACAUAUUGUUUUACCCAUCACAAAAACUCCCUCGCUGUCACGCAGAACCAAACCCAACGAGACCGAGGCCUCACCGAAACGCACACCUGCAUCAACAUUUAGUUUGAGAACUCCAUCCGUCAGCUUUUUCCACUUCACUCGAGAAGAAGAUGCGGAACUAGAAGUACUACCAACCUGAACAACACGCUUAGCUUUAGCCUCCUUCCAGUCAGAAAUAAUCUUAGCGCUCCAAUCCAUAGCUAUAGCAGCUGUAACAACCUUGUGAUCCCAAACCUUCUUGUUUCGAAAAAACCAAAUUCCCCAAAGAACUCGAGCAAUAUUAAAAGUUUCAUGAUCAGGACCUGAUUCAAACCUAGCAAGUAACCAAGAGGGGGCAAACUCCACCAGAGACAAAUCAAAGACCAUACCUGAGUAUUGCCAACAUAACAUUGCAAACUGGCAGGUGAAAAAUAUGUGAAUAAGGUCUUCGUCACCAGAGUUACACAUGGGACAGUCAAGAGAAAGAUUUACUCCCUUAGAUUGUAAUCGACUUUUCACAGGCACAUUAUUCCUGCAAAAACGCCAUAAAAACACUUUGAUCUUAAGAGGAACCUCCAACUGCCAGAGUUUCUUCCACCCACUAGAUUGUGUAACAGUGCCAGUGCCAAUAUUUUGGGCAUGUCAAAACUGGUAACCUGUUUUCACAGAAUUUUGGCUGUUAGUAGUCUUUGACCAAGCUAGACGAUCCACGGUCGACCUACAGGGAACAUAAGUUUUUAAAAAUUAUGUAAUUCAUUCAAUUCCGUAUCAGACAAUACAUCUUAUCAUCGGUGAUAAUGAAAAUAGUGUAGAUGUUUGACCUAGUCCCUGUUUGACAACCAAUAUAAUAAGAAAUAAAUUCUUAUUUUUCUAAAAAAUAUAUUUUUGUAUAUAAAUGUUAAAGAGAUAUUUCUUAUUUGUUGUUUGAAAAAAGUAAAGACUUAUUUCAGAAUAAAAAAAAAUUAUUGUACAUUCUCUUUAUUUCUGAAAAUAAGUUUGGUCAAAUCAUCCAUAAUUCACGUAAUUCAAAAGCCCAUUAAUUUUUUUUUUCUUGCUAAUUGAUCAGCACACGCACACGUUUCCAACUUCCCGCAAAGGGUACAGGAGUACCACCGGAGUACCAUCACACCGACGCUUUGUUGGGCCCAAUAAUUGGCUGAAGUUGAACGGGGCUUUCUGCCUCCGCUGGACCCCAGUUGGGAGGACUCUUUCCAAGUCUUUCGGAGCCUCUUUCCCAUUGACUCCAACUUUCCAGGGUGUAUACAAAUUUUUUGAAAGAGGGUGUAUACAAAUUAUUCACGGCCAUCAAAUCAACCAGCGUAGCUGGUGAACAAAUAUUAUUGUUUAUUAUAAUUUUAUUUAAUUUAAAUGUGAUUAUAAGAACAUAAGAGGACGUUUGAAAGUGUGGGUCUUAUUUCAAACAGUAGAUUUAAAAAAAUAUGAUUUCAAUUGUUAUUUAAAAUUCUUAAAUUUAUAUUAUAUUAAAAUGUUCUUAUUCUAAUUAAUGAGUCACUAUUCGUAUUCUCAAGCAUGUUAGUUUGUUAAAAUUUAAAAUUUCAAAUGAAAUUAGGCUAAAAGACCAUAAUAUCAAAGCAAAAUCUCAUUAUCCAAUAUAUUGGUGGGCAAAAAUAUUAAACCUGGCUAUUCAUUAAUAUUGGUUCUUUAUUCAAAUUAUGUCAAAUUUAUAUAAAAUUUCGAAAAUUAUUUAUGAAUAAGAGUCGGCAUUCAUAUAUUUAUUAAGGAUACAAGUGAGAAAAUGUUAUUAAAUUAAUAUUUUUUUAAUAUACGUAAGUUUUUUAAAAUAAAUUUGUAGCGUGGGACGGGAGUAUUAGACUGAUUCUGGCUUGGAGUGAAUCAGCCCAUAAAGUUUACAGGGUAGAUGACCAUUCUUAAAUCUUAAAGAAUCUUACGGUGACAGCUAACUGAACGACUCGGUUUCAGAAGUGCUGAAAAGUUUCGACGUAAACUACAAUUUGCCUAGCAUGUAAUUUCCAUGCAUUUUCUCGUUACUAGUGACAGAUAACUUUUUUGAUAUUUAUAUAUUUUUAAUUAUAAUAAAGAUACUAGUGAUUAUGGUUAGCUUUUGGAGUACUUUCGGAGUACUUGGAAAUUUUCUUUUCGAGAAAGACGAGAGUACCUAUUUCAAUUUUUUACCAAAAAUUAUAAUUGAAAACAACGGACUUUUAUACUUAUCAUAACAAUUUUUAACAUCUUGUUUAGAAAUAACCUGUUGUUGUAUUAUGCAAAAGUAAUAUCACUAGUUUCUAUAUUCGUAUUCUAAUGAUAAUAAAAACAUCUCUAAUUCAUUAAAACUCUUACAUAGAAAAUGAUAAAAAAAAAAAAGAAGAUAUAAAAUAAUUUAUUAAAAAUAUAUCAAAGNGAAGAUAUAAAAUAAUUUAUUAAAAAUAUAUCAAAGUUUUUGCACUCGGUUAUAAUUAUUGUGUAAUUUCUUUUUUCAAUUCCAAGAUAUUGUUAUAAGAAAAUUUUACAUCAUAUAUAUAUUACAAAAAAAAUUAAUGUAUUCUAUAUAUAUAUAUAUAUAUAUAUAUAUAUAUAUAUAUAUAUAUAUAUAUAUAUAUAUAUACAAUAAANNNNNNNNNNNNNNNNNNNNNNNNNNNNNNNNNNNNNNNNNNNNNNNNNNNNNNNNNNNNNNNNNNNNNNNNNNNNNNNNNNNNNNNNNNNNNNNNNNNNNNNNNNNNNNNNNNNNNNNNNNNNNNNNNNNNNNNNNNNNNNNNNNNNNNNNNNNNNNNNNNNNNNNNNNNNNNNNNNNNNNNNNNNNNNNNNNNNNNNNNNNNNNNNNNNNNNNNNNNNNNNNNNNNNNNNNNNNNNNNNNNNNNNNNNNNNNNNNNNNNNNNNNNNNNNNNNNNNNNNNNNNNNNNNNNNNNNNNNNNNNNNNNNNNNNNNNNNNNNNNNNNNNNNNNNNNNNNNNNNNNNNNNNNNNNNNNNNNNNNNNNNNNNNNNNNNNNNNNNNNNNNNNNNNNNNNNNNNNNNNNNNNNNNNNNNNNNNNNNNNNNNNNNNNNNNNNNNNNNNNNNNNNNNNNNNNNNNNNNNNNNNNNNNNNNNNNNNNNNNNNNNNNNNNNNNNNNNNNNNNNNNNNNNNNNNNNNNNNNNNNNNNNNNNNNNNNNNNNNNNNNNNNNNNNNNNNNNNNNNNNNNNNNNNNNNNNNNNNNNNNNNNNNNNNNNNNNNNNNNNNNNNNNNNNNNNNNNNNNNNNNNNNNNNNNNNNNNNNNNNNNNNNNNNNNNNNNNNNNNNNNNNNNNNNNNNNNNNNNNNNNNNNNNNNNNNNNNNNNNNNNNNNNNNNNNNNNNNNNNNNNNNNNNNNNNNNNNNNNNNNNNNNNNNNNNNNNNNNNNNNNNNNNNNNNNNNNNNNNNNNNNNNNNNNNNNNNNNNNNNNNNNNNNNNNNNNNNNNNNNNNNNNNNNNNNNNNNNNNNNNNNNNNNNNNNNNNNNNNNNNNNNNNNNNNNNNNNNNNNNNNNNNNNNNNNNNNNNNNNNNNNNNNNNNNNNNNNNNNNNNNNNNNNNNNNNNNNNNNNNNNNNNNNNNNNNNNNNNNNNNNNNNNNNNNNNNNNNNNNNNNNNNNNNNNNNNNNNNNNNNNNNNNNNNNNNNNNNNNNNNNNNNNNNNNNNNNNNNNNNNNNNNNNNNNNNNNNNNNNNNNNNNNNNNNNNNNNNNNNNNNNNNNNNNNNNNNNNNNNNNNNNNNNNNNNNNNNNNNNNNNNNNNNNNNNNNNNNNNNNNNNNNNNNNNNNNNNNNNNNNNNNNNNNNNNNNNNNNNNNNNNNNNNNNNNNNNNNNNNNNNNNNNNNNNNNNNNNNNNNNNNNNNNNNNNNNNNNNNNNNNNNNNNNNNNNNNNNNNNNNNNNNNNNNNNNNNNNNNNNNNNNNNNNNNNNNNNNNNNNNNNNNNNNNNNNNNNNNNNNNNNNNNNNNNNNNNNNNNNNNNNNNNNNNNNNNNNNNNNNNNNNNNNNNNNNNNNNNNNNNNNNNNNNNNNNNNNNNNNNNNNNNNNNNNNNNNNNNNNNNNNNNNNNNNNNNNNNNNNNNNNNNNNNNNNNNNNNNNNNNNNNNNNNNNNNNNNNNNNNNNNNNNNNNNNNNNNNNNNNNNNNNNNNNNNNNNNNNNNNNNNNNNNNNNNNNNNNNNNNNNNNNNNNNNNNNNNNNNNNNNNNNNNNNNNNNNNNNNNNNNNNNNNNNNNNNNNNNNNNNNNNNNNNNNNNNNNNNNNNNNNNNNNNNNNNNNNNNNNNNNNNNNNNNNNNNNNNNNNNNNNNNNNNNNNNNNNNNNNNNNNNNNNNNNNNNNNNNNNNNNNNNNNNNNNNNNNNNNNNNNNNNNNNNNNNNNNNNNNNNNNNNNNNNNNNNNNNNNNNNNNNNNNNNNNNNNNNNNNNNNNNNNNNNNNNNNNNNNNNNNNNNNNNNNNNNNNNNNNNNNNNNNNNNNNNNNNNNNNNNNNNNNNNNNNNNNNNNNNNNNNNNNNNNNNNNNNNNNNNNNNNNNNNNNNNNNNNNNNNNNNNNNNNNNNNNNNNNNNNNNNNNNNNNNNNNNNNNNNNNNNNNNNNNNNNNNNNNNNNNNNNNNNNNNNNNNNNNNNNNNNNNNNNNNNNNNNNNNNNNNNNNNNNNNNNNNNNNNNNNNNNNNNNNNNNNNNNNNNNNNNNNNNNNNNNNNNNNNNNNNNNNNNNNNNNNNNNNNNNNNNNNNNNNNNNNNNNNNNNNNNNNNNNNNNNNNNNNNNNNNNNNNNNNNNNNNNNNNNNNNNNNNNNNNNNNNNNNNNNNNNNNNNNNNNNNNNNNNNNNNNNNNNNNNNNNNNNNNNNNNNNNNNNNNNNNNNNNNNNNNNNNNNNNNNNNNNNNNNNNNNNNNNNNNNNNNNNNNNNNNNNNNNNNNNNNNNNNNNNNNNNNNNNNNNNNNNNNNNNNNNNNNNNNNNNNNNNNNNNNNNNNNNNNNNNNNNNNNNNNNNNNNNNNNNNNNNNNNNNNNNNNNNNNNNNNNNNNNNNNNNNNNNNNNNNNNNNNNNNNNNNNNNNNNNNNNNNNNNNNNNNNNNNNNNNNNNNNNNNNNNNNNNNNNNNNNNNNNNNNNNNNNNNNNNNNNNNNNNNNNNNNNNNNNNNNNNNNNNNNNNNNNNNNNNNNNNNNNNNNNNNNNNNNNNNNNNNNNNNNNNNNNNNNNNNNNNNNNNNNNNNNNNNNNNNNNNNNNNNNNNNNNNNNNNNNNNNNNNNNNNNNNNNNNNNNNNNNNNNNNNNNNNNNNNNNNNNNNNNNNNNNNNNNNNNNNNNNNNNNNNNNNNNNNNNNNNNNNNNNNNNNNNNNNNNNNNNNNNNNNNNNNNNNNNNNNNNNNNNNNNNNNNNNNNNNNNNNNNNNNNNNNNNNNNNNNNNNNNNNNNNNNNNNAAUCAUCUGACAGGGCCUAUCCCCCAAAAAGGACAGUUCAGCACAUUCAACAAGGAUUCUUACCUAGGUAACUUUGCCUUGUGUGGAUUACCUUUAACUAAUAACUGUACACACACUGUGUCACCACCACAAGAAGGCGGAACUGGUGACAAUGAUGCCUAUGAUGAACCCGAUUGGGAAGUGAUCCUCAUGGGAUAUGGAUGUGGACUAAUAUGCGGAUUGUCCACUGGGUACGUUGUCUUCACAUUCAGAAAGCCUCAGUGGUUUAUGAGAUACACUGAAAGCGUGCAACAGAAGUUGAUGAGAUGAUGCAUGUUGAGUACCGUUCAAUCAUGAAGCACAACUGGAAACAAUGUUAUCUUAGGAAAACAUGUGUUCUGAACCAGUAGUGUUUGCACAAAAUUUGUGGUGCUAUGUAAUACUUAUAUAAUUGUACGUAUGAUUAUUGAUUAGUCGUUGAGAAAAUGCAUUUUAUUUCAGUGUCAAUGAUAAUCUACAUGUUUUGGAUACUUCCAGCUUCUCAUACUAAUAUAGGAACCACUUGAAAAAUUUUGCGAUGCAAAGCAGGGACUCAUGAGUAUUUUCAUAUGUGUAUUAGUUUUGAAGAUAAAAGUUGUAUGGACAAUUGUGUUGAUAAUUUGCGCAAUGAUAACUGGGAUAGGUCAUCUUCUCUCCCAAGUCUUGGAUGGACUCUUUCCAAGUCUUCUGAGAACCCAUCAGCUCAGAUUAGUCCAUACAAUGUCAAGGGUCCUAUGAUAUGGUCUACUAACAGCCCAGUGUCGGUAAUAAAUCCAAUUGCAUAUAACCUAUUCAAAAUCAAUCCCCUAUAAACAAUCAUCUCUAAAAACUAUUCACAUAAAAUAAAAUUUUAAAAAUAUAAAAUAUCUAGUUGUUUUCAAUAUAUAAUUUUCCACAGUAGAUAACAAAAUAUCUUUAUCAAAUUAUAUUAUUUAUGGGUUCAAUAUUUAAGCUAUAAUUCCAAUAACACGGCAAGCAUGCAUGCAGCAUAUAAAUAGAAGUGUGCAGUAUGUAUGGUAUUCAUAACCCAGUUGAGGAGAAACAUGGCACACUUUGUAAAGCCUUCUCACCUUCUUCUCUUUGUUUUCUUUCUCUCAUCACUUGAGUCCAUUCUUGCAACAAGACGAGAGGGAGAGGGAGAAGCUCUUGUGAAAUGGAAGAAUAGCCUAGCCCCUUCUUCUUUUCUCGACUCUUGGUCACUCACCAAUCUCGAUAAUCUUUGUAACUGGACUGGCAUUACUUGUAACUCUGCAGGUUCAGUCACUGAGAUUAACCUUUUCGGAAAAAAACUUGAUGGAAGGCUGUCCGAGUUUGGUUUCACUUCAUUUCCAAAUCUCAACAAUCUCACCCUUGCAGAUAACUUCUUCUUGGGUCCAAUACCACCAGCCAUUGAGAAUUUAACACAGCUUCAGUAUCUUGAUUUAAGCUUUAAUUAUCUCGAUGGUCCCAUUCCGUUCCAGGUUAGCCAUCUUCAAAGGUUGCUUGUCUUAAACGUGUCACAGAAUGCAUUGCAUUCUCCAAAUUGGUCCAAUUUCUCAAACAGAUGAAAUUAUGCAACUGAAAUUGAUGUAGUCUUAAAGAAUUCUCAGGCACUUAAACAUGUUUCAAAGAAUUCUCAGGCACUUAAACAUUUGGACGGGUUCUUUGGAAGCCAAGAUGCCCAGGUUAUCAUGGCCAUGCACAAAAUGCAGUAUAAAAAAAAAAUGAAUACCUUAAGAGAGAUUGCUCUGGGUCUCCCCAAGCCUUCUAGACUCAUUCCAAGUCUUCUGAGGACCACUGCCUCGCGCUUUCAAAGAUGUGAUGGUAGCUCGGGAGUGAUAUAAAUUAUUUUCGGGACACUAAUAAUAAAUAAUCAGAUCAAAUUAAUCAUCAAUAAUAAAUUGAGGAUACGAAAUCAAAAUUAAUCCUAAAUUUUGAUAAUAUAUAAAAAUUACUUUACGUACACUGUUUGCACGCAUUUUGAGCUCGUAUAAAGUAUAGUUUCAUAACUUUUUUUAAAAAAUUUCUUUUUUGAUAAAAGUUUAAACGUCAAACUUUUAUUCAGAGAAAAAAAAUUAAAAAAUAUAUCACGGAACUAUACUUUAAAUUAGUAUGGAAAAACGUGCCAAAAUUAACGUAAAGAAAUGAGGGGAACAAAGAUAGUAUAAUUAUAUUAUAAAUUAAAAUUGAAAUAACUUACGUGGCACUGAAAUUGAUAAAGGCAAUAUGGUUAAAUUGAUGAAAAGUCAAAGUCCUCUAAUAAAUCCAUAAAGAAUAUAAUAAUCAAAACGACGAAAAUUAUAAAUGAAAAAUCAAAAUCAUCCUAAUAAGUACACAAAAAGAAUAUGAUCGUUAGUGUAUUGGAAUAGUGUGCACACACUUAUAUAUCAAAAUUUGUGGUCCAAAAGCUAUGGCACAAUAUUCUAAAUACACCACAUUAAGUAAUAGUUCAAAAAUAUUCAAUAUAUAAUUGUUUUCAUUCAUAAUUUUGUUAUUAUUUUAAAAAAUAAUUUGGUUGCUGUUAACCUAUAUUUCAAUUAUAUAAUUAUAUUAUUUUUUAUUUUAUGUAUCUAGAAACAAUAUUUUUGUAAUAUUUAUUACAUUAAUUAUAUUAAAAGAUAUAAUUUGUUAAAAACUUGAAUAAAAUUAAGAGGAUAACUUUAUGUCUCUCCAAGUUCACAGCACGGGUGAGCAUUGGGUUCGGAUAUCCAUAUACCGAAUGGAUAUAUCAAAUCAAAACUAAUCAUGAAUUAUGAUAAUAAUUAAAUAAAUUAUAAUUAAGCUAUAUGAAUCAACUCCAAAUGACAACAACAGCACCAAACCUUAGUUACUUUAAUAUUGGUAAAUAAAUAUAAUAUAAUAAUCAAAUUGAUGAAAAAUCACAUCAUCUAAUAAAUUCACAAAAAAUAUAUGAUCAUUAGUAUAUUAUAUUAGUAUCCACACACUUAUAUUUCAAAAUCUAUCCUCCAAAAUUAUCAUCUCUGUAAGCUAGCCACAUAAAAUAAAAAAUUUAAAGAUAUUAGAUAUUUAGUUAUUUUCAUUAUAUAAUUUUUCCACACGAAAUAACAAAAUAUCUUUAUCAAAUUAUUAUUUAUGAGUUAAAUAUUCAAGUUAUAAAUCCAGUAUUCAGCGUAUAAAUAGAAGUGUGCAGUAUGAUAUCAGAUUCACAUAACCCAGUUGAUGAGGAGAAACAUGGCAUACUCUGCAAAGCCUUCUCACCUUCUUCUCUUUGUUUUCUUUCUCUCAUCACUUGAAUCCAUUCUUGCAACAACACGAGAGGGAGAAGCUCUUGUGAAAUGGAAGAAUAGCCUAGCCCCUUCUUCUUUUCUCGAUUCUUGGUCCCUCACCAAUCUCGAAAAUCUUUGUAACUGGACUGGCAUUACUUGUAACUCUGCAGGUUCAGUCUCUGAGAUUAACCUCUGUGAGAAACAACUUGAUGGAAUGCUGUCCGACUUCGGUUUCACUUCAUUUCCAAAUCUCAAGAAUCUCACCCUCGCAUACAACUUCUUCUCGGGUCCAAUACCACCAGCCAUUCAGAACUUAACAAGGCUUCAAUGCCUUGAUUUAAGCUUUAAUUAUCUCAAUGGUCCUAUUCCGUUCCAGGUGAGCCAUCUUCAGAGCUUGCUCAUCUUGAACCUGUCACAGAAUGCAUUGCAAACUCCAAAUUGGUCCCAUUUCUCUCCCAUGCCUUUCUUGCGCAUCCUCAACCUCAGUUACAAUCCUCUUGCGUCGAAAUUCCCAGAUUUUAUAUCCAGUUCUCAUAGCCUGACUCACCUUAGCCUUAAUUAUAACGAGUUUACUGGUGAUUUAGUACGUGAAUCAGUAUUUGCCGAUCUGCAUAAUCUUGAAAAGCUCAGUCUUGUUGGCAAUUCUUUCGAGGGGCCAUUUCCGCCGGAUAUAUUCAGGCUUUCCAAAUUAAAACAUCUUAGCAUGUCAGAUAACAAACUUUCAGGUUCAAUUCCCAAUGACAUAAGGUUGCUUUGUGAUCUUGAAUACCUAUAUUUAGCCAACAAUUCCUUUGAAGGACCGCUUCCACCAAAUAUAUUCAAGUUUUCAAAAUUAAAACAUCUUGUUCUUUGGGGUAAUAAGUUUUCUGGUUCUGUUUCCAAUGAUAUAGGUUUGCUUUCUGAGCUUGAAACUCUCGAUCUUAGCUCUAAUUUUUUUGAGGGGCCGCUUCCGCCAAAUGUAUUCAAGCUCUCCAAACUAAAAGUUCUCACCCUGUCAAUUAACAAAUUUUUAGGUUCAAUUCCCAAUGACAUAAGGUUACUUUGUGAUCUUGAAUACCUAUAUUUAGGCAACAAUUCCUUUGAAGGACCGCUUCCACCAGGUAUAUUCAAGCUUUCAAAAUUAAAACAUCUUUUUCUUUGGGGUAAUAAGUUUUCAGGUUCUGUUUUCAAUGAUAUAUGUUUGCUUUCUGAGCUUGAAACCCUCGAUCUUAACUCUAAUUUUUUUGAGGGGCCGCUUCCGCCAAAUGUAUUCAAGCUCUCCAAACUAAAGAUUCUUUCCCUUUAUGUGAACAACUUUUCAGGUUUUAUUUCUAAGGAUAUAGGUUGGCUUUUUGAACUUGAAACCCUCUAUCUUGGCUCUAAUUUUUUUGAGGGGCCGCUUCCCCCACAUGUAUUUAGGCUCUCCAAAUUAAGAGAUUUGGACCUCUCAGACAAUAGAAAUUUAUUUGAAGGAAGUAUUCCUAUUGGACUGGGACUCUUGACUAACCUCAGGUACUUAGAUCUACAUUUCAGUAAUCUCAGUGGCUAUAUUCCAUCUGACAUUGGAAACCUGAAGCUACUAGUACUUCUUGAUCUCAGUUCUAAUAAAUUGACUGGACCGCUUUCAAAGAUCAUUUCUAAUCUCACAAAUCUUAUAUUUCUUGAUGUAAGUGAUAAUAGUCUUAGUGGAAAUAUUCAGAGUGACUUGUGGAAAUAUAACGAUCAUCCAACUUUGGAAUACAUCGAUUUAAGUGGGAACCAUUUUACGGGUAUAGUUUUUCUCUAUAGAUCUUUUCUUUUUCUCAUAUGUAACUAAGCUAGUAAUCUGAUUAUUGCAGUUUCACCAAAGUUUCAACAAUCUUGACAGGUGAGCUUCCAACAACAAUUUGCAAUGUCACUUCCCUUUUGGUUCUUGAUUUGUCAAAUAAUGAAUUAAGUGGUGCACUUCCAAACUGUUUCGGGAAUCUUGCUGAUAGAUUGCUUUUCAUUAAUCUUGCUAAUAAUCAGUUUCGAGGAACAAUACCAACUACUUUCUCCAGGAGUUGUCAGCUGACAUAUCUAAACAUGGAUAAUAAUGAGUUUGAAGGAUUGUUGCGCCCAUCUUUGGCGAACUGUAAGCACUUGAAAAUUCUUGAUAUUGGCAAUAAUAAAAUAGGUGGUACAUUUCCGUCAUGGCUUUAUGCACUUGGAGAGCUAGAAGUCCUUGUCUUGCGAUCAAAUAAACUCUAUGGUACAAUAAGUGGGAGGAGCAUAGAAAAUCCCUUCCCCAAGUUGCGGAUUGUGGAUCUGUCCAACAAUCAAUUCACUGGCCAUUUGCCAAUUCAAUACUUUAAGAAUAUGAAAUCAACUGAUAAUUUGUAUAGUUAUCAGAAUGACACAGGAGUUUUUUCUUUCCAUUAUGAAGCAUCUGUAUCAUUAACUGUGAAGGGAACAGAGUAUGAAGUGAAAAAUAUCCUUCAUAUUUACACAACCAUUGAUCUGUCCUGCAACAAGUUUCAAGGAGAAAUUCCUGACGUUAUUGGAGAGCUUAGAUGGCUUGCAUUGCUGAACUUAUCUCAUAAUAGUCUAACAGGACAUAUCCCAUCAUUGCUGAGAAAUAUGAAAGGACUCCAAUCUUUAGAUUUGUCUUCAAAUCAACUGACAGGGGCUAUUCCACCUCAGUUAACUGCAUUGACAUUUCUAGAGGUCUUGAACCUCUCGGGAAACCAUCUUAGUGGAGAGAUUCCUCAGAAAGGACAGUUCAGCACAUUCAACAAUGAUUCUUAUCUAGGAAACUCCGCGUUAUGUGGAUCACCUUUGACAAAGAAAUGUGUAAACACAGCAUCACCUCCACAGGAAGUCGGAAAUGGUGAUGAAGAUGAUGCUGGCGAUGAAUGGACAUGGGAAGCAAUCGUGAUGGGAUAUGGAUGUGGACUGAUAUGUGGAUUGUCGUCUGCGUACAUUGUUCUCAGACUAGGAAGGCCUUGGUGGUUUGUGAGAUAUAUCGAAGUACUGCAACUGAAGUUGAUGAAAAGAUAUGCAUGAAGAAAGGUACUGGUAGAUCAAGAUGAACUUGAAAGUUAUUUUCGUGGAUGACAUUUGUGAACCAGUACUGUACUAGCUGCUUAAGUAUUUGGUAUUAUGUAAUAAUCCGUUUGGUCGGGACUCAUAAUGAUAUUUCUUGCUUCAGGGGUAUUAAUAUAAACCUUGGUAUUGUGUACUAGCUGUCUGUUUGGUCGUGACUCAUAAUCUUUCAUGUAUUAACAUAAGGUUUUAAUACAUCCCGUACCAGGUUAGCCAUCUUCAGAUAUUACACAUCUUACUGCUGUCGCAUAAUGAAUUGCAAUCUCCAAAUUGGUCCAACUUCUCUUCCAUGCCCUUUUUGCGCAUCCUCGGCCUUGGCAGCAAUAAUCUGGUGUCAAAAUUCCCAGAAUUUAUAUCUGACUCUCAUAGCCUCACUUUCCUUGACCUUUCUUUUAACAAGUUUACAGGUGAUCUUGUGCUUGAAUCAAUUUUUACCGAUCUACAUAAUCUUGAAAACCUCCAUCUUGCUGGAAAUUCCUUUGAGGGGCCGAUUCCACCUAGAGUAUUUAAGCUUUCCAAUUUAAAAGUUCUUGAACUCACGGGUAAUAACUUUUCUCGUUCUAUUUCCAACGAUAUAGGUUUGCUUUCUGAACUUGAGACCCUCUAUCUUGACUUCAAUUUUUUUGAUGGACCAAUUCCCCCAAAUAUAUUCAACCUUUCCCAAUUAAAAAUUCUUGAACUAACAGAAAAUAACUUUUCUGGUCCUGUUUCCAAUGAUAUAAGUUUGCUUUCUGAGCUUGAAAACCUCAAUCUUGCCUUAAAUUCUUCUGAUGGGCCUUUUCCAUCAAAGAUAUUCAACCUAACCAAAUUGAGACAUCUAAAUCUCUAUGGCAAUAAGAAUUUAUUUAAAGGAAGUAUCCCACUGGAUAUCAGAAACCUGAAGCUCCUGGAAUCUAUUAAUCUCGGUUCUAAUCAAUUGGUUGGACCACUUUCAAUGCUCAUUUCUAAUCUCACUAAUCUUAAGAUGGUUGGGCUAAGCGAUAAUAGGUUUUUUGGCAAAAUUCCUAGUGACUUCUUGAAAAACUUGCCAUCCUUACACGUCAUUGAUCUUUCAAAUAAUAAUUUGUCCGGAAAUAUUCCCAGGGAGUAUAACGUGCAUCCAAUUUUAGAAUACAUCAAUUUAAGUGGAAACCAUCUUACAGGUUUACUUCUCCCUCAAUAUAUUUUAUUUUCCUUUUGUAUGUUACAUUGAUUACACUUUUACCGAAGCUCAAACAAUUUUAACAGGUGAGAUCCCAGCAACAAUUUGCAAUGCUACAAACCUUUAUAUUCUGGUUCUGUCAGAUAAUGGAUUAAGUGGUGCCCUUCCGCAUUGUUUGGGAAAUCUUGCAGAUAAAAUGCAUUGCAUUGAUCUCGCUAAUAAUCAGUUCCGAGGACCAAUACCAACAACCUUCUCAGAGAGUUGCCAGUUAAGAUAUCUAAACAUGUAUGACAAUCAGUUAGAAGGACUUUUGCCCCGAUCUUUGUCAAACUGUAAGCACUUGAAAAUUCUUGACAUCGGGAACAACAAAAUGGGCGGUACAUUUCCUUCAUGGCUAUUCACUCUCAGAGAGCUAGAAGUCCUAGUCUUGCAAUCAAAUAAACUGUAUGGUCCAGUAAGUGGAAGGAGCACACAUCACAUCCAUUCCCCAAGUUGCGGAUUCUAGAUCUCUCCAACAACCAAUUCACGGGCUAUUUGCCAAUUCAAUACUCUUUAAGAAUAUGAAACCAGCUGCUGAUAACAUUUGUCUUAGGAUGACACAUGUUCUAAACUAUGACAAUAGUAUGCAAUCUCGUUUAAUACUUUCAUAUUAUGAACUAGUUCUGUUGAAUAAAUAAAUAUUAUUAAUUAAUCAAUCAUGUGCGCUCGAGUUUCCCUGGCCAGAUGCCCAGAUUAUUAGAGCAUCUCCAGCAGAGUCUUAACCGGUUCUCUAAAUAUAUAAUAAAAUAUGUAUCUUUUAAGGGAUUACUACAUUUUAGUGAAUGAGAACUCCAACAACAUUCCCUAUUUACAUUCUCUAUUAUUAUUAUAAUAUUAUAUUCAACUUGUAAUAAGAGAGAGAAAGUUUGGAAAGAGUAAAAGUGAGAAAAAAUAAGUGAAUAUUUUAUUCUUCAGAAUAAUAUAAGGAAAGAAAAUGCCAAAACAAUUAACUAUAAUCUACGCAAUAAUUUUUUAUAUUGAUUAGACGUUAUCUUUAUCAAUAUUUAGUCAGAUAUUCGGAUAUAUAUCAUUCCCUUUGUUUUUAUACCAUCUUUUUUUUGACUUUCGGGCCAAAUCACUACGUGGGUUGACUGGAUAGUAGAAAUUAAUAUUUUUGUCUGUUUUUUAAAAUAAAAAUCUGUAUUUUUAUUUUGAUUUCGAAGAAUAUAAUCCAUAAGGUAAAUAAUUUUUAANNNNNNNNNNNNNNNNNNNNNNNNNNNNNNNNNNNNNNNNNNNNNNNNNNNNNNNNNNNNNNNNNNNNNNNNNNNNNNNNNNNNNNNNNNNNNNNNNNNNNNNNNNNNNNNNNNNNNNNNNNNNNNNNNNNNNNNNNNNNNNNNNNNNNNNNNNNNNNNNNNNNNNNNNNNNNNNNNNNNNNNNNNNNNNNNNNNNNNNNNNNNNNNNNNNNNNNNNNNNNNNNNNNNNNNNNNNNNNNNNNNNNNNNNNNNNNNNNNNNNNNNNNNNNNNNNNNNNNNNNNNNNNNNNNNNNNNNNNNNNNNNNNNNNNNNNNNNNNNNNNNNNNNNNNNNNNNNNNNNNNNNNNNNNNNNNNNNNNNNNNNNNNNNNNNNNNNNNNNNNNNNNNNNNNNNNNNNNNNNNNNNNNNNNNNNNNNNNNNNNNNNNNNNNNNNNNNNNNNNNNNNNNNNNNNNNNNNNNNNNNNNNNNNNNNNNNNNNNNNNNNNNNNNNNNNNNNNNNNNNNNNNNNNNNNNNNNNNNNNNNNNNNNNNNNNNNNNNNNNNNNNNNNNNNNNNNNNNNNNNNNNNNNNNNNNNNNNNNNNNNNNNNNNNNNNNNNNNNNNNNNNNNNNNNNNNNNNNNNNNNNNNNNNNNNNNNNNNNNNNNNNNNNNNNNNNNNNNNNNNNNNNNNNNNNNNNNNNNNNNNNNNNNNNNNNNNNNNNNNNNNNNNNNNNNNNNNNNNNNNNNNNNNNNNNNNNNNNNNNNNNNNNNNNNNNNNNNNNNNNNNNNNNNNNNNNNNNNNNNNNNNNNNNNNNNNNNNNNNNNNNNNNNNNNNNNNNNNNNNNNNNNNNNNNNNNNNNNNNNNNNNNNNNNNNNNNNNNNNNNNNNNNNNNNNNNNNNNNNNNNNNNNNNNNNNNNNNNNNNNNNNNNNNNNNNNNNNNNNNNNNNNNNNNNNNNNNNNNNNNNNNNNNNNNNNNNNNNNNNNNNNNNNNNNNNNNNNNNNNNNNNNNNNNNNNNNNNNNNNNNNNNNNNNNNNNNNNNNNNNNNNNNNNNNNNNNNNNNNNNNNNNNNNNNNNNNNNNNNNNNNNNNNNNNNNNNNNNNNNNNNNNNNNNNNNNNNNNNNNNNNNNNNNNNNNNNNNNNNNNNNNNNNNNNNNNNNNNNNNNNNNNNNNNNNNNNNNNNNNNNNNNNNNNNNNNNNNNNNNNNNNNNNNNNNNNNNNNNNNNNNNNNNNNNNNNNNNNNNNNNNNNNNNNNNNNNNNNNNNNNNNNNNNNNNNNNNNNNNNNNNNNNNNNNNNNNNNNNNNNNNNNNNNNNNNNNNNNNNNNNNNNNNNNNNNNNNNNNNNNNNNNNNNNNNNNNNNNNNNNNNNNNNNNNNNNNNNNNNNNNNNNNNNNNNNNNNNNNNNNNNNNNNNNNNNNNNNNNNNNNNNNNNNNNNNNNNNNNNNNNNNNNNNNNNNNNNNNNNNNNNNNNNNNNNNNNNNNNNNNNNNNNNNNNNNNNNNNNNNNNNNNNNNNNNNNNNNNNNNNNNNNNNNNNNNNNNNNNNNNNNNNNNNNNNNNNNNNNNNNNNNNNNNNNNNNNNNNNNNNNNNNNNNNNNNNNNNNNNNNNNNNNNNNNNNNNNNNNNNNNNNNNNNNNNNNNNNNNNNNNNNNNNNNNNNNNNNNNNNNNNNNNNNNNNNNNNNNNNNNNNNNNNNNNNNNNNNNNNNNNNNNNNNNNNNNNNNNNNNNNNNNNNNNNNNNNNNNNNNNNNNNNNNNNNNNNNNNNNNNNNNNNNNNNNNNNNNNNNNNNNNNNNNNNNNNNNNNNNNNNNNNNNNNNNNNNNNNNNNNNNNNNNNNNNNNNNNNNNNNNNNNNNNNNNNNNNNNNNNNNNNNNNNNNNNNNNNNNNNNNNNNNNNNNNNNNNNNNNNNNNNNNNNNNNNNNNNNNNNNNNNNNNNNNNNNNNNNNNNNNNNNNNNNNNNNNNNNNNNNNNNNNNNNNNNNNNNNNNNNNNNNNNNNNNNNNNNNNNNNNNNNNNNNNNNNNNNNNNNNNNNNNNNNNNNNNNNNNNNNNNNNNNNNNNNNNNNNNNNNNNNNNNNNNNNNNNNNNNNNNNNNNNNNNNNNNNNNNNNNNNNNNNNNNNNNNNNNNNNNNNNNNNNNNNNNNNNNNNNNNNNNNNNNNNNNNNNNNNNNNNNNNNNNNNNNNNNNNNNNNNNNNNNNNNNNNNNNAUAUACACUUCCAUUUCCACUUUCCAGUAUUAAGUUUAGAAUUAAGAUCUUAACAACAUAGCAAUCAUUUAAACCUCGAAGAAAAUUGUGCACAUUAACAAGACCAAAGAGAAAACAGAUAGCAUAAAAUUGUGUAACACGUAUAAUUUAAAUCCACUUCUCAGUAUACUCCACAUUCAAGGUGAUCUAACUGCUACAAUAUUCUAAUUUUCACAGCUACGACACUGAACAAUAUAAGAACCAGUUUACUGUAAGUUUACUGAACAUAUAUAUACGACAUUGAACAAUAUAAAAUAGCUAUCCUUUGUAAGACCAAAAACAAAGGACACUAGCUAGCUAAUUCAAUAUACAAAACCACUCCAAUCAGUUUAUGAUAAGCAACUACAAACAUACAAAUACAUAUAAACAUACAAAUACAUAUAAACAUACUAUCUCAUUUUCCAAAAACCACAACUACAAACUAUCUCAUUUUCCAAAAACACACACUGAAAUACAUAUAUACAUACACAUACAACCACAAGGAUACCCAAACUCAAGUAAUAAAUAAGAAAUUACCUCCUCCAACUCGAAGAGAGCUUGAAUAGACUUGAACAGAGCUUGAACAGACUCCGAGCUCGAACUCCCUACAAACUCGAACUGAAGUACGAGCACCCACUAAACCCACAAACUCCACACUCGAACUGAACUCUGAGAUCUGUUGAAAAAACGAAUUAAAGAAGCAAAUGAGUAUUGUAAUCGAACAAACAUCAGUUUAUUAGGUACAAAUCAACCUUUAUCGCACAAAUUUAAGGAUGAAAUCGGCCGAAUUGGAACCUAGGGUUCGCUCGCUGAGAAAGGGGGAAGAACGGGGAGAGAGAAUGUAUUUUGUACAAAUGAUUUAAUUUAGGUAGUUUUAUUAGUUUUAUGUCUUUUUCCUUUUAAUUUUAUGUUUAAAGACAGGUGUUGAUGUCUUGUUCAGACAACACAUCAACUAAGCAGCGGGGUUUUAAAGGCGGGGUUUUUUUGUUUGUGAAAAAUUUGGCUAAGUGGGGAAUAGAAGCGGGGAAGCGCGGCCAAUUUUUUAAAAACAUGUUUUAGACAUCGGUUCUACACUAAGAUGAUGUCUAGUUUUUUAAUAGACAUCGGUUUUUAAAAUUUCGAUGUAAAAAAGGGUUUUAACAUCGGUGGUUUUUUUAACCGAUGUCUAAUCUGUGAUGUCUGAUCCUGUUUUUCUAGUAGUGAUCACUGCAACAAAAUAUUAGUUACGACGGAACAAUGUCGCUGGACUUUAUUUGUUUACAUUUUUUUAAUAGUAGUUAAUUUUUAAACUUGCGACGGAAAACAUACGACAGUCUACUUCGCGAGAGAAAAUCAUUUUAUUUUAUUUUUUAGCGCCAGAAUUUUAAUACUAAACUACUAUAGGGCCGUUUGGGCUAGCUUAAAAAAAGUGAUUUUUUACUUACAGUAAAGAAGUGGAUUAAAAGUGAGAAGCAAAUAAGUCAAUAAAAUGUUUGGAAAAGAAGUAGAAGCUGUGAGAGAGAAGUUAGCAUUCUCAGCUUCUUAAAAGUGCUUCUGCUUAUUUACAUAAACGGGUAAAAAAAAAAAAGCAAAAGCCAGAAGCAGCUUCUACUUCUCGAAACAAACAGGGCCAAUAUAUAUGAAGGAAACUGAUCUCUAUUGUUUUCAGCUUGCUCAUCCAUGGUAAGUAAUCCGUCGAAAAAGUUAGUUUGUUGUCGUGGUGUCUUAUCAUGAGAGAAAAUGGUAAUAUCGCAAAAUAUUUGCAACUGAAAGAUAAAUUAUAGUUCUAGAAACCAUUUAGGUAACGAUGCGCGGAGUUAUUUUCACUCACUUAGAAUUAAUGAUAAAUAUUUGCAACUGAAAGAUACAUUAUAGUUCUAGAAAAGGAUCCACGGAAUUAUUUUCACUCACUUAGAAUUAAUCCUAAGUUAUUGUGAGUUUUUGAAUAUGGAUUAUCUCAAAUUUUAUUAAAACACAUAUCGAUUCAUAUAGACAAAUUUGCCUACCUAAUAUUAUAAUAUUUAUGGCGAAGUUGUAUGAACAAUUGUGUAGAUAAUUAUACUUUACAAAGCAUACUUCUGCUAGCUGAAUUUUGAUUAAAAAAUCGAAAGGGAUAGGUCUGGGUCUCUCCAAGUCUUUGAGGACUCAUUCCAAGUCUUCUGAUGAGGACAAAAUAUAUCGCUGGUAGUCUUUCAGUCCUUCCUAGAGUAUUUUAUGCUCUGCACUGCAUUUGUGUUGAUAAUUUGCGCAAUGUUGAUGAGGAUUGCUCCAAGUCUUGGCGGACUCUUUCCAAAUCUUCCGAGGACCUAUCGGUUCAAUUUAGCCCAUUAAAAAUUUUAUUAUCUCAAAGCUAUCUGCAAAAUAAUAUAUAAGGUAAAAAUGAAUAUAUACCAUUGUUUUGUGAUUAAGUUGUAUAGGCAAUAUGCAUUGCAAAAUCAGCAACAGGAUAUAUGAAUACUAAUUAAUUACCUGAUAUCAGUAUGAACAAAUACUUUCUAUGUAGUUGUAAUAUUAGUCUUCUUUAAAAGUUAUCAUGAGGGAAGGUAUAUAUUGUGAUGCGGGAGAAAUAUUGUCACUGAAAAUAAUUAUAAUUCUAAAAUUUCCAUUAUACACUUUUUUUAGUGUUUGUACGUGGUAAGUACUUCAGACGACAUUUCUCGCGUAUGCCUCCGAUUAAGAAUUUGAUGUUCAGCCUAGUCCUAAACUAAAAUUAUUAUAAAUGUGUACUUCAAAAUUAUAUAUAUUGCUGGUAGUCUUUCAGUUCUUCCUGGUGUAUGCAAUUGUUUCAUUCAAUACCAAUUAUUUUAUACUAUGCACUCUGAUAUCAUGUUGAGAACAAUCCAUCAAAAACUUUAAACCUUAAUUAAGGUGUUAGAGGAAAAUACCAAUUAGAUCUUAUGCUAUAUUUCAAUACUUCCAACACUCUGCGAUGCAAAGCAGGGACUCUUGAGUAUUUUCAUAUGUGUAUUAGUUUUGAAGAUAAAAGUUGUAUAGAGAAUUGUGUUGAUAAUUUGCGCAAUUGCGCAAUGAUAACUGGGAUAGGUCAUCUUCUCUCCCAAGUCUUGGAUGGAAUCUUUCCAAGUCUUCUGAGAACCCAUCAGCUCAGAUUAGUCCAUACAAUGUCAAGGGUCCUAUGAUAUGGUCUACUAACAGCCCAGUGUCGGUAAUAAAUCCAAUUGCAUAUAACCUAUUCAAAAUCAAUCCCCUAUAAACAAUCAUCUCUAAAAACUAUUCACAUAAAAUAAAAUUUUAAAAAUAUAAAAUAUCUAGUUGUUUUCAAUAUAUAAUUUUCCACAGUAGAUAACANNNNNNNNNNNNNNNNNNNNNNNNNNNNNNNNNNNNNNNNNNNNNNNNNNNNNNNNNNNNNNNNNNNNNNNNNNNNNNNNNNNNNNNNNNNNNNNNNNNNNNNNNNNNNNNNNNNNNNNNNNNNNNNNNNNNNNNNNNNNNNNNNNNNNNNNNNNNNNNNNNNNNNNNNNNNNNNNNNNNNNNNNNNNNNNNNNNNNNNNNNNNNNNNNNNNNNNNNNNNNNNNNNNNNNNNNNNNNNNNNNNNNNNNNNNNNNNNNNNNNNNNNNNNNNNNNNNNNNNNNNNNNNNNNNNNNNNNNNNNNNNNNNNNNNNNNNNNNNNNNNNNNNNNNNNNNNNNNNNNNNNNNNNNNNNNNNNNNNNNNNNNNNNNNNNNNNNNNNNNNNNNNNNNNNNNNNNNNNNNNNNNNNNNNNNNNNNNNNNNNNNNNNNNNNNNNNNNNNNNNNNNNNNNNNNNNNNNNNNNNNNNNNNNNNNNNNNNNNNNNNNNNNNNNNNNNNNNNNNNNNNNNNNNNNNNNNNNNNNNNNNNNNNNNNNNNNNNNNNNNNNNNNNNNNNNNNNNNNNNNNNNNNNNNNNNNNNNNNNNNNNNNNNNNNNNNNNNNNNNNNNNNNNNNNNNNNNNNNNNNNNNNNNNNNNNNNNNNNNNNNNNNNNNNNNNNNNNNNNNNNNNNNNNNNNNNNNNNNNNNNNNNNNNNNNNNNNNNNNNNNNNNNNNNNNNNNNNNNNNNNNNNNNNNNNNNNNNNNNNNNNNNNNNNNNNNNNNNNNNNNNNNNNNNNNNNNNNNNNNNNNNNNNNNNNNNNNNNNNNNNNNNNNNNNNNNNNNNNNNNNNNNNNNNNNNNNNNNNNNNNNNNNNNNNNNNNNNNNNNNNNNNNNNNNNNNNNNNNNNNNNNNNNNNNNNNNNNNNNNNNNNNNNNNNNNNNNNNNNNNNNNNNNNNNNNNNNNNNNNNNNNNNNNNNNNNNNNNNNNNNNNNUGUAUUAGUUUUGUAAGAUAAAAGUUGUAUGGACAAUUGUGUUGUAUAAUUUGCGCAAUGAUAACUGGGAUAGGUCAUCUUCUCUCCCAAGUCUUGGAUGGAAUCUUUCCAAGUCUUCUGAGAACCCAUCAGCUCAGAUUAGUCCAUACAAUGUCAAGGGUCCUAUGAUAUGGUCUACUAACAGCCCAGUGUCGGUAAUAAAUCCAAUUGCAUAUAACCUAUUCAAAAUCAAUCCCCUAUAAACAAUCAUCUCUAAAAACUAUUCACAUAAAAUAAAAUUUUAAAAAUAUAAAAUAUCUAGUUGUUUUCAAUAUAUAAUUUUCCACAGUAGAUAACAAAAUAUCUUUAUCAAAUUGUUAUUUAUGGGUUCAAUAUUUAAGCUAUAAUUCCAAUAACACGGCAAGCAUGCAGCGUAUAAAUAGAAGUGUGCAGUAUGUUAUCAGAUUCAUAACCCAGUUGAUCAGGAGAAACAUGGCAUACUCUGCAAAGCCUUCUCACCUUCUUCUCUUUGUUUUCUUUCUCUCAUCACUUGAAUCCAUUCUUGCAACAACACGAGAAGGAGAAGCUCUUGUGAAAUGGAAGAAUAGCCUAGCCCCUUCUUCUUUUCUCGAUUCUUGGUCCCUCACCAAUCUCGAAAAUCUUUGUAACUGGACUGGCAUUACUUGUAACUCUGCAGGUUCAGUCUCUGAGAUUAAUCUCUGUGAGAAACAACUUAAUGGAAUGCUGUCCGAGUUUGGUUUCACUUCAUUUCCAAAUCUCAACUAUCUCACACUCGCAGACAACUUCUUCUCCGGUCCAAUACCACCAGCCAUUGAGAAUUUAACACAGCUUCAAUAUCUUGAUUUGAGAAAUAAUUAUCUAGAUGGUCCCAUUCCGUUCCAGGUUAGCCAUCUUCAGAGCUUGCUCAUAUUAAACCUGUCACAGAAUGCAUUGCAAGCUACAAAUUGGUCCAAUUUCUCUCCCAUGCCUUUUUUGCGCAUCCUCAACCUCAGUAGCAAUCAUCUUGUAUCGAAAUUCCCAGAAUUUAUAUCCAAUUCUCAUAGCUUGGCUAUCCUUGACCUUUCACAUAACAACUUUACAGGUGAUCUUGUGCGUGAAUUUACCAAUCUACAAAAUCUUGAAACCCUCUGGCUUUAUUGUAAUUCUUUUGAGGGGCCAUUUCCGCCGGAUAUAUUCAGGCUCUCCAAAUUAAAACGUCUCUCCCUGUCAAGUAACAAAUUUUCAGGUUCAGUUCCCAAUGACAUAAGGUUGCUUUGUGAUCUUGAAUCCUUAAACUUAAGCAACAAUUCUUUUGAAGGACCGCUUCCACCAAAUUUAUUCAAGCUUUCGAAAUUAAAGAGUCUUUUUCUUUGGAGUAAUAAGUUUUCAGGUUCUAUUUCCAAUGAUAUAGGUUUGCUUUCUGAGCUUGAAUUUCUCAAUCUUUACGAUAAUUUUUUUGAGGGGCCGCUUCCAUGCAUCAAAUAUAUUCAAGCUCUCCAAAUUAAGGGUUCUUUACCUUAACGGUAAUAAACUUCUAGGUUCUCUUUCCAAUGAUAUAGGUUUGCUUUCUGAGCUUGAAACCCUCAAUCUUCGCUCUAAUUUUUUUGAGGCUCCGUUUCCGUCAAAUAUAUUCAAGCUUUCCAAAUUAACAAUUCUUGACCUCGCAUACAAUAGAAAUUUAUUUGAAGGAAGUUUUCCUAUUGGACUGGGACUCUUGACUAACCUCAGCUACUUAGAUCUAACUUCCACUAAUCUCAGUGGCUCAUCUGCCAUUGGAAACCUCAAGCUACUACUAUAUCUUGGUCUCAGUUAUAAUCAAUUGACUGGACCGCUUUCAAACAUUGUUUCUAAUCUAACAAAUCUUAUAUUUCUUGGUGUGGAUCAUAAUAGUCUUAGUGGAAAUAUUCCGAGUGACUGGUGGAAAGCCUCUGUAUCCUUACUUUACAUUGAUCUUGGAUAUAAUUAUUUGUCUGGGAACAUUCCUAAGGAAUAUAAAGAUCAUCCAACUUUGGAAUACAUCGAUUUAAGUGGGAACCAUUUUACAGGUAUUUUUUUCUCUAUAUAUCUUUUCCUUUUGUCACAUGUAACUAAGCUAGUAAUCUGAUUAUUGCAGUUUUACCUAAGUUUUAACAAUCUUGACAGGUGAGCUUCCAACAACAAUUUGCAAUGCUACCUCCCUUUCGGUUCUUGCUUUGUCAAAUAAUGGAUUAAGUGGUGCACUUCCAAACUGUAUUGCGAAUCUUGCUGAUGGAUUGCUUUACAUUAAUCUUGCUAAUAAUCAGUUUCGAGGAGCAAUACCAACUACUUCAUCCAAAAGUUGUCAGCUGACCUAUCUCAACAUGGAUAAUAAUGAGUUUGAAGGAUUGCUGCCCCCAUCUUUGGCGAACUGUAAGCACUUGAAGAUUCUUGAUAUUGGCAAUAAUAAAAUAGGUGGUACAUUUCCUUCAUGGCUUUAUGCACUUGGAGAGCUAGAAGUCCUUGUCUUGCGAUCAAAUAAACUCUAUGGUCCAAUAAGUGGGAGGAGCAUAGAAAAUCCCUUCCCCAAGUUGCGGAUUUUGGAUCUGUCCAACAAUCAAUUCUCAGGCCAUUUGCCAAUUCAAUACUUCAAGAAUAUGAAAUCAACUGAUAAAUUGUAUCGCUAUCAGAAUGCCACAACAUUAACGGGUUUCCAAUAUGAUGCAUCAGUCCCAUUAACUGUGAAGGGAACAGAGUAUGAAGUGAAAAAUAUCCUUCAUAUUUACACAGCCAUUGAUCUGUCCUGCAACAAGUUUCAAGGAGAAAUUCCUGACGUUAUUGGAGAGCUUAGAUGGCUUGCAUUGCUGAACUUAUCUCAUAAUAGUCUAACAGGACCUAUCCCAUCAUUGCUGAGAAAUAUGAAAGAACUCCAAUCUUUAGAUUUGUCGUCAAAUCAACUGACAGGGGCUAUUCCACCUCAGUUAACUGCACUGACAUUUCUAGAGGUCUUCAACCUCUCGGGAAACCAUCUUAGUGGAGAGAUUCCUCAGAAAGGACAGUUCAGCACAUUUAACAAUGAUUCUUAUCUAGGAAACUCCGCGUUAUGUGGAUCACCAUUGACGAAGAAAUGUGCAAACACAGCAUCACCUCCACAAGAAGUCGGAAAUGUUGAUGAAGAUGAUGCGGGUGAUGAAUUGACAUGGGAAGCAAUCUUGAUGGGAUAUGGAUGUGGACUGAUAUGUGGAUUGUCAUCUGCUUACAUUGUUCUCAAACUAGGAAAGCCUUGGUGGUUUGUGAGAUAUAUCGAAGUGCUGCAACUGAAGUUGAUGAAAAGAUAUGCAUGAAGAAUGGUACUGGCCGAUCAAGACGAACUUGAAAGUUGUUGGACAUUUCUGAACCAGUAGUGUACUAUUCUCUUUGUGGCUGCAUAAGUUUUUGGUAUUGUGUAAUAUUCUGUUUGGUCUUGAAUUUCAGGGGUAUUAAUAUAAACCUUGGUAUUGUGUAAUAUUCUGUUUGAUCAAUGUUUAUAUCAAUAAUUUUAUGCUCCUCACUGCAUCAUGCAGCUCUCAUAUUAUCUUCAUAUGUGUAUUAUUUGGAUAUCAAAGUUGCAGGGACAUAUGGAUAUGUGUUAACAGGGACUGCUCGGUCUUGGACGGACUCUUUCCAAGUCCUCUGGGGUCCUAUCGGUUCAAAUUAGUCUAUUAUCUGCAUACUAAUUUGUCCAACUCGGGCUUGAAUAGUAAAGAUAAAGAGUGCGAGUUGAGUUUCUCAAAGUAUGAGUACAAUAUCGUUUUUGAAUGAUAGUUAGGGGUGCGAUAUGCAAUUACCUCAAAAAUAUAUGAUCAUUAGUAUAUUAUAUUAGUAUCCACACACUUAUAUCUCAAAAUCUAUCCUCCAAAAUUAUCAUCUCUAUAGGCUAGCCACAUAAAAUAAAAAUUUAAAGAUAUUAGAUUUUUAGUUAUUUUCAUUAUAUAAUUUUUCCACGCAAAAUAACAAAAUAUCUUUAUCAACUUAUUAUUUAUGAGUUAAAUAUUCAAGUUAUAUAAUUCGGACAUGCUGGGUAUAAAUUGAAGUGUAACGCCUAAUUUCCGGGGUCUGGGAGUAGUUGGCGGGGUAUGAGAGAGCAGGCUAUUUAGAAGUCUUGGUCAUGAAAACUUCCAAGCUAAACUUCGACAACGGAAUCUUCUGAGGCUACUAUUCUAAAGCACGCAUAAUCAUUGUAUCCAUUUUCCGACAAAAAGUCUAUUUAAGCAAAUGAAAUACAAACAACUGAGUGGAAUGCUGACCGAAAGUCUUUUUGACUAAGCUUAUGAUUUAUUAGUACAUGAUUAAUAUGAUAAGCUAAGCUGAGAGCAUAAGAUAUCGUGUGUAUAAUUUUGUGUUUAUUAAUGACUUAUAAAUUAUUAAAAAUAUAAUAAGAAAAAUAAAAAUGAUUUAUAACUAAUUUAUGUUUUAUGAGUAAUUUUUAUUAGAAAAAAGUUUUAAAAAAUUAUUUCACUGGAAAAAAAACCUCCAACUAACUUUUGGCUCUAAGUCAGUUUUUGAUUUAUUUAUGACUUUAUGUCGGAUUCUGAUUUUUACACAAAAAUCUGGUUUUAAACCUCUGAGUUUGGUUUCACUUCAUAUACAAACCUCAACAAUUUCACCAUCAAACACAAUGACUUCUCCAAUCUCCGGUCCAGUACCACCAGCCAUUGAGAAUUUGGCACAACUUCAAUUCCAUACCAGGUUAGUCGUCUUCGGAGAUUACACGUCUUAGACCUGUCAAAUACAAAUUUCAAUCUCCAAACUGGUCCGAUUUAUCUUCUAUGCUUUUUGUUGAGUCCGGCUCAUCUAAAGCCUUAAGAUGUUAGAGGAAGCACCCAAUGAAUCUUAUAUAUGCUAUAUUUUAACAAUUCUGAGCACACUCAACCUUGGUAUUAAUAAUAUUGUGUCGAAAAUUCCAGAAUUUAUAUCUAAUUCUCAUAGCCUAACUUUCCUUGACCUUUCCAUAUAACAAAUUUACAGUUAAUCCUGUGCUUGAAUCAGUAUUUGCAACCAAAAUUAUGCAAUUAUAGUGCAGGUAGUCUUCCAGUUUACGCUCUACACUCCAGGAUAAGCUCGCAUAUAAUUGACAGCUAUAAUCCUUCCAACACUUUGUGAUGCAAAGCAGAGGGAUAGGUUGGCUUAAAAAUAUAUAAGGUCACUUAUGCAUCGCUCUUCACACACUUAGACCCUGUUUGUGUGGGCUUUAAGUCCCGGCUCAAGCUAUUUCGACUUAAUCACUUCCGAGACCAAUACCAACAAGUUAAGAUAUCUAAAUAUGUAUGACAAUCAGUUAGAAGGACUAUUGCCGGGCAACAACCUUCUCAAAGAGUUGCCAGUUAAGAUAUCUAAACAUGUAUGACAAUCAGUUAGAACUUUAGAAGGACUAUUGCCCCCAUCUUUGUCAAACUGUAAGCACUUAAAAAUUCUUGACAUCGGGAACAAUAAAAUGGGUGGUACAUUCCCUUCAUGGCUAUUUAAUCUCGGAGAGCUAGAAGUCCUAGUCUUGCGAUCAAAUAGACUGUACGGUCCUGUAAGUGGAAGGAGCACAUCACAUCCAUUCCCCAAGUUGCGGAUUCUAGAUCUCUCCAACAAACAAUUCGCGGGCUAUUUGCCAAUUCUAAACUUUAAGAAUAUGAAACCAGCUGCUGAUGAUAACGCGUAUAGUUAUAAAAAUAAGUCACAAGGACUAAUUAAUUACAUCUAUGAAGCAUCUAUCUCCUUAAAUGUGAAAGGAACAGAGUAUGAAGUGAAGAACAUUCUUCAUAUUUACACAGCCAUUGAUCUAUCGUGCAACAAAUUUCACGGAGAAGUUCCAAAGAGAGCUUAAAUGGCUUGCAUUGCUCAAUCUAUCUCAUAAUAGUCUUGCCGGACAUAUGUUCUGAAUUAUUAUUAUGCUUUCAUCAAUAUUUUCAAACAUUUCUCAAUAUGUAUUUUCAAAGAAUUCUCAAGCCCUGGAACAUUUGGACCGGUUCUUUGGAAGCCAAGAUACCCAGGUUAUCAUGGCCAUGCACAAAAAUGAAUAAAUUAUUCCAAGUCUUCCAUGACUCAUUCCAAGUCUUCGGAGGAGACCCUGAGCACAAAGAUGCUCAGGGUCUCCCCAAGCCUUCCAGGACUCAUUCCAAGUCUUCGGAGCACGGUCUCGCCUCGCCCUUUCAAAGAUGUGAUAGUAGCUCGAGAGUGAUAUAAAUUAUUUUCCCGACACUAAAAAUAAAUAAUCAGAUCAAAUUAAUCAAUAAUGUAUUAAGGAUGAAAUCCAAAUUAAUCCUAAAUUUUGAUAAUAUAUAAAAAUUAUAAUUAUAAAUUAUAUACCAAAUCAGAAUUGAAUUAAUUCCUUGGCACUAAAAUUGAUAAAGAAAGUAUAAUAAUUUAAAUUUAAUUGAUGAAAAGUCAAAGUCUUCUAAUAAAUCCAUAAAGAAUAUGAUAAUCAAAAUAAUGAAAAUUAUAAUUGAAAAAUCAAAAUCAUUAGUGUAUUGGAAUAGUGUUCACACACUUGUAUAUCAAAAUUUGUGGUCCAAAAACUAUAGCACAAUAUCCUAAAUACACCACAUUAAAUAUUAGUUCAAAAAUAUUUAGUAAAUAAUUGUUUUCAUUCAUCAUUUUGUUAUUUAAAAAACUAAUAAUUUGGGUUGAUGUUAACCUAUAUUUUAAUAUAUAAUUAUAUUAUUUUCGUCUUAUUUAUUUAACUAGAAACAAUAUUUUUAUCAUACAUCAAUUAUAUUAAAAGAUAUAAUUUUAUUAAAAAAAUUGAAUUAUUAUUUAUGAAUUCCAGCAUGAAGCGUAUAAAUAGAAGUGUGCAGUUGAUCAGAUUUAUAACCCAGUUGAUCAGGAGAAACAUGGCAUACUCUGCAAAGACUUCUCACCUUCUUCUCUUUGUUUUCUUUCUCUCAUCACUUGAAUCCAUUCUUUCAACAAGACGAGAGGGAGAAGCUCUUGUGAAGUGGAAGAAUAGCCUAGCCCCUUCUUCUUUUCUCGACUCUUGGUCACUCACCAAUCUCGAAAAUCUUUGUAACUGGACUGGCAUUACUUGUAACUCUGCAGGUUCAGUCUCUGAGAUUAACCUUUGUGAGAAACAACUUGAUGGAAUGCUGUCCGAGUUUGGUUUCACUUCAUUUCCAAAUCUAAACAGUCUCACCCUCGCAGACAACUUCUUCUCGGGUCCAAUACCACCAGCCAUUCAGAACUUAACAAGGCUUCAAUACCUUGAUUUAAGCUUGAAUUAUCUCAAUGGUACCAUGCCUUUCUUGCGCAUCCUCAACCUCAGUAGCAAUCCUCUUGCGUCGAAAUUCCCAGAUUUUAUAUCCAGUUCUCAAAGCCUGACUCACCUUGACCUUUCAUAUAACAUGUUUACCGGUGAUCUAGCAUGUGAACCAUUAUUUGCCAACCUGCAUAAUCUUGAAGUCCUCAGUCUCGUUGAAAAUUCUUUUGAGGGGCCAUUUCCACCGGAUAUAUUCAGGCUUUCCAAAUUAAAACAUCUUAGCCUGUCAGUUAACAAACUUUCAGGUUCAAUUCCCAAUGACAUAAGGUUGCUUUGUGAUCUUGAAUACCUAUAUUUAGCCAACAAUUCCUUUGAAGGACCACUUCCACCAAAUAUAUUCAAGCUUUCAAAAUUAAAACAUCUUGUUCUUUGGGGUAAUAAGUUUUCAGGUUCUGUUUCCAAUGAUAUAGGUUUGCUUUCGGCGCUUGAAGCCCUCGAUCUUUAUUCUAAUUUUUUUGAGGGGCCGCUUCCACCAAAUAUAUUCAAGCUCUCAAAACUAAGGAUUCUUUCCCUUGGGAACAAUAACUUUUCAGGUUCUGUCUCUAAUAAUAUAGGUUUGCUUCCUGAGCUUGAAACCCUAUGUCUUGACUCUAAUUUGUUUGAGGGGCCGCUUCCCCCACAUAUAUUCACGCUCUCUAAAUUAAGAUAUCUAGACCUCUCAAACAAUAGAAAUUUAUUUGAAAGAAGUAUUCCUAUUGGAUUGGGACUCUUGACUAACCUCAGGUACUUAGAUCUAUAUUCCAGUAAUCUCAGCGGCUAUAUUCCAUCUGACAUUGGAAACCUGAAGCUACUAGUAGGUCUUAAUCUCGGUUCUAAUAAAUUGACUGGACCAGUUUCAAAGAUCGUUUCUAAUCUCACAAAUCUUAUAUUUCUUAGUGUAAGAAAUAAUAGUCUUAGUGGAAAUAUUCAGAGUGACUUGUGGAACUUCCCUAAGGAAUAUAACAAUCAUCCAACUUUGGAAUACAUCGAUUUAAGUGGGAACCAUUUUACAGGUAUCUUUUCUCUAUAUAUCUUUUCCUUUUCUCAUAUGUAACUAAGCUAGUAAUCUGAUUAUUGCAGUUUUACCAAAGUUUCAACAAUCUUGACAGGUGAGCUUCCAACAACAAUUUGCAAUGUCACUUCCCUUUCGGUUCUUGAUUUGUCAAAUAAUGGAUUAAGUGGUGCACUUCCAAACUGUUUCGGGAAUCUUGCUGAUGGAUUGCUUUACCUUAAUCUUGCUAAUAAUCAGUUUCGAGGAACAAUACCAACUACUUUCUCCAGGAGUUGUCGGCUGAAAUAUCUAAACAUGGAUAAUAAUGAGUUUGAAGGAUUGAUGCCCCCAUCUUUGGCGAACUGUAAGAACUUGAGAAUUCUUGAUAUUGGCAACAAUAAAAUAGGUGGUACAUUUCCGUCAUGGCUUUAUGCACUUGGAGAGCUAGAAGUCCUUGUCUUGCGAUCAAAUAAACUCUAUGGUACAAUAAGUGGAAGGAGCAUAGAAGAUCCCUUCCCCAAGUUGCGGAUUGUGGAUCUGUCCAACAAUCAAUUCACAGGCCAUUUGCCAAUUCAAUACUUUAAGAAUAUGAAAUCAACUGAUAAUUUGUAUCGUUAUCAGAAUGACACAGGAGAUUUUAUUUUCCAUUAUGAAGCAUCUGUCUCAUUAACUGUGAAGGGAACAGAGUAUGAAGUGAAAAAUAUCCUUCAUAUUUACACAGCCAUUGAUCUGUCGUGCAACAAAUUUCAGGGAGAAAUUCCAAAGGUUACUGGAGAGCUUAGAUGGCUUGCAUUGCUCAACUUAUCUCAUAAUAGUCUUACUGGACCUCUCCCAUCACUGCUUGGAAAUAUGGAAGCACUCCAAUCUUUAGAUUUGUCUUCAAAUCAACUGACAGGGGCUAUUCCACCUCAGUUAACCGCAUUGACAUUUCUAGAAGUCUUAAACCUCUCGAGAAACCAUCUUAGUGGAGAGAUUCCUGAGAAAGGACAGUUCAGCACAUUCAACAAUGACUCUUAUCUAGAAAACUCUGCGUUAUGUGGAUCACCCUUGACGAAGAAAUGUGUAAACACUGCAUCACCCCCACAGGAAGUCGGAAAUGGUGAUGAAGAUGAUGCUGGUGAUGAGUUGACAUGGGAAGCAAUCGUGAUGGGAUAUGGAUGUGGACUGAUAUGUGGAUUGUCAUCUGCAUACAUUGUUCUCAAACUAGGAAGGCCUUGGUGGUUUGUGAGAUAUGUCGAAGUACUGCAACUGAAGUUGAUGAAAAGAUAUGCAUGAAGAAAGGUACUGGUCGAUCAAGACAAACUUGAAAGUUGUUGUCCUGGUAGACAUUUCUGAACCAGUAGUGUACUAGCUGCAUAAGUAUUUGGUAUUAUGUAAUAAUCCAUUUGGUCGGGACUCAUAAUGAUUUCUCUUGCUUCAGGGGUAUUAAUAUUAACCUUGCUAUCUUGAUCUGUGUUAAUGCAAAUGAAAAAGAAUGGAAAAACAAAAAAAUUGCAUCAAACCUGUUGUACCAAGAUCCAUUAAUCUGCUUUCAUCUCUUACGCAACAAUUUAACAGCACUUUCACACUGUUUGAAUGAUUAUCAUAAAUUCGAGUUUUCCUCGCCAGCACCAAAUCCAAAUAUACAAUCCCACACAUUCCAGUCUCAGCUUCAGCUCCCAGGCUAGCAUUGAUUUAGCCAAGCACGACAGUGGCCGCUUGUGUGCCUAACAAUGACAGUUGGGGAUUUGAUGGAACGUGCCUUGGUCCUGCCUUCAAAUGUCUAACAAUAACAGUUGGAUAUGUCGACAAAAAAAUUGUUCCUCACACUGAGGAAUAACUCUGACAGUUCUUUUCAUUGUGCCUUGGUCCAGUAAGUGGAAGGAGCACAUCACAUCCAUUCCCCAAGUUGCGGAUUCUAGAUCUCUCCAACAACCAAUUCACGGGCUAUUUGCCAAUUCAAUACUUUAAGAAUAUAUGAAACCAGCUGCUGAUAAAGCGUAUAGUUAUCAAAAUAAGUCACAAGGACUAAUUAAUUACAUAUAUGAAGCCUCUAUCUCCUUAAAUGUGAAAGGAACAGAGUAUGAAGUGAAAAACAUCUCUUUAUAUUAUAGCUCCUGAUGCGUGAUUUGUACAGUUACCACACUGCUUAAUUCUUCACCUCAAAGUUCCACCUUAUUACAAAAAUGCCACCGCUCUAUUAAGCGGCACCCACGUAAGCUCAUUGCCACCACGUGCUAUCUUCCUGCUGUCUUUUGUUUAUUUUAUUCACUAAACCGUACUUACCCGAAGCUUAUGUAACAAGCUUACAUUCUUUACAUUUUACUCAUUUCAAAAUUUAAAACCCAGCCUCCACGGCUCCCUUACAAAAGUAACCGGUUUGAACGUAAAGUUUUCAAAACUAACCAGCCUACGUUCAACUUUUCAAAACUAACCAGCCUAAAUCAAAAAAAGUCGGGCGACCCUUACCUGUUUUUUUCCCGAGCACCGGUCGCCCUCCUCAGGGGCGUCCCCCAUUGGAGUUCAUCAAGCACAGGUCGCCCUCCUCAGGGGCGUCCCCCCUUGAAGUUCUGUGACGUGGUCCGCCCAAUCACGGGCGACCACGUGUGACACUACCCCCUUAAAACCCCCUCCCAGCCACACAAACACACAAUUACACACACAUUUGCACACACUCAGUUUGAAAACAACACUGCAGCAGCCACAGCAAGGAGCCGAAAGGGGAGAUUUUGGUAAAGGAAGGAAGAAAAGUGGGAGAGGAUCGCCCGAGCUAGCAUCAAGGUCGCCCACCCUAGCAAAAAAUUUGAAGGUACUACCUUAUUCCUCCCCUAAAUAUUAGUAUAUAAAGCCUUGAUUUGUAAUUUAUUACUUGAUUAGUUUGUCUUGCAUGUUACAAAUAUCGAUUAUGUUCAUGAUUAUGGCUAAUUUAUAGACUAGUGUUAUAAUUACCGGCUUGAGAUUAGUGUUAUAAUUACCGGAUUGAGAUUUGGUACAUUAUGAUUUUUAAAUUUGUUAAAAAAUUUAAAGAUUUAUAAUAGAAAUUAAGGAUAAUUUAUAGAUUUGAUAUGUUGGAAUUUAAGAUUUUAUGCUUUUUAGAUUUUGUAGGUAGUAAUUAAAUUUAGUUGGAGAGAAAAAAUAUAAUAUAAUAUUCGAAUUAAAAAGAUAUUGAGAAUAUAAUAUUCGAAUUAAAAAAUAUUCGAAUUAAAAUAUAUUAAAAUAUAAUAUUCGAAUUAAAAAUAUAAUAUAAUAUUCGAAUUAAAAUAUAAUAUAAUAUAUAUUCGAAUUAAAAAAUAUUCGAAUUAAAAUAUAUUAAAAUAUAAUAUUCAAAUUAAAAAUAUAAUAUAAUAUUCGAAUUAAAAUAUAAUAUAAUAUAUAUUCGAAUUAAAAAAUAUUCGAAUUAAAAUAUAUUAAAAUAUAAUAUUCGAAUUAAAAAAUAAUAUAAAAUAUAUUGAGAAUUAAAAAAAUUAGAAAGCAAAUAAAAUAUUCGGAUAAAAAAGAUAUUAAUAGCUAAUAUUAAAAAAAAUCGAUUUAUAAUAAUAAAAAUUCGAAAAAAAGCAAAAUAAUCGAAUUAAAAUAAAAUUUUCGAACAUAUAUUAAUAAAAAUCUUAAUUAUAUUAAUAUAUAAUUCGAAUAUAUGAAAUUUCGAGAAUUAGAAUAUUUAUGAAAUUAAGAGAAUUAAAAUAAAUAGGAAAUUCGAACAAAAAUUAAUUUAAGGUACGCUCUCGAUUCUCUCUAAAUUAAUGUGUAUAUAUAUAUAAUGACUUGAUUUGGAUUAUUGUUGUUUUAUUAGCUUGAGUUGCAUGUUAUAAGAUCGGUUAGUUUAUUGAUUGUGGCUUGAGAUUUGUUAUAAUUGAAAUUAAGGCUAAUUUAUAGAUUUGAUAUGUUGGAAUUAAGGCUAAUUGAAAUUAAGGCUAAUUUAUAGAUUUGAUAUGUUGGAAUUAAGGCUAAUUGAAAUUAAGGCUAAUUUAUAGAUUUGAUAUGUUGGAAUUUAAGAUUUUGUGCAUGUUAGAUUUUGUAGGUAGUAAUUUAAUUUAGUUAGAAACAAAAGCUUUGAAUUCGAAUUACAAAUAUUAUGUUGGAAUGAGAUUUUGUAUAUAUACAAAAGCUUUGAAUUCGAAUUAUAAAUAUAUUUGAAAAUUGUUGGCGCAGAUGGAUCCUGCAGCUUAUCAUCCCGGGCCGGUUAACGGCACUUUGUUGACAUUGCAGGACACGCAUAGGUCCACUUUUGUGUGGAACAGUAGUACGGUAAUGACUUGAUGGACUGUUGUUUAUUAAAGUUAAUGUUUGCUUCACUAUAAACUGCUGACAAGUUCCUGUAUUUUAAAUUGCAGGACAUUCCUGAUCUUAGAGUCAGGACGAACUUCGGUGAGUACUGGAAUGUAGUUGACCAAACCAGGCCGCCUCAGACGAUAAUAGAUGCUAUUAAUGAUGCGGGCUUUGAGUGGGUGUUCAGGUUGGGUCAGGUCAAGCAUGACAGGGGCUUGAUCACUGCUUUUAUCGAGAGGUGGCGUCCAGAGACGCACACUUUUCAUCUACCUUUCGGGGAGGCCACCAUUACACUGGAGGAUGUCCAUCACAUUCUCGGGUUACGAACCACUGGCCGGCCAUUUAUUCUACAUGGCUUCACCACCACAGCUCGCGAGAGAUUGGCCAUGAUACGCGAUGUUCUUGGAGUGACUCCUAAGCCGGCUGAUGUGAGGAAGAACGGCUUGAGGAUCGGUUGGUUGAUUGAAAAAUUUGGCGACUGUGCCCGGUUGGACGAGGCAGCGGAGGAUUUUGAUGCACAGACUAUCUUUCACAUCAGGGCACACCUACUGUGUGUUAUUGGAUCGUUGUUUCCUGAUAGCAGCGGGAACUAUGUGAAUCUCAACCUCCUUUGGAUGCUACGUGACUUGCAGAGCGUGGAUGGUUAUAGCUGGGGGAGUGCUGUUCUUGCAUACCUUUAUAGGAAGAUGUGCGAUUCCACCCAUAAAGUCACAACCGGCUUCAUUGGCUACGCCACCACUACGCCAUAUAUGAUCUAUCGCAAUGGUAUGAACGCGAGUGUUGCAAAAUUAUGUUGCAAUAGAGACACUGAUCCAUAUCUACCGCAACGAUAACCAUUCAUGUCAAUUAUAUGUUGCAAUAGCAAACAUUAUGUGUUGCAGCUUGUAAUAUACUUGUAAAAGUGUUAGCUUAAAGUAUUAUAAUAUUAUUUUAACAUUAAAUAAUAAUUUAAAUUAUUUUAACAAUAUUUUAAAGUGAUAUGCAAAUUAAAUAAAUAAGAUACGCGAUGAUAUGCAAAUUUUAUUCAUAAUAAUUAAAAAAAUUAAAAUAGGAAUUUUAAAAGUAAUUAAUUUUUUUAAAAGCAAUGAAAAGUAAAAAUAAUUAAAUUCCCCUUGUUUUGAUAUCAGAACUGAUAUAUAAGUUUCAAAAAUAAAAAUAUAGAUAUACGAAUUAUAAGUAGUAAUAAAUACAUAUAAUGAAUUUUGUUCCUAAAAUAAUUACAUGAAUUUUAUUUGUUAAAAUAAUAAAGUAUAGGUGCAGACGUGCAGUACAUUAUUUGACUUUAUUGAACUGGGCAAAUAUCGAGCUCAAAGCGGGUAAAAAUUAGGCUUACAGCCGCCCAAAUUUUCAGCCAAGUUUGAAAUUUUCACACAUACACUAUACACGCUCGAGUCUCCUUGAAUACCCUCAACACUCACUACACUCUCUCCCUCGCUCAACUCUCUCUCCCUUCUCUACUCUCUCUCUCUUGUUAAUCUCUCUGAAGCUAAUCUCUCUCUGGCCACCAUUUUCACUCAAUCUCGCCAUCACUUUUAAUUAACUUGGAUUUGCAUUUAUAGUUGGAGCACAGUUGAUUUGUGGGUCGAGGUUCCAAUUCUUCAAUUAGGGUUUUGGCUUUUCAAUCAGGGUUUUGGUUCUUCAUUAAACUUCAAUUAGGGUUCAAUUACUUACAUAUAAUCUCUUAAACUUCAUCUGAUAUCUCUUUCUCUUUGAUUUCAGGUGUUCUUAGUUUGGGUUUGCACUCCAAGACUUUAUUAUAAGGUAUUUUUGAAUUUAGGGCUUCAUGUUAUGAGUUUAUUUGCAUUUAGUGUUCUUUGUUUUUAUGUUUAUUUGGUUUAUUAUCUUUAUCUAGUUUAUUUCCUUUGAUUUUUUGUUUUUUUUUUCAUUUGUUUUGUGAAAUUGCAAUACUCUGUUUUUGUGUUAAUUUUUUUGUUGCUUAAAAGUGUUCAACAACAAUAUUCUUCUUAAUUAUAAAAGAUCUAUCACGAGGAAGAGGUCCCUGUUUUGUAUAAUAUCUUGUAUGUCUUUUCUUUUCUGUAUAUUAUUAAGCUACCUUGGGGCAUCCUUUUUCUAGACCAGAUUUCGUGCGCAAUCUUUAGUAAAGAGCAAAUAUUCCGAUUCUUUUGCAUUUGUCUCAAUGUCAGUGCUUUGCAUAUAUGGAUAUAUUUUACAUGAAAAUGGUGCUUUUGUUGUUGGCCUGCUUAAUGUUCAAGACAUGUAGUCAACUCAGUUUAGUGUGACAAUAAGACUUUCUCAUUUCAUUAUGAUUCUCACAUAUUUUAUGCUCGUCACAGUACAACACAGUUUUGUAUUUGGUGUGAGUGAGCAGUAAAGAAUUCUAUGGAAGAUGCUAGUGACUACCGGUGGUAUAUAACCAGGUAAAAAUAAUGCUCAGUUGAUAAUCCUUAUAAGGGAGGCUCUUACUAUUUCUUCCUCUUUAACAUUGAGUUGUUUUAAUGUACAUACUAGCUGGUUGCUCAAGUGUUCUAUCAUUAUAAUGUAUACAUUGGAUACAAUAUUUGUUCAAUGAGGUAUCUAACUAGCUUGCUGAUGGCCGGGGACUAUAGAUUUAUUCAUUGCUAAUUGGUUAUAUUCGUUGUACCUGUUAUGCCUCAAUCAUAAUGGCAUAGUGACAAUAAAAGGAAAACGAAUUAUAAAUAUUUCACAUAGCAUGCUCUAGUUAUCUACAACUAUUGUUUUGGACUUCUGGUUUGGCAUUUAUAAUAAGUUGGCAUAUGUCUUUGAAUUCAUAUAGUUUGUAGCAUGACCUAAUUGGCACAAGUCAUCCUCUGCCAUGUCUUAUAUCUUUAGUUAGUAAGAAUUAAUAUUUCCCAUGUUUCAGCCACUAUACAAAUAUUGAUCAUGGACGAAGUUCUUACCCUGUUUAGUAUUAAUUUCAUUAUCUGCUGCAACUUUAUUGUGUUAUCUGUGCACUGCCCAACUAAGUACACAUAAUUUGAGUUUAAAAUAAAGCAUGCUUCUUUACUGGAGCUCAGCUUAGUAGUUGCAUUGUAUUGUUGCAGGAGAAGCUUAAGCCGUUAAUGGAUCAACUUAACAAAGUCAAAGACUUGACUGUUCCAGAAUUUGGAAAUUUCCGAACUUGAGAAGUGCGAGCAAAUGCAAGAAUAUGUUUAUAUAUAAUAGUGUAGUGUAGUGGGAUGUUUGGUUGGAUUCGUUUAAUACUUUGAUUUGGUUGGAUUUGUUAGGUAGUUUUGUUUGGUUGGAUUUGUUAUAAACUUUGAUUUGUAUGAAAGAAUAGUUUAAUGUUUCAGUGGAUAUAGUGAAAUAUUGCAAAGUUGUUAAUUUAGUCUUGCAUUAGCACAUAUAUGUUGUAGUAGCUAAUAUAUAUAUGUUUCAAUUUAUAACAAAAAAUGUUGCAAACAUGCAACUGAAAAACAGGUGUCCAAACAUAGGACCCACAUGUGUGACCCACGUGUGGGUCCCACUUUUUUUGAAAUCAGGAGGUCUAACGUAACAUAAUAUAUUUGUUGCUAUAGGGUAGUCAGAUGUUGCAAUAUCACGUCUAUUGUAACAUAAAAAGCCGUGUUGCAGUAGGUUACCCAAAUGUUGCAAUAGAAGCCUAGGGCAACAUGAAAAAAUGCAACUUAAAUUUUAUGUUGCAAUAGCCCUUUUUCGGGCUAUGGCAACAUAUUUUGGGGUUAUGGCAUCAUUUUUUUGAUGUUGUCNNNNNNNNNNNNNNNNNNNNNNNNNNNNNNNNNNNNNNNNNNNNNNNNNNNNNNNNNNNNNNNNNNNNNNNNNNNNNNNNNNNNNNNNNNNNNNNNNNNNNNNNNNNNNNNNNNNNNNNNNNNNNNNNNNNNNNNNNNNNNNNNNNNNNNNNNNNNNNNNNNNNNNNNNNNNNNNNNNNNNNNNNNNNNNNNNNNNNNNNNNNNNNNNNNNNNNNNNNNNNNNNNNNNNNNNNNNNNNNNNNNNNNNNNNNNNNNNNNNNNNNNNNNNNNNNNNNNNNNNNNNNNNNNNNNNNNNNNNNNNNNNNNNNNNNNNNNNNNNNNNNNNNNNNNNNNNNNNNNNNNNNNNNNNNNNNNNNNNNNNNNNNNNNNNNNNNNNNNNNNNNNNNNNNNNNNNNNNNNNNNNNNNNNNNNNNNNNNNNNNNNNNNNNNNNNNNNNNNNNNNNNNNNNNNNNNNNNNNNNNNNNNNNNNNNNNNNNNNNNNNNNNNNNNNNNNNNNNNNNNNNNNNNNNNNNNNNNNNNNNNNNNNNNNNNNNNNNNNNNNNNNNNNNNNNNNNNNNNNNNNNNNNNNNNNNNNNNNNNNNNNNNNNNNNNNNNNNNNNNNNNNNNNNNNNNNNNNNNNNNNNNNNNNNNNNNNNNNNNNNNNNNNNNNNNNNNNNNNNNNNNNNNNNNNNNNNNNNNNNNNNNNNNNNNNNNNNNNNNNNNNNNNNNNNNNNNNNNNNNNNNNNNGCUUAUCCUCGUAUGUAGUUUGUUUAUGGUUAUGUACCUGACCAUGUACUCGUACAUUUUUAUUUCUUGAUCUGAUUAUGUACUCUUAGUCUAGUAGAUCGGUUGUUACGUUAUUAUGCAGUUCUUGUGCAUUCUUAUGUCAUAAUGUUUUAUAAUGAUUCAAGCAUUGAAAUUCAUAUGGACAAUAAAGGAAACCUAACAUAACAUAAUAAACGACAGAACACUAAAACACAUACACAUGUUGAUCUUUCUCGAAACCAGUAAAACUGACUUUAUUUUGACUAAACUUUACAUAUAUCAAAUAACUGAAAAAAAUAAUAUAAAAUUUGAAUUACUUGAACAACAAAAGUUGAGACAUUACAUAUAAGAUACAAUACAUAUAGUAAUGGGGGUGAUCUUUUGGAGAAAAUACCUAACUCAAAGGGAUUUCUUCAAAUAAUUUGAGAUGGGUCAGAGCUUCAAGAAUCUGUGUACUCUGCUUUUACAAGUACAAAGUGGGAAAAAGUGAGACAUAAAUAAAAUGUAGUGAAGUAUUUGAGAUGGGAGAAAGUAAAACUAACUUAAUUUCAUAUUAAUAUUGUGAAGAUAUUAGCAUAGAAUGAUAAAUAUACAUUUCUACUACCCAUUUAUAAAAGAAAUAUUAUAAAAUAUAAAACUCUACGCUUUAAAUUUAAAUUGUUUUAAGUUGUUUUCUAUUAAAUUAUUUUCCCCACAGGGGAAAAUAAUAUUAAAUUGUUUUAAUAUUAUUGUUUUAUUAUUAUUUGAUUAUUAAAUUAACGAGUACAUAAUUUGUAAAGUUUAGUGCUAAGAUAUAUAUAUUAUUUAAUUUUAUUAAUUAUAUUAAUUUCACAAAACAAUUAAAAUUUGAUUUUAAAUAAAAUAUUAAAUAUAUAAUACAAUAAUAUUAAAUGGCGUAUAAUCAGUGUUACAGAAAUCGGGAAUCGGACCUAAUCGGUUGAGCUACCGAUUCAGGGAUUAAUCGGAAAUCGGAGAUUAAUCGGACUGAAAAUCGGAUUUAUUUUAAUAUUAAAAUAUUAUUUAUUAUUUAGUUAUUAUUAUAUUAGGUAUCUAGUAACUAAUAUAUUUACUAUAUUCAUAAACUCUAUAAUUAUUCAUAUUUAAAGUAAUAUAGUAUUUUAAUUCUAAUAAUUUAUCACAUAUACUUCUAUUAGAAAAUAUGUUAUAAGGAUUAAUCGGAUUUUAAAAAUCGAAUCGGUGGCCGACCUUGCAGGAGAUUAAUCGAGGAUUAAUCAGUUAAAUCGGGGAUUUUUAGAACAUUCGGCGUAUUAUAAUACAAUUAUAUCAAAAUUUAAAAAAAAAUCAGUACCUCAGUUUGGGUAUCGGUCAGCCACCUAGGACAAGUGAAUGAGUGAAACCGCUACAAAAAAUGUAGUAGUAUGGGUCGCCCCUGUCAAGGGCGAUCCUAACUGUAUUUUGUAACAGUAUGGGUCGCCCCUGACGAGGGCGACCUGAACGGGGAAAAACUUCAGCUUGGGUCGCCCGACUUUUUUUGAUUUAGGCUGGUUAGUUUUGAAAAGUUGAACGUAGGCUGGUUAGUUUUGAAAACUUUACGUUCGAACUGGUUACUUUUGUAAGGGAGCCCAGCCUCCACCAUUGCAGCUCUGAGCAGCCAUGAACCAGGUUAUACUCCAGUCUCCUUUUCUCCCCCGCGUGUGUAAGUCUGUACUGCAGCCCACAUUUUCAACACGCUUCUGUCCUAAGCUUCGCAAGAAAUAUCUUUUUUUUGAAAUUCAAAAAAUUUGCGCACCAUAUCAUCGUCCAGCCAAACCACCAUCGGCGAAUCAGCAAAUAUACAUAUCAGAUCUAAUAUACACCAAUCUGAGCUUUGAUGACUGAGGUUUGAUUUGUGUUUUAUUUAAUAAAAUGAUAAAAUGAUGUCUUCUUUCAUGAUCAUGCGAUUAAUCGAUUGUAACUUUAAGGGAGAUGGAACAAGCAAUUCACGACGUCUAUUUACCUCCGAAGACAUGAUUAGUGGUAUGGUUACAUAAAUUUAACUUCUCUAUUUUUCUACCAUGUGUGGCCUAAUUGUUUCAUCUCUUGCUUUGUAGGUUAUCAGUCCAAAAAGCGGAGGAAAAGGGGCUACACAAUUAAGAGAUGAAACAGUAUUGAGCAUGUGAGCUUUAAAACUUGAUGAUUAAAUUUUUCAUAUUAUAUUUGUUCUGUAUUUAGAAAUUUGUGGAGGAUGUGUUUGAUAAUAUGUCUGAGAGAAGAAGUUAAUAAAUUUAUCGUGUUGAGGAUGUGUUUGAUGAUAUGUCCGAGUGAAAAAAUUAAUAAAUUUAUUUUCAAAAUGUUGCGAACAAAUUGUAAUUUAUAUCUAGCAGCUUCAAAUAAUUUUUUUUAGAGCAAAAAGAAUCGCAAUUGCAUGUGAAGAGAUGCACCUCCCUGAUAUUAGACUUUUAGUGUAAUUGCAUGUGUAACUAAACCGCUUGACUAUAAUGUUGGUGUAGAGUACGGAGCUUUAAUUUAUGAUGUUCUCCUCAAUCUGUCCAAAUUAUAGCUGAUCGUGGGAAUCAACUUUAGGGUAAGCUCUGCUCUGAAACUCAUUUUCUUAUAUUGGAACUUGGUUAUUUCUUAAAUGAAACGACUUUGACGUUUUCACCGAGUAGUCAUAGAUGCGUGAGUUGUACAAUAGUAAAAGAAAAAUAAAUUACAUAAAGACUGUCUGAGGUAAAAUAGUAUACAAGCUGCAAUUUUAUAUUUGGUACAUUGACGUAAAAAGUUAUUGUUAUGUUCAGGGGGAGGUGCUGAGAAAUGACAUGAUUAUAUCAUACGAGCGGCGACAAACUACUGAAGUUGCAAAAGAAAUGAUCUUAAAGAAAGCAGAGAAAGUGGGGGAGUUUUUUCAAGAAAAGAAUUUAAAGAGGAGAUGAGAUGCCAGAGUAUUACGCGCUAUUGCCGAAACAGGAUUAAAAACUAUAUUGGGUAUCUCUUCUUGAUCUCUUGAUUAAUUCCACUAGGAAGCUUCAAUAUUAUAUAGGAAGUUUUCUUUUUAAGCUUAAUUUUGAAUUUGAAUCCUCAAACUAUAACUACUGUAUAUCUCUUUAUAUUAUAGCUCCUGACGCCGGGAACUUCCCCUUCUACAACCAGCCCAACUGUACAUAACAGUUGCUUGCUUAUGAAUUUCAAAUUUAUAUUAUAAUGUUUAUAUGUAAUAUUGAAUCAAAGUUGCUUGCUUGCUUAUGUAAUAUUGAAUAUCUACUGUUGGAUGAUUGUUAACUGCUGUGUUACCAAGUGUUUGAUUAAAUUCCUACAAGUUUUGUUUGAAUUUUGUUCUUUAUUUAUCAUUAGUAUGUUUCAUUUUUAUGUUUGACUCUAUGCUAAUCGCUGAUAAGAUUUCUAUGAUUAUAGGAGAUGAGUGUUCUUAUGGCAUGAAUGAUAUUGGAAAAGUGAAAUGUGUUGAUGCUUUGUGUAAAUAAAUCAUGAUCUGCCGUUAUAGUUUUCUGUUUGUUUUCAAUUUGUGUGUACCUAGGUGGUUGUUACUGAGCAUUGAUCAACUGUGUUAAUUAAUUUAUUAAAAUGGAGUUGAGUCUGAGAACUAAAGGGCAAUUAUAUACUUCUUUAGGCUUUCCUUAACAUGUUUUUAUUCAUUAAAAAAAAUCGAUGAGUUUUUAUAAAUAUAUAUACUCUGUUAUUUUCUCUGUACCUAAUUAAAAGGAUUUUAAUUCGAAUUAUAGGUGUUUGUCAUGUGAAUAUUAUCUAAAAGAUAAUGGGGCCGUUUGGGUUAGCUUAAAAGAAGUGACUUUUUGCUUAUAGUAAAGAAGUGGAGUAGAAGUGAGAAGUAAAUAAGUUAAUAAAGUGUUUGGAAAAGAAGCAGAAGCUGUGAGAGAGAAGCUAGCAUUCUCAGCUUCUUAAAAGUGCUUCAACUUCUUUACACAAACAGGUCAAGAGAAGCAGAAGCCAGAAGCAGCUUCUGCUUCUCUUGGCCAAACAGGCCCAAUAUCUUUAAGGUCUCUUGCAUUGGUCAUUUAAUGUGUUAAUUAAAAGUUUACAUUUAAAUUUUUUGAUCUAAUAAUUUUGGAUAGAUGGUUUGUGAGGUUAAUGAAUGAACUAAUAUGGAAUGAUAAAAUGUAGGAGGUCUGGAAAGAUGGGUUUCAAUGCAGGUUUAUUGCUACUUUCCUUCAGGUCUGCAUUGCUUUGGUCUGUCUUCAGGACUGAGACUGUGAUUGGUUUCGGAACAGACACAAGUAUAUAUAUGGACCAAUGCAAAGCACCUGAUUAUCAUACUUUAGGCUUUUGCUCUGCUUUCUAUGGUAAAAAAAAGUGACAUUACUUCGAAUCUGAUACAGUUUAUCCAAGAGCUUGCUUCAAUAUUAAGAAUGCAAUACGUGUUGCAGAUAAAAUUUUGACCAGCAACAUUGGGGCACCCAACCCAAAUCUAGCAACAUUGGCCGUGGAGCUUUAAAUAUCUCCGUAAGAUUCUUUUCCCUCGCAGGCAGGCAUCUUUUUCUGCGAAAAAUAUACAAGAAAAAAGGACUAAUUUGUUUAAUUGAAAAUAAAUUUCGGAUGAGUUGGAUUAAGAAUCAAAUGGAGAGUCCUGUUUUGGUUUCAUUUUGAUGGAGAGGUUGCUUAGGUCCUGUUUUGAUCGAAAGGUUGAAAAAAUAUUUGGUAUUUUUUGGUCUCAUUUUGGUUUGUUUCGUUCCUUCACAGGUGUGCAACAAGUGAUGAUAGUAUUUAAACAUGAUUAGCAAACUGCCCAGCAAUCCAUGCAUGGCAAGGGGAAUGCACAGCUUAAUGAUUUCAGUCUCCGUACCAUCCAAGUGCAACAAAAAUCAAUUAUCUUGUGAUGUCUAGGAUUCUACAAAAGUAAGAAGCCUUCAUUCAUCUUCAUUCAUCCCCUGUUACUAGAAAAGCAUUGGUAGCCUAUAAGCAGGUACACUAAGUAGCUCACCUAAUUUUUGCAUUUCAGUAUCAACGGAAAGUGGUGCAGGACUCCACUUUAUAAUUAAAUUAUGUGUCUAAAUUAUGCGUGUUGUAAUGUUUAGUGACCAUGUUCCAGACCCGACAUGUCCUUACUUGGCAGAUCAAGUUAUCCAAGAUUUGGGAAGGAGUUUCGCCUUUGAGAUCUCCAACAAGUAAGAAGAAAUAAUGUCAAGGAAUGAACUAAUGUAAAAUGAUAAGAAGAUGAAGGUAUAAAACAAUGAUUAUAAUGUAGGCUUCUUCGUAAUGUAAUGAACAAAAUAAUGGAGUAACUAUAACUAUUCUUGCUGCAAGCCUGUGUUUGUUUAAUGCUAUCUGGCAGUAGUUUAGCAUUGGUAUAUUCCUUAAGGUGGAUUUGGAUAGAGUGAGAGGAGACAUUACUUAUCUUUACCUAGCUACUGCUUUUCAUGAGAUUUGGGCAGAGCGUAACAUUAGAAUUCAUCAUCCUAAGAGUUUUAAAGUUGCAAACCGGCUUAUCAAGGACAUAAUAGCCUCUGUUACUAUUUUUACAUGCUCCUCUAUUGUUGUGUGAACUUGCUGAACUCCUUUUUUCUGUUGUUCUACUUACUAAAAUCUUUUUAAUUUUCUUUUGUUAGGUACACUAAGUGGUUCACUCAAUUUUGGCAUUUUAGUAUCAUUGGCAAGUGGUGUAGGACUCCAUGAUUCUGUGUUGUCCACAAGCAACGAAAAAAANNNNNNNNNNNNNNNNNNNNNNNNNNNNNNNNNNNNNNNNNNNNNNNNNNNNNNNNNNNNNNNNNNNNNNNNNNNNNNNNNNNNNNNNNNNNNNNNNNNNNNNNNNNNNNNNNNNNNNNNNNNNNNNNNNNNNNNNNNNNNNNNNNNNNNNNNNNNNNNNNNNNNNNNNNNNNNNNNNNNNNNNNNNNNNNNNNNNNNNNNNNNNNNNNNNNNNNNNNNNNNNNNNNNNNNNNNNNNNNNNNNNNNNNNNNNNNNNNNNNNNNNNNNNNNNNNNNNNNNNNNNNNNNNNNNNNNNNNNNNNNNNNNNNNNNNNNNNNNNNNNNNNNNNNNNNNNNNNNNNNNNNNNNNNNNNNNNNNNNNNNNNNNNNNNNNNNNNNNNNNNNNNNNNNNNNNNNNNNNNNNNNNNNNNNNNNNNNNNNNNNNNNNNNNNNNNNNNNNNNNNNNNNNNNNNNNNNNNNNNNNNNNNNNNNNNNNNNNNNNNNNNNNNNNNNNNNNNNNNNNNNNNNNNNNNNNNNNNNNNNNNNNNNNNNNNNNNNNNNNNNNNNNNNNNNNNNNNNNNNNNNNNNNNNNNNNNNNNNNNNNNNNNNNNNNNNNNNNNNNNNNNNNNNNNNNNNNNNNNNNNNNNNNNNNNNNNNNNNNNNNNNNNNNNNNNNNNNNNNNNNNNNNNNNNNNNNNNNNNNNNNNNNNNNNNNNNNNNNNNNNNNNNNNNNNNNNNNNNNNNNNNNNNNNNNNNNNNNNNNNNNNNNNNNNNNNNNNNNNNNNNNNNNNNNNNNNNNNNNNNNNNNNNNNNNNNNNNNNNNNNNNNNNNNNNNNNNNNNNNNNNNNNNNNNNNNNNNNNNNNNNNNNNNNNNNNNNNNNNNNNNNNNNNNUUUUACAUGCUCCUCUAUUGUUGUGUGAACUUGCUGAACUCCUUUUUUCUGUUGUUCUACUUACUAAAAUCUUUUUAAUUUUCUUUUGUUAGGUACACUAAGUGGUUCACUCAAUUUUGGCAUUUUAGUAUCAUUGGCAAGUGGUGUAGGACUCCAUGAUUCUGUGUUGUCCACAAGCAACGGAAAAAAAGCCUGCAGAAAUGUUUCGAAUACUUUGAACGAAAUAAAGGUACAUUAUUAGGCAAGUGAUUGUGGCGGCAGAGAUAGCAGUUUGAUUGCUACACAAUUAUGUGUUUCACAAGAUUUUGCUAUUUUAAAUUAUAGUAAAUUUGAUUAAAUCCCACUCGGAAAGUUUGAAAUUUCUUGAUGUUGCUUAGUUAAAAUUUGGAUAUGGACAAUUAUGAUAUUUGUGAAUUUGGGUUCUUUUUAUAGGUGAUUUUUGAACAUUGCUAGAAUGAUAUAUGAUCUCAGGCCUCACACUCUUAACAUCUUUACGAGGCUUACGAGGUUCGAGAUGAGUUGGUUACUUAACAUGAUUCGUUUAAUUUAAUUAUGUGUUUGUGUAGUUGGGUUGAUUUGUUGUUUGUUUCGUUUAAUUGUACAAUUAAGGAGAUGGUGUUUACAAUAAUAAUAUUGAAGAUAGUUUGUAACUAGAGUAUGUUGUUAAUAAUUUGGUUAUGAGAAAUUGAGGCCGACACAAGUUUAAUCUGGCUUUCUCGAGAUGAUCUGACCUCGAGAAGAAAGAUUAUCUCAAAGUAGUUUUGUAAGUUGCUUCUCUCUGUUUUUGGACAAUGUAAAUUCUUACAUUACAUCUGCCUCUUGCAGGUAACAUCUUUGCUUUUAGGCUCUUUAUAUCGCCGAUGUAAGUUUUGCUCCAUAAAUUUCAGUGUUUGGCUAGAUCUCCUACAACUGUACUUUUAAAGAAAAAUAGAAGAAAUCAAGAACUGAGUUUACUGUACUUUUGCAGUGAUAAUCAGAUAUGUACCGGUUUUGCUUCGCAUAGUCACACCUUUUCUUUGUACAAUUGCAGACCCACUUUUAGGGGUAUUAUGAUGAGGAACGAGUGUACAGAAGACUUCUCAGGUCUUCCAUAUCUAUAUGCCCUCCUGCACUGCUUGAUUUGUGCCUGGUAUGGCAUGUCGUUUAUGUCAGAUGAUAAUGUGCUUGAUAACUGUAACCUUAUACAGCUACAUUUACUUUAAAUGUCUUGAACACAGUGGUUGCAAAUAAUGGUUAAAUGAUUAAUAUUUACACUGAUCUACUGCUUUUACACUGAUCACUGCUUAUGAUGUUGAAAAACCAAAAUUUGGUGGAGAAAUUGGGAUCAAUGGAGGGAGCUUGCACUGACACACGAAAUCUGUCAAAGCCUAGAUUACAAAGUAAUACUUUACUUGACUGAUCGACGGUUCAACUCAGCAGGAUAUGGAGUAUGCUCGCAGUGUACAUAACAUCCAAUCUCCCAAGGUCUCAUCAUCUACUUUGGAGACAACCUCAAAAUGGGUGUAGUUGCACUUGCACCCAAAAAUGAAGCCAGUGCAAAAAUCAAAGAGAUGACCCAUUUGUUAAAAAUGUUGAGGCUGAAGAGUACAAGGGAACCAAGGUCAGAGAUGUCUCCUCCGCUAAGAGAUGAGGAAAUAUGGCAGUCGUUGGUAUUUGGGAAAUGCAUGUUAGCAAAUACAUGGAUUAUAAAUUGUAUGAGUGACAGGAUGAUAAUAUAGCGUCUCAUAGUCUAAUAUUGCCAAUGACAGGGCUAAUAGCAAUAGCACUUUCAAAAGUAGGUUUGCAGCUGUGAAAUUCACUCAAAGUUGUGAAAUUUGUGAAAUUUGCUUUUGCUCUAACAUGUAAUACCCCGGGUUCCAUUCUUUUGUUUACUUGAAUUUGAAUUGUAUUGUUAUCUUUGUUUUUUUAUUAUAAUUAUCCAAAAAUAGAUGUCCAUCUUGACUUUUGGUUGGUUAUUAGACAGAGGAAUUGAGCCCGGAAAUAAAAGUGUUACUAAUUAUCAUCCAUUAUUAAAGCAAUUAUUAUAUUAGACCAAUUUUAUUUUUGCACUAUUUGAAAUAUUCACUUUAUCUGAAUGAUGAAUGGUUCUUCUUUCAGUUAAUACAGUGUCAUUCACUGGUUAACAAAUGACCUCUUAAAUUAUUCAUGAAAUCAUUUAAAAAUAUAUAAAGUUUAAUUGACAAAUUUAUCUUUUUUAAUAAAAUUAUACUCAAAUUUUUGGUUGAAAUGUAUGUAGCUUUAAGAUUAUAAUCACUUUUAGCCGAAAGUACUUUAAUAUUAGUGUUCAUAAAAAUAAUUUUUGAAUAACUUAUUAAUGAUUAAUUAUUUUAUGUAACGGUUUAAUAAAAUUAUACAAAUAUAAUGAUUUCUAAUUUGAGAAUAGUUUUUUAUAGUUCAAAACAAAAUUUAUAAUAAAAAAAUUUAACGAGUUAUCAGUAAUUAAUAAUAUACAUUUACAAUUAAAUUAUCCAAAUUAAUUAUAAAAUAUUAAAAUUUAAAAUAUUUGACUAAAGUGCGAGGCGUCACCGCUCGGCGACGUCGAGGGGCACUUGAUAGAAUAUGACUUUUCAUAUAUUACAAAGUUUAGCUAUAUAAUUAUUUUGAUUAUAAGAUAUUAAAAUAUAAAAUAUUCGACUAAAGUGUGAGGCGUCGCCGCUCGACGACACCGAGGAGGACUUGAUAAAAUAUGACUUUUCAUAUAUUACAAAUGUUUAGCUAUAUAAUUAUUUUGAUUAUAAAAUAUUAAAAUAUAAAAUAUUCUACUAAAGUGUGAGGCGUCACCGGUCGGCGACGACGAGGAGCACUUGAUAGAAUAUGAUCUUUCAUAUAUUACAAAGUUUAGCUAUAUAAUUAUUUUGAUUAUAAGAUAUUAAAAUAUAAAAUAUUCGACUAAAGUGCGAGGCGUUGCCGCUCGGCGAGCCGAGGAGUACUUGAUAAAAUAUGACUUUUCAUAUAUUACAAAUGUUUGGCUAUAUAAUUAUUUUGAUUAUAAAAUAUUAGAAUAUAAAAUAUUCGACUAAAGUGCGAGACAUCGCCGGGGAGCACUUGAUAAAAUAUGACUUUUCAUAUAUUACAAAUGUAUUAUAUAAUUAUUUUGAUUAUAAAAUAUUAAAAUAUAAAAUAUUCGACUAAAGUGCGAGGUGUCGCCGAGGAGUACUUGAUAAAAUAUGACUUUUCAUAUAUUGAAAAUGUUUAGCUAUAUAAUUAUUUAAAUUAUAAAAUAUAAAAUAUUCGACUAAAGUGCGAGGCGUCGCCGAGCGGCGACGCCGAGAAGUACUUGAUAAAAUAUGACUUUCAUAUCUUUAAAAAUAUUAUGUAAUUUUCGAACGUAAAUGAAUUUUAAUUACGAAUUAACUUUUAUAAAUACUCAAGUUAUACAACGGUUUUUGUUGAAUUUGAUUUUUAUUUUACACUGAACUUUUAUUUUUAUAACUACAAAAUCACAAGUUAUAUUUAAUAUUUUUUUUAUAACUCAAUUGUUGUUUUCUUGCAUAUAAAAGUUUGUAAGUAUAAGUAAUGGAUAUAAUAACGUCAUAUUAAUUUUCAAAAUAUAAUCAAUAUUUUAAAUCUUAUUGACAAAAAAAGGACUAAAUUCUAUCUAUUAUUUUAAAAUAUUAUUUUAAAAUAUUAUUGUAUAUACAAAUACUCACAAAUACUCCAUGACGCUGACGAACAUCCAAUAAUCAUUAUCAGGUAGUGAAAGAUCUGAGGAACACAUUAAAAUUUGUACUUCAAUAAAACACAAUUGAAAGAUGAAUUUUAGCCAAAAUAAAUAUGCAUGAAUACAGGUUGGCAAAUUGGCGUAACAACCACUGAGCUACUCAAGUACAAGGACUCGAUGAAAGGCCUCUACUACUCCCAGAACCUGAAAAUGCUAUUUCUAUAAUUCCAUCACGUUAUUUAUCUUAUUUAAUGUACUGUUCUGUGAUAACGUAUGGGAACUCGCUAAUAUGGAAUGCUAGCUUUGCAUUUGGUCUCCUCGCCAUAUUCACAAAUCAUUAGGAUUCAUAUAGAAUUGGUGCGUGUUCAAAACAGAAUUUUUUCAAGCACAAGAUCAGCAAAAAUAAAUUUAUUAAUCUUCUGCAAUUUAAAAUGCCCAGCAAGGCGGGCAUAAAUACUAGUUCUUCAUAUUUACACAACCAUUGAUCUGUCUUGCAACAAAUUUCAAGGAGAAGUUCCAAAGGUUACAUGAGAGCUUAAAUGGCUUGCAUUGCUCAAUCUAUCUCAUAAUAGUCUCACCGGACAUAUCCCAUCACUCCUCGGAAAUAUGGAAGCACUCCUAUCUCUAGAUUUGUCUUCAAAUCAAUUGACAGGGGCUAUUCCACACCAAUUAACUAAAUUGACAUUUCUAAAGGUGUUGAACCUCUCGGGAAAUAAUCUUACUGGGGAAAUCCCGCAAAAAGGGCAAUUCAGCACUUUUGGAAAUGAGUCAUACUUGGGGAACCCGGCCUUGUGUGGACUUCCUUUGACGGAAAAAUGCAUGCAUGCAGUGUCACCAACUCAAGAAGUCGGAAAUGGUGAUACUGAUGAAGAUGACGAUGCUGAUGAUGAACUUAAUUGGGAAGCCAUCCUGAUGGGAUAUGGAUGUGGAUUGAUAUGCGGAUUGUCUUUGGGGUACAUUGUUUUCAAGAUAGGAAAGCCUUGGUGGUUUGUGAAAUACAUUAAAAUACUACAACUGAAAUUGAUGAAAACAUGCACAAAGCAUAGCAGACGAAAGACUUGAGGAGAUGUUGUCUUAGGAUGCAAUCUCGUUUAAUACUUUCAUCAUUAUUCUCCAAGAUGUCUGAACAUGUAUUUUCAAAGAAUUCUCAGUUCACCUUUAGCCUUAUAAAGUAAAAGACAUUUUAAAGGCACUCUCAACUUACACCUAUAUAUACACGUACGGUUCACUUCAGUACAAAGAUUAUUAGCCAUGCAAAACAUGCAGAACCACUAGUAAUGCAGAAAAACAAAAUAUCAGUUUUCUCCAAAUAUCACUACAACAAAACUGCCAUUUUACGACGGAAAUCUAAUAUUCUAAAGGUUUACGACCAAACUAUGUUGGUGGACUUUAUUUUAAUUUACAGUUUUAACAGUAGUUAAUUUUGGAUAUCUAAACUUGCGACAGAAAACAUACGACAGUCUACCUCGCGAGAGAAAAUCAUUUUAUUUUAUUUUUUAGCGCCAGAAUUUUAAUACUAAAAUAUUAUAUAUAUGAAGGAAACUGAUCUCUAAUGUUUUCAGCUUGCUCAUCCAUAUGUAAGUAAUCCGUCGAAAAAGUUAGUUUGUUGUGGUGGUGUCUUAUCAUGAGAGAAAAUGAUAAUAUCGCAAAAUAUUUGCAACUGAAAGAUAAAUUAUAAUUCUAGAAACCAUUUAGGUAACGAUGCACGAAGUUAUUUUCACUCACUUAGAAUUAAUGAUCAUAAAUAUUUGCAACGGAAAGAUACAUUAUAGUUCUAGAAAAGGAUCCACGAAGUUAUUUUCACUCACUUAGAAUUAAUUGUAAGUUAUUGUGAGUUUUUGAAUAUGGAUUAUCUCAAAUUUUAUGAAAACACAUAUUGAUUCAUAUAUACAAAUUUGCCUACCUAAUAUUAUAAUAUUUAUGGAGAAGUUGUAUGAACAAUUGUGUAGAUAAUUAUACUUUACAAAGCAUACUUCUGCUAGAUGAAUUUUGAUUAAACAAAAUCGAAAGGGAUAGGUCUGGGUCUCUCCAAGUCUUUGAGGACUCAUUCCAAGUCUUCUGACGAGGACAAAAUAUAUUGCUGGUAGUCUUUCAGUCCUUCCUAGAGUAUUUUAUGCUCUGGACUGCAUUAUGCAGCUCUCAUAUAACUUUGCGAUGCAAAACAGUGGCAAGUAAGUAUUUCCGUAUGUGUAUUUAUUUGUAUAUUAAAGUUGCGUAACAUUUGUGUUGAUAAUUUGCGUAAUGUUGAUGAGGAUUGCUCCCAAGUCUUGGACGGACUCUUUCCAAAUCUUCUGAGGACAUAUCGGUUCAAAUUAGUCCAUUAAAAAUUUUAUGAUAUGAAGCUAUCUGCAAAAUAAUAUAUAAGGUAAAAUGAACCAUUGUUUUGUGGUUAAGUUGUACAGGCAAUAUGCAGUGCAAAAUCAGGAACAGAAUAUAUGAAUACUAGUAAUAUGAUAUCGGUAUGAACGAAUAUUUUCUAUGUAGUUGUUAUUGUGAUGCGGAAAAAAUAUUGUAACCAAAAAUAAUUAUAAUUCUAAAAAUUUCCAUUAUACACUUUUUUAGUGUUCGUGGUACUUCAAAUGACAUUUCUCGCGUAUGCCUCCAAUUAAGAACUUGAUGUUCAGCAUAGUCCGAAACUAAAAUUAUUAUAAGUGUGUAAUUCAAAAUUAUAUUGCUGGUAGUCUUUCAGUUCUUCCUAGUGUAUGCAGUAGUUUCAUUCGAUACCGAUUAUUUUAUGCAUUGCCCGAGAACCAGUCUAUCUAAAACCCUAAGAUGUUAUAUUUUUAUACGUGUAUUAGUUUUGAAGAUUAAAGUUGUAUGGACAAUUGUGUUAAUAAUUUGCGCAAUUGCGCAAUGAUAACUGGGAUAGGUCAUCUUCUCUCCCAAGUCUUGGAUGGAAUCUUUCCAAGUCUUCUGAGAACCCAUCAGCUCAGAUUAGUCCAUACAAUGUCAAGGGUCCUAUGAUAUGGUCUACUAACAGCCCAGUGUCGGUAAUAAAUCCAAUUGCAUAUAACCUAUUCAAAAUCAAUCCCCUAUAAACAAUCAUCUCUAAAAACUAUUCACAUAAAAUAAAAUUUUAAAAAUAUAAAAUAUCUAGUUGUUUUCAAUAUAUAAUUUUCCACAGUAGAUAACACAAUAUCUUUAUCAAAUUAUUAUUUAUGGGUUCAAUAUUUAAGCUAUAAUUCCAACAACACGGCAAGCAUGCAGCAUAUAAAUAGAAGUGUGCAGUAUGGUAUUGCAUUCAUAACCCAGUUGAGGAAAAAUAUGGCACCCUUCCUAAAGCCUUCUCACCUUCUUCUCUUUGUUUUCUUUCUCUCAUCACCUGAGUCCAUUCUUGCGACAACACGAGAAGGAGAAGCUCUUGUGAAGUGGAAGAAUAGCCUAGCCCCUUCUUCUUUUCUUGAUUCUUGGUCACUCACUCAUCUCGAUAAUCUUUGUAACUGGACUGGCAUUACUUGUAACUCUGCAGGUUCAGUCUCUAAGAUUAACCUUUUUGAGAAACAACUUAAUGGAAUGCUGUCCGAGUUUGGUUUCACUUCAUUUCCAAAUCUCAGCAAUCUCACCCUCACAUACAACUUCUUCUCGGGUCCCAUACCACCAGCCAUUGAGAAUUUAACCCAGCUUCGGUAUCUUGAUUUGAGCUAUAAUUAUCUGGAUGGUCCCAUUCCGUUCCAGGUUAGCCAUCUUCAGAGCUUGCUCAUCUUGAACCUGUCACAGAAUGCAUUGCAAGCUCCAAAUUGGUCCCAUUUCUCUCCCAUGCCUUUCUUGCGCAUCCUCAACCUCAGUUACAAUCCUCUUGCGUCGAAAUUCCCAAAUUUUAUAUCCAAUUCUCAUAGCCUGACUCACCUUAGCCUUAAUUUUAAUGAGUUUACUGGUGAUCUAGUACGUGAAUCAAUAUUUGCCAAUCUGCAUAAUCUUGAAGUCCUCAGUCUUCUUGGCAAUUUUUUUGAGGGGCCAUUUCCGCCAGAUAUAUUCAAGCUUUCCAAAUUAAAACAUCUUCACCUGUCAGGUAACAAAUUCUCAGGUUCAAUUCCAAAUGACAUAAGGUUGCUUUGUGGUCUUGAAAACCUAUUUUUAAGCAACAAUUCCUUUGAAGGACCGCUUCCACCAAAUAUAUUUAAGCUUUCAAAAUUAAAACAACUUGUUCUUUGGAGUAAUAAUUUUUCAGGUUCUAUUUCCAAUGAUAUAGGUUUGCUUUCUGAACUUGAAACCCUCAAUCUUCAAUUUAAUUUUUUUGAGGGGCCGCUUCCCCCACAUAUAUUUAGGCUCUCUAAGUUAACAGGUCUAGAACUCGGAGACAAUAGAAAUUUAUUUGAAGGAAGUAAUAUUCCUAUCGGACUGGGACUCUUGACUAACCUCAGGUACUUAGAUUUACAUUCCAGUAAUCUCAGUGGCUAUAUUCCAUCUGACAUUGGAAACCUGAAGCUACUAGUACUUCUUAGUCUCGGUUCUAAUCAAUUGACUGGACCGCUUUCAAAGAUCGUUUAUAAUCUCACAAAUCUUAUAUUUCUUGAUGUAAGUAAUAAUAGUCUUAGUGGAAAUAUUCAGAGUGACUUGUGGAAAUAUAACCAUCAUCCUACUUUGGAAUACAUCGAUUUUAGUGGGAACCAUUUUACAGGUAUAUUUUUUCUCUAUAGAUCUUUUCCUUUUGUCAUAUGUAACUAAGCUAGUAAUCUGAUUAUUGCAGUUUUACUGAAGUUUCAACAAUCUUGACAGGUGAGCUUCCAACAACAAUUUGCAAUGUCAUGUCCCUUUCGGUUCUUGAUUUGUCAAAUAAUGAAUUAAGUGGUGCACUUCCAAACUGUUUCGGGAAUCUUGCUGAUGGAUUGCUUUACAUUAAUCUUGCUAAUAAUCAGUUUCGAGGAACAAUACCAACUACUUUCUCCAGGAGUUGUCAGCUGACAUAUCUAAACAUGGAUAAUAAUGAGUUUGAAGGAUUGUUGCCCCCAUCUUUGGCGAACUGUAAGCACUUGAGAAUUCUUGAUAUUGGCAAUAAUAAAAUAGGUGGUACAUUUCCGUCAUGGCUUUAUGUACUUGGAGAGCUAGAAGUCCUUGUCUUGCGAUCAAAUAAACUCUAUGGUACAAUAAGUGGAAGGAGCAUAGAAGAUCCCUUCCCCAAGUUGCGGAUUGUGGAUCUGUCCAACAAUCAAUUCACAGGCCAUUUGCCAAUUCAAUACUUUAAGAAUAUGAAAUCAACUGAUAAUUUGUAUCGUUAUCAGAAUUCCACAGGAGUUUUUUCUUUCCAUUAUGAAGCAUCUGUCUCAUUAACUGUGAAGGGAACAGAGUAUGAAGUGAAAAAUAUCCUUCAUAUUUACACAGCCAUUGAUCUGUCCUGCAACAAGUUUCAAGGAGAAAUUCCUGACGUUAUUGGAGAGCUUAGAUGGCUUGCAUUGCUCAACUUAUCUCAUAAUAGUCUGACAGGACCUAUCCCAUCAUUACUGCGAAAUAUGAAAGGACUCCAAUCUUUAGAUUUGUCCUCAAAUCAACUGACAGGGGCUAUUCCACCUCAGAUAACUGCACUGACAUUUCUAGAAGUCUUAAACCUCUCGGGAAACCAUCUUAGUGGAGAGAUUCCUCAGAAAGGACAAUUCAGCACAUUCAACAAUGAUUCUUAUAUAGGAAACUCCGCAUUAUGUGGAUCACCAUUGACGAAGACAUGUGCAAACACAGCAUCACCUCCACAAGAAGUCGGAAAUGUUGAUGAAGAUGAUGCGGGUGAUGAAUUGACAUGGGAAGCAAUCUUGAUGGGAUAUGGAUGUGGACUGAUAUGUGGAUUGUCAUCUGCAUACAUUGUUCUCAAACUAGGAAAGCCUUGGUGGUUUGUGAGAUAUCUCGAAGUACUGCAACAGAAGUUGAUGAAAAGAUAUGCAUGAAGAAUGGUACUGGCCGAUCAAGACCAACUUGAAAGUUUGUUGUCCUUGUGCACAUUUCUGAACCAGUAGUGUACUUGCUGCAUAAGUAUUUGGUAUUAUGUAAUAAUCCGUUUGGUCGGGACUCAUAAUGAUUUCUCUUGCUUCAGGGGUAUUAAUAUUAACCUUGCUAUCUUGAUCAAUGUUAAAGCAAAUUAAAUGAAUGAAAAAACAAAAAGUAUGCAUCAAAUCCGCUCCUGCUGUACCAAAAUCCAUUAAAUUGCUUUGGUCUCUUACCUAACAAUUUAACAGCACACUUCCACACUGUUCAUACCUAAUUUGCGUGUAAUAUGAAAACUAAGAGGCAUGGCUUUUGUCUCUAUAAGUCUUUGAGAACUUAUUCUUCCAAGUCUUCUUCGGAGGCCUGCUGCCUCAACAACCUUUCAAAGAUGUAGCAGUUGCUCGAGAGUAACAUAUAUAUUAGAUAAAGACUAUGCAAUAAUCCACGUGACAGAAAAACCAAAGUCCAAUUAGUUUUCCAAGUUCAUAAAAAAUACUAUAGGAUCAUUAGCAUUACAUUAGUAUUCCACUAGCAUACAGCAUAUUAUAAGACAAAAGUAAGCGGAAAUAAACAUAAUUUCAAUAGAUUUAACUUACUCUUCAGAAUCGAUAAGUUUGGAACACGUUGAUUGAGCACAAGACGAAGGCCACACAUGCGCAUCAUCUGAUGCAGCUAUAUAUGGUGCCUUUACAGUUGCUCAUACAUAUAGUGAAACAAUAAGGAUCAACUCCUCCAUUGUACGUACACAUUUUCAUACAAGCUAUAAAGCAUGGUGAUAGAGUCUUUGCAAUCUCGUCAUGACCGGCACAUCCGAUUAUGAUAAACUCUAGCAGGAUCAUCCAAGUAAUAAUUUUCAUAAUGAUAUUAAUUAUCAUUGUGAAUAGUUGCAUUGAGUUAUAUAUGUGUGUGUAUAUAUAUGCAAUGGAUUUUGUGGUUGAGAAUAUCUAUUAGAUUUUGUAUAUCCAUAACAAUUAUUAAAAUUUAAACAAGAAUAUCUAUUAUUGGUUGUGGUUGACUAUUGUAGUAGUCCAAGAAAUCAAUGCAAGUGAAAUCUAUAUUAUAUUUUAAAAGAUUAUACAUGAAAUACAAAAGGUUUUUUUAGGACUGCUGUUAAAAAUUGUUAUGUUGUACGAAAAAAUGCUGAUAAAAAGAGUGUUAUACGAAAAAAUGCUGAUAAAAAAAAUGUCGUAUAAAUCAGAUAUGACAGCUUCCCACAAAAACUAAAAAAAACAGUUUUCCGUAAUAAUAUGGGAGAGGAAAAACUGUUUGUAGAUUUAUAGAACAAUUUUUCGGUAAAAAACUGUUGUUGUUUUCGAGAGUAAUGACAAACAGUGCCGAAAUCAUUUUGCAGGUAGUUAAUCUCACUUCCAUAUAAUAUACUCCUAUAUAUUACCGAAAAAACAUGAAAUGAUGCAAACCUCAUACUAUUGACAACAGCUAAACUCCUUGCAAUACUUUCAGCUGCAAAAUCCAUCAAAUUUUUUGAUUUAUCAUGUAACUGUUUGACAGAGUACUUCCAAGCCUAAGUAUCAAAAAUCACUACCUUACGAAAUAUAUCUCACCCUACCUUCUCUGCUUAACUGUUUCGAGUGCUUUUACCAAGCAUAUUUUCCAUUAAGCGUGAAAGGCACAGAAUAAUUAGGAUCACCGAAUAUCCCAUCAGUGCUGGGGAAUAUGGAACCAUCUUAUCAAUUAACUAGUUUAACAUUUCUUGCGGUCUUGAACCUCUCAGAAAACCAUCUUAUCCUAAUGUGCCGACUUCCUUUGACGGAGAAAUGGUGAUGCUGAUGCUAAUGAUAAUGAACUCAACUGGGGAGUGAUCCUUAUGGGAUACGGAUGUGGAUUGAUAUGCGGAUUUUCUUUGGGGUUUAUAUUUUGUGGUUUGUGAGAUACAUUGAAGUACUGCAGCUGGAGUUGAUCAUUAUAAAGAACAUAGGCAAGUUAAUCGCUUAUUGAAAUUAGUAAUUGUCAAAAGUAAAAUGUUGAAAUUACUUUUUUCGAUUGAAAUCAUUGAAAAAAAGUCUCUGUCGAAAUUGAUCUGCCAAAAUUAUGUUUAAUAUCUACGGCCAAGAUUAUCUGUCGAAUAUAUUUCCCGACAAUUUUAAAAGACAAAUUUUUCGCCUCUCAGCUGUGAGCGGGAACAGAUAUUUUCGACAGAAUUCCAUUGAAAUUAGCUAAUUUCAACAUAAAUUUUCUAUCGAAAUUACUUGAGUUCUUUGUAGCUUGUUUUCACAAAUACGCUGAUAGCCUUUGGGGACGGGUAUAUUGUUUUCACAAAGCCCUGGUGGUAUGUGAGAUGCUUCGAAGGACUGCAACUGAAGUCGAUAAGAACAUGCAGAAAGAAAACCGAUCCAUCUUGAUAAACUUGAAAAAUGUUGUCAUAUGGUGAUAUAUACUCCCUGGCCCCAGUCUCUUGGAAAGAACUUGGUUGAUUUUUUUUUUUCAGUAUUGUUGGAGCUGUCAUACUAGUGCUAGUGUGCCGACUAGCACUAGUAUGACAGCUCCAACAAGUAUCCAUCCCUAAUAAUUGCAGCAAAUUAAAAAAUAUAGCUAUAUCUUUUUAGCAAUGGUGCAAUUUGGAAAGCUUUCUCAUCAUCUUCUUCUUUUCUUUAUCUCAUUACUCUCAUCUAGUUCCACUGUCCUAUCUGCAACAAUUCGCGAAGGAGAAGCUCUUGUGGAAUGGAAGAACAGCCUAUCCCCGAAUUCAUUUCUUGGUUCUUGGUCACUAAUUAAUCUCACUUAUCUUUGUAAUUAAGUGGACUGGCAUUGUAUGCAACUCUGCAGGUUCAGUCAGUCAGAUUAAUCUUCAAGAACUCACACUUGCUAACCUCCGUUUCUUUUCGUUUCCAAAUCUCACCAAUCUCAACAUUACACAUAACAACUUCACUGGUCCAAUACCACCCGAGACUUUAGCUAUAGUAAUCUCAAUGGUACCCUUCCAUACCAGGUCAGCCAUCUUCAGAGGUCGGUCGUCUUAGGCCUCUAAUUUAAUCACUUGAAAGCUCUAAGCUUGUCCAAUUUUUCCCCCAUGCCUAUACUGGUUGGUCGCGGUCUUGGUGGUAAUAAGCUGGCGUCAAUUUUUCCAGAAUUCAUAUCUAAUUGCUAUAACAUGAUUAACCUUGAUCUUUCAUUUAACAUGUUAACUGGUGAUCCCUUCAACAACUUGCGAAUCUUGGAUCUCUUCGACAAUGAAUUCACUGGUUACUUGCCAAUCCAAUAUUUUAAUAAUAUGAAACCAGUUAAUACCGUGAUUGAUUAUUACAACAUAACAGUGAAUCAUGAUUAUCAAGCAUGUCUUGUUAACAUUUUGCACUCGUAUUAAUUGUCUUAUAUAUGACUAACUCAUCUUGCACUCGUAUUAAUUGUCUUAUAUAAUACUAAUAACAAAAAUAUGAGGCGGUGCUUAGUCAGAUGAUUUUAGUUGUUAAAAUAUUUUUGUGUUAUUUAUAGAUAGUGAAACAUGUCUAAUAUUUUAUCAAUUUUGUUUCGUUUCUUGAGAUUUCCAAAUAUUUAUUGGGACAUUGUACCAUGGUGUAUUUCACAUAUUCGCAAUUUUAAUUAUUUUGUAUUUUUAUUUUAAAGAUAUGAUAAAGUUUAUUUAUUUAUUUGUUUUUAUCUUAAAAGCGAUUUUCGAGUGUUGCUUAAACCUCGAAGAUUCCAAUCGAGUUUUAUUCUCGGAUCUGUUUCGGAAUUGAGCUUGGCCUUGAUUGUUUUCUGAAUAAAUCAGAUCUUUUGAAAUCAAAGGUUCGAUUGUGUUUUCCCGUCUCGCCUUUUGGCGUGUGUUGAUUUAGUACCCAAUUUUUGGGUGAUUCUGCGUUGUUAUAUUUGUGGUUGUUAUGUCUUUCUGUGUUAUCAAUGAGAAUGAUUGGGAUGGAGUUUUGGGAGAUUUGGCUUAUCGCAUCAUUACAUCUUUCGGCAUGUCUAUAGCUGGCUCCCGGCAUGUAGAUAGCUGGGGUAUGCUUGGAACGGUGGCGAUCGCAUGUGCUCACCUGUCACAAAUUAUAGUUGUUCAUUAUUCGAGGGCUCUUGUUCCUCGUUGCUUAGUUUUUACAACUGAGUCGUCUGAACACCGCAACAGCCAUGGAACUAUUGUGAAGGUCAAUUGUGAAGCUAUCAUUUUCGAGAUUGAUGUAGGCUGGAUUACUCGAGAAGCUUUUGUAUUCAUUUUCAGUUUCAAGAAUUCUUGAAUUCAGUGUGUUAAGCAGUCUGGAAACAAUGCGGCUAUUUGAUUAGCUCGUUUUAUUGUUUAUCAACCUGAUUGCAUUGUCAGUUGGGGAUUUGUCCCGAUUAAACUUGUUUUAAUAUAAUGGAAUGAAUUUGCAUUUUGUCAAAAAAAAAAAAAAAAAGCGAUUUUGAGUUGUUUGAGUUAGAUAUAUACUCCUACUGUGGUUCAACUAGUUUUGCCAUAAGUGAAUAACUUCCGGUCAAUAUUUUGAAAUUUGUCGUUAUCUUCUAAUUAAAAUAAAGGGUUAAAUAGCUACUUCAUCAUUAAUAUCGUUGAAAAUUUGCAGCUGAGUCAUGUUGUUGAAAAGACUUUCAAACUGCAUCAUUAAGUAAUUAAAAAAUUUCAAAAACACCACUCUCCGUCAGUUAUGUUAAACAAUUAACGGAAAGUUCGAAAAAAAAUAAAGAAAAGACAAAAAAACAUUAAAAAAAUUUGAAAAAAAAACCCGAAAAAAUGUGAAUAAACUAUGAUAUUUUUUUUCUUUUUUUGAAAAAUGUGAAUAAAAUCAAAAAAUCAAAAAAAAUGGGAAACCAAAAGUGGCAAGCUUUUUUUUUUUUUGUUCCUUUCAAAUUUUCUAAAAUCUGGGGAAAAAAGAACUUGCCAACUAAUUUUUUCCAAAUUUUUUCAAAUUCUUUUCAGAUUUUUGAAUUUUUUUCCAAUUUUUUCCUCACUUUUUUUCUGUUUUUUUUUGAAUUUAUUAAGAUUUUUUUUGUUUUUUCUGCUUAUUCUGAAUUUUUUAAGAUUUAUUCGCAUUUUUAAAAAAUAUUUUUGAAUUAUCCGUUAAGUAAUUAAUGGAACUGACGGAGAGUGAUGCUUUUGAAAGUUUUUAAUUACUUGAUAAUGCGUUUGAAAAUUUUUUCAACAACAUGACUCAGUUGCAAGUUUCCGGCGAGGUUAGUAAUGAAUUAGUUAUUUAACUCUUAAUAAAAAUCUAUCUAAACAAUAUUAUAAAUAUAAUGUUAUGGGUUCGAUGAGUCGUGUAAAACAUGGAAGAAGUUUAGGUGGGGUAAAAAGAGCCUAGCUGUGUGAUUUCCAUUCUGUUAUACGUGAUAUACUGUAGUUGAUCAUCUCCUUUGUCCGCUUCAUCCUGUGCAACCUUAACCUUUAAGGAAAAACUUAUGAGAUUCUCUAGUGCAUCUAAAUUCUUGUGUGAAGAAUGUGAAGAAAAAUGUUAGUCUCAGAUUAUUUUUCCUAAAAUGCUUGCAUGUUACAUUUUAUAUGUAUGUCCUGACUUUAAGUAUAAUUUAGCAUUUUUAUUUAGUAUUGUGUAAAAAUAAUAUAUUUUAUUCAGUCUUAUUAAAAAUAUAAUCAUGUUAUACUGUAAAAGUAUUUGUGAAUUUCUUUGUUACAUAUGUGUUUAAAUUAUUUUAUUUAUAUAUGUUUUACAAUUUUUUACAAAUAUAUAGGUUGAGUAUUGCAUAGGAAUAUAAUUACACGUUAGCAAAUAUGAUUAUGUGUAAACUGUUCUGCGUGCAUGUAUAUUGCUGCUAAGUUUUAAACUUCUUACUAACCGGAAUAAUUUUGACAGAUGUGUGGAACUUGAUUAAUUUAGUUGCACUAUAAGAGAAAGCGUUUUUGUCAAUAAAAAUUGUUAAGGAAAUUAGUCCGUUGGUAGUUCUCAACGGAUUUGUAACAAUUUGACUGGUCAAUGUUCUGUCAACCAAUUCGUAAUGAAAUACCCACACUUAUUUACAACGAGAUGUUCUAUUAGGAAAUAUAGCCACACAAUGGAAUAAUAACAAAAGACCAAGGAAUGAGCAACAGACUAGCAACGAAAGUAUCUGUUAUUACAUUCGUUGAUAUUCCCUUGAUAAAUACUAGACUUUUUAGCACUUUGGUGGCUUGUACUAUUUCAAAUUUGCACGUUAGUGGCCGACCUUUAAAAGUCAUCAAUUGUGUUGCUGAACUUAUUUUUUUUUAACACAUUAGGGGCUCCGCAUCAUAUCCGUUAAAUCGAAGUAACGGCGUCAAAUGAUCAAUACAUAUCUCCUCCUCCUCUUAUUUCCCUCCAAAUUAAAAAACGAAACGGCUACCCUCUUUUCCGAAGCAAGAACGACGACGAAUUCCUGCUUACAGAGAUGAGUUGGUUCCGGCGUCUUAAAGAGGAUGCUGAUGUGUAUUAGCCUCGACAGUGCCCCGAUUACUGUAGUAAGCUCUUCAACUUUUCUUCUUUGUAGCAUAUGAAAUGAGUUUAAUUGACCAUUAUUUCAGUGUUUGUUGUUGUUAGUGGCUAGUUGUUUAGUAUUAUGGACCUGCAAUUGCUUUAUACUAUUAAAAUGAAAGAUUCUGCUUGUGGGUUUUUAAAAAUUAAGGCUUUUACAUAGUCCAAGAUUCGGUCAUUAUAAAAUCAAUUUAUGCCUGUUUUAGUAUAGUGCUUGUUGUUAGUGGCUAUUUGUUAAGUAUAGUGUUGUUUAUUGUAAAUAAAACUGUUGCUUUGCACUCUACAUUUGCAGAACCUGGUGAUUUUACCCUAAAAAUAUAUCAUGGGGCCGAUUGGGUAGAUAACCCUAGGGCAUAUGUGGGAGGUACAGUAGAUUUCUUUGACUUCUGUAAUGCUGAUCAGAUCAGCAUAAUUGAGAUAUAUAGUAUGUUGAAAGAGGUUGAUGAGUUUGGGUUUCACCAACUGUGGUAUAAGCUACCUGGCACUACAUUCGAUAGAGCUUUUGUACUAAAUAAUGAUGAGGAGCUAAUGACCAUGUGUGAGCUUAUAUCUGAUGUGGAUAAGUAUAUGGAGAUUUAUGUCACCACUAUGGCACAUCUAAGUAUAGUGCCCUAUAGAGAUUUAGAGGUUGAAUUUGUUGAACCAACUCCUAAAGAAGCACCUGAAAAGAACAAUCCAUCACCUGAAAAGAUCAAUCCAGCACCUGAAAAGAUCAAUCCAGCACCUGCAAAGAUGUAUCCAGCACCUGCAAAGAGCAUUCCAACUGUGGGAAAUGAUGAUGAUCAGGAAGAGUUUGAGUUUGAUUUUGACAAUACACGGUUUUGGGAUACCACCCAAAAUGAAAUUGAAAUUGUGCAACAAGUUAGGGAAAUGGAGGGGUUGGAAGAGGAAUUUUCAGACACAGAUUCUGAUGAUGAGGAUUUUGUGCCAGAAGAAAAGGAAAGUAGUGAUGAGACCUUCCACUGUGAUAGUUCCAAUCAAGAUAAUUCUGAUGAUGAUUUGUUGUUUGAUGAUGAUUACUACCAUCCUUACCAGCAGAUGGAAACCAACAAAGAAAAAUAUACAACAACAACAACACAGCAAGAAUUUUCCAGUUCCUUGCUUGCUUCUGCGCCUCGGAUAGUUCUUCACUGUAGAAAUCCUUGUACUCAUCUUUGGCCUUAAUCAUUUCAGCAAAACAUUCAUCGUCCUUGUUCUUCAAACGCCUUAUCAGUCCAUUGAUUACACUCUUGCUGCGCGCAUCAAACUCGGGUUCAACCCACUUGAAGAAAUUGCACCUUCCAUUCACGCAAGUCAAGAAUCUUCUACCCGGAUUGUACUCCGUCCACGAUGUCUUCUCCACUGCCCAGCUUCCACACAUACAUUGUUGAUUCAUCUUUGCAGAGCUUUUUGGUUUGGAUGAGAGAUUUAGGUUUGAAUAUGCUCAAUUACACACAGCAGAAACGUAUAUAUAUACACAGCAUAUAGCCGUUGCAAAAAUAUUUUCCUGAAAUACCCCUGACGACCGUUACUUCGAUUUAAUGGAUAUGAUGCGGAGCCCCUAAUGUGUUAAAAAAAAAAUAAGUUCAGCAACACAAUUGAUGACUUUUAAAGGUCGGUCACUAACGUGCAAAUUUGAAAUAAUACAAGCCAUCAAAGUGCCAAAAAGUCUAAAUACUAACAGUUUCGUUAGUAAUUGAUUAUUAGUUUUACAUGGACAAUUGAUAUACACCACAUGAGCACAUACACGGAUACAAUGCCAGGCUCUUAGUUGAAAUGUGUGUACUGCUAAAGCUCAAGGAGAUUUAGUUGACUAAAUUGAUUUGAGUUGUAGAAAAAGGUUUAAUAAUAUAAUGGACUUUGAUAUAUGUAUUGUAGAUAUUAAGUAAUUCUCUUGAAUUUAUAUAUGUAACAUAAUUGUUAAUUGGCUCAUCCUUAACUAGAUAUUUUAUAUUACAUUCUUAACUACAGAUUUUGUAUUUAAAAUUUUUUUAAAAAAUUAACCUUUAUUUGGUAUGUGGAUUUUGUAGUCAAAUGUGGUCAAUUUACUUAGCCUUCGAUCGAAUACCUACCCAAAACAUAAAAAUAUUUUUUAAUCAUUUAUUUUCGACGAUCCAACUAUACGGAUAUUAUUGUAAUGUGAUAAUAUUGUUUACAAAUUUUUUUUAAAAAAAUUAGCCUUUUAUUUGGUAUGCGCAUUUUGUAGUCAAAUGCAAUUAAAUUACUUAGUCUUUAGUGGAAUCUUUACCCGAAACAUAAAACUUUUUUUUAAAAAAAAAUUUGGACAAUCCAACCGUACAGAUGUUAUUGUAACGUGUUAAUAUUGGUUAAAAUAAAUUUUGAGAAAAUAUGUCUUUUAUUUGGUGUGUGGAUUUUGUGGUCAAAUGCGGUCAAAUUACUUAGCAUUUAAUCGAAUACUUACCCAAAACAUGAAACUAUUUUUUUUAAAAAAUAAUUUCGGACGAUCCAACCGUACGGGGGUAUUGUAACACAAUAAUAUUGAUUAAUUUUUUUAUAGGAAAAUUAUAGCCUUUUAUUUGUUGUGUGGAUUUUGUUGUCAAAUGCAGUCAAAUUACUUAGCCUUUAAUGAAAUACUUACAUUAAACAUGAAUUUAUUUUUUUUUAAAAAUCAUUUGGAUGAUCCAAUCGUACGGAUGUUAUUAUGACAUGUUAAUUGAUUAAAAAAAUAUUUAAAAAAAAUGCCUUUUAUUUAGUAUGUGGAUUUUGUAGUAAAUGCUACUUAGCCUUUAAUCGAAUACUUACCCGAAACAUGAAACUAUUUUUCUAAAAAUCAUUUUGGACAAUCCAACCGUACGGAUGUUAUUGUAACAUGAUAAUAUUGAUUGUUUUUUUAUAUAAUAACCUUUUAUUUGGUGUGUGGAUUUUGUAGUAAAAUGCGGUCAAAUUACUUAGCUUUUAAUCGAAUACUUACCUGAAACAUGAAACUAUUUUUAAUAAAAUUAUUUUAGAUGAUCCAACCAUACAGAUGCUAUUGUAACGUGAUAAUUGAUUAUUUUUUAAAAAAAUUAGCCUUUAAUAUGGUGUAUGGAUUUUAUAGUAAAAUGAGGUCAAAUUACUUAGUCUUUAAUGGAAUAUUUAUUAGAAAUAUAUUUUAAAAAAUUAUUUUGGACGAUCCAAACUGUAUGAAUGUUAUUUUAACAUGUUAAUAUUGAUUAAAAUUGUUUUUAAAAAAAAAUUAGUUGUAUUUUAUGUGUGAAUUUUUAGUCAAAUACGAUAAAAUAUUUAUUUAGCUUGUAAUGAAAUAUUAAAACCCUACUUCAAAAGAAACUUGUCUAAAACUACCUAUAAGUGUUAGAGAAUCAUCGAUUUAGUUAUCAAAUUAGUUAUCAUAAGGGUUUUACUCCGCUUUUCUCUGGUAUGAUGUUGAUUUUUGGGGUUUGAUUGGUCGAUUUUCAUGUUUUAUAAGUUAUGUGAGUUCGAUUUUGAUGUUUUUACAAUUAGGUUUAUGUAUGUUCUUAUACAGGUUUCAUGUUCAUGUUUUGAUUUGUUGAUUUCCUAUUUUUCAUAUUUUGUUGAUUAGUUAUUUGUGUGGGUUUUGAACUUUGAUGAGUGUGUAUGUAAUCUCCUGUUUUUUUUUUUCAUUUUUCUGGUUCGAACACUUCGAUUAGUAGCUGGAAAAACAGCUGAUGCGGCAGUAGCGGCUAGUGAGAUGGAUAACAAGAAAAGGAUGAUUUCGAGGUCAUCUCGUGCAAGUCUUCAGAUAUAGUUUUGUUCCUUUAUGUUUUUAAUUGACAUAAAUUUUCACAUUUGAUGAUUAUAUUAUGGGGGAUUCUGGGUAUACUUGUAUAUAAUCUAGCAAGUUAUUAUAAUUCUGGACGGGGGGCUUAUUGUGAAAUUAAAUUGAGGGAUAAGUUGUGUUAUUGGUUCUAGUGGAUUAAAUUUAUGUUGACACUUGAUAUAUGCAUUGAUGUCGUAAAAUAAGUUGCACAUCAAACUAUUUGGCUUGUUUAAGUUGUAUGGAGUAAGGCUGUACGCGGAUCGGAUCGGUUCGGUUGGAGGGUAAUAACCAAACCAAACCGCAACUUACGGUUUUCUAAAAUCUCAAACCGCGACCAUACUGUUGGUUAAAAAAACCCAACCAAAUCCAUCCACGUAAUUGCGGUUGGUUGCGGUUCAACUGCUAAAAUAGUUAUAACAAAGAAAAUAUAUAAGUUAUUGCUUAAAAUCUUGCAUAAAGUACAGACUUUAACUCAAAAAUAUAUAAUUUAUCACUUAAAAUCUUGAAUAAAGUUAAUACAAUAAAUCUGAUUACAUAUUACAAAAGCAAACUACUCCGGAAAUAUAUAACUUGAAGCAGAGCUUCAAGUUAAUGGUUAUUAAAAAUUUCAUCCGCGACUGCCCACAUUUUACGGUUAUCCAUAAUACACGGAUCGGUUGCAGGUGGUUGUUGCGGUUAAUGCGGUGGAGCGGAUUGAACGUACAGCCCUAUGAAGUAUGGUUGCCAAGCAUUGGUUGGUUGUACACGUGUAAACAAAAUGAUAUUUUAAUAUUUAAACAAAACAAUACAGUCAUAAACAGAUCGUGUCGGGCUGGACUGAUUGUGAUUUUCCUUUUUGGAACUCGUACUCGGCAUCUUCCAAGCGAAUGAUAUUUAGAAGUUUGUUGCUAGUAUACUCCAUGUCAUAAUAAGAGUUCUUUAGAUUUUUUAUAUGUAAUUCGAAGUAUAAAAAACAUAUUUUAACAUAUUAUUUUUAAAUUUUUUAUACAUAAAAAUAUAACAUCUAUAUUUUUAUUUAGAAAAAAAUUUGAAAUAUAAUAUAUAGAUGCAUGUCUUUUUUAUACGUGAAAUUACAUGUAAAAAAUUAAAAGACUCUUAUUUUGAGUAAGAGAGAAUAUGAUGUACCAUAAAGUCAUCGAUCUUUUGUUAUCAAAUAAAUGUGAUAUUUAAUUAUUUAAGAGCAAGUCCAAAAGUAUCUUAGUUAAAGUCCUAAAUAUAAUAUAAAAUAUUACGUUCUGGUGAUUUAGGAUAUAUUUUACUAACUUGGACUCCAACAAUGUGUCUUAUUCUCAUAAGAAGUUUAAUAUUUUAUUAUUAAAGACUCUCUUUCAUCAUUAAAGCAUAAUAUAAAAGUAGAGAGAGAAAAAGAGUGUUGAUAAGAAUUAAUAAUAAAAUAUGGGAUAGGGUUAGGAGAGAUGUGCCUCAAAAAUAGGGUUUGAGGAGUUUCAUUAGGUGUGGACACGGAGACCAAGAAGUAAAAGAUGAGUACAGUUAAAUGAAGAUGUGGUAAAAUAAUGUGACCCAUUUAUAUUUAAUAAUACAUUUGAAAUAGUGGAGGAAAGUAACGAGUGUAAUAACGUUUAUAUUAUUAUAGCAUAUAGAUAGCAGAAGAAAGCAAUGGGUAUAAAAGUGUAUUAUAUUAUUAAAGUUUUGAAAUGUUUAGAAAUAAUGGGGCAAUCAAAAAGAAAACUGUAUAAAAAUGGACGAGAGAAUACAAUUCAAGAAGUAAUAUAUCUCAAUUCAAACUAGGUAAUAUAUUUAUGAAUUAUAUUAAAAAAAAUUUGACAUUCAAAUAUAAAAAUUUAUUUUAUCAUCUUAACAAUGGAAUAUUCGAUUAUUAACUUUCGUAAAUAACAUUAAUUUUUCAUUAUAAUAUACUCUAAACUUUUAUUUUAUGUGCCUGUUUGUUUACAAGAAGCUGGAGUCCUACUUCUCUUGACUCGUUUGUGUAAAAACGUAAAAAGUGCUUUUAAAAAGUACUGAGAAGGAAAUGGAAGUAGAAAAUGCUAGUUUUUCUUUAUAAUAUCUAUUUCUUUUCUAGACACUUUAAUAAUUUAUAUAUAUUAAUUUAUUUCUCACUUAUACUCCAUUUUUUUAUAGAGAACUUCUUUUAAACUAAUCGGCUCCUAUAAUCAGUAGUUUCUCAAUUUUAAUAGGAAUAAGAGCAUGUUUAUCUGAGCUUAAAGCCCGGGGUUUAUAUCAUCUCUGGCUUUAAGCUGAAAAAUGUAUGUUUGUGUAUUAAGUCGGAAGUCGGCUUAAAGUCGGAAAUAAGUCAAAAAUUGACCUAAAACCAGAAGUUAGUUUGAGAUACUUUUCUCGGUGACUAAUUUUUUUUUUAGCCAUUUUUUGAUAAAAAUUAUUCCUAAAUCACAAAUUACUCAUAAAUUACUUUUAUUAUUAUUAUUAUUAUAUUUUUAAUAACUUAUAAAUUAUUAAUAAAUCAAAAUUAAUCAAACAAAUAUUUUAAGUUCUCAUAUUAUGAGAUAACUAACGUUAAGUCAUGAAUCAACUGAACGGGAUGUAAGUCUUCUUCUCCCCGAGUCAUCAGCAGACUUUUUCCAUGUCUUCUGAGCCCCCAUUGGCUCACAAUUGGCCCAAAAAAUAUUUGGUUAUGCAUUGCUAUUCACACACUUAGACAUCAAAAUUUAUCAUCCGACAGGCGACAGCUAACUGCACACUAUUUUUCCCACAAGCUGAAAAAUCAACGAUCAAUUAAUUUUUCUUAUCAAUUAAUAAAGUUAUGAUUUCACGUACACGGCAGGCAAAAUGCUAAUAAAUAGACGAGUGCAGUAUAGUAUGGGUUCAUGAUCACCUUGAGAUUUAAUUGAAAAAUAUUAUGGUGAUAUAGAUUAAAUUAAAUUAUAAUAUCUUGAAAAGUUAUAAAUAAUUUUAAUUACUAAUAAUAUUUAUUUGUACAUUUAAAUAUUUUUAUAAAAACACAAAAAUAGCAUUAUACUCAUUUAAGUUUCUCGUAUCCGCCUCUCUUCUUGGAGAUUGUGGAUUUGCGAUAUUUAUAUUGAUUAUUAUAGGAAAAUGUUAUUUCCAGAGCAAACAUUUUUAUUUCCGGAGCAAAUUCAAACAAAUUUUUCCAAAUUGUUCUGGAAAUUAAAAUAUUGAUAUGGAUAUAACAAUUCCCUUAUUAUAUCCUAUGUAUAUUACAUUAAUGCAAUUAACAUGGUUGAUUGUUUUAGUAUAUAAUCAUAUUACUGUGACCUUUUAGUAUAUAAUUAUAUUAUUUUUGUUAUAUUUUAUGCAUCUAGAAACAAUUUUUUUAUGAUAUUUAUUAUAUUAAUUAUAGUAAAAGAUAUAAUUUUGUUUAAAAAAUUGAAUAAAACUAAGAGGGAUAGCCUACGUCUCUCCGAGUCUUCGAGGACUCAUUCCAAGUCCGAGAGGACCACAGCCUCAACCUUUAAGAGAUGUGAAAGUAGCUUGAGAGUGAUAUAAAUUUAUUUUUGACAAUAAAAUUUAAUAAUCAAAUAAAUUAAAUUAAAUUAAACUAGUUUAUAAUCGAUUAAAAAUAUAUAAAUCAAAAUUAUUCCCGAAUUAUGAUAACAAUUAAAAUCAUUUUAAAAGUUGCAUAAAUCAAAUCCAAAUCGAACAAAUUCCCCUAACACUAAAAUGUAGUUGCUUUAUUGUAGAUAAAAACAGUAUAAUAAUAGUAUUGAUGAAAAAUCAAAUUCAUCAAAUAAGUUUAUAAAAAAUACAUGAUUUUAAUUUUAAAAAAAAAACAUGAUUUUAGUGUGUUGUAUUAGUAGUGUGUCCACGCAUUUAUAUAUUAAAAUCUAUCCUCUAAAAACUAUCGAUCUAUUUACACAACUAUUGAUCUGUCGUGCAACAAAUUCCAGGGCGAAGUUCCAAAGAGAGCUUAAAUGGCUUGCAUUGCUCAAUCUAUCUCAUAAUAGUCUUAACGACAUAUGUUCUGAAUUAUUAUUAUGAUUUCAACAAUAUUUUCAAACAUUUCUUAAUAUGUAUUUUCAAAGAAUUCUCAAGCACUUGAACAUUUGGACCGGUUCUUUCGAAGCCAGGCAAUGCACAAAAAUGUCCAAAAAUGAAUAAAUUAAGAGAGAGUAGCUCACCCUUUCAAAGCCUUCCAGGACUCAUUCCAAGUCUUCGGAGGACCACUGCCUCCCCCUUUCAAAGAUGUGAUAGUAGCUCGAGAGUGAUAUAAAUUAUUUUCCCGACAUUAAAAAUAAAAAAUCAGAUUAAAUUAAUCAAUAAUAACUUAAGGAUGAAAUCCAAAUUAAUCCUAAAUUUUGAUAAUAUAUAAAAAUUAUAAUUAUAAAUUAUAUAACCAAAUCAGAAUUGAAUUAACUUACUUGGCACUAGAAUUGCUAAAGACAGUAUAAUAAUUUAAUUGAUGAAAAGUCAAAGUCUUCUAAUAAAUCCAUAAAGAAUAUGAUAAUAUGAAAAUUAUAAUUGAAAAAUCAAAAUCAAUAGUGUAUUGGAAUAGUGUUCACACACUUAUAUAUCAAAAUUUGUGGUCCAAAAACUAUAGCACAAUAUCCUAAAUACAUCACAUUAAAUAAUAGCACAAAAAUAUUCAAUAAAUAAUUGAUUUCAUUCAUAAAUUUGUUAUUUUAAAAACUAAUAAUUUGGUUGAUGUUAACCUAUAUUUUAUAUAUAAUUUCGUCUUAUUUUAUUUUACUAGAAACAAUAUUUUUAUAAUAUUUAUUACAUUAAAUAUAUUAAAAGAUAUAAUUUUAUUAAAAAAAUUGAAUAAAAUUAAAAGGAUAAGUCUCGGCCUCUCCAAGUCUACAAGACUCAUUUCAAGUCCACCGAGGGCCUCAACCAUUGAGAGAUGUGAAAGUAGCUUGAGAGUGAUAUAAAUUAAUUAAAUUAGUUAAUAAUGAAUCAAGACUAAUCAUGAAUUAUGAUAAUAAUUAAAUAAAUUAUAAAAUUAAAUUAUACAAAUAACACUAAACCUUAGUUACUUUAUUGGUAAAUAAAUAUAAUAUAAUAAUCAAAUUGAUGAAAAAUCAAAAUCAUUUAAUAAAUUCACAAAAAAUAUAUGAUCAUUAGUAUGUUAUAUUAGUAUCCACACACUUAUAUUUCAAAAUCUAUCCUCCAAACUUAUCAUCUCUGUAAACUAGCCACAUAAAAUAAAAAUUUAAAGAUAUUAGAUAUUUAGUUAUUUUCAUUAUAUAAUUUUUCCACACGAAAUAACAAAAUAUCUUUAUCAAAUUAUUAUUUAUGAGUUAAAUAUUCAAUUUAUAAAUCCAGUAUGCAGCGUAUAAAUAGAAGUGUGCAGUAUGAUAUCAGAUUCACAUAACCCAGUUGAUGAGGAGAAACAUGGCAUACUCUGCAAAGCCUUCUCACCUUCUUCUCUUUGUUUUCUUUCUCUCAUCACUUGAAUCCAUUCUUGCAACAACACGAGAGGGAGAAGCUCUUGUGAAGUGGAAGAAUAGCCUAGCCCCUUCUUCUUUUCUCGACUCUUGGUCACUCACCAAUCUCGAUAAUCUUUGUAACUGGACUGGCAUUACUUGUAACUCUGCAGGUUCAGUCUCUGAGAUUAACCUUAGUGAGAAACAACUUGAUGGAAUGCUGUCCGAGUUUGGUUUCACUUCAUUUCCAAAUCUCAACAAUCUCACCCUCGCAUACAACUUCUUCUCGGGUCCAAUACCGCCAGCCAUUGAGAAUUUAACACAGCUUCAAUACCUUGAUUUAAGCUUUAAUUAUCUCGAUGGUCCCAUUCCGUUCCAGGUUAGCCAUCUUCAGAGGUUGCUCAUCUUAAACCUGUCACAGAAUGCAUUGCAAGCUCCAAAUUGGUCCCAUUUCUCUCCCAUGCCUUUCUUGCGCAUCCUCGACCUUAAUAGCAAUCAUCUUGCGUCGAACUUCCCAGAAUUUAUAUCCAAUUCUCAUAGCUUGGCUAUCCUUGACCUUGGAUAUAACAACUUUACAGGUGACCUUGUGCGUGAAUUUACUAAUCUACAAAAUCUUGAAACCCUCUACCUAGAUGAAAAUUCUUUUGAGGGGCCAUUUCCGCCGGAUGUAUUCAGGCUUUCCAAAUUAAAACAUCUUCGCCUGUCAGGUAACAAAUUCUCAGGUUCAAUUCCCAAUGACAUAAGGUUGCUUUGUGAUCUUGAAUCCCUAUAUUUAAGCAACAAUUCCUUUAAAGGACCCCUUCCAUCAAAUAUAUUCAAGCUUUCAAAAAUAAAACAUCUUGUUCUUUGGAGUAAUAAGUUUUCUGGUUCUGUUUCCAAUGAUAUAGGUUUACUUUCUGAGCUUGAAACCCUCGAUCUUAACUCUAAUUUUUUUGAGGGGCCGCUUCCGUCAAAUAUAUUCAAGCUCUCCAAACUAAGGUAUCUUUCCCUUUGGGGUAAUAACGUUUCAGGUUCUAUUUCCAAUGAUAUAGGUUUGCUUUCUGAGCUUGAAACCCUCGAUCUUAACUCUAAUAUUUUUGUGGGGCCGCUUCCGCCAAAUUUAUUCAAGCUCUCCAAACUAAAGAUUCUUUCCCUUUAUAAAAAUAACUUUUCAGGUUUUAUUUCUAAGGAUAUAGGUUUGCUUUUUGAACUUGAAACCCUCUAUCUUGGCUCUAAUUUUUUUGAGGGGCCGCUUCCCCCACAUGUAUUUAGGCUCUCCAAAUUAAGAGAUUUGGGUCUCAGAGACAAUAGAAAUUUAUUUCAAGGAAGUAUUCCUAUUGGACUGGGACUCUUGACUAAUCUCAGGUACUUGAGUCUAUUUUCCAAUGAUCUCAGUGGCUAUAUUCCAUCUGAGAUUGGAAACCUGAAGCUACUAAAAGUUCUUGAACUCGGUUCUAAUCAAUUGACAGGACCGCUUUUAAAGAUAGUUUCUAAUCUCAAAAAUCUUAUAUAUCUUGGUGUAAGUGGUAAUAGUCUUAGUGGAAAUAUUCAGAGUGACUUGUGGAAAUAUAACGAUCAUCCAACUUUGGAAUACAUCAAUUUAAGUGGGAACCAUUUUACGGGUAUAGUUUCUCUCUAUAGAUCUUUGUCAUAUGUAACUAAGCUAGUAAUCUGAUUAUUGCCUUUUCACCAAAGUUUCAACAAUCUUGACAGGUGAGCUUCCAACAACAAUUUGCAAUGUCACAUCCCUUUUGCUUCUUGAUUUGUCAAAUAAUGAAUUAAGUGGUGCACUUCCAAACUGUUUCGGAAAUCUUGCUGAUAGAUUGCUUUACGUUAAUCUUGCUAAUAAUCAGUUUCGAGGAACAAUACCAACUACUUUCUCCAGGAGUUGUCAGCUGAAAUAUCUAAACAUGGAUAAUAAUGAGUUUGAAGGAUUGUUGCCCCCGUCUUUGGAAAACUGUAAGCACUUGAGAAUUCUUGAUAUUGGCAAUAAUAAAAUAGGUGGUACAUUUCCGUCAUGGCUUUAUGUACUUGGAGAGCUAGAAGUCCUUGUCUUGCAAUCAAAUAAACUCUAUGGUACAAUAAGUGGAAGGAGCAUAGAAGAUCCCUUCCGCAAGUUGCGGAUUGUGGAUCUGUCCAACAACCACUUCACAGGCCAUUUGCCAAUUCAAUACUUUAAGAAUAUGAAAUCAACUGAUAAUUUGUAUAGUUAUCAGCUUUCCACAGCAGUUUUUUCUUUCCAUUAUGAAGCAGCAGUCUCAUUAAUUGUGAAGGGAACAGAGUAUGAAGUAGCAAAUAACCUUCAUAUUUACACAGCCAUUGAUCUGUCGUGCAACAAAUUUCAGGGAGAAAUUCCAAAGGUUACUGGAGAGCUUAAAUGGCUGGCAUUGCUCAACUUAUCUCAUAAUAGUCUAACAGGACCUAUCCCGUCAUUGCUGAGAAAUAUGAAAGAACUCCAAUCUUUAGAUUUGUCCUCAAAUCAACUGACGGGGGCUAUUCCACCUCAGUUAACUGCGCUGACAUUUCUAGAGGUCUUAAACCUCUCGGGAAACCAUCUUAGUGGAGAGAUUCCUCAGAAAGGACAAUUCAGCACAUUCAACAAUGAUUCGUAUCUAGGAAACUCCGCUUUAUGUGGAUCACCAUUGACGAAGAAAUGUGCAAACACAGCAUCACCUCCACAAGAAGUCGGAAAUGUUGAUGAAGAUUAUGCGGGUGAUGAAUUGACAUGGGAAGCAAUCAUGAUCGGAUAUGGAUGUCGACUGAUAUGUGGAUUGUCAUCUGCAUACAUUGUUCUCAAACUAGGAAAGCCUUGGUAGUUUGUGAGAUAUGUCGAAGUACUGCAACAGAAGUUGAUGAAAAGAUGCUUGAAGAAAGGUACUGGUCGACCAAUAAGAACUUGAAAGUUGUUGUCCUGGUAGACAUUUCUGAACCAGUAGUAUUUGGUAUUAUGUGAUAUUCUGUUUGGUCCGGACUCAUAACGAUUUCGCUUGCUUCAGGAGUAUUAAUAUUAACCUUCCUAUCUUGAUCAAUGUUAAUGCAAAUUAAAAUGAAAAGGCAAAAAAUAUGCAUCAAAUCCCCUCCUGUUGUACCAAGAUUCAUUAAUUAAGAGGCAUGGCUUUUGUCUCUCCAAGUCUUCGAGAAAUUAUUCCAAGUCUUCUUUGGAGGCCUACUGCCUCAACAACCUUUCAAAGAUGUAGCAGUUGCUCGACAGUGAUAUAUAUAUUAGAUAAAGACUAUGCAACAACCAACGUGACAGAAAAAUCAAAAUAGGACAAAAUCCGUACGAAUCAAAAUAGUUUAUUUCUAAGGGGAAUAGCUGAAUUAAAUUGUAAGAGAAGUAAAACAGAUUCUUUUAUAUUUUGGAAUAUAACUGAAAAAGAUUUUGAGAUAAUUUUCAGAAAUCAAACCAGUCAAAUAAAUAUUCGCUGAAGGAACAGAGUAAAGAUACAACGAAUAUAACAAGUUGUAAGAUGAAUAUCGCUGAAUCAAACAGGGUAGAACCCGUACAAAAACGCCAAACAGAAAGGAUCAAAACAGAGUAAUCAAAUUUACCUAACACUAAUAGAAGUAGUGCUGAAUAAAAGAGAACGAAAUCUGUACCUUAAAAAUAGCAAACGCAAACACUAACCAACCUCACAAGGGACCAUCUAAACUCCCUAACCCCGACUUUAUCUUAAACUCCAAAUAUCUCCCUGACUCCAAUAUGCCCAGAACAAUAAACGAAUGUUUUGACCUUCUAAACGAUGUUUUCUGGAAUAACGCAAAACACGAAAAUCGUAGAGAACGAAAAGACCUUUCCGAAAAGGUAAGGCUCGUCAAGAACGGAGUCAUAACGAAUCGGGAAUUAAAUAAAACGUCCGCUGAUUCAGAACUCAAAGCGAGAACAGGAUCUGAUUAAGUUUUGUAAUUUUGAGAACAGUUUGAAACAUAAUCUGAGAAAACAUUAUAAACGAAAGUAUAUGAGAUUGAAAGAGCUUUCCGAAACAUCAAGAAUCAUCAAAUUCCGAUAAGAAUUGAAUUUUCUACGAAUUUUACAAGACAGCUGAUUUGUGAGAAUAAAGCCCUACGAAUUUUUGUCAUAAAAAUGAAGAGAAGGUUGAGUAGCUCUCAAAAGUAUAUAAAAAGAAUGAGAGAACAAAUCAAUAUACUCCCUUUGUCCCUCUCGUUUAUUUACAGUGUUUGACACGCAUUUUAAAGCGCAUAUAAAACAUAGUUCUAUGAUUUAUUUUCAAAAUUUUUCUUUUUUGUAUAAAAAUUUAAACAUCAAAUUUUUAUCUAGAAAAAAAGGAAGUUCAAAAUAAUUUAUUGAACUACGUUUUACGAGAGCAUUAGAAUGCGUGCCGAGCCCCCGUCCCCCAAUGUAAACAAAUGAGAGGGACGGAAGGAGUAUAUAUACAGAGUCUUGAGACCCUAAUUCUAAACCUAUCCAUUAUCUGAAUGCAAGGCUGAUCUAUAUUUUAAGUACACUAUCCUAAUUCAAUUUUAAAUCCUAUUCAUAAUCUAAUUUUAAUCCUUUAUUAUUAUUACUAACCAAUUAAUAUUAUUUUAAAAAAAUACUGGAUAUUACAUUCCUGAUCAGACUAGUGAUCGGAUUGCAACCGCAAAGCAGCCUAUAUAUAGUGACAAUUAAAUACACAACAAAACAACUUCUUUCUUCUCUCUUGGGUUAUAAUACUCAGACGGACAAGCUAUAUCUGAGGCGAUUUUCUGGGCGAUUAAACACACAAUAAAAGCAGCUUCUUCUUCUUCAAUUAAGGUUUAUUCUACACCCAAUCACAUACACACACACACUUUAAUAUGACUAGUGAGUUCAAUUUUUGGUGGUAUUAUAUGAUUAUCAUGUUCUCUUUUUAAAUAUUAGUAACGUUAUUUUCGGAGUGGACUCUGUUGAUGUUUAAAUUUGAUAUAGAUAUUGUAAUUGAAAAUUUAUGUUGAUUUGUUGUUCAGAUUUCAAGUAUUAAUUUGUGUGUGAUCAAAAUUUUGCUUCUACAUCGAUUAUCAGGAGGAAAUAUGAGGCCGAUCUUGAUCAAAGGACACGAAAGGCCAUUAACAUAUCUAAAGUAUAACAAGGAGGGUGACCUCCUCUUCUCCUGCGCAUUAGACAGAAACCCCGCUGUUUGGUACGCUGAUAAGGGAGAGCUUUUAGGCACUUACCGUGGGCACAUUGGUUCUGUUUGGGGUUGUGAUGUUUCUAGGGAUUCAAAACUUUUAAUAACUGCAAGUGCGGAUCAAACAGCAAAGGUAUGGGAUGUUCAAACUGGGUCUGAGCUGUUCACGUUUGAAUUUAAGUCCACUGUGAAAUCAGUAGAAUUUGGUGUCGGAGACAAGCUUGCUGUCAUUGCAACAGACUCCUUUCGUGACAUGUCUUCUGCAAUUCAUGUCAAACACAUAGCCAGAGAUCCUAGUGAACAGUGCGGUGAUUCUGUGAUUGAAUUCUCACCUGGAGGAAGAAUCAAUAGAGCUGUUUGGGGACCUUUAAAUAGGACCAUAAUAAGUGGUGGUGAACAAGGCGUUGUUCGUGUGUGGGACGUUGAGACAAAGAAAGUGAUUUAUGAGUCAGACAAGGAUACUGGUCAUCAGAAGGCCAUUACAUCACUUGCAAAAUCAAGAGACGGUUCACAUUUACUUACUGCUUCCAUUGACAAAUCAGCUAAGCUUUGGGACAUCAGAUCAAUGAAACUUCUCAGGACAUACAAGGCUGAAGCCCCAGUUAAUGCAGUUGCACUCUCUCCACUACUUGAUCAUGUCGUGCUCGGAGGUGGUCAAGAUGCAUCGACUGUUACAAACGAUCCUCGUGCUGGCAAGUUUGAGGCCAAAUUUUAUUCCAAGGUCCUUGAAGAAGAAAUUGGAUCUGUGAAAGGACACUUUGGUCCGAUAAAUGCAUUGGCAUUCAACCCUGAUGGAAAAAGUUUCGCAAGUGGAGGUGAAGAUGGUUAUUUGCGAUUACAUCACUUUGAUCAUGACUACUUCAACAUGGCGAUUUAAUUCGAAUUACUUACAUUGCUACGUCUUUUUUUUUUUUUUUCCGGUUUUAUUCAAGUUAUUUUCUGGUUUUUAUGUUGAUCUUAUGUUCUUUGUUAUAAAUAGAAGUGUGGUUCCUUUUAAAACUAUUUACAUAAGUUUUUGGCUUUUCAUGUAAUUUAAUCAAAGUAAAUGCCAUGAGAUCCUGAAUAUAUCUACUUAUCUAUCUAUCUACUUAUUAAAGCAGAAUCAGGGGAAAAAUAUACCAGAAAUUGGAUGAAAAAUUUACAUACACACCCUCAAUUAUUCAUCAAUUCCGAAAUUGGCCUGUAGUUUAGCUGUUAACUUGCAGGAUUUUUGUAAAAGUAGGAAUCAGCGAUUCUUAGGUACCCCAGUGACCCCGAAUCGGUUUCUCAGAUUCUUGGAAAUCCUCGGUCAGUUGAUUUAGAUUGUGGGCAUAUAUACACCUAUAGUCAGCCUCCGGCGGUGCAAUCUUUUGGUGGUGUUUUUCAGCCUUUUCUGCUAUAGCGAUUCUUGUUAAAACAUUCAGGUGCUAGGGUUGUUUUGUUGGUAAAGGGAAUUGGAUUGUUGUAUCUGCGGUUGUGGCAAAGGUAAUUUUCUUGCCCUUGCUAUUCUUUUGGGAUGUCUGAUUAUAAAUAGCCCUUCUAACUUUGUUCACCUGUUCUGUAUGAUGUGUGUCAUUUGUGAUUGAGUCGAGCAGUAUAUCAUUUUGAUGCAUAUUGUUAAUUUCACUCUGGGAAAUUUUUAUGCUGAUGUUUGGGCAAUUAAUUCUGGUUAUUUCGUUGAUUUUGUUUGUGGUUUGUUUCCACCUGCCAUUAGAACUGUAAAGUAAAGUGUAUUUAUUGAUCAUGAUUCAAGUGUUUGUAGAUAAUCGAUGUGGGUGACAAAGAAGCUGCAAAUGAUGAUGGUUCUUCACAAAUUUUAUCUGCUUUGCUUCCUUUUGUUGUGGCUCUCACCAUGGUUGUCAAGUCGACGACUGCUGUUGCUGCUCUUGCUCAGCCCUCAACUUUCACCUGGUAACAACUUUUGUAUGUUUGGUAAAAUAUUUUGAUUUUUUUUUUUUUGUAAGGGUAAAAUAUUUUGAUUGUGAUAAGCUAAUUUAUUGUUUUUUAAUGAUUCCAACACUACAACAGAUUUAGCAUCACACAACGGUUUUUGCCCGUUGUCUGAGACCACGGAAAACCGUGGUCUAUCGAGACGCCGUCUGAUAUGCGUAUCAGACAACGGUGCGCACCGUUGUGUGAUAGUGCUAAACACGAUGGUUUACGUUAAAAAAAUUGUUGUGCAACACCCAGAACCAACAACGUUUACUCUUAAACGUGGUGUUGUUAGAAACACUCCUUAACAAUAGUCGAUUUCAAAAAUGGUGUUGUUAGAGAGACUAUCCACAACAGUUUUAUUAGCUCGCAAGACUUGUUGGAAAGAUGAUCAUACAACAGUAGUUGAAAUAGAGAAGCUCGUUCUUUCCUCUCUUGUACAACGGGUUUCGAACACCAAGCCACUUGUGUAAGGCCCCUUCUAACAAUGUUUUAAUUAGUGAGGUUGUUGUGUUUAGUUACGUCAGACAAUGGUUUUCUUUCAUAGUUGGUUGUCGUUUACAUGUUUUAACAAUUGUUUCUGUUUCAUCAUUAUUGCAAGUCAUUUGUUUGGACAAUGGUUUUGUGACAAUAAAUCAUUGUUUCCAGUUUUAUGAGACAAUGUUUUUAAUGAAUAAUGAUUAUUGUAUCAUGUUCAGUAUGACAAUGGCCCUGUAUUAUCCCAUUACCUAAAUACAUAAUAGACAAUGAUUAACAUAACUCGAUUAAACUAAGCUAGAGAAUGUAAUUAAAAAGCCAAAAAUUUGUAAACAAAAAAUUUCAUUAUGCACUAAUAACCAUUGUUACAACCAAAUCAUAUAUACCAUCCAAUAUCCAGAAAUAUUUCCCCCGAGGAUGGCAAAUCUCAAAAAUAUAAAUACCUACAAUAAAUGGUAGCAUCUAGAGAGGCAUAUGUGACUACAAGAGUCUUUUGUGAGCUUUUCAACUACCCAGCCCAGGAACAAUCCUCUGAUUGCAUUCUUUUGAUUCGGAUGGAGCCCUCCUGCUAUCUCUUUUGGAAGUGACUCUACUGCAACCACCUGUAAUACAUAAAAAAGUUCUUGAUAUGCUUUUCGUACAAAGAAAUUAAUGUGGUUGAGGAGUAUGUUUCGAGUUCAAAAUAUACCAGUGUGCCAUCUUCCAUGGUUUCACGUCAUUCAUACACAAUAAAUUGUAGCAAUUGUGAGCCCUAUCAACAUACCAGUCUUUCUGUAUUUAGAGUUGGAGCAGCUAAGCCAAAAUCAGACAAAUGGGGAUUGAGUUCAUCAAGUAAAAUAUUUGCUGACUUUAAGGUACUAUUAACAACAUAAGGAACAACAUCAGCAUCUUGCUUCUAUCAUCAGUGAAGUAUAAAAACUCUUGCAAGCUACUAUUUGCAAUAUAAUCAUGGACCAGAAGACGUACCAUGUUCAGCGGAAUAUCAUUCAAAUCUCUGGCAUGGUUGUUGUGAUGGAUAAAAAUAAGUUCCUUUAUGACCUGAAUUAAACAUUAAAAGAUACCAAAUUAACCGAAAUGCGUAGAGAUGCACAAAAAGUCCAGGCCCGAAAAUAUGGUCAUAGAGAUUUAAAAAAAGUCGAAAAUAAAGACAAACCAUGUGAGUAAAAAGCAGAGUAAGGAGGAUUGAUGGUAGUGUUUGAUAUAGAUGCCAUGUGGGUAGAUCCAUAUGAGCUGCUGGAAGCAGAGAGAUUUCUUCCAAACUCUCUUACAUUAUUGACAACAUUUGUGUUAACAUAUAUGUGUUGUAUAUGAAAUUUUAAAGAUUAGAUACAUAAAUAUAAUAUUAUUCGGAAAAUAUAACAUACCAUCUCGAGUCAUUUUCUUGCUUGGUCAUUAAAAUAACCUACAGCAAGUAAUGUACCCUCACUCUAUAAGAAGAAGAUGGACAAAAAGAAGUCAGUUGUAUGGAUGCCUCGGAAUAUAUACAAGAAUGUCCCAGGGAUAUUUAUUCAGUUGAUGAAGCAUGUAUAUCUAGAAAUUAACAAACCUCAUCAGCCAAAACAAAUAUAAAAUUAAUAAAAUCAUCUGUCUCCAAACACACAGAUUAAAAUCAAAGCACAAAUGUUAUCACACAAAACCAAGACAACACAAGAUCCAUCACUAAAACACACAACUACUACUAAAAUCAAACACACAAACAAAAAUCUCAUAUAGAUUCAAACUUUAUCCCCAAAAUCAAGUAUAAUUACACAGUAAAAAGCAUUCGUUUACCUCUUCAUAAGGUGAAUUGUUGUUAAACUAAUCAGCACGGUCAACACCGGCAUCAAAAACUUGAAUGGCCUUUGGGGUUAUCGCCGACAGAACAGAUCUGAGUAAGCUUUGUAGAAAAUGAGAUAGAGACGGGGGAGGGAGGGGAGAGUUCAGAGGAGGGUGAGGGAGAGACAGAGGGCGAGAGGGAGGGGAGGGGCGAGAUGCUUUAACAAAUCAAUUGCGGCAAGAGUGGGGAAGACACAGCCGCACCAGAAGAGGAAGAGAUAGAUUCAGAAGAAGAGAGAUUUACUCUCACUUACAAAUUUUAGGUCAAAAUAGAGGGGGGGAAAUGAAAAUUUGGAUAAACAAGUAGAGAGGGAAUUGAAAAUUUUUGUAAGGUGGAAAUCAUUCGUUCAUCCCGUGUAAAUAACAAAAUCAAUGUAUUAUAAUAUCCAUAUAGUUGAAUUAUAAAUAAAUGAAUUUUUUAAAUUAUAUUUUUGUAUUUGAUUACAAAUAUUUCAUAUUAAAUAAAUUUUAAAAACAAUUUUAAUGUAGAUGUCAAUAUCUAAUUAUUUUAGUUAUUUGUGAAAAUCUUCAAAAAAUUAAAAAUUAAUCUGGUAAAUCUUUUUGACAAAAUAUAGUUGAAAUACAACUAUUUAAUAAAAAAUUAAUAAUUCUUUAAAAGUUAAAAUUCUCAUUUUCUCGAUGUAUUCCGUUUUUGUACUCUUUGUCUAAAUAAAAUAUACACAAAUUUUUAUUAUUCAUUUGUAAUAAGAAGAUAUUUGUGUGGUUCAAAUGUCAAUAUUAGUAUAAAUUUCAUAUUUACAAUAUAGGAUGUACUUAAUAGAAGUUUUGUGAUCUAUAUGAUUAACCCCGUAUUAAUUUUGAAAUAUUUUCGAUCAUCCAAACAUAUAAAGAUCUUAAUAUCUAUCAAUAUUAGUCAUGUAUAAUAUUUUUAAAUUUUUCUAUAUUUAUUUAUAUCUUGUUGUAACAAAACUAGUGAUGAUCGUUGUUUUUAUGUCAUUUCUUAUUUUUGUACUUUUUAUCAAAAAAUUAUAUUUAUAUUAUGCAUAUGUCCAAAUUUGUAUUAUUCAUUUGUAAUUGGAAGAUAAUUUUGUUGUUCGGACCUGAGUAUUACUAUGUGUUUUAUGUUCACAAUUUAGGAAGCACUAGAUAGAAUUUUUGUUAUCUACAAAAUUUGCUCUGAAUUAAUUUAUAAAUAUUUUUUUCGAUGAUAUAACCGUACGGAUGUUAAUAACUAACAAUAUUAGUCAUGCAUAAAAAAAUUAGAUUUUUUUAUGCUUAUUUUAUAUGCUUUUUUUACAAAACUAGUCAAUUGUAAAUUUUGUCUUAUUGUAAAAAGGUAAUUUUUGUCUUGUAGUGUCCAACAGACAACGGUACUUAUAGGCACGUGUGUUGUAUGAGUUAAAAUGACACAACUGUUAUGGACAUUAUACAGUCAUAACAAAAUCUAUUGUCUAAAAUAGGCUCAAACAAUGUUUCGGGAAAAACUCGUUGUGUGUAAGUAGUGUAGACAAUGGUUUCUGGGAGGCAAACCGUUGUAUAAUAAAUUUUCAUUUUUAAGAGUUAGAAAUUCACAUUUUCUUGAUUAGUUCUUGUUUUUGUACUCUUUGUCUUAACAAAUAUACUUAUAUUAUGUAUAUAUGCAAAUAUCAAUUGUCAUUUGUACUAUGAAGAUAAUUUUGUAGUUCGAACAUGAGUAUUGGUAUGUGUUUUAUAUUUACAAUUUAGAAAGUACUGAAUAGGAUCUUUGCUAUAUAUAAGAUUAGCUCCGUAUUAUUUUAUAAAUAUUGAUUUUGAUGAUCUAACCGUACGGAUGUCGAAAACUAACAAUAUUAGUCAUGUAUAAAAAAAAUCAAUUUUUUAUGUUUAUUUUGUAUGUUUUUUUUAACAAUACUAGUCAAUUGUAAAUUUUGUCUUACUGUAAAAAGGUAUUUUUUGUCAUGUAGUGUCUAACAUACAAUGGUUUUUAUAUGCACCUAUGUUGUAUAAUUGAAAAUGAUACAACUGUUACAGAAGUAUACCGUUCUAAGAAAAUCUAUUGUCUAAAUUAGGCUCAAACAACGGUUCACGGAAAAUCCGUUGUAAAAAAGUAGUGUAGACAACAGUUUAUGGGAAGGAAACCGUUGUAUAAUAAAUUUUCAUUUUUAUGAGUUAAAAAUUCGCAUUUCCUUGAUCAAUUCUUGAUCUAAUGCAAGAAAAACAUAUGACUAUCAAGAAAUUGAUUGUUUUGUUAUAACUUUGGUUAGGACUUUGAAUCUUUGCACUCUCUUAUGUACAUCCAUUUUCUUAAAAUUCAUUCAAUCAUACAACAUUUUAUUAGUUAGUAGAGGCUUGUCUAUAAUGCCAUGCUACAAUGCUAACAAAAACACUUGUAUGUUAGCUUCCCAGUCACACAACACUAUAUAAAACCCUUGUUUGAACUCCUCGUAAACAACACAACAAAUAAAACACUUGUCUAAUUACAACGACGGUUUCUUGAACUAUUGUCUGAAGUUUCUUCACACAUCGGCUCUCAAAACAGUUGUCUAACAUGCAUCAUUACACAAUACCACAGUUAAGAAACCAUUGUCUAAUUGAAUUUACUAGACAACAAUUUUUUAACCGUUGUAGGUCGUAGAUGUUAGACAAUAGUUUUUCGAGGCCGAAAAGAAAGUGUUGUGUCUUUUUUCCAAACAACGCUUUUUUCACCGUGCGUUGUCUGAUCAGUGUUGUCUAAUGGUGUUAUUGUUGUAGUGCAAGUUGGAUUUAUUUAAUGCUAAUAGGUACUUGUUCAAGUGAGGAGAUUUAACUGAGAUUCAGGUUCUGGCAUUUGUCUUGUGUUGUUAUUUGUUUAUGUACCGGUUUUGAGAGUCAUUAGAGAUAUGUAAGGUAUUUAUUCCUAUUUUUUAUUAUUAGUAUUACAUCGUUUUCGGGUAAAAUAAUCGAUGAUUGUUUGUUUUAACUGUGUAAUAGCCUUAUGAUCUGCCAACUUAUGUAGACAUGUGAUAAACAUGUUGACUGUGGUCAAUAUUUUAGAUGAGGUAGUGUGUUUGUUGUUAUUGCAAGACUUUUUGGAAUAAUCAUUGUCAAAAAGAACUAACGAUGAAUGGAAAUGAAGUUCUGAAGAAGUGAUGAUACAAUGUUAAAGAGAUUGCUUUUUGUUGAAUUUUUCUGACUCUGGAAUUAAACUGCGUUAGUAUCUUCUUCUCUGAUUUUCCUUAUUUGGUAGACCUACUACUUUCAGAAGAUACAUGUGGUAUUUGUUUGGUUGAUUAAUUUUGGUAAGAUACAGUUUCCGUUUGGAAUCAGACUAUCCAUUGAACAAUCAGACUAUCCAUUGAAGAUUUUAUGCUCGCUCUUAAAUGGUUGAUCCACUGAUCUUAUUCUUACUUCAUAUGAGCUAAAGCCAGCUCUAGGGGUGUUUCUCGCAUACAAAAAAAUUAAAAAAAAUAUUAUGAAACUAUACUUUGCAGGAGUCUCAAAAUAAAUAAGUGUAAACGAUAAACUUAAACACCUAACUUCUUAAACACCUAGCAUAACACGGGUGAGCAUAUGGUCAAUCAUACCAAAUUGAAUAAAUCGAAAUUAAAAUUUAAAUAUUUUUAGACUGGACCAAACUGAAAUAUUUUGUCCGAUCCAGUUCAGUAUGAUCGAAAAGAAUUGAUUCUUUUGGAAAAAGUAACUUAAUAUUAUAAAUAAAAUUAAGAUUUAUAAUUUAUUUAAAAACUAUCAAUGAAUCAUCAACACUUCUUCAAAAAUAGAUACAUUUGAAUUUAUACAUUAGAUAUUAUAACUUCUAAAAAGUAUAUAAAAAUAUAUAAUAUAAAUAUAAAUUUAUAGUAUAAUUUUUUUGACUAUUUAGAAUAUAUUUUUAACCCAAAUAUUUUUUUUUAAAAUCAAAUUUUAUUUCGAUGAACUUUUCUAGAAAAUUAAGAUAGAAACGAAACUCAUUCCUACAGUAAGGUUUCAGUUUUUCGGCUGCAAUACGGUUUUGCUCAUCAUUAGCAUAAAUGGAGUAUGUAGUAAAUAUGAAUGAAUGGCAUGGGAAUUCUUGGAAUGGUAUCAAGAAUUAAGAUUAAAGCACAUUAGAAGUUUAGAACCAUGAAUGUUAUUUUUGAAAAUAGUAAUCCCUCCGUUUCUUAUCACGUUUCUCGUUUGAUAUGUCGGAACGGUUCAUAAUAUGAGACAAAUUAGUAAUUUAUGUCCAAUUUAUAAAAUUAAAUAUAGUCAUGAGUGAUCUUGUUGGAUUCGUAUCUAUGAGUACUUUAAUAAGAUGAAAUUUUUAUAUUUAAUGUUAAUACAAAAUUAAAAUAUAUUAAUUAAAAAUAUAUAUUGACAAACGUGAUAAAAACAAACAGCAAAAAUAUUAAGAAACGAAGCGAGGGAGUAAUAAAUAUGCUUUAUGCUGAACUGAAUUGAGUGCGUGGAAGCUUGGGGAGGCAGCUUACUACAGUAUCUACGUGUAUCUGUAUAUGCAAUAAAGACACAAAUACUCACAGGAGAUUAUUUUUCAAACACUUAAUUUCCCCCUUUCCUUCUCGUAAUAUUCAACUCAAUUCAUCACAUCAUCUUCUUCAGACAAACAACUAUACUCACUUCAGAUCAUCACAUCAUCUUCUUCUUGACUUCAGAUCCACAUUUCAAACCCUAAUCAUUCGCUUGGUCCCCUCCCUCUCUGUAAUAAUACAAUUCUUUCUACACACAAACAAUAACAUCAUCAUCAUCGAGUGAAGCUUCAUAUCCACAUUCCAAGACCUAAUUACUCGCCAAACCACUCUCGCUCUCAUGGAGGAGGCCUUAGAAAUGGCGAGAUCGAAUGAUACCAAGAAGCGAAGGGCGGGAGUGGAUCGGCUGCAACAGCUUCUUGAAGAUUCAAGAAAGUGCUUGUCAUCGUCGGAAGUGACGGCGCUAGUCGACACGUGUCUUGAGCUUUUGAAGGACACGUGUGUUGCUGUCGUCGGCCGCGGAGUUGUUUAAGUUGCAUUCUGAUAGAAUUAUGACGGCGGUUGUUGAUAGGUUGUGGGAUGGGGAGCAGCGGGUUCGAGACUCGGCGAGGAGGCUGUUGAUUACCCUUAUGGAGGUAAUUUAUUAAUUUUCUUGGGGAAUGCCAGUUGAUUUUAUGGAAUGUGAUAUAGUAUAGUUUCUAUCAAUCGAGUAUCUUAAAUUGAUGACUACAACAAGUAUUAUCGUUUUGCACGCAAGUGGCUAAACUUUUAUGCAUGCCAAAUUGCCAAUCGGGUUUCAAUUUCAGAUCUCUGCCUUCACUUGCAUACGAACACAUUUGAGUUUAAAAAGAUGAAUCACCUCAUAAAUAUCAUUAAUAAUUAGUUGGUGUUAAUAGUGCACUGAAAAAUGGGAGAGAAUGACAAGACUAUAGACAGUAGUAGGGCUGAGCGAGAUGUUAAUUGAGUACUUAUAUGAUGCUUCACUAUGUUCAGGGAGUUAGUUUAUUGCUUCUUUCCUACACUUUCACUUGAAUUAGUACUAAUUAAUAAUUCCUUCUCUAUCUUGUAAAAUUUCUCCUUCAUUGCUAAGCAUAUCUACUCUGAUUAAUUUUCAAACAAACUUUACUACUGAGAUAGGAUUGUUUGCUGGGUAGGAGCACCAUAGAAUGAGUAGCUCUAUUGCUAUAUACUGAAGGGUGCGGUGGCAUCCUCGGUUAUAUUUUAAGUGCUACUUCGAAUUUAGUUGUUGGCUUUUGCAAUUUAUUUUCAUUCACAAUGUUUUAAUAAUGAUACCCCAUAUUAGGUGAGAGAUAUUAGUGCCAGGCUGGAGCAGAUUCAGAUUCAACCAGCAACUUCCGUCUCUUCCAUCUCUGAAGGACUUAAUAGUAAUCUUCUCCACCAUGCACCUGAUUUAGAAGUAUAAUGUAUUAAUGUGAACUUUUUAUUUAUAUUUAUUUCCAUGUGUAGUAAAACGAUCACAUCUUUUAAGAGCUUAGUACAAUGUUAUGUACAAUGUGUAAUUAAUUAAGAGGUUUGUACAUAGUUUAGUAUGAAAUGGAAAAAGUUUGUACAGAAGUUUAUUUGUUCACAUUACAGCUGAGACGAGCAAGCAAAAACCAUCAGAGAAUUCAAAGGAUAAUGAUAAAGGAAUUGAGCCCCUACUGGAACUGCCGGAAGAUAUUAUCUUUCUACAAAUUCUGCCUAAGUUGAACAGCCUAGAUGUUCUUCCCCUGGUUUUGGUGGCUAGGAGUUGGGCCUCCUUUCUUUUGCAUGAGGGACCCAGACUGAUGUUAUUCAACCCACCUAAAAAUCCUACACCUAAACACACUUCAAUUUUAUUUGAUGUAAGCCCGAUUCCGUACUCUGUUUCAGUUUUGUUAUCCCCAGAGAGCCGCCAACUGUGUCAGUCUAGGUGUAUAAUUGUUCCAAUCUUGAAUUCUGGUAUAAAACAUGCUGUUCCAAUUUUCACUGACUACCCAGAUUUUUUAAAGCAGGGGGAAGUCCCAACUGUAGUGGGAUCUUCCAGUGGUAUUAUAUGCCUCUAUAUCACCAGUUCUCCCUCUAGAUACAUCCUGCUAAACCCCUUAACAAAACAUUAUAAAGAGGUUGGGGCCCCUUAUAUUUUUGUACCAGAUUGUGAGCAAGCUUCUGUAACUUCUGGAUUCUUUUAUGAUGAAUGGACUGAUGACUUAAAGAUCGUACAAUUGUUGAGAUGGGAUCAAAGGCUUACGAGCUUGGAUGCUCCGGGACCCAAAAAGAUACAUGCGCUUCGCGUUUGUUCUGUAAAUUCUGCAAAUUGGGAAGUUGUUGACUUGGGGCCAAUGAAAGUCUCCGAUCGUCUUGGUGGUGUGUUAUUUUUGCCGAAAGCUCUCGUCACAUUUGUAGAUGCGUUUGCUACAGAGCCGGAGAUUAACUUUUGGUUGGAUUUUCGUGAUUGCCGUCUAAAGGCAGUUCCGGAAUUAGAAGGGGCUGAACUCAGUAUGAAAUCGGUUUGGUGGAAUAACCAGGUUGGUGUUAUUGUUGGAACUGACAGCAUUUAUGUCCUUGAUGAGGAGUUUGCAGCCUGGUAUUACUGCACAGUGCUUCCGGACGUGGGAAAUUGUGUAUUCUGUUUAGAUGAGAACAAAAUUGUGGGGAUGGGGGCUGGGGAAAGCGGAAGCGUAAAUGAUUACAAUAUUCUUAAUUCCACAAGCGGCGAAAUCCAACAUAUAAUCUCGUUGCCUUCUUGCAGGGUUUUUCCGUAUGUUCCUACAUUCUACUAUAUCGAGGGAAUGGCUAAUUUUUAGACUUUUGCAAGUCACAAUGUAAUAAAAGAAUGUAAACAGUACAUAGCAGCAAUACCUCUCUAUAGCAUAUAGUUUCAGAUACAACAUGUAUUGUGAUGCCAGCUUGUAGAGUACAAGUAUUAUUCUAGGUGAUUGAUUGUUGAGAAUAAUAGAGGCAACCGGUUGCAUGAUGGUAUCCUUGAAACUUUCAUAAUUACUAAUAUCGAACUCAGAUAGCAUGCAAUUUUUCCGGAGAUCAUAUUCUUUAGCUAUCAACUAACUCUACAUUAUAUAUUAUGUCCCAGAUCAAUGAGUUUGUUUGCUAUAAUGUCCUAUUUUAUAUGUGAUUUAGGAAUAUGUUCCAUUAACUUGUUAUCACCCUCAAAUCUAAAAUCUAAGACUACCAUGUCCUUAGUUUAUUUUGUUUAAUAUUUGUGAAUAGACUCUAAUCUGAUCAUAUCAAUUAUAUUUUAGUAACAGAUGUUUAAAUGCAUAUGUUUUUGUUAUCUAGUUAUUUCAAUGAUGAUGGGAUUAAAUUUUUUUAUUCUUGUAAUAUGUACAAUGAUUGGUUUAGCUUUAAUAUUUAUUUUUAUUUUUAUUUACCAAUUUUAAUGUAGGUAAAGUUUUAUCAGCAAAUUUUAUUUUUUGUAUGCAGUAAUCUGUUCUAAUAUCAAAUUUUGAUUUAGAUCGAGUAUUAGUAUGUUGAAUUUGCAUUCAUCUAGUUAGAUGAGUGAAACUGGCUAAUUAAUGGAAAAUCAUAAGUACCUGAGUUGUUUUCAAAUUUUUUUCCCAAAUUUUAAUUGUUUGAUUGGUUUCUUCAAAUUAAUAUUAAUGGAAUCAUGAACGCACAUAAAUAAUUUAAUUAAAAAUUAUUUAUUUAUGUGUCAUUUAGAAAAAAUUGGGGACAAAAUUUGGGAUAGUAAUGGGGACGAAAUAUGUGUUAGCGUUAAUGGUUUAGCGGCAGUGGAGAACGCAAUUUAAGAGCAAAUCCAAUAGUGUCCUAAACUAGUAUCCUAAAUUAAAAAUUAAGGUAUUUAUAUAAAUGAGUGCUCCACCUAAUGAGUGCUCCACCAAUGUCCAGUGAUACCUUAAAAUACUAGGAAAUCCAUCAAGCGUCUCGUUUUUAAGACAUCACUAGGCAUGCCCUAUUUCACUUCUAUCAAUAAAAUAUAUCUUUCCCUCGUUUUUUACAGAUCUCUUCUCUCUCAUUUUUUCCAUUUAUGCCCAAUUAUAAUUCAAAUAUAAUACACCUUCAGUCCCUUUUUAGUUGUGAAAUUUACAAAAAUAAUUUGUCCUUAAAUAAUAUUCUCAUCCUUGUUCCAAUACAUAUUUAUACAUAUUUUUUCAUGUUUACCCCUUGAUUGUUGGUUCAAAUGUUUGACUGUACUACUAAUAUAUACAGUUUUGACUUAGUAUUUAAUAUAAUAAAUAAGGGCAUGCGUGGAAACAACUUACAACAUUUAAUUUUCUUUAAUAUAUGUAUUUUUGCAAAUGUGACAACUAAAAAGGAACAGAGAGAGUAUUAUUUUAAUCAUAAAACAUAUUGUUGGAGUUAAUAUAAAAAAAUCAUGUCUUAAAUCAUAAGAUUACUAUAUUUAAUUAUAUUUAUAAGGCAUCUAAUAGUACAAUAUUGGAUUUGCUCUGAUCACAGAUCAAUCAAAUGAUCGGCAACUUAAGCGAUCAAAUGAGAUGACUCGCAUAGUCCACGCUAAUCGAUAUCCUUAAGAGGAUGUUUGCCUGGGCUUAAAGCCCUUGCUUUAAGCCAUCUUUGGCUUUAAGCUGAAAAAUGUCUGUUUGUGUAAUAAGUCAGAAGCCAGCCUAAAGUCAGAAAUAAGCCAGAAGCUGACUUAAAGCCAGAAGUUAAUUUGAGGUACUUUUUUCAGUGGCUAAAUUUUUUUGAACUUUUUUUUUGAUAAAAAUUACUCCUAAAUCAUAAGUUUCUUAUAAAUCACUUUUAUUUUUAUUAUUAUAUUUUUAAUAACUCAUAAGUCAUUCAUAAGCCAAAAUUACCCAAACAGACAUUUUAAGCUAUCAGCUUAUCAGAUAAGACACGUUAAGUCACAAGUCACAUUAAGUCAUAAGCCAUAAGCUCAGCCAAACGGGCAAGUUUUCUAAGAGACAUUCCUGCUUAGUGCAUUUUUAAUAGGGUUGCCUAAAUCGUUGACGAAAUUGGACAUGUGAGACAUUAUAUAAAAUUUGUUAAACAUGUAAGUGAUUGUGUUUCAAUAAUGUUAACUACAUUGAUAGAUUAUAACUUAAAAAUAGUAUGUUAUUAAUAUUUAGAUUGUUAUAAAAAAAUAUAUGAGUUUAAUAUGAUAGGAAAUGAUGUGUAAAUUACCCCGAUUAUAUAUAUAUAUAAAUAAUAAUAUAUUUAUAUAUAUUAUACUAAAUAUAUUAUUAAAAAUAGAUAAAUUUUAUAAUAUAAUCAAAAGUAAAAAAUAAUCUUUAUUUUUAUUGAUUGAUUAUAAAUAUAUUGUAAUAUAAUAUAUUUUAUAAUUUUAAAUUGUUGUUUAUUUAUAUUAUAAAUCAAUUUUAAUAUGAUUUGAGGUUGAAAAUAUAAGAUAAUAUUAUUUUAUUAUUAUAUUAGGAGUUUGUAGUUUGUUUUUUAAUUAAAAAAAUAUAUUAUAUAUUAUAAAAUUAUUAUGUUUUUAUUAAAAAAUAAAAUUCCCCGAAACCCCGCGGGGAUCCCCGUUCCCCGUUCGGGGCGGGGAUCGGGGCGGAAAAUAAUCCCCGUUCGAGGUUCGGGGCGGGGUCGGGUAGGGCCGUAGGGGUAUUGAAUUCGGGGAUCGGGGUCGGGGAUAGCACUCCCCGCCCUCGAAGUCUCCCCGUGCCCAUCCCUAGUCGAACCUCUAGAGGUCCGUAAAAAAUCUCCAAGAAGAUUACACUAUGUAAUCUUCUUGGAGAUUUUUUACGGACCUCUAGAGGUUCGACAAAUAUAGUGGCCGGUAGGAUGUUGGUUAAAAUUAUAGAUAAGUGGUGUCUAUGGUUGAGUGUGAUUUUUUUGAAUAGAAUGGCUAUAUAUUUUAUUUUUGGGAUGCCAACUCAAUUUUUAAACUAAGGACUUCUCAUAUUUGGAGAUGCUAUAUGAUGGCAAAUCCCGCAAAUCUUCAAUUUUGACAUAUAUUAUCCUAAAUUCUCUUUCAACAAUGAUUGAUUCAAAUUUGGAUCAAGAUUGUUGGAUCCCGCUGACGUGGCAGUGACGUCAUGUUGACGUGGCGCCCUGGGGUGGACCCCGGUGCUGACGUGGCAGAUGACGCGGCGGUGACAUGGCGCCUGGUUGGGGUCCCAUUACUAACGUGGCAUUUGGGUAGAAAGUAUAAAUUACGGAAAAUUGAUGACAAACUGAGAGGUGCAUAUUAUAAGUUUUAAAAAGUAUGAGGAGAUAUUUGAUCAGUUUAAAACUAGUUUUUAGGUUUUUAGGCUAACCGUGGUUUGUAUAUUCGAGCAUCCCCGUGUAUAUUGACAUAUAGGUAAACUCCUUGCAAUACUUUGAGCUGCAAAAUCCAUCAAAAUUUUGAUUUAUCAUGUAACUGUUUGACAGAGUACUUCCAACUUUCAAGCGUAAGUAUCAAAAUCACUACCUUCAUAUGUUCCAUUAAGCGUGAAAGGUACAGAAUAAGAAGUGAAAGAAAUCCUUUAUAUUUACACGGCCAUUGAUCUUAUAGGAUCACCUAGCCCAUCAGUGCUAGGGAAUACGGAACCAUCUUAUCAAUUAACGAAGAAAUGUAUGCAUGCAGUGUCACCACCACAAGUCAGAAAUGGUGAUGAUGCUAAUGAUAAUGAACUCAAUUGGGAGUGAUCCUAAUGGGAUAUGGAUGUGGAUUGGUAUGCGGAUUCUUUGGGGUUUAUUGUUCUUACAAUGGGAAAGCCUUGGUGGUUUAUGAGAUACAUUGAAGUAAGUUGAUAAUGACAUGCACGGCUUAAUUAAGAUUAAUUAAGACAAACACCUUGACAAAAUGUUGUCUUAGAAUGAUAUGUAUUCUGAUUUUUCCUAAUUUAAAAUCAAAUUUAUUACAAUUAAAGUUAAAAUCUGCGUAGCACAUACUAUACUUUGAUUAAAUUUUUAUUGAAGUUGUCCAUAUUAACCUAGUGGCCGAAAGUGAAUAAAUUAAAUUAGUGGGGUCUAAUAUAAAAAUUGCAUUAAUUAAAAUUUGUAAUGUAUAGAUUAUGCUAAAGCUAUUCAUUAUAAAGAACAUAGGAAUGUUAAUCUCUUUAUAUGUUUGCAUGCGGAUAGUCUCUCGGGAGUGUGGUAUAUUGUCAUGGCUGGAAAAACGGCUAAUUUCUACGGUUUUUUUUUGACAGAAAUUAAUUUUGACGGAAUACUGUCGAAAUAUCGAAAGUCGAAAAUAAGCCGCAAAAUUACUUUUUUCAAUUUUCAAUUGAAAACUGUCAAAAAAGUCUCUGGCAAAAUUAUAUUUAUUUCUACAGAUAAUGUCGAAAAUAUUUUCCUGCAAAUUUCCCGCACCUUAGUUGUGAGCGGAAAUAGAUAGUUUGGACAGAAUUCCGUCGAAAUUACGCGAGUUCUUUGUAGUGUGUUUUCACACAUACGCUGAUAAUCUUUGGGGACUGGGGUAUAUUGUUUUCGCAAAGCACUGGUAGUUUGUGAGCUUGUCCAAUUUUUCCCCCCAUGCCUAUACUGGUUGGUCUCAGUCUUAGUGGUAAUAAGCUGGCGUCAAAUUUUCCAGAAUUCAUAUAUAAUUGCUAUAACAUGAUCCGAUGCCUGAAUCAGCAGCUAACAAUUUACGUAAUCUUGAAGAACUAUAUCUUGGUGCCAAUUCUUUCGAGGGCUCAUUUCCAACGAAUAUAUUCAAGCUUUCCAAAUUAAGGGUUCUUGACCUAUCUGUGAAUAAUUUUUCAGGUUCCAUUCCCAAUGGUAUAGAGAUGCUUCCCGAUCUUGGAAUAAAUCGUAUUUAUAAUAAUUCAUUUGAAGGAAUUAUUCCUUCUUCAAUUAGUCUACUUAAAGAUCUUCAACACCUAGACUUCGGUGACGACAACCUUGUGGUUUCAAGUAUAAUGUCUUACGGGUCCAAUCUAACCGAUCAUUACAGGCAACCCCAUUGGAGAUGCUCUUAAUAACAUUUUAACUAGAGAGUAUUUUCUAUCAAUUGCAUUUGUAUUAAAUUUGAUUUAGAUGAAGAGAAACAGAAUACAUAUGAUCCCGAGACAACAUUUUGUCAAUGUUUUCGUCUUGAUUGAACAGUCUUCUUCAUGCGUGUCCUUGUCAACUUCAGUUGCAGUAAUUCAAUGUAUCUCAGGAACCACCUUGGCUUUCCCAUUUUGAUAACAAGUAUCCUGAAGAUAAUCCGCAUAUCAAUCCACAUCCGCGCGUAUCCCAGUUGAUUUAUUAAUUUAUUCAUGAAGUGUUGCGAACGACAUUCCUGCAAAAGUAAAAGUCAGUGGAAUUUGUAUGAUAGCAUGAUGAAUAUUUAAAGUUUCAGUUAAAAUUUCACCAAGUAUUUUAUUUCUGGCUUAAGUCCCGGAUUGACGAAUUCUGCUGAUCACAUUUCUAAUCGACCAAUUCUGGUCGAAUAAAUUAAAUGGCACACUUCCUGAGUUGGUGGUAGGGGCGUUCUUCUUGUGUUUCUUUCUUUUCAUUAUUGACAUUGUUAUCCAGGCCCUUGCUUCUGGGCUUUUGUAAAGCACCCAUUUACGCCAUUGUCAUGAUCAUAGCUAGUCUUCCAUAUCCAAGAUACGCGCAUUAUAGUGGAUUUAUCUUUAUUAGUGAUUUCUGUGGAAAUGCAUAAUCUUAAUUAUAAGCUCCAAUAUUAUAAAAUAAACCUAACUUAUUAGAGUUAACAGGGCAUUUGUGUUGAUAAUUUGCGCAAUGUUAAUGGGGAUCGCUCCCAAGUCUUGGACGGACUCUUUCCAAGUCUUCUGAGGACCCAUCUGCACACUAAUUUGUCCGCCAACUAAAAAUUUAUAUAUAUUUUUCCAUAGAAUAUAAAUAGUUGGGGGUACUAACAGAACCUCUAGUAAAAUUAAUUAAUACCGUUAUGAUUUCGCAAACACAGCAGACAGCAGGCAUAAGGCUUAUAAAUAGAAGUGUCGUAUUUGGUUGAUGGUCAAGUUGAGUGGAAAUAUGGCACACUUUGUAAAGCCUUGUUAUCCUCUUCUCUUUGUUUUCUUUCUCUCAUUACUUCAAUCCAUUCUAACAACACAAGAGGGAGAAGCUCUUGUGAAAUGGAAGAAUAGCCUAGCCCCUUCUUCUUUUCUCGACUCUUGGUCACUCACCAAUCUCGAUAAUCUUUGCAACUGGACUGGCAUUACUUGUAACUCUGCAGGUUCAGUCUCUGAGAUUAACCUUAGUGAGAAACAACUUGAUGGAAUGCUGUCCGAGUUUGGUUUCACUUCAUUUCCAAAUCUCAACAAUCUCACCCUCGCAAUUAACUACUUCUCGGGUCCAAUACCACCAGCCAUUGAGAAUUUAACACAGCUUCAAUAUCUUGAGUUGAGCAAUAAUUAUCUAGAUGGUCCCAUUCCUUUCCAGGUUAGCAAUCUUCAGAGGUUGCUCAUCUUAAACCUGUCAGAGAAUGAACUGCAAGCUCCAAAUUGGUCCAAUUUUUCCCCCAUGCCUUUUUUGACCAUCCUCGACCUUUAUAAAAAUAAUCUUUUGUCAGAAUUUCCCGAAUUUAUAUCUAACUCGUGUAACCUUACGUACCUUGACCUCUCAUCCAACAAGUUUAGAGGGGAUCUUGCGCGAGAAUCAGUAUUAACCAAUCUAGGUGAUCUUGAAACCCUCUAUCUUAUUAGAAAUUCUUUCAAGGGGUCAUUUCCGUCAGAUUUAUUCAAGCUUUCUAAAUUAAAACGUCUUCACCUGUCGAGCAACAAAUUUUCAGGUUCAAUUCCUAAUGCCAUAAGGUUGCUUUGUGAUCUUGAAUUCCUAUAUUUAGGCAACAAUUCCUUUGAAGGACUGCUUCCACCAAAUAUAUUUAAGCUUUCAAAAUUAAAACAUCUUGUUCUUCGGAGUAAUAAGUUUUCAGGAUCUGUUUCCAAUGAUAUAAAUUUGCUUCCUGAACUUGAAUAUCUCGAUCUUAAUUCUAAUUUUUUUGACGGGCCGCUUCCUCCAGAUGUAUUCAAGCUCUCCAAACUAAGGUUUCUUUACCUCUCGGGUAAUACCUUUUCACGUUCUGUUUCCAAUGAUAUAGGUUUGCUUUCUGAGCUUGAAACCCUCGAUCUUAACUCUAAUUUUUUGAGGGUCCGCUUCCGUCAAAUAUAUUCAAGCUCAAAUUAAAAAUUCUAGACCUCUCAAACAAUAGAAAUUUAUUUCAAAGAAGUUUUCCUAUUGGACUGGAACUCUUGAGUAACCUCAGCUACUUAGGUCUAAGUUCCAGUAAUCUCAGUGGCAAUAUUCCAUCUUACAUUGGAAACCUGAAGCUACUAAUAUCUCUUGAUCUCAGUUCUAAUCAAUUGACUGGACCGCUUUCAAAGCUCGUUUCUAAUGUCACAAAUCUUAUAUUUCUUGAUUUAAGAGAUAAUAGUCUUAGUGGAAAUAUUCAGACUGACUUGUGGAAAUAUAACGAUCAUCCAACUCUGGAAUACAUCAAUUUGAGUGGGAACUAUUUUACGGGUAUAGUUUUUCUCUAUAGAUCUUUUCUUUUGUCAUAUGUAACUAAGCUAGUAAUCUGAUUAAUUGCAGUUUUACCAAAGUUUCAACAAUCUUGACAGGUGAGCUUCCAACAACAAUUUGCAAUGUCACUUCCCUUUCGGUUCUUGAUUUGUCAAAUAAUAACUUAAGUGGUGCACUUCCAAAAUGUUACGGGAAUCUUGCUGAUGGAUUGCUUUACAUUAAUCUUGCGAAUAAUCACUUUCGAGGAACAAUACCCACUACUUUCUCCAGGAGUUGUCAGCUGAUAUAUCUGAACAUGGAUGAUAAUGAGUUUGAAGGAUUGAUGCCCCCAUCUUUGGCGAACUGUAAGCACUUGAAAAUUUUUGAUAUUGGCAAUAAUAAAAUAGGUGGUACAUUUCCGUCAUGGCUUUAUGCACUUGGAGAGCUAGAAGUCCUUGUCUUGCGAUCAAAUAAACUCUAUGGUACAAUAAGUGGAAGGAGCAUAGAAGAUCCCUUCCCCAAGUUGCGGAUUGUGGAUCUGUCCAACAAUCAAUUCACAGGCCAUUUGCCAAUUCAAUACUUUAAGAAUAUGAAAUCAACUGAUAAUUUGUAUCGUUAUCAGAAUGACACAGGAGUUUUUUCUUUCCAUUAUGAAGCAUCUGUCUCAUUAACUGUGAAGGGAACAGAGUAUGAAGUGAAAAAUAUCCUUCAUAUUUACACAACCAUUGAUCUGUCCUGCAACAAGUUUCAAGGAGAAAUUCCUGACGUUAUUGGAGAGCUUAGAUGGCUUGCAUUGCUGAACUUAUCUCAUAAUAGUCUAACAGGACAUAUCCCAUCAUUGCUGAGAAAUAUGAAAGGACUCCAAUCUUUAGAUUUGUCUUCAAAUCAACUGAAAGGGGCUAUUCCACUUCAGUUAACUGCAUUGACAUUUCUAGAGGUCUUGAACCUCUCGGGAAACCAUCUUAGUGGAGAGAUUCCUCAGAAAGGGCAGUUCAGCACAUUUAACAUUGAUUCUUAUCUAGGAAACUCCGCGUUAUGUGGUUCACCUUUGAUGAAGAAAUGUGCAAACACAGCAUCACCUCCACAAGAAGCCGGAAAUGGUGAUGAAGAUGAAGCUGGUGAUGAAUUGACAUGGGAAGCAAUCGUGAUGGGAUAUGGAUGUGGACUGAUAUGUGGAUUGUCAUCUGCAUACAUUGUUCUCAAACUAGGAAAGCCUUGGUGGUUUGUGAGAUAUAUCGAAGUACUGCAACAGAAGUUGAUGAAAAGAUAUGCAUGAAGAAAGGUACUGGUAGAUCAAGAUGAACUUGAAAGUUGUUGUCGUGGUAGACAUUUGUGAACCAGUAGUGUACUAGCUGCAUAAGUAUUUGGUAUUAUGUAAUAAUCCGUUUGGUCGGGACUCAAAAUGAUUUCUCUUGCUUCAGGGGUAUUAAUAUUAACCUUGCUAUCUUGAUCAAUGUUAGGGCAAAUUAAAAAGAAUAUAAAAGCAAAAAAUUUGCAUCAAACACCUGUUGUACCAACAUGCAUCCAUUAAUUUGCUUUCAUCUAUUAAGUAACAAUUUAAGAGCGCUUCCACUCUGUUUAAGCAUGGAGAUAACACAAAGAAGGCAAGUCCAUGGACUAAUAUAUUAACACGUAGUCCACAUCUAUGGUAUGAACAAUUCAUAUUGCUCUUCUAUCUGUUCAACAGUCUCCCGAAGAUAGGCCAAAAAUGUCAUCUGUGGUUCUUAUGUUUGUCAGUGAAGGAGAAUCUCUGAUGCCUACACAACCUGGUGUUUUUACAGAAAGGAAUGUAGGUGAAACCAGGGGCGUAAAAUGAAUCAGGACUAAAAUCUGCUAAAAUGAUAAUUAUUUACUCAUCAUUCAAGAUUAGUCGGGCUCAAAGAUUUAUAUGGAUUUUAAGAACAAACUAUGACUAAAUAUGAAAAAAUCAUUAAUUUUUCCGACUCAAUAUUUUUUAGCCUCCCCCGGCCCUGGGUGAAACCAUAAGCUUCUCUGGUGCACAUCCAAAUCAUUCAGUUGGUUCUACUUUCAGCUCACCCACAGGAACAUCAUUCUGCAGGUACUCUUUUAUCUGUACUUUCUUAUAUUGUAUGCCAGUAAAUUUUAUAUCGACAAACUGCACAAUACACCUCGAUCUCAUAUUAUUGACAGGUGAGCUCCUCUCAUAAUGCUCACAGGCGAACCCCUGCAUAUAUACUUUGUGAUGUCAUUGAUGAUCGAUAGACUUGAAAAAAAAUUAUGACAAAGAUUCAUAAAAUAUCUACUUCCAUCCUAAUUCAGUAUUCAAUAUUAUUCAUUCGUAUCAUCAUCCAAUCAAUUCUAAUAGUUCUUCUUUAAAUCAGUACAAAUAUUGUUAAAUACCUGGAUGAUGGUUGUCUUUCCGCGAACCAAUCAUGAAAUUACCUCUGUAUAAAUCCAUCGGAAAUAAGACAGUUAAUAUCCCAAUCGAAUACACCCCGUCAGUUGUCAAACUCCUCGAAACGUAUUAAUCACUUUAGAAAAUUUGUUCCACUGGCGCUAGUCAGUCCCAGAGUUGGUGGUGGGUGCUUCUGGGCUUUCGAAAAGCACCCAUUUACUCCAUUGUUUAGAGAAGUAAAACCCCACCUUCCGCUCAUUUGAUUGAUCAGCUGAAUUAGGCAGAGUUUACAUGGUCAUGAUCAUAGUCUCCCAUNUUAAUAGUCUGACAGGACCUAUCCCAACAUUGCUGAGAAAUAUGAAAUAACUCCAUUACUCCAAUCUUAGAUUUGUCCUCAAAUCAACUGACAGGGGCUAUUCCACCUCUGUUAACUGCAUUGACAUUACUUUUCUCUUUAUAUUCUUUCCUUUUGUAUGUACCUAUGCUAAUUAUCUGAUUAUUAAAAUUAUAACAAAGCUUCAAGAUUUUUAACAGGUGAGCUUCCACUAAAAAUUUGCAAAGUCACUUCCCUUUCGCGUCUCAUUAUGUUAGAUAAUGGGUCAAGUGGUGCACUUCCACAGUGUUUGGGGAACCUUUCUUUGCUUGGUUUCAAUAAUCUUGCUAAUUAUCAAUUUCAAGGACCAAUACCAACGACUGUCCAAGACUUGUCUGUGCAUAUCUAAACAUCCAUAACAAUCACUUUGAAGGUUUGUUGCUCCAAUCUUUGGCAAACUGUAAACACUUACAAAUUCUUGAUAUUGGAAACAACGUUGGAGAGCUAGAUGUCCCAGUUAGGGCGGUAAUUCGACUAGAGCAAACCGAGUUUUGAGCGGAGCCAAAUUCGAGCCAAGUUUAAUCGAGUCGAGCCGAGUCGGCUCGUUUAGCUAAUCGAGCCUAAAACUUAGCCCGAACUCGACUCAUUUAAUUUCACGAGUCGAGUCGAGCCAACUCGUUUAGCUAAAUGAGCUGAUUUUAACAAGUCGAGCGAGCGAGCUCGUAUAAUUUUAACUUAGUCGAGCCUGAAUCUCUACCCAAACUAUUGGCUCGUGUAAUUUCGCGAGUCGAAUCGAGCCGGCUCGUUUUAUUAAACAAGCCGAAAUUUUUGCCCGAAUUUGCUCGUUUAACAAGCCGAUCUGAGCCUAGUUAAAUGAGUUCGAGUUAGUCGAGCUCGCGAGCUGCGAGCUCACCUGCCAGCUCUAGUCCUAGUCUUGCAAUCAAAUAGGUUUAACGGUAUAGAAAGUGGAAGGAGCACAAGGCAUCCAUUCCCCAAGGCUAUUUACCAAUUCAGUACUUUGAGGAUACAAAAUCAUUCUGCAGGUACUCUUGUAUCUGUACUUUCUUGUACUGUAUGCCACUUUGACAGUAGAGUAAAAUUUAUAUCGACAAACUGCAUAUGUUCUGAACUACUCCUCUAUCCCAAAUUAGAUGAGCUAGUUGACUUUGAGCACGUAACUUAAGGUACAUUGACCAACUAGUUCCGAUAUUUAUUUUUUUAAUUUUUCUUUUGUAAAUGAAAAUUUCAUAUUUAAAUUUUUAUUUGCAAAACUAAAAUUUAAAAAUAUGUAAUGUGGCUAUGCGGUCAAUGUCAACGAGCUCAUCUAAUUUGGGAUUGGGAUGCAGGGAGUAUUACGUACUAUGUUAUGCAAGCUGUUUACAACUUUCAUCAAAAUUUUCAAACAUUUCUGAAUAUGUAUUUUCAAAGAAUUCUCGGGCACUCUUAAGGCCUAUAAUUAUUGGAACUCUCACGUUAUGGACCAGAGGACCACUAUGUAUUUUACAAGCACGACGAAUCAUGUGGUCAUUAUGGACUCCCCAAGCCUUAGAGGACUCAUUCCAGGUUUUAGGAGGACCACUGCCUAGCUCACCCUUUCGGAGUGAUGUAAAUUAGUUUCCAGACACUAAAAAUAAGUAAUCAGAUUAAUCAUUACAAAAUUUUGAUAUAAAAUCAGAAUAAAUCCUAAACUUUGAUGAUACAAAAAAAAUUAUAAUUGUAAAUUAUACAAUCAAAUUAAGAUCGAAUUAACUUCCCUCACACUUAAAAUUUAUAGCGAUCAAAUCAAAAUCGAAUUAACUUUCCUAUUACUAAAAUUUAAUUACAAUAUUAUUAGAUAAAGAGAAUAUAUAAUAAUCAAGAGAAAAUAGAUUUUUUUUUGCCACUCAACUUAUUGUGUUUUAAGAAACUUACCACCCAACUAAAUUUUUUUCCUUUUGCUCACUAAUGUUAGGUUUGGAUUUGUUUUUAGCCACCAAAUAAGGUUCGGAUUUGAUUACCAGCAUUAUGAUAAUUUUUUUUGUCACUAAACUUAUUGCGUCUUUAGAAACUAACCACUGAACUAAAUUUUUUUUAUUUUACUCACUAAUGUUAGAUUUAGUUUUUUUUGUCACUAUAGUUAGGUUCAGAUUUGAUUAUUAGCAUUACAUUAAUUCUGUGUAGCAUUUUUAAAAUAUGGUAGUAGUCUGUGAUAUUUAGAUGAUUUGAUAUAUGUCUGUAUUUUUAUAUAUAGUAUAUUUUAUGUCCCCAAGGUCGUUUACCUUGGGUCAUAAAAAUUUUACACUCAUUUUAUGACUUUUAAAAGAUGUAGUUUCAUAAAUAAUUUUAUUUUUUUCUUUCGAAUUAAAAUUCAGCAUUUGAAUUUUACACACAAAAAAAUCGCAAGAAUAAGAUAUGAAACUAUGCUUUACAAGAGUCUUAAAAUACGUGCUAAACGGUAGAAAAAACUGUAAACUAAUGAGAGGUACAUAGGGAGUAAUAAUAACAUAAAAUGAUGCACAAUCAUCGAAUUAAGUUUUCCUCUCUCUAUAUAUUUAUUUUGUAAAUUUUAAUAAGAUAAAGUUAUUAAAAUUUAUGAUAUAAAUUUAAGAGAUAUCUUAGAUUGAGUGGCAAAAAUUUAGUUGGGUGGUAAGUUUCUAAAAACACAAUAAAUUGAGUGGGAACAAAAUCUAUUUUCCCAAUAAUGAGUGGGAAUAAAAUCUAUUUUCCCAAUAAUCAAAGUGACGAAAAAUCAAAGUCAUCUAAUAAGUCCAGAAAAAAUAUGACCAUUAGUAUAUUGAAAUAAUAUUCACGCAUUUAUAUACGAGAAUAUAUGGUCCACAAGUUAGUGCACAAUGUCCAAGAAUCUUUAUCAAAUAACACGGCAAGCAUGCAGCAUAUAAAUAAGAGUGGGCAGUAUGGUAUUGCAUUCAUAACCCACUUGAGCAGAAAUAUGGCACACUUCCUAAAGCCUUCUCACCUUCUUCUCUUUGUUUUCUUUCUCUCGUUACUUCAAUCCAUUCUACCAACAAGACCAGAGGGAGAAGCUCUUGUGAAAUGGAAGAAUAGCCUAGCCCCGUCUUCUUUUCUCGAUUCUUGGUCACUAACCAAUCUCGAUAAUCUUUGUAACUGGACUGGCAUUACUUGUAACUCUGCAGGUUCAGUCUCUGGGAUUAACCUUUAUGAGAAACAACUUGAUGGAAUGCUGUCCGAGUUUGGCUUCACUUCAUUUCCGAAUCUCAACAAUCUCACCCUCGCAUACAACUUCUUCUCGGGUCCAAUACCACCAGCCAUUGAGAAUUUAACACAGCUUCAAUAUCUUGAUUUAAGCAUCAAUAGUCUCGAUGGUCCCAUUCCUUUCCAGGUUAGCCAUCUUCAGAGGUUGCUCGUCCUAAACCUGUCACAGAAUGCAUUGCAAGCUCCAAAUUGGUCCCAUUUCUCUUCCAUGCCUUUUUUGCGCAUCCUCAAGCUCAGUAGGAAUCAUCUUGUAUCGAAAUUUCCAGAAUUUAUAUCCAAUUCUCAUAGCUUGGCUAUCCUUGACCUUGGCCAGAACAACUUUACAGGUGAUCUUGUGCGUGAAUUUACCAAUCUACAAAAUCUUGAAACCCUCUGGCUUUAUCGUAAUUCUUUUGAGGGGCCAUUUCCGCCGGAUAUAGUCCAGCUUUCCAAACUAAAAGAUCUUGCCCUGUCAAGUAACAAAUUUUCAGGUUCAGUUCCCAAUAACAUAAGGUUGCUUUGUGAUCUUGAAUACCUAUAUUUAGGCAACAAUUCCUUUAAGGGGCCACUUCCACCAAAUAUAUUUAAGCUUUCAAAAUUAAAACAUCUUGUUCUUUGGAGUAAUAAGUUUUCAGGUUCUGUUUCCAAUGAUAUAGGUUUGCUUCAUGAGCUUGUAACCCUCAAUCUUAACUCUAAUUUUUUUGAGGGGCCGCUUCCGCCAAAUGUAUUCAAGCUCUCCAAACUAAAGUUUUUUGCCCUUCAUGAGAAUAACUUUUCAGGUUUUAUUUCUAAGGAUAUAGGUUUGCUUUCCGAACUUGAAAUCCUCUAUUUUGGCUCUAAUUUUUUUGAGGGGCCGCUUCCUCCACAUGUAUUUAGGCUCUCCAAAUUAAGAGGUCUGGACCUCUCACACAAUAGAAAUUUAUUUGAAGGAAGUAUUCCUAUUGGACUGGGACUCUUGACUAACCUCAGGUACUUAGAUCUACAUUCCAAUAAUCUCGGUGGCUAUAUUCCAUCUGACAUUGGAAACCUGAAGCUACUAGUACUUCUUGAUCUCGGUUCUAAUCAAUUGACUGGACCGCUUUCAAAGAUCGUUUCUAAUCUCACAAAUCUUAUAUGUCUUGAUGUAAGUCAUAAUAGUCUUAGUGGAAAUAUUCAGAGUGACUUGUGGAAAUAUAACGAUCAUCCAACUUUGGAAUACAUCAAUUUAAGUGGGAACCAUUUUACGGGUAUAGUUUUUCUCUAUAGAUCUUUUCCUUUUCUCAUAUGUAACUAAGCUAGUAAUCUGAUUAUUGCAGUUUCACCAAAGUUUCAACAAUCUUGACAGGUGAGCUUCCAACAACAAUUUGCAAUGUCACUUCCCUUUCGGUUCUUGAUUUGUCAAAUAAUGAAUUAAGUGGUGCACUUCCAAACUCUUUGGGGAAUCUUGCUGAUGGAAUGCUUUACCUUAAUCUUGCUAAUAAUCAGUUUCGAGGAACAAUACCAACUACUUUCUCCAGGAGUUGUCGGUUGACAUAUCUAAACAUGGAUAAUAAUGAGUUUGAAGGAUUGUUGCCCCCAUCUUUGGCGAACUGUAAGCACUUGAAAAUUCUUGAUAUAGGCAAUAAUAAAAUAGGUGGUACAUUUCCGUCAUGGCUUUAUGCACUUGGAGAGCUAGAAGUUCUUGUCUUGCGAUCAAAUAAACUCUAUGGUACAAUAAGUGGAAGGAGCAUAGAAGAUCCCUUCCCCAAGUUGCGGAUUGUGGAUCUGUCCCACAAUCAAUUGACAGGCUAUUUGCCAAUUCAAUACUUUAAGAAUAUGAAAUCAACUGAUAAUUUGUAUCGUUAUCAGAAUGACACAGGAGUUUUUUCUUUCCAUUAUGAAGCAUCUGUCUCAUUAACUGUGAAGGGAACAGAGUAUGAAGUGAAAAAUAUCCUUCAUAUUUACACAACCAUUGAUCUGUCCUGCAACAAGUUUCAAGGAGAAAUUCCUGACGUUAUUGGAGAGCUUAGAUGGCUUGCAUUGCUGAACUUAUCUCAUAAUAGUCUAACAGGACAUAUCCCAUCAUUGCUGAGAAAUAUGAAAGGACUCCAAUCUUUAGAUUUGUCUUCAAAUCAACUGAAAGGGGCUAUUCCACUUCAGUUAACUGCAUUGACAUUUCUAGAGGUCUUGAACCUCUCGGGAAACCAUCUUAGUGGAGAGAUUCCUCAGAAAGGGCAGUUCAGCACAUUUAACAUUGAUUCUUAUCUAGGAAACUCCGCGUUAUGUGGUUCACCUUUGAUGAAGAAAUGUGCAAACACAGCAUCACCUCCACAAGAAGCCGGAAAUGGUGAUGAAGAUGAAGCUGGUGAUGAAUUGACAUGGGAAGCAAUCGUGAUGGGAUAUGGAUGUGGACUGAUAUGUGGAUUGUCAUCUGCAUACAUUGUUCUCAAACUAGGAAAGCCUUGGUGGUUUGUGAGAUAUAUCGAAGUACUGCAACAGAAGUUGAUGAAAAGAUAUGCAUGAAGAAAGGUACUGGUAGAUCAAGAUGAACUUGAAAGUUGUUGUCGUGGUAGACAUUUGUGAACCAGUAGUGUACUAGCUGCAUAAGUAUUUGGUAUUAUGUAAUAAUCCGUUUGGUCGGGACUCAAAAUGAUUUCUCUUGCUUCAGGGGUAUUAAUAUUAACCUUGCUAUCUUGAUCAAUGUUAGGGCAAAUUAAAAAGAAUAUAAAAGCAAAAAAUUUGCAUCAAACACCUGUUGUACCAACAUGCAUCCAUUAAUUUGCUUUCAUCUAUUAAGUAACAAUUUAAGAGCGCUUCCACUCUGUUUAAGCAUGGAGAUAACACAAAGAAGGCAAGUCCAUGGACUAAUAUAUUAACACGUAGUCCACAUCUAUGGUAUGAACAAUUCAUAUUGCUCUUCUAUCUGUUCAACAGUCUCCCGAAGAUAGGCCAAAAAUGUCAUCUGUGGUUCUUAUGUUUGUCAGUGAAGGAGAAUCUCUGAUGCCUACACAACCUGGUGUUUUUACAGAAAGGAAUGUAGGUGAAACCAGGGGCGUAAAAUGAAUCAGGACUAAAAUCUGCUAAAAUGAUAAUUAUUUACUCAUCAUUCAAGAUUAGUCGGGCUCAAAGAUUUAUAUGGAUUUUAAGAACAAACUAUGACUAAAUAUGAAAAAAUCAUUAAUUUUUCCGACUCAAUAUUUUUUAGCCUCCCCCGGCCCUGGGUGAAACCAUAAGCUUCUCUGGUGCACAUCCAAAUCAUUCAGUUGGUUCUACUUUCAGCUCACCCACAGGAACAUCAUUCUGCAGGUACUCUUUUAUCUGUACUUUCUUAUAUUGUAUGCCAGUAAAUUUUAUAUCGACAAACUGCACAAUACACCUCGAUCUCAUAUUAUUGACAGGUGAGCUCCUCUCAUAAUGCUCACAGGCGAACCCCUGCAUAUAUACUUUGUGAUGUCAUUGAUGAUCGAUAGACUUGAAAAAAAAUUAUGACAAAGAUUCAUAAAAUAUCUACUUCCAUCCUAAUUCAGUAUUCAAUAUUAUUCAUUCGUAUCAUCAUCCAAUCAAUUCUAAUAGUUCUUCUUUAAAUCAGUACAAAUAUUGUUAAAUACCUGGAUGAUGGUUGUCUUUCCGCGAACCAAUCAUGAAAUUACCUCUGUAUAAAUCCAUCGGAAAUAAGACAGUUAAUAUCCCAAUCGAAUACACCCCGUCAGUUGUCAAACUCCUCGAAACGUAUUAAUCACUUUAGAAAAUUUGUUCCACUGGCGCUAGUCAGUCCCAGAGUUGGUGGUGGGUGCUUCUGGGCUUUCGAAAAGCACCCAUUUACUCCAUUGUUUAGAGAAGUAAAACCCCACCUUCCGCUCAUUUGAUUGAUCAGCUGAAUUAGGCAGAGUUUACAUGGUCAUGAUCAUAGUCUCCCAUAUAUCCCUGAUACGCACAUUAUAGUGGAUUUAUCUUUAUCAGUGAUUUCUGUGGAGAUGCAUAAUCAUUAUAAGCUCCAAUAUAAAAUUUUAAAGUUAGUAUGGGAAUUUGUGUUGAUAAUUUGCGCAAUGUUAACAGGAUUGCUCCCAAGUCUUGGACGGACUCUUUCAAAGUCUUCUCAGGACCCAUCUGCACACUAAUUUGUCUGCCAACUAAAAAAUCAACAAUAUGUUACUCCCUCCGUUUUUCUUAAACUGAGGUUAAAAUUUUUGACACAAGAUGGGUUGACAGUAUAAAAUUAAAAUAUUUGUGAAUAAAAAUUUUGGUUAUAUUUUUUAUUUAAAAAGAAAAUCUUGAAAAUAAUAUUAUUAACUACCAGUCAGAUCACUUAAGUGUAUGUCCAAAAUUAAAGCGGCAUAUAAAAAAAAGGGAGGAAGCAUGUACUAACUGUUUCCAUAACAGUUUACAAGUAUAAGCUAUACCCCCUCUCUAUUUUUUUCUAUGACAGCUUUGAUUUUGGGCACACAUUCUUAAGUGUUUUGACCGGAUAGUUAAAAAUUUAUCUUCUAAAAUUUUUAAAAAAAGUAAAAUCGCAAAAAAAAUUAGAAAGCUGGUAUUUUUGAUAAAUUUCCAAAUAUGUAAUCAAGAAAAAUAACUUUUACUAUCCAAUCAACUCAUUUAAAGAUGUGUGUCAAAAAUCAAAAUAUCAUACAAAAAAUAGGUAUACAUUUUUUUAAUAGAUUAUACUCCCUCUGUUCCAAAAUAAGUGUCAGCUGGGGGUAAUAACAAGACCUUAGUCAACCCAAGCACAGCAGACAGCAGGCAUAAGGCAUCAGGAAUUUCACAGGACCAUUAUCUUUCUCUUAUUAACUGUGAAGGGAACAGCGUAUGAAGUAGCAAGAACCUUCAUAUUUACACAGCCAUUGAUCUGUCGUGCAACAAAUUUCAGGGAGAAAUUCCAAAGGUUACCGGAGAGCUUAGAUGGCUUGCAUUGCUCAAUUUAUCGCAUAAUUAAUAGUCUGACAGGACCUAUCCCAACAUUGCUGAGAAAUAUGAAAUAACUCCAUUACUCCAAUCUUAGAUUUGUCCUCAAAUCAACUGACAGGGGCUAUUCCACCUCUGUUAACUGCAUUGACAUUACUUUUCUCUUUAUAUUCUUUCCUUUUGUAUGUACCUAUGCUAAUUAUCUGAUUAUUAAAAUUAUAACAAAGCUUCAAGAUUUUUAACAGGUGAGCUUCCACUAAAAAUUUGCAAAGUCACUUCCCUUUCGCGUCUCAUUAUGUUAGAUAAUGGGUCAAGUGGUGCACUUCCACAGUGUUUGGGGAACCUUUCUUUGCUUGGUUUCAAUAAUCUUGCUAAUUAUCAAUUUCAAGGACCAAUACCAACGACUGUCCAAGACUUGUCUGUGCAUAUCUAAACAUCCAUAACAAUCACUUUGAAGGUUUGUUGCUCCAAUCUUUGGCAAACUGUAAACACUUACAAAUUCUUGAUAUUGGAAACAACGUUGGAGAGCUAGAUGUCCCAGUUAGGGCGGUAAUUCGACUAGAGCAAACCGAGUUUUGAGCGGAGCCAAAUUCGAGCCAAGUUUAAUCGAGUCGAGCCGAGUCGGCUCGUUUAGCUAAUCGAGCCUAAAACUUAGCCCGAACUCGACUCAUUUAAUUUCACGAGUCGAGUCGAGCCAACUCGUUUAGCUAAAUGAGCUGAUUUUAACAAGUCGAGCGAGCGAGCUCGUAUAAUUUUAACUUAGUCGAGCCUGAAUCUCUACCCAAACUAUUGGCUCGUGUAAUUUCGCGAGUCGAAUCGAGCCGGCUCGUUUUAUUAAACAAGCCGAAAUUUUUGCCCGAAUUUGCUCGUUUAACAAGCCGAUCUGAGCCUAGUUAAAUGAGUUCGAGUUAGUCGAGCUCGCGAGCUGCGAGCUCACCUGCCAGCUCUAGUCCUAGUCUUGCAAUCAAAUAGGUUUAACGGUAUAGAAAGUGGAAGGAGCACAAGGCAUCCAUUCCCCAAGGCUAUUUACCAAUUCAGUACUUUGAGGAUACAAAAUCAUUCUGCAGGUACUCUUGUAUCUGUACUUUCUUGUACUGUAUGCCACUUUGACAGUAGAGUAAAAUUUAUAUCGACAAACUGCAUAUGUUCUGAACUACUCCUCUAUCCCAAAUUAGAUGAGCUAGUUGACUUUGAGCACGUAACUUAAGGUACAUUGACCAACUAGUUCCGAUAUUUAUUUUUUUAAUUUUUCUUUUGUAAAUGAAAAUUUCAUAUUUAAAUUUUUAUUUGCAAAACUAAAAUUUAAAAAUAUGUAAUGUGGCUAUGCGGUCAAUGUCAACGAGCUCAUCUAAUUUGGGAUUGGGAUGCAGGGAGUAUUACGUACUAUGUUAUGCAAGCUGUUUACAACUUUCAUCAAAAUUUUCAAACAUUUCUGAAUAUGUAUUUUCAAAGAAUUCUCGGGCACUCUUAAGGCCUAUAAUUAUUGGAACUCUCACGUUAUGGACCAGAGGACCACUAUGUAUUUUACAAGCACGACGAAUCAUGUGGUCAUUAUGGACUCCCCAAGCCUUAGAGGACUCAUUCCAGGUUUUAGGAGGACCACUGCCUAGCUCACCCUUUCGGAGUGAUGUAAAUUAGUUUCCAGACACUAAAAAUAAGUAAUCAGAUUAAUCAUUACAAAAUUUUGAUAUAAAAUCAGAAUAAAUCCUAAACUUUGAUGAUACAAAAAAAAUUAUAAUUGUAAAUUAUACAAUCAAAUUAAGAUCGAAUUAACUUCCCUCACACUUAAAAUUUAUAGCGAUCAAAUCAAAAUCGAAUUAACUUUCCUAUUACUAAAAUUUAAUUACAAUAUUAUUAGAUAAAGAGAAUAUAUAAUAAUCAAGAGAAAAUAGAUUUUUUUUUGCCACUCAACUUAUUGUGUUUUAAGAAACUUACCACCCAACUAAAUUUUUUUCCUUUUGCUCACUAAUGUUAGGUUUGGAUUUGUUUUUAGCCACCAAAUAAGGUUCGGAUUUGAUUACCAGCAUUAUGAUAAUUUUUUUUGUCACUAAACUUAUUGCGUCUUUAGAAACUAACCACUGAACUAAAUUUUUUUUAUUUUACUCACUAAUGUUAGAUUUAGUUUUUUUUGUCACUAUAGUUAGGUUCAGAUUUGAUUAUUAGCAUUACAUUAAUUCUGUGUAGCAUUUUUAAAAUAUGGUAGUAGUCUGUGAUAUUUAGAUGAUUUGAUAUAUGUCUGUAUUUUUAUAUAUAGUAUAUUUUAUGUCCCCAAGGUCGUUUACCUUGGGUCAUAAAAAUUUUACACUCAUUUUAUGACUUUUAAAAGAUGUAGUUUCAUAAAUAAUUUUAUUUUUUUCUUUCGAAUUAAAAUUCAGCAUUUGAAUUUUACACACAAAAAAAUCGCAAGAAUAAGAUAUGAAACUAUGCUUUACAAGAGUCUUAAAAUACGUGCUAAACGGUAGAAAAAACUGUAAACUAAUGAGAGGUACAUAGGGAGUAAUAAUAACAUAAAAUGAUGCACAAUCAUCGAAUUAAGUUUUCCUCUCUCUAUAUAUUUAUUUUGUAAAUUUUAAUAAGAUAAAGUUAUUAAAAUUUAUGAUAUAAAUUUAAGAGAUAUCUUAGAUUGAGUGGCAAAAAUUUAGUUGGGUGGUAAGUUUCUAAAAACACAAUAAAUUGAGUGGGAACAAAAUCUAUUUUCCCAAUAAUGAGUGGGAAUAAAAUCUAUUUUCCCAAUAAUCAAAGUGACGAAAAAUCAAAGUCAUCUAAUAAGUCCAGAAAAAAUAUGACCAUUAGUAUAUUGAAAUAAUAUUCACGCAUUUAUAUACGAGAAUAUAUGGUCCACAAGUUAGUGCACAAUGUCCAAGAAUCUUUAUCAAAUAACACGGCAAGCAUGCAGCAUAUAAAUAAGAGUGGGCAGUAUGGUAUUGCAUUCAUAACCCACUUGAGCAGAAAUAUGGCACACUUCCUAAAGCCUUCUCACCUUCUUCUCUUUGUUUUCUUUCUCUCGUUACUUCAAUCCAUUCUACCAACAAGACCAGAGGGAGAAGCUCUUGUGAAAUGGAAGAAUAGCCUAGCCCCGUCUUCUUUUCUCGAUUCUUGGUCACUAACCAAUCUCGAUAAUCUUUGUAACUGGACUGGCAUUACUUGUAACUCUGCAGGUUCAGUCUCUGGGAUUAACCUUUAUGAGAAACAACUUGAUGGAAUGCUGUCCGAGUUUGGCUUCACUUCAUUUCCGAAUCUCAACAAUCUCACCCUCGCAUACAACUUCUUCUCGGGUCCAAUACCACCAGCCAUUGAGAAUUUAACACAGCUUCAAUAUCUUGAUUUAAGCAUCAAUAGUCUCGAUGGUCCCAUUCCUUUCCAGGUUAGCCAUCUUCAGAGGUUGCUCGUCCUAAACCUGUCACAGAAUGCAUUGCAAGCUCCAAAUUGGUCCCAUUUCUCUUCCAUGCCUUUUUUGCGCAUCCUCAAGCUCAGUAGGAAUCAUCUUGUAUCNUUUUUAUUUAAAAAGAAAAUCUUGAAAAUAAUAUUAUUAACUACCAGUCAGAUCACUUAAGUGUAUGUCCAAAAUUAAAGCGGCAUAUAAAAAAAAGGGAGGAAGCAUGUACUAACUGUUUCCAUAACAGUUUACAAGUAUAAGCUAUACCCCCUCUCUAUUUUUUUCUAUGACAGCUUUGAUUUUGGGCACACAUUCUUAAGUGUUUUGACCGGAUAGUUAAAAAUUUAUCUUCUAAAAUUUUUAAAAAAAGUAAAAUCGCAAAAAAAAUUAGAAAGCUGGUAUUUUUGAUAAAUUUCCAAAUAUGUAAUCAAGAAAAAUAACUUUUACUAUCCAAUCAACUCAUUUAAAGAUGUGUGUCAAAAAUCAAAAUAUCAUACAAAAAAUAGGUAUACAUUUUUUUAAUAGAUUAUACUCCCUCUGUUCCAAAAUAAGUGUCAGCUGGGGGUAAUAACAAGACCUUAGUCAACCCAAGCACAGCAGACAGCAGGCAUAAGGCAUCAGGAAUUUCACAGGACCAUUAUCUUUCUCUUAUUAACUGUGAAGGGAACAGCGUAUGAAGUAGCAAGAACCUUCAUAUUUACACAGCCAUUGAUCUGUCGUGCAACAAAUUUCAGGGAGAAAUUCCAAAGGUUACCGGAGAGCUUAGAUGGCUUGCAUUGCUCAAUUUAUCGCAUAAUUAAUAGUCUGACAGGACCUAUCCCAACAUUGCUGAGAAAUAUGAAAUAACUCCAUUACUCCAAUCUUAGAUUUGUCCUCAAAUCAACUGACAGGGGCUAUUCCACCUCUGUUAACUGCAUUGACAUUACUUUUCUCUUUAUAUUCUUUCCUUUUGUAUGUACCUAUGCUAAUUAUCUGAUUAUUAAAAUUAUAACAAAGCUUCAAGAUUUUUAACAGGUGAGCUUCCACUAAAAAUUUGCAAAGUCACUUCCCUUUCGCGUCUCAUUAUGUUAGAUAAUGGGUCAAGUGGUGCACUUCCACAGUGUUUGGGGAACCUUUCUUUGCUUGGUUUCAAUAAUCUUGCUAAUUAUCAAUUUCAAGGACCAAUACCAACGACUGUCCAAGACUUGUCUGUGCAUAUCUAAACAUCCAUAACAAUCACUUUGAAGGUUUGUUGCUCCAAUCUUUGGCAAACUGUAAACACUUACAAAUUCUUGAUAUUGGAAACAACGUUGGAGAGCUAGAUGUCCCAGUUAGGGCGGUAAUUCGACUAGAGCAAACCGAGUUUUGAGCGGAGCCAAAUUCGAGCCAAGUUUAAUCGAGUCGAGCCGAGUCGGCUCGUUUAGCUAAUCGAGCCUAAAACUUAGCCCGAACUCGACUCAUUUAAUUUCACGAGUCGAGUCGAGCCAACUCGUUUAGCUAAAUGAGCUGAUUUUAACAAGUCGAGCGAGCGAGCUCGUAUAAUUUUAACUUAGUCGAGCCUGAAUCUCUACCCAAACUAUUGGCUCGUGUAAUUUCGCGAGUCGAAUCGAGCCGGCUCGUUUUAUUAAACAAGCCGAAAUUUUUGCCCGAAUUUGCUCGUUUAACAAGCCGAUCUGAGCCUAGUUAAAUGAGUUCGAGUUAGUCGAGCUCGCGAGCUGCGAGCUCACCUGCCAGCUCUAGUCCUAGUCUUGCAAUCAAAUAGGUUUAACGGUAUAGAAAGUGGAAGGAGCACAAGGCAUCCAUUCCCCAAGGCUAUUUACCAAUUCAGUACUUUGAGGAUACAAAAUCAUUCUGCAGGUACUCUUGUAUCUGUACUUUCUUGUACUGUAUGCCACUUUGACAGUAGAGUAAAAUUUAUAUCGACAAACUGCAUAUGUUCUGAACUACUCCUCUAUCCCAAAUUAGAUGAGCUAGUUGACUUUGAGCACGUAACUUAAGGUACAUUGACCAACUAGUUCCGAUAUUUAUUUUUUUAAUUUUUCUUUUGUAAAUGAAAAUUUCAUAUUUAAAUUUUUAUUUGCAAAACUAAAAUUUAAAAAUAUGUAAUGUGGCUAUGCGGUCAAUGUCAACGAGCUCAUCUAAUUUGGGAUUGGGAUGCAGGGAGUAUUACGUACUAUGUUAUGCAAGCUGUUUACAACUUUCAUCAAAAUUUUCAAACAUUUCUGAAUAUGUAUUUUCAAAGAAUUCUCGGGCACUCUUAAGGCCUAUAAUUAUUGGAACUCUCACGUUAUGGACCAGAGGACCACUAUGUAUUUUACAAGCACGACGAAUCAUGUGGUCAUUAUGGACUCCCCAAGCCUUAGAGGACUCAUUCCAGGUUUUAGGAGGACCACUGCCUAGCUCACCCUUUCGGAGUGAUGUAAAUUAGUUUCCAGACACUAAAAAUAAGUAAUCAGAUUAAUCAUUACAAAAUUUUGAUAUAAAAUCAGAAUAAAUCCUAAACUUUGAUGAUACAAAAAAAAUUAUAAUUGUAAAUUAUACAAUCAAAUUAAGAUCGAAUUAACUUCCCUCACACUUAAAAUUUAUAGCGAUCAAAUCAAAAUCGAAUUAACUUUCCUAUUACUAAAAUUUAAUUACAAUAUUAUUAGAUAAAGAGAAUAUAUAAUAAUCAAGAGAAAAUAGAUUUUUUUUUGCCACUCAACUUAUUGUGUUUUAAGAAACUUACCACCCAACUAAAUUUUUUUCCUUUUGCUCACUAAUGUUAGGUUUGGAUUUGUUUUUAGCCACCAAAUAAGGUUCGGAUUUGAUUACCAGCAUUAUGAUAAUUUUUUUUGUCACUAAACUUAUUGCGUCUUUAGAAACUAACCACUGAACUAAAUUUUUUUUAUUUUACUCACUAAUGUUAGAUUUAGUUUUUUUUGUCACUAUAGUUAGGUUCAGAUUUGAUUAUUAGCAUUACAUUAAUUCUGUGUAGCAUUUUUAAAAUAUGGUAGUAGUCUGUGAUAUUUAGAUGAUUUGAUAUAUGUCUGUAUUUUUAUAUAUAGUAUAUUUUAUGUCCCCAAGGUCGUUUACCUUGGGUCAUAAAAAUUUUACACUCAUUUUAUGACUUUUAAAAGAUGUAGUUUCAUAAAUAAUUUUAUUUUUUUCUUUCGAAUUAAAAUUCAGCAUUUGAAUUUUACACACAAAAAAAUCGCAAGAAUAAGAUAUGAAACUAUGCUUUACAAGAGUCUUAAAAUACGUGCUAAACGGUAGAAAAAACUGUAAACUAAUGAGAGGUACAUAGGGAGUAAUAAUAACAUAAAAUGAUGCACAAUCAUCGAAUUAAGUUUUCCUCUCUCUAUAUAUUUAUUUUGUAAAUUUUAAUAAGAUAAAGUUAUUAAAAUUUAUGAUAUAAAUUUAAGAGAUAUCUUAGAUUGAGUGGCAAAAAUUUAGUUGGGUGGUAAGUUUCUAAAAACACAAUAAAUUGAGUGGGAACAAAAUCUAUUUUCCCAAUAAUGAGUGGGAAUAAAAUCUAUUUUCCCAAUAAUCAAAGUGACGAAAAAUCAAAGUCAUCUAAUAAGUCCAGAAAAAAUAUGACCAUUAGUAUAUUGAAAUAAUAUUCACGCAUUUAUAUACGAGAAUAUAUGGUCCACAAGUUAGUGCACAAUGUCCAAGAAUCUUUAUCAAAUAACACGGCAAGCAUGCAGCAUAUAAAUAAGAGUGGGCAGUAUGGUAUUGCAUUCAUAACCCACUUGAGCAGAAAUAUGGCACACUUCCUAAAGCCUUCUCACCUUCUUCUCUUUGUUUUCUUUCUCUCGUUACUUCAAUCCAUUCUACCAACAAGACCAGAGGGAGAAGCUCUUGUGAAAUGGAAGAAUAGCCUAGCCCCGUCUUCUUUUCUCGAUUCUUGGUCACUAACCAAUCUCGAUAAUCUUUGUAACUGGACUGGCAUUACUUGUAACUCUGCAGGUUCAGUCUCUGGGAUUAACCUUUAUGAGAAACAACUUGAUGGAAUGCUGUCCGAGUUUGGCUUCACUUCAUUUCCGAAUCUCAACAAUCUCACCCUCGCAUACAACUUCUUCUCGGGUCCAAUACCACCAGCCAUUGAGAAUUUAACACAGCUUCAAUAUCUUGAUUUAAGCAUCAAUAGUCUCGAUGGUCCCAUUCCUUUCCAGGUUAGCCAUCUUCAGAGGUUGCUCGUCCUAAACCUGUCACAGAAUGCAUUGCAAGCUCCAAAUUGGUCCCAUUUCUCUUCCAUGCCUUUUUUGCGCAUCCUCAAGCUCAGUAGGAAUCAUCUUGUAUCGAAAUUUCCAGAAUUUAUAUCCAAUUCUCAUAGCUUGGCUAUCCUUGACCUUGGCCAGAACAACUUUACAGGUGAUCUUGUGCGUGAAUUUACCAAUCUACAAAAUCUUGAAACCCUCUGGCUUUAUCGUAAUUCUUUUGAGGGGCCAUUUCCGCCGGAUAUAGUCCAGCUUUCCAAACUAAAAGAUCUUGCCCUGUCAAGUAACAAAUUUUCAGGUUCAGUUCCCAAUAACAUAAGGUUGCUUUGUGAUCUUGAAUACCUAUAUUUAGGCAACAAUUCCUUUAAGGGGCCACUUCCACCAAAUAUAUUUAAGCUUUCAAAAUUAAAACAUCUUGUUCUUUGGAGUAAUAAGUUUUCAGGUUCUGUUUCCAAUGAUAUAGGUUUGCUUCAUGAGCUUGUAACCCUCAAUCUUAACUCUAAUUUUUUUGAGGGGCCGCUUCCGCCAAAUGUAUUCAAGCUCUCCAAACUAAAGUUUUUUGCCCUUCAUGAGAAUAACUUUUCAGGUUUUAUUUCUAAGGAUAUAGGUUUGCUUUCCGAACUUGAAAUCCUCUAUUUUGGCUCUAAUUUUUUUGAGGGGCCGCUUCCUCCACAUGUAUUUAGGCUCUCCAAAUUAAGAGGUCUGGACCUCUCACACAAUAGAAAUUUAUUUGAAGGAAGUAUUCCUAUUGGACUGGGACUCUUGACUAACCUCAGGUACUUAGAUCUACAUUCCAAUAAUCUCGGUGGCUAUAUUCCAUCUGACAUUGGAAACCUGAAGCUACUAGUACUUCUUGAUCUCGGUUCUAAUCAAUUGACUGGACCGCUUUCAAAGAUCGUUUCUAAUCUCACAAAUCUUAUAUGUCUUGAUGUAAGUCAUAAUAGUCUUAGUGGAAAUAUUCAGAGUGACUUGUGGAAAUAUAACGAUCAUCCAACUUUGGAAUACAUCAAUUUAAGUGGGAACCAUUUUACGGGUAUAGUUUUUCUCUAUAGAUCUUUUCCUUUUCUCAUAUGUAACUAAGCUAGUAAUCUGAUUAUUGCAGUUUCACCAAAGUUUCAACAAUCUUGACAGGUGAGCUUCCAACAACAAUUUGCAAUGUCACUUCCCUUUCGGUUCUUGAUUUGUCAAAUAAUGAAUUAAGUGGUGCACUUCCAAACUCUUUGGGGAAUCUUGCUGAUGGAAUGCUUUACCUUAAUCUUGCUAAUAAUCAGUUUCGAGGAACAAUACCAACUACUUUCUCCAGGAGUUGUCGGUUGACAUAUCUAAACAUGGAUAAUAAUGAGUUUGAAGGAUUGUUGCCCCCAUCUUUGGCGAACUGUAAGCACUUGAAAAUUCUUGAUAUAGGCAAUAAUAAAAUAGGUGGUACAUUUCCGUCAUGGCUUUAUGCACUUGGAGAGCUAGAAGUUCUUGUCUUGCGAUCAAAUAAACUCUAUGGUACGAUAAGUGGAAGGAGCAUAGAAGAUCCCUUCCCCAAGUUGCGGAUUGUGGAUCUGUCCCACAAUCAAUUGACAGGCUAUUUGCCAAUUCAAUACUUUAAGAAUAUGAAAUCAACUGAUAAUUUGUAUCGUUAUCGGAAUUCCACAGGACCAUUAUCUUUCUCUUAUGAAGCAGCAGUCUCAUUAACUGUGAAGGGAACAGAGUACGAGGUAGCAAAGAACCUUCAUAUUUACACAGCCAUUGACCUGUCGUGCAACAAAUUUCAGGGAGAAAUUCCAAAGGUUACUGGAGAGCUUAGAUGGCUUGCAUUGCUGAAUUUAUCUCAUAAUAGUCUGACAGGACCUAUCCCAUCCUUGCUGAAAAAUAUGAAAGAACUCCAAUCUUUAGAUUUGUCCUCAAAUCAACUGACAGGGGCUAUUCCACCUCAGUUAACUGCAUUGACAUUUCUGGAGGUCUUCAACCUCUCGGGAAACCAUCUUAGUGGAGAGAUUCCUCAGAAAGGGCAGUUCAGCACAUUUAACAAUGAUUCUUAUCUAGGAAACUCCGCGUUAUGUGGAUCACCUUUGACAAAGAAAUGUGCAAACACAGCAUCACCUCCACAAGAAGUCGGAAAUGGUGAUGAAGAUGAUGCUGGUGAUGAAUGGACAUGGGAAGCAAUCGUGAUGGGAUAUGGAUGUGGACUGAUAUGUGGAUUGUCAUCUGCGUACAUUGUUCUCAAACUAGGAAAGCCUUGGUGGUUUGUGAGAUAUAUCGAAGUGCUGCAACUGAAGUUGAUGAAAAGAUAUGCUUGAAAAAUUGUACUGGCCGAUCAAGACGAACUUGAAAGUUGUUGUCCUUGUGGACAUUUCUGAACCAGUAGUGUACUAGCUGCAUAAGUAUUUGGUAUUAUGUAAUAAUCCGUUUGGUCAGGACUCAUAAUGAUUUCUCUUGCUUCAGGGGUAUUAAUAUUAACCUUGCUAGUUAAUUCAAAUUAAAACAAAUAUAAAAUCAAAAAAUUUGCAUCAAACACCUGUUAUACCAACAUCCAUUAAUUUGCUUUCAUCUCUUACGUAACAAUUUAACAGCGAUUCCACACUGUUUUAGGCAUGGAGAUUACACAAAGAAGGCAAGUCCAUGAACUAAUAUAUUAACCCGUAGUCCACAUCUAUGCUACGAACAAUUCAUAUUGGUCUUCCAUCUAUUCAACCGUCUCCCGAAGAUAGGCCAAAAAUGUCAUCUGUGGUUCUUAUCUUUGUCAGUAAAGGAGAAUCUCUGAUGCCUAUACAACCUGGUUUUCUUACAGAAAGGAAUGUAGGUGAAACCAGGGGCAUAAAAUGAAUCGGGACUAAAAUCUGCUAAAAUGAUAAUUAUUUACUCAUCAUUCGAGAUUAGUCGGGCUCAAAUGAAGAUUUAUAUGGAUUUUAAGAACAAACUAUGACUAAAUAUGAAAACUAGACAACCUGGUUUUCUUACAGAAAGGAAUGUAGGUGAAACCAGGGGCGUAAAAUGAAUCGGGACUAAAAUCUGCUAAAAUGAUAGUAAUUAUUUACUCAUCAUUCAAGAUUAGUCGGGCUCAAAUGAAGAUUUAUAUGGAUUUUUAAGAACAAACUAUGACUAAAUAUGAAAAAAAUCAUUAAUUUUUCCGACUCAAUAUUUUUUAGCCUCCCCCGGCCCUGGGUGAAACCAUAAGCUUCUCUGGUGCACAUCCAAAUCAUUCAGCUGGUUCUGCAGGUACUCUUCUAUCUGUACUUUCUUAUAUUGUUUGCCAGUACAUUUUAUAUCGACAAACUGCACAAUACACCUCGAUCUCAUACACAGGUGAACUCCUGCAUAUGCUUUGUGAUGUCAUUGAUGAUCGAUAGACUUGAAAAAAAAUUAUGACAAAGAUUCAUAAAAUAUCUACUUCCAUCCUAAUUCAGUAUUCAAUAUUAUUCAUCCCGUAUCAUCAUCCAAUCAAUUCUAAUAGUUCUUCUUUAAAUCAGUACAAAUAUUGUUAAAUACCUCGAUGAUGGUUGUCUUCCCGUGAACCAAUCAUAAAAUUACCUCUGUAUAAAUCCAUCGGAAAUAAGACAGUUAAUAUCCCAAUCGAAUACACCCCGUCAGUUGUCAAACUCCUCGAAACGUAUUAAUCACUUUAGAAAAUUUGUUCCACUGGCGCUAGUCAGUCCCAGAGUUGGUGGUGGGUGCUUCUGGGCUUUCGAAAAACACCCAUUUACUCCAUUGUUUAGAGAAGUAAAACCCCACCUUCCGCUCAUUUGAUUGAUCAGCUGAAUUAGGCAGAGUUUACAUGGUCAUGAUCAUAGUCUCCCAUUUCCCAGAUACGCGAAUUAUAGUGGAUUUAUCUUUAUCAGUAAUUUCUGUGGAGAUGCAUAAUCAUUAUAAGCUCCAAUAUAAAAAUUUAAAGUUAGUAUGGGCAUUUGUGUUGAUAAUUUGCGCAAUGUUAACAGGAUUGCUCCCAAGUCUUGGACGGACUCUUUCAAAGUCUUCUCAGGACCCAUCUGCACACUGAUUUGUCUGCCAACUAAAAAAUCAACAAUAUGUUACUCACUCCGUUUUUCUUAAACGAGGUUAAAAUUUUUGACACAAGAUGGGUUGACAGUAUAAUAAAAUUAACAUUUUUGUGAAUAAAAAUUUUGGUUGUAUUAUUUUAUUUAGAAAAAGAAAAUCUUGAAAAUAAUAUUAUUAACUACCCAGUCAAAUCACUUAAAAGUAUAUGUCCAAAAUUAAAGCGGCAUAUAAAAAAACCGAGAGAGAGUAUGUACUAACCUGUUUCCAUAACAGUUUACAAGUAUAAGUUAUACUCCCUCUCUAUUUUUUUAUAUGACGCUUUGAUUUUGGGCACAUAUUUUUAAGUGUUUUGACCGGAUAAUUAAAAAUAUUAUUUUCUAAAAUUUUUAAAAGAAAGUAAAAUUGAAAAAAAAAUAGAAAGCUGGUAUUUUUGAUAAAUUUCCAAACAUAAUCAAGAACAAUAAUUUUUACUAUCCAAUCAACUCAUUUACAGAUGUGUGUCAAAAAUCAAAAUAUCAUAUAAAAAACAACAAUAUGUUACUCCCUCCGUUUUUCUUAAACUGAGGUUAAAAUUUUUGACACAAGAUGGGUUGACAGUAUAAAAUUAAAAUUUUUGUGAAUAAAAAUUUUGGUUAUAUUUUUUAUUUAAAAAGAAAAUCUUGAAAAUAAUAUUAUUAACUACCAGUCAGAUCACUUAAGUGUAUGUCCAAAAUUAAAGCGGCAUAUAAAAAAAAGGGAGGAAGCAUGUACUAACUGUUUCCAUAACAGUUUACAAGUACAAGUUAUACUCCCUCUCUAUUUUUUCUAUGACGCUUUGAUUUUGGGCACACAUUCUUAAGUGUUUUGACCGGAUAGUUAAAAAUUUAUCUUCUAAAAUUUUUAAAAAGAAGUAAAAUCGCAAAAAAAAUUAGAAAGCUGGUAUUUUUGAUAAAUUUCCAAAUAUGUAAUCAAGAACAAUAACUUUUACUAUCCAAUCAACUCAUUUAAAGAUGUGUGUCAAAAAUCAAAAUAUCAUACAAAAAAUAGGUAUACAUUUUUUUUAAUAGAUUAUACUCCCUCUGUUCCAAAAUAAUUGUCAGCUGUGACAUUUUGCAAAAGUAGCUGGGGGGUAAUAACAAGACCUUAGUCAACCCAAGCACAGCAGACAGCAGGCAUAAGGCAUCAGGAAUUUCACAGCACCAUUAUCUUUCUCUUAUUAACUGUGAAGGGAACAGAGUAUGAAGUAGCAAGAACCUUCAUAUUUACACAGCCAUUGAUCUGUCGUGCAACGAAUUUCAGGGAGAAAUUUCAAAGGUUACUGGAGAGCUUAGAUGGCUUGCAUUGCUCAAUUUAUCUCAUAAUAGUCUCACAGGACCUAUCCCAUCAUUGCUGAGAAAAAUGAAAGAACUCCAAUCUUUAGAUUUGUCCUCAAAUCAACUGACAGGGGCUAUUCCACCUCAGUUAACUGCAUUGACAUUACUUUUCUCUUUAUAUCCUUUCCUUUUGUAUGUACCUAUGCUAAUUAUCUGAUUAUCAAAAUUAUAACAAAGCUUCAAGAUUUUUAACAGGUGAGCUUCCACUAAAAAUUUGCAAAGUCACUUCCCUUUCGCGUCUCAUUAUGUCAGAUAAUGGGUCAAGUGGUGCACAUCCACAGUGUUUGGGGAACCUUUCUUUGCUUGGUUUCAAUAAUCUUGCUAAUUAUCAAUUUCAAGGACCAAUACCAACGACUGUCCAAGACUUGUCUGUGCAUAUCUAAACAUCCAUAACAAUCACUUUGAAGGUUUGUUGCUGCAAUCUUUGACAAACUGUAAACACUUACAAAUUCUUGAUAUUGGAAACAACAAAAUAGGUGGUACAUUUCGGUCAUGGCUAUUUAUUUUGGAGAGCUAGAUGUCCUAGUUAGGGCGGUAAUUCAACUAGAGCAAACCGAGUUUUGAGCGGAGCCAAAUUCGAGCCAAGUUUAAUCGAGUCAAGCCGAGUCGGCUCGUUUAGCUAAUCGAGCCUAAAACUCUGCCCGAACUCGACUCGUUUAAUUUCACGAACGAGUCAAGCGAGUGAGCUCGUAUAAUUUUAACUUAAUCGAGCCUAAAUCUCUACCCGAACUAUUGGCUCGUGUAAUUUCGCGAGUAGAAUCGAGCCGGCUCGUUUUAUUAUAGAAGCCGAAAUUUUUGCCCGAAUUUGGCUUGUUUAACAAGCCGAUCUUUCAUCAAAAAUUUCAAACAUUUCUGAAUAUGUAUUUUCAGAGAAUUUCUCCAGCACUCUUAAGGCCUAUAAUUAUUGCAACUCUCACGUUAUGGACCACUGUGUAUUUUACAAGCACGACGAAUCAUGUUGUCAUUAUGGACUCCCCAAGCCUUAGAGGACUCAUUCCAGGUCUUAGGAGGACCACUGCCUAGCUCACCCUUUCGGAGUGAUGUAAAUUAUUUUCCAAACAUUAAAAAUAAAUAAUCAGAUUAAUCAAUACAAAAUUAAAGAUAUAAAAUCAGAAUAAAUCCUAAACUUUGAAUAUACAAAAAAAAUUAUAAUUGUAAAUUAUACAAUCAAAUUAAAAUUGAAUUAACUUCCCUCACACUUAAAAUUUAUAGCGAUCAAAUCAAAAUCGAAUUAACUUUCCUAUUACUAAAAUUUAGUUACAAUAUUAUUAGAUAAAGAGAAUAUAUAAUAAUCAAGGGAAAAUAGAUUUUUUUUUUUUGCCACUCAACUUAUUGUUUUUUAAGAAACUUACCACCCAACUAAUUAUUUUUUCCUUUUGCUCACUAAUGUUAGGUUUGGAUUUGUUUUUAGCCACCAACUAAGGUUCGGAUUUGAUUACUAGCAUUAUGAUAAUUUUUUUUGUCACUAAACUUAUUGUGUCUUUAGAAACUAACCACUCAACUAAUUUUUUUUUAAUUUACUCACUAAUGUUAGGUUCAGUUUUUUUUUGUCACUGAAGUUAGGUUCGGAUUUGAUUAUUAGCAUUACAUUAAUUCUGUGUAGCAUUUUUAAAAUAUGGCUCAUAAGAAUUUUACACGCAUUUUAUGACUUUUAAAAGAUGUAGUUUCAUUAAUAAUUUUAUUUUUUUCUUCCGAAUUAAAAUUUAGCGUUUGAAUUUUACACACAAAAAAUCGAAAGAAUAAGUUAUGAAAGUAUGCUUUAUAAGAGUCUUAAAAUACGUGCUAAACGGUAGAAAAAACUGUACACUAAUGACAGGUAAAUAGGGAGUAAUAAUAACAUAAAAUGAUGCACAAUCAUCGAAUUAAGUUUUCCUCUCUCUAUAUAUUUAUUUUGAAAAUUUUAAUAAGAUAAAGUUAUUAAAAUUUAUGAUAUAAAUUUAAGAGAUAUCUUAGAUUGAGUGGCAAAAAUUUAGUUGGGUGAUAAAUUUCUAAAAACACAAUAAAUUGAAUGGGAACAAAAUCUAUUUUCCCGAUAAUCAAAGUGACGAAAAAUCAAAGUCAUCUAAUAAGUCCAGAAAAAAUAUGACCAUUAGUAUAUCGGAAUAAUAUUCACACAUUUAUAUACGAGAAUAUAUGGUCCACAAGUUAGUGCACAAUGUCCAAGAAUCUUUAUUAAAGUAACACGGCAAGCAUGCAGCAUAUAAAUAAGAGUGGGCACUGGGCAGUAUGGUAUUGCAUUCAUAACCCACUUGAGGAGAAAUAUGGCACACUUCCUAAAGCCUUCUCACCUUCUUCUCUUUGUUUUCUUUCUCUCGUUACUUCAAUCCAUUCUACUAACAAGACCAGAGGGAGAAGCUCUUGUGAAAUGGAAGAAUAGCCUUGCCCCUUCUUCUUUUCUCGAUUCUUGGUCACUCACCAAUCUCGAUGAUCUUUGUAACUGGACUGGCAUUACUUGUAACUCUGCAGGUUCAGUCUCUGAGAUUAACCUUUAUGAGAAACAACUUGAUGGAAUGCUGUCCGAGUUUAGUUUCACUUCAUUUCCAAAUCUUAACAGUCUCACUCUCGCAUACAACUUCUUCUCGGGUCCAAUACCACCAGCCAUUGAGAAUUUAACACAGCUUCAAUAUCUUGAUUUAAGCAUCAAUAGUCUCGAUGGUCUCAUUCCGUUCCAGGUUAGCCAUCUUCAGAGGUUGCUCGUCUUAAACCUGUCACAGAAUGCAUUGCAAGCUCCAAAUUGGUCCCAAUUCUCUCCCAUGCCCUUUUUGUGCAGCCUCAACCUCAGUAGCAAUCCUCUUGCGUCGAAAUUCCCAAAUUUCAUAUCCAAUUCUCAUGGCCUGACUCACCUUAGCCUUGAUCAAAACGAGUUUACAGGUGAUUUAGCGCGUGAAUCAAUAUUUGCCAAUCUGCAUAAUCUUGAAGUCCUCAGUCUUGUUGGCAAUUCUUUUGAGGGGCCAUUUCUGCCAAAUAUAUUCAAGCUUUCCAAAUUAAAACGUCUCACCCUGUCAAGUAACAAAUUUUUAGGAUCAAUUCCCAAUGACAUAAGGUUGCUUUGUGAUCUUGAAUUCCUGUAUUUAGGAAACAAUUCUUUUGAAGGACCGCUUCCACCAAAUAUAUUCAAGCUUUCAAAAUUAAAACAUCUUGUUCUUUGGAGUAAUAAGUUUUCAGGUUCUGUUUCCAAUGAUAUAGGUUUGCUUUCUGCGCUUGAACUUUUGAAUCUUCACUCUAAUUUUUUUGAGGGGCCGCUUCCGCCAAAUGUAUUCAAGCUCUCUAAACUAAGGUUUCUUAACCUCUGGGGUAACAACUUUUCAGGUUCUGUUUCCAAUGAUAUAGGUUUGCUUCCGGAGCUAGAAAUCCUCAAUCUUCACUCUAAUUUUUUUGAGGGCCGCUUCCGCCAAAUAUAUUCAAGCUCUCUAAACUAAGGUUUCUUAACCUUUGGGGUAAUAACUUUUCAGGUUCUGUUUCCAAUGAUAUAGGUUUGCUUCCUGAGCUAGAAUUCCUCAAUCUUCACUCUAAUUUUUUUGAGGGUCCGCUUCCGCCAAAUGUAUUCAAGCUCUCUAAACUAAAGUUUCUUCAUCUUCGAGGUAAUAAGUUUUCAGGUUCUGUUUCCAAUGAUAUAGGUUUGCUUCCUGAGCUUGAAAUCCUCAAUCUUCGCUCUAAUUUUUUUGAGGGGCCGCUUCCGCCAAAUGUAUUCAAGCUCUCCAAACUAAGGUUUCUUUCCCUUAAGGAAAAUAAAUUUUCAGGUUCUGUUUCCAAUGAUAUAGGUUUCCUUUCUGAGCUUGAAUACCUAUAUCUUGACUAUAAUUUAUUUGAAGGAAGUAUUCCUAUUGGACUGGGACUCUUGACUAACCUCAGCUACUUAGAUCUAAGUUCCAAUAAUCUCAGUGGCUAUAUUCCAUCUGACAUUGGAAACCUGAAGCUACUAGUAUUUCUUGAUCUCAGUUCUAACCAAUUGACUGGACCGCUUUUAAAGAUCGUUUCUAAUCUCACAAAUCUUAUGAAUCUUGAUGUAAGUGAUAAUAGUCUUAGUGGAAAUAUUCAGAGUGACUUGUGGAAGAACUCUAUAUCCUUACGUUACAUUAAUUUUGCAAAUAAUUAUUUGUCUGGGAACAUUCCUAAGGAAUACAACGAUCAUCCAACUUUGGAAUACAUCAAUUUAAGUGGGAACCAUUUUACAGGUAUAUUUUUCUCUAUAUAUCUUUUCCUUUUCUCAUAUGUAACUAAGCUGGUAAUCUGAUUAUUGCAGUUUUACCAAAGUUUCAACAAUCUUGACAGGUGAGCUUCCAACAACAAUUUGCAAUGUCACUUCCCUUGCGGUUCUUGUUUUGUCAAAUAAUGGAUUAAGUGGAGCACUUCCAAAUUGUUUCGGGAAACUUGCUGAUAGAUUGCUUUCCAUUAAUCUUGCUAAUAAUCAGUUUCGAGGAACAAUACCAACUACUUUCUCCAGGAGUUGUCAGGUGAAAUAUCUAAACAUGGAUAAUAAUGAGUUUGAAGGAUUCUUGCCCCCAUCUUUGGCGAACUGUAAGCACUUGAAAAUUCUUGAUAUUGGCAAUAACAAAAUAGGUGGUCCAUUUCCGUCAUGGCUUUAUGUACUUGGAGAGAUAGAAGUCCUUGUCUUGCGAUUAAAUAAACUCUAUGGUACAAUAAGUGGAAGGAGCGUAAAAGAUCCCUUCCCCAAGUUGCGGAUUGUGGAUCAAUAGACAUCGGCUAAAAAGCGAUGUCUAUGUAAAAUCAGACCGAUGUCUUCGUGGGUGAUGAGAAAAGUAAGUGCAUUACACAUCGCUUUCUAGCCGAUGUCUAUAACCUAUUUACACAUCGUUUAAUAUGACAAUCUGAUGUAUUUUUUAACAGUAGAUACCUUCACUAUAAUUUCAGUUCCUCAUUCCUAUGCCCUCUAUAUCAUUUUAAACUUGUCACAUGCUUAAUAAAAUGAUACUUUAACAUCUUAAAACUUGUAAAAUAGAUGUAUAUGAUAACCUUUUACAUCAUGCUUUUAUAGGAAGUGAUGUGGUACCCUUCUUUUCUUUAAGAAAGCGAUGUCUUUGUUCUUGUUUUACAUCAGUGAUUUUUAUACUCUGAUAUCUAUUAUAUAGUUUAACAUCAGGCUUUUUCUUGUUAACUGAUAUGUAUUCAUUCUUAUGACAUCGCUUACUAAGUGAUGUAAAUGUUAGUUUUAAAUUGCCAUGAAUCCUCCUGUUUCUUAUGAAUCCCCCUGUUUCAUUUAAAUUUCCAACAAAUUCCAAAACAACACCAAAGCUAUACUAAUUAAACAACCAAUUACCAAUGUCUAGCCUACCAUAACAGAACUAAAACAAAACUAGCUAGCAAAACAAUACUUCCGCAAAAGCCAAAUAUAUUACCAUCAAUCAUUACCAAUCAAAUUACAUCCCACAAUCAAAGAAACUGCACAAAUCCUAAAUAUUAACCAAGCAACCAUAAUUUACAAGCAGUUCACCACGUACUCCAGCAACCAUAAUUUACCAACUACAUUUCCCUCCAUUUAUCAACAAAAUCUACUUAGCUAGCUAGUGUCACUGUCUUACAUAAACUGAACUAAUUAAAGGAAACCAAAGUUCUCCAAUAAACCAAAGGCCUGUUUAUAAGAAGGACUCGAUAUGGCUAAGUGUCUCAAACCGAACCUCGUCAAGCUCAGCCUUGGAACAAAUCACUUUUCGAUUCUUGGAUGCCCACUGAAAAAUGUAAAACAAUAACAUUGAAUUAUACCUAAAUUUAUAUGUACACCAUUUAAUUAUAUCAACAAUGGAUUAGGCAAAGAAAAAUACCCUUUUAAAAAAUGUCAUUUCAUUGUCCAUGACAAUCUCUUUCAUAUACCGCAUAAUAACAUAGCCGCAUUCAGUUCCACCGGGCUGUUUAGGACAUCCCUAUUUAACCAAAAAAAACUCAAAAUAGUAAGUAAAGUAAUGCCCCUGGUUCUAAGCAUCAGUAGCACAAAUUGUUAAAAAUAAAUACGAAAGCUUACUGUAAUAUAUUUGAAGCUUGGGGCUUUAUUUCCCCUUCCGGCCUGAACAUUGAAAGUAAUCACAGCCCUGUCAUCUUGGCAGUGUUAAUAAUGCACAUGCAUUUAUAUCUCCAUAAGAAAGAUAAUCAAUAAAAAAAUAAAUGAAAAUACCUUGAUAUUGCUUUUUCCAAGUUGGGGAAACUAGUUGAACGAGGCAGAGGAUUAAGUAUGAAAACCUCGCCACCCCAAAACAGAACCAAUACCCAAUGGAAACUAUUUUUAACAAAUAUUUAUGAAAAACACAAUUACUAUCAAAAUCAUAUAAAUUUUAUUUUCAGUCAUGUAAAAAACUAAAUAAAAGAGAUUUAUAAUAAAUAAGAAAACACUUAAGCUACUUACUUGCUAUUAUGCGGCAUCAAAAAGAGACGAUCAGGAUUACCCUCUUUAAAUCGAUUAACCAAGUUAUCUUCAAAAGAAUUGUUCAUCAAGUUCAGCGAGGCUCCAGGAUCACAAAAAGCAAAUUGAUCCUUAGUGCCAUUUUCACGAACCACGCAAUGCAAGUAUCUACAUUGUAAAUGAAAUGAAAUUAUAUAAAAUUACACGAAUAUGAAUUAUAACUAAACAACAGUCAUGAUCUAGAAGACAGUAAUUAAAAAAAGUUUACUCACGCCAUGUAUGCAGCAAUUGCUGCUUGGCCAAUCAUAUUAAACUCCAGCAAGGCGACUAUGUUUUCAUACAAGAUGAAGAUUCUUUUCUCGAUACCAAACACCUCAGCAUCACACGGGAUUUGAAUUGAGUCUCCGGAGGAUUGCAUAAAUGUUGUUGCAUGUUUAUACAACAACCGAAAGCGUUUUGGAACAUUUUUAUUGAUCUCCAUGUUAUGAAACAAGGACUGGACUUUAUCUAAAUCGGUUUUAGGUUCCUUUACUUUCCGUUUACCUUUCUGAAAAAUGAACAAAAUUAAUUUAAAACAAAAUAUAACAAAAUAUAGGGGUAACAUAUAAUAGUACAAUCCAGUACAACAAUUAUGUUAAAGUACACACCAUAGUAGGAAUAGUAGGAGGGGCAUUUGGGAAUAUGAUCAAGUCGCGGGGCCAUGAGACGUACGAGCCAACAGCUUGCUCUACUGUUUCAAUCUCACCUGGUACCGGUUUAGGAAUCUUGGCUUGUCCUUGAAUUGGGCCAUCCACUGAGACGCGAACACAUCCAGGCUCUAUCGGCACUCCAUGUAUAGAUUUGUUCAUGUUAUCAUCAUCAAACAACAAACCAAAUGCCACUUUAUUUUCUAUUGUGCCUACAGCCAACUCACAUUUUCGUGGACCGGCCUACACACAUAUAUUUAAACAAUUAUGACGAAUGCUUGAAAUAUGUUGAGCUAAAUUGAAUAAAUGUGCUAGUUAUUUUACCUUAUUCUCUGGUGGAUUAGGUUCCAAGUCAACUUCAAUCAUCUCUGGUUCCAGUUUUUUCACCACCUCUGUCUUAGCUUCUUUGACAGUGUUUGCCUCACAACUUGCUUUAUCAGAAGCAAUAGGAGAUGAAAUAUUUGCUUUGCUGAGCAAGGCCUUCAUUUCAGCCAUCUCCUGCCUUGUCUUCUCCAUUUCCAUGGCCAUCUCUUUCUUGGCUUUCUCCAGCUCCGCGUCCCUCUCUCGAUCCCUCUCCAACAACUCAGCUUUGGUGAUUCUAUUUCUUCUUCCUGGUGGUAUAUUAAAAAAAAUUGACGGGCUCACAAAGCCUCCAACUCCUCGAACCCUCCCCGAAUGUUCAGGAGUUUGUAGGGCCGUAGUCAACACAUCUCGACUCCCAGAAGGAGUGAAUUCCCCCUUACUUUGCUGCUCUAGUAAAAUAUUCUGACAUGAAAAAUAUGAACAUACAAAUCAUCAUCUAGUGAACCUCAUCAUCAAUAUUAACUUUAAUUUUACGAGCCUUUUAAUUAUAAAUACUCACAAUUCUUUUUCCUAUUUCAGCUAGGUCUGAAUCCUCAUCAUCAGCAUCAUCAGCCUCAUCAUCAUCAUCAACAUUAUCAUUAUCAUCAUCAAUUUUAAUUUUACGAGCCUUUUGCCACAUGAGAGCCCGAUCAGGUUCUUCAUCGGCAGCCAAAGUUCCUUUCUUGAUCUGAUUAAAAUCAAAAAAAAAUUAAAAAGGCCAAGAUAUGUAAAAUACAAUUAUUUAGGUUCAAUGCUUAAAAUACAACUAUUUUUAUACCUCUUCUUCCAAUAAUCCAAUGUAACCCUUUCUUGAUGUCCGGUGAGGAUAUUUUCGAUUACUCACCCUCAGCUUUUGUUUUUCACUAAAAGACUUCAAAUAUUUUAAAUAAUAUUAGAAUACUAUUUUUCAGAAUAUAAAAAGACAUUUAUAUCACAAUAAAGCAGAACAUAAAAUAUAUUUCAUACCAGAAAUUUCGAGGUAGUCCUCUCAGCAACAAAAUUUUUCCAAGCCUCCUUUCCAACAAAAGCAUACUUCUUUGGAGGCUUUCGUAAUUUCUUCUUCUGCCCAAGAUACGGCCUCACAUAAUCUCUUGUUAAAUUUGCUUUAAAAUUCCUCCACUUUGCUCCUGCAGACCUGAUCAACCCCUUCUCAAGUUGCUUAGGAACUUUAAAUGUCUCCUGCAACCAAUGUUAAUUGACAAAAUUUACAAAAUUAUACUCUAAAUGAGUAGAAGAAAAUGCAAAAUUUACAAAAUGCAUAGGAGAUUACUUAUUUUUAUACCUUCACAUCAAUCCAUAUUUUCUCCUUUAGUUCAUCAGGUACCUUUGACCAGUUAGGAUAAUCAAUCGGAAUCAUUGUCCUAGCCAACAUUCCAGUGUAGGAUUGUAGACUGUGCCUUGCAUCCCCUGUAGGAACUCCAUGUGCAUUACAUGAAACCUUUGUUUUCUUGCCCUGCGCCUUCCUCACCACCACUUUAUACAUAGCAGAAACCCCUCGGGCACCCCCACGCUUUUUCUUUGCUGUUUCAGAUGUUGUAACUGUUGCAUCCGUUUCCUCCACAGAAUUCACAUUUUCUCCCUGAGGUUCUGUUGUCAGCUCCAACCUUUUAUCUGAUGCCUCAUCCGACUUUUUGGAGUCUUCAUGGAAUUGUACUUUGGUUUUUUGCUUUUUAUUUGCCAUUUAUCUUCUUCAAUCUGAAAAUGAAACAUAUAUAAUCCAUUAGUCACAGGCAUAUAUACGAGCAAUUACAGGAUAAGCAGUUAUAAAGUUACAUAAGCCUACAUAAGCCGUUACAAAAUUGUAAAAAUGCAUAACUAAACAUUUACACAGAGUGAAAAUUACAGGAGUCUAAUUACACAGAGUAAAUUACAAAGUUGCAUCACAUAUAUUACAUGACUUGAAAUAAUGUUAUCACAGAGUAAAUUACAAAGUCUCAUCACAAAAUUAACUAUUACAUGACUUGAAAUAAUGUUAUCACUUCUUAACCCAAGUGCCCUUAAUAUUUUCUCUAAUACUUUUCUCAACAUCAUCACCGACAUCACAUGUAGGAAUUUGGCAGCAGAAUGGAGGAUUUUCCAUGGUUGUGUCUCCUAAAUCAUCAUCGUUAUACACCUCUUGGUAGUCUCGAGUUGUAGAGGUUAAUACGACGGACCACUUGGCAUCCACCGGAUCUUCAAUAUAAUAAACUUGCUUUACUUGAUCUAUAGACACGUAUUUAUCUCUCUUGUGGCCUUGUCGACUUAGAUCGACAAGUGUGAACCCAAGAUCAUCCACCUUAAUUCCCUUGUCAUUGUCCGCCCAAUUACAUAAAAACAGUGGGGCUUUGAAUGCAUGAUAAUCCAGCUCCCAUAUAUCUAGGAUAACACCAUAAAAUGUCAAGUCACUUUCUACGGGGUUUAAAUCUUUAGCGCUAGACACUUGGACAGUUUUAGCAACUAAAGACACUCCGCUGUUUUGAACUACCCUCACAUUGUCUCGCUGUUUUGUAAAGUAUCGGACCCCGUCUACUAGAUAAGCUUCGUAAGUCAUAACUGAAAAUGAUGGUUUUCCAGCUAUCCAUCUUACUGUCUCUGAAACUCCUCCAGGAUUCUCCACCAUUUCACUACUGACCUACACAUUUCAUAAACAGAAAUUAUCCUAAAUUACUAUAGAGAAAAUAAAUUAGGCACAAAUGAAACUAUAAAAAUACUAACUUUUUCUAGAAACCAAUCAGCAAAACUGUUAUUGUGCUCUCUCAAGAGCCAAUGAACGCUUUUCUUUUUCCCACGAUGGAUUUCCUCUAGAUACUCCUUAUGCAUUCUGCCAAAAAUUAUAUAUUCAUUAAAGAAGUAGUUUAUACAGAAUGUAUAUAUUAAUUGAACAGCCACAAAAUUAAAAAAAUCUUACAAGAUAUAUGGCUGUACUUCAAGGUUGUUUAGAAGAACGUGUAAAUGAGCUUCAUCCCUCUCUUUUUCUUCGAUUGAUUUCAUUACCGCAACAGAUAAUGGACCACUUAACUUGCCUUCAUCUUUGCGAAGACCAGCAGUGGUGCAAGUUUGCUUGACAAACUCUUGGCAGAAUUCAAUCGAUUCUUCUCCAAGAUAACAUUCUGCUAUACAACCUUCGGGGUAGUAACGAUUGCGUACGUAACUCUUCAACACCUUAUUAAACCUCUCAAAUGCAUACAUCCAUCUAUAGAAGACUGGCCCACAUAACCGUAAUUCCCGAACCAAGUGCACUAUGAGAUGUAUCAUUACAUCAAAAAAUGAUGCAGGAAAAAUUUUUUCUAGCUCGCACAAAGUUACUAUUACAUCUGAUUGCAAUUUAUCUAGUUUAGAUACGUCGACAACUUUGCUGCAUAAAGCAUUAAAGAAGAAACACAAUCUAAUUAUUGUGACCCUGACUUUUUUUGGAAGUACCGCGCGAAUUGCAAUAGGAAGUAAUUGUUGAAGUAGGAUGUGGCAAUCGUGGGACUUCAACCCAAACAUUUUUAAUUCUUCCAUGGAAACACAGUUUUUAAUGUUUGACGCGUGUCCAUAAGGAAGUUUCAUGUGCAUUAACGAUGACAACAUCUUCUUCUUUUCUGCCUUGGACAAAUUAAAAAUCGAAGGAGGUAAAUAGGUCUUUCUUUCUCCUUUUUGUGGAGCUAGAUCAGCCCUAACCCCCAUGUCAAUCAUGUCAAGACGAGAAGCUUCACUAUCUUUAGACUUAUGUUUCAUAUUCAGUAGUGUGCCAAUCAAGCUAUCACACACGUUUUUCUCCACGUGCAUAACAUCUAGACAAUGACGGACAUGGUGAAAUUUCCAAUACUCUAACUCGAAGAAAAUUGACUUUUUCUUCCAUGGACAGUCAACCUUCUUUGACUUCCUUACUUCUUUCCCAAACUGAAAUUCAAUUUUUUCUUGCUGCAAUAAAACCUCUUCUCCCGAAAGAGGUUGACGUGCCUGCCCUAAUUCUUGUUGUCCAUUAAAAGCAGCUUUUUGCUUCCUAUAUGGAUGAUUUCUAGCCAAGUAACGUCGAUGACCUUGGUAACACAUCUUCCUACUAUGGCUUAAAUACUUUGCAACAGUAUCAUCACCACAUAUUGGACAAGACAUAUAACCUUUAUUAACACAUCCGGACAGAUUUCCAUAUGCGGGAAAGUCGUUUAUUGUCCACAAUAAAAUUGCUUUUAAAGUGAAAUACGACUUAGUGUGUGCAUCAUAGACAUUUGGUUCACCUUCCUCCCACAACUUCUUUAAAUCAUCGAUUAGAGGCUGUAAAUAUACAUCAAGGUCAUUACCAGGCUCAUGAGGACCGGGAACUAAAACUGUUAGCAUCAUAAACUUCCUCUUCAUGCAUAACCACGGAGGAAGAUUAUAAGUCACUAGUACUACUGGCCAACAAGUGUAUCUAUUGGUUAGACCGUUAUUAUGCGGGUUUAUACCAUCUGCAGACAACGCCAAGCGAAUAUUUCUUGCCUCACUACCGAAGGCAGGCCACCUAUAGUCGAUAUUUCUCCAAGAAGGAGAGUCGGCUGGAUGCCGCAUCUUUCCAUCUUCUAUUCGCUGCUUUGCGUGCCAGGUAAUCAGUUCAGAUGUAGAAGGAGAUUUAAACAUUCGCUUCAAUCUCGGAAUAAUUGGAAAAUACCACAUUAUUUUAGCAGGAACAUUAAUCCUUACUUUACCAUCCUUUCCUAACUUCCAGCGAGAUAGACUACACUUAGGACACUUAGAAGCAUCAACAUAUACCCCCCGAUAUAGUAUGCAAUCGUUUGGACAUGAGUGGUACUUUAUGUAUUCUAGGCCUAAGUUGGAUAAUGUUUUCUUGGCUUCAUAUGCAUUAGGUGGCAUCACAUUUUCCUUAGGAAGGAGAGAGCCAACAGUAGACAAUAAAUCUGUAAAGGCGCUAUCACUAAUUCCAAACCUUGCUUUCCAAUUAUGCAGUUUUAGCAUCGACUCCAAUUUGGUACAUUCACUACCCUCAUACAAAGGCUGUUGAGCAUCAGCCACAAAUCUCCUAAACUGAUACGACUCAUUAUUGUACUCACUCGAAUUAUACGCAGCAUCACAAACAUUGACUGUUUGUGAUGCAUGACCAGGGGAAUGCAUCGAUGCAGGGUCAAGCGUAGGUGCAGGGCUAGGGGCAUUGUCAUGAACUGUUGAUCCAGUGAUUCCACACCCUUGUGUGUGCCAAAUCCAAUCAAGGUAUCCCAAACUAAAACCGUAUUCAUAUAAAUGUCCCCUAAUAAUCUUAACUGCAAAUUUUUUAAAGUUAACACAUCUUUUGCAGGGGCAUGGGAUUUUUUUAGUAUCACUAGCAUUUUCCUCGGCAAAUAUUAAAAACUCUUCAACCCCGAUUUCAUAGUCAAGUGUAUCCCUAUCUUUGAAAAUCCAAGACUUGUCCAUGUUAUUCUCAAACUACCUGAUUGUCAAAUAUGAUAUCAAAUUACAUGGUAACAAAGAUCCAAACACAAUAUACAAUUACAUUUACAAACUAAACAAACACAAAUAUAUUUACACAGCUGUGCAUAAAACAUAAAAAACAAAUCCCAAGCUCUAAACAUAUAUAACACAGUACAUAAAAAAGAAACCCCAAGCUCCAAACAUAUAUAAAACAUAUAUACAACUACACGUUUAAUUUUCACAUGCAUACAUAUAACUACAAAAAGUUAUACUUGCAACCGAAACAUUUAUAUAAAUAUAAAGAAGAAUAUAGAAGAAUAUAUAUACCUAAAACCCAGCAGCUUCGAAACCCAGCACCUCCAAAAUCCAGCAGCUAUCCAGCAGCUUCGAAAACCCAGCAACUACCCUAAUCUCCAAGCUUCAAAUCUCCAAGCUUCAAAGAACCCUAAUCUCCAAGCUCCACUCGACCCUAAGCUUGAAGAUCGAACCUUAAGCUUGAACACAGCAGCUUCGAAUCGCGCACAAAUCGCACCUAGGGUUUAGAAGAGAGGGAAUCAGUUAAUAGAACAUUUGAAAGGGGGUUUAGAAGAGAGGGAAUCAGUUAUUAAACCAAGAACGAGGAUUGAAGGACUGAAGGAUUGAAGAAAAUCGCAUACCUAGGUUUAGCUGUCGAGAGAAAGGGGGAAGAGCUGCUGUCUGAAAGAAAUAUGUAUAUAUGUCCCGAUUGUUUUCUUUUGAAUGCUUUUGUUUUAAUUUUGAUUUAUUUUUAAUGUUUUUUUAUUGUUUUAUACUGAGGCGGGAGUGAAUGAUAUGUUAAAGGGGGGGAAAACAGUAGGGGGAACUAAUUAAAAAAUUGACUAAGGGCGGGGGAGCGGAGGGCGCGGGCUUUAAUAUUUUUAAAAUUGAGAUUAGACAUCGCUUAAUAAACAAUGUGAUGUGAAAAAAUUUUAAAGUGAGAGCUUAGACAUCACUUAUGUUAAGGACUGAUGUAAAGAUACCAGAAAGACAUCACAUAUAAAACGAGCGAUGUAAAAAAGGCAUUUUACAUCGGUGACACUUCCGACUGAUGUCUAAUGUGCGAUGUCUAUUGACGAAUUUCUAGUAGUCUCCAAAGGAUAUUUAUCUUUCCAUCAUGAUGCAGCAGUCUCCUUAACUGUGAAGGGAACGGAGUAUGAGGUAGCAAAGAACCUUCAUAUUUACACAGCCAUUGAUCUGUCGGGCACCUAAUUUCAGGGUCGAAUUCCAAACGUCACUGGAGAGCUUAGAUGGCUUGCAUUGCUCAAUUUAUCGCAUAAUAGUUUAACAGGACCUAUCCCAUCAUUGCUGAGAAAUAUGAAAGAACUCCAAUCUUUAGAUUUGUCCUCAAAUCGACUGACAGGGGCUAUUCCACCUCAGCUAACUGCAUUGACAUUUCUAGAGGUCUUGAACCUCUCGAAAAACCAUCUUAGUGGAGAGAUUCCUCAGAAAGGACAGUUCAGCACAUUCAACAAUGAUUCUUAUCUAGGAAACUCCGCGUUAUGUGGAUCACCUUUGACGAAGAAAUGUGCAAACACAGCAUCACCUCCACAAGAAGUCGGAAAUGGUGAUGAAGAUGAUGCUGGAGAUGAAUUGACAUGGGAAGCAAUCGUGAUGGGAUAUGGAUGUGGACUGAUAUGUGGAUUGUCAUCUGCGUACAUUGUUCUCAAACUAGGAAAGCCUUGGUGGUUUGUGAGAUAUAUCGAAGUACUGCAACUGAAGUUGAUGAAAAGAUAUGCAUGAAGAAUGGUACUGCACUACAACAAAAACAGCAUCACACAACGGUUUUUGCCCGUUGUCUGAUACCCAAGAAAACCGUGGUCUAUUGCGAUGCCGUCUGAUACGCGCCUCAGACAACGUUUUAUUAGUUAAAGGCUUGUCUAUAAGGCCAUGCUACGAUGGUAACAAAAACACUUGUAUGUUAGCUUCCUGGUCACACAACACUGUAUGGAACCCUUGUUUAAACGGCUCGUAAACAACACAACAAAUAAAACACUUGUCUAAUUACAACAACGGUUUCUUGAAAUAUUGUCUGAAGUUUCUUCACACAUCGGCUCUAAAAACAGUUGUCUAACGUGCAUCAUUACACAAUAUCACAGUUAAGAUACCGUUGUCUGAUUGAAUUUACUAGACAACACUUUUUAAACCGUUGUAGGUUGUAGGUGUUGGACAAUAGUUUUUCGAGGACGAAAAUAAAGUGUUGUGUCUUUGUUUCGGCCAACACUUUUUCCAGCGUCCGUUGUCUGACUAGUGUCGUGUGAUGCCAGUUUUGUUGUAGUGCUGGUUGAUCCAGACGAACUAGAAAGUUGUUGUCCUGGUAGACAUUUCUGAACCAUUUGUGUCCUGGCUGAAUAAGUAUUUGGUAUUAUGUAAUAAUCCGUUUGGUUGGGACUCAAAAUGAUUUCUCUUGCUUCAGGGGUAUUAAUAUUAACCUUCCUAUCUUGAUCAAUGUUAAAUCAAAUUAAAUGAAUGAAAAAACAAAAAGUAUGCAUCAAAUCCGCUCCUGCUGUACCUAACAAUUUAACAGCACCCUUCCACACUGUUCAUACCUAAUUUGCGUGUAAUAUGAAAACUAAGAGGCAUGGCUUUUGUCUUUGAGAGAACUUAUUCCAAGUCUUCUUCGGAGGCCUACUGCCUCAACAACCUUUCAAAGACUAUGCAAUAAUCCACGUGACAGAAAAACCAAAGUCCAAUUAGUAUUAUAAGUUCAUAAAAAAUACUAUAGGAUCAUUAGCAUUAGCAUUACAUUAGCAUACAGCAUAUAUAUAAAUAGAAGAAUGCAGUGUGGUAUUGGAUUCAUAAUCCAAUUGAGCAGAAACAUGGCACACUUUGUAAAGCCUUAUGACCUUCUUCUCUGUGUUUUCUUUCUCUCAUCACUUGAAUCCAUUCUUGCAACAAGACGAGAAGGAGAAGCUCUUGUGAAAUGGAAGAACAGCCUAGCCCCGUCUUCUUCUCUUGAUUCUUGGUCACUCACUCAUCUCGAUAAUCUUUGUAACUGGACUGGCAUUACUUGUAACUCUGCAGGUUCAGUCUCUGACAUUAACCUUUUCAACAAACAACUCACUGGAAAGCUUUUCGAGUUUGGUUUCACUUCAUUUCCGAAUCUCAACAAUCUCACCCUCGCAGAUAACUUCUUCUCUGGUCCAAUACCAUCAGCCAUUGGGAAUUUAACACAGCUUCAAUAUCUUGAUUUGAGCAAUAAUUAUCUCAAUGGUUCCAUUCCGUACCAGGUUAGCCAUCUUUCAAAAUUACACGUCUUAAACCUGUCAGAGAAUGAACUGCAAGCUCCAAAUUGGUCCAAUUUCUCCCCCAUGCCUUAUUUGACCAUCCUCGACCUUUAUCAGAAUAAUCUUAUGUUGGAAUUUCCAGAAUUUAUAUCUAACUCGCGUAACCUGACAUACCUUGACCUUUCAUAUAACAAGUUCACAGGCGAUCUUGUGCGCGAAUCAGUAUUAGCCAAUCCAGGUGAUCUCGAAACCCUCUAUCUUAAUGAAAAUUCUUUUGGGGGGCCAUUUCCACCAGACAUAUUCAAACUUUCCAAGUUGAGAGUUCUUGCCCUGUUCAAUAAUCUUUUUGAGGGGCCGCUUCCGUCAAAUAUAUUCAAGCUCUCUAAACUAAGAUUCCUUUUACUUUGGAGUAAUAAUUUUUCAGGUACUCUUUCGAAUGAAAUAGGUUUGCUUUCUGAGCUUGAAGACCUAGAUCUUCACUCCAAUUUUUUUGUGGGGCCGCUUCCGCCAAAUAUAUUCAAGCUCUCUAAACUAAGAACCCUUUUCCUCUUGGGUAAUAACUUCUCAGGUUCUAUUUCCAACGACAUAGGUUUGCUUUCUGAGCUUGAACACCUAUAUCUCGACUCCAAUUCUUUUGAGGGACCUUUUCCAACAAAUAUUUUCAAGCUUUCCAAAUUAAUACAACUUGGUCUCGCAAACAAUACAAAUUUAUUUGAAGGAAGUAUUCCUCCAGGACUGGGGCUCUUGACUAACCUAGAGGACUUGUCUCUUGCUUACAAUAAUCUUGGUGGCUAUAUUCCGUCUUCCUUUGGAAACCUAACACUACUAGUAUAUCUUAAUCUCGCUCGUAAUCAAUUGGUUGGAACACUAUCAAAGACCAUUUCUAAUCUCACAAAUCUAUGGUUUCUUGAUGUACAUCAUAAUAGUCUCUCUGGGAAUAUUCAGAGUGACUUCUGGAAAAACUCUACAUCACUGCGUUACAUUAAUUUGGCAGACAAUAAUUUUUCUGGGAACAUUCCUAAGGAAUAUAAUGUUCUUCCAAUCCUGGAUCACAUCAAUUUUAGGGGGAACAAUUUUACAGGUAUUUUUCUUUCCAUAUUUUUUCCUUCUGUUGUAUUCAAUUAUGCUAGAAACUACAGCCUCUGUUUUUUCAAAUACAUAUCGUUUAACUUUUUGGCACAAAACUUUAUAAUAAUUCUAACUAAAAGGUCAAUGAACUCAAAAAUGUGUGUCAAAAAGUCAAACGUCAUUUAUCUGAAAUCAGAGGGAGUAUAUAUUACUGUUUUACCAAAGUUUCAACAAUCAUGACAGGUGAGCUUCCACCAACAAUUUGCGAUGCCACUUCCCUUUCGAUUCUUGAUCUGUCAAAUAAUGGAUUUAGUGGUGCAGUUCCACAUUGUUUGGGGAAUCUUGCGGAUAAAUUGAUUUCGAUUAAUCUUGCUAAUAAUCAGUUUCAAGGACCAAUACCAACAAAUUUCUCCGAGAGUUGUCGUCUGACGUAUCUUAACAUCUAUAACAAUCACUUCAAAGGUUUGGUUCCCCAAUCUUUGGCAAACUGUAAGCACUUGCAAAUUCUUGAUUUUGGAAAAAAUGAAAUAGGUGGAACACUUCCGUCAUGGUUUUUUACUCUUGGAGAGCUAGAAGUCCUGAUCCUGCGAUCAAACAGAUUUUUCGGGAGAAUAACUAGAAGGAGCAUACCACGCCCCUUUCCCAAGUUGCGGAUUUUGGAUCUAUCCAACAAUCAGUUCACCGGCUAUCUGCCAAUUUUAUACUUCAAGAAUAUGAAACCAAAUGAUAAUAAUUAUGAUUAUUUCAACAACACAAACGAAGCCUAUUACGUUUAUCAAGUUUCUAUCACAUUAAAUGUGAAAGGAAGCGAGCAUGAAGUGACAAAUAUUCUUCAUAUUUACACGGCCAUUGAUCUGUCGUGCAACAAAUUUGAAGGAAAAGUUCCAGACAUUACCGGAGAGCUUAGAUGGCUUGCAUUGCUAAAUUUAUCUCAUAAUAGUCUUUCGGGGCCUAUUCCAUCACAACUGGGAAAAAUGAAAGAGCUCCAGUCUCUAGAUUUGUCGUCAAAUCAAUUGACAGGUGUUAUUCCGGAUCAACUUACUAGUAUGACAUUUCUUGCUAGUUUGAACCUCUCAGAAAACCAUCUUUCUGGGAAAAUCCCUCGGAAAGGACAGUUCAGCACUUUUGGCGAAGAAUCUUACUUAGGUAAAUCGGCCUUGUGUGGAGUUCCUUUGACAAAGAACUGUAUAGACGAUGUGCCACCUUCACAAGUUGGAAAUGGCAAUGAUGAAAAUGUUGAUGAAGAUGAUACCGUUGAUGAAUUCAAUUGGAAAGUGAUCCUGAUGGGAUAUGCAUGUGGAUUAAUAGGCGGAUUGUCUGCAGGAUACAUUGUCUUCACAGUCGGAAAGCCUUGGUGGUUUUUGAGAUACAUUGAGACACUGCAGCAGAAGUUGAUCUGAUGCGCAACUAGAAACAACGUUAUAAUCUUAGAAUGACUUGUGUCUUUAAACAGAGUUAGGAACUUAGGAUGACUUGUGGUGCUAUAUUUUUUUUUUGAAAAAAAAAAACAUAUUUUUGUAAUUUUUUAGAUACAGAUGUUAAGAAGGUGUUGUAUAUUCAUUUUUUACCCAAAAAAAAAAAGAGGGCUUAUUUCAUGAAAAUUAGAGUUUUAUGUAUUUUCUCCAGAAAUUAGUCCUUAUUUCUGAAAAUAAGGUUAGUCAAAACGGUCACUACACGAUUGGUAGCCUUUCAGUUCUUCCUAGUGUCCACUACAGUUUCAUUCCUUACCAGUUAUUUUAUGCUCUGCACUGCAUUAUGCAGCUUUCAUAUUACUGACAGCUAAUCUCCUUCCAACACUUUGCGAUGCGAAGCAGGGACGCAUAAGUAUUUUUAUAUGUGUAUUAGUUUUGAAGAUUAAAGUUGCAUGGACAAUUGUGUUGAUAAUUUGAGCAAUGUUAACCGGGAUAGGUCUUCUUCUCUCUCCCAAGUCUUCUGAGGACUCAUCGGCUCAGAUUAGUCUAUCCAAAAAUUAUGAUCUGACGGCUAUUGGCACACUAACGAUUUACAUAUCACUUGAAUAUUACUGGAUACCCGCAUCUUGUUUUAAAUGGCGUAUAUCGGCUAAUAGUUCAACGAUGGUGACAAAUCCCGGUGAUCCAAAUAAUUGAUUGUCGCAAAAUUUUCCGCUUACAUCCAACUAACACGUAUUAGGAAAAAAAAUUAUAUAAUUAAACACGCUCAUGUAUCUAUAUCUUUUACAAGAUUGUAAGUCCCCAAUUCUAUGUGAUAUUAGCUAUAUGUGACUAGAAGGUUUAGAAAUACUAGAUUAUCAAGAUUUCUUUUUAUUCUAGCUAGUGUUGAGUUAUAUUUAUUUUCUUCAAACAAUCAAUACUUAUUUUUUAUUAAUAUGUGAAACUCCAAUAUAUAUUAUUAUACGAUAUAUUAUGAAAACACUAUAUUUUGUAAUGUUCAUCUUAUCCUACCAGCAAAAUUACAUCGCUAACAAAAUUAUAUCAAUUUUAUUUUAUAAACUCAAAUAAUUUAAUUUAUGAAACAACUCUAUGAGAUUCUUAUCAUGAGUUAGAAUUCAAAUAAAUAAAGAGUUCAUAUUGAUAAGUGGAAUUGAUGUGCAAGUAAGGGGUAUAAAAAAAUCUCAAAAUAACUCCAAAAAGCACAUGACAUGUUUGAUUUAAUAGAACUGGUACAUAAACAGGGGGACCAUUAUAUUUAUAAGCAAGUGACCAACAAUAGUUUACUACUGAUAUUUUGUGAUAUUUUUUGUGAUAUUUUUUGAGACCUUUAACAUUAUUCUGUGAAGUGGUAUACUACUGUUACUAGUUCUGAAACUUCAAACAAAGUAGGCGCAACAUUGUAAGAGUGAUUAAUAAAGUUGAGAAACAGUGUGUACAUUGAGCAGUAUGACAAUCAGGUUCAGCAUAUAAUACAAUCAGAUUCACAAUCAGGUUCACGAGAAACAUGCUGCAUUCCAAAAAGCCUUAUUAUCUUCUUCACUAAAUAACAAGGCAAAUACAGCAUAUAAAUACAAGUUAUAAGUACAAGUGUGGUAUUAGAUUCAUAACCCAGUUGAGGAGAAACAUGGCACACUUUGUAAGGCCUUCUCACCUUCUUCUCUUUGUUUUCUUUCUCUCAUCACUAGAAUCCAUUCUUGCAACAAGACGAGAGGGGGAAGCUCUUGUGAAGUGGAAGAAUAGCCUAGCCCCUUCUUCUUUUCUCCACUCUUGGUCACUCUCCAAUCUCGAAAAUCUUUGCAACUGGACUGGCAUUACUUGUAACUCUGCAGGUUCAGUCUCUGAGAUUGACCUUUGUGAGAAACAACUUGAUGGAAUGCUGUCCGAGUUUGGUCUCACUUCAUUUCCAAAUCUCAACAAUCUCACCCUCGCAGACAACUUCUUCUCAGGUCCAAUACCACCAGCCAUUGAGAAUUUAACACAGCUUCAAUAUCUUGAUUUAAGCAUGAAAAGUCUUAAUGGUCCCAUUCCGUUCCAGGUUAGCCAUCGUCAGAGCUUGCUCAUCUUAGACCUGUCACAGAAUGCAUUGCAAGCUUCAAAUUGGUCCAAUUUCUCUCCCAUGCCUCAGUUGCGCUUCCUCAAGCUCAGUAGCAAUCAUCUUGUGUCGAAAUUCCCAAAUUUUAUAUCCAGUUCUCAUAGCCUGACUUACCUCAACCUCUCAUAUAACAUUGGAAACCUCAAAAAAUAUAUAUUUAUAUAUUUAUAAUUAAAAAAUUGAAUUACUUAAUAUAUUAAAAAAUUGAAUAAAAUUUUAUAUAUUUUAUUAAAAAAUUGAAUAAAAAUUGAAUAAAAUUGAAUAAAAUUGAAGUACACGAAAAGGUACACGACACGAAAUACACGACUGAGAAGUCGUGUCGGUUUUGUGUUUACCCUUCGGGUACACGACACGAGGUACACGAAAUAAAUAAAUAAAUAUAUAUAUAUAUAUUUACCCUUCGGAUUAAGAGUUGGUCGCGGACAAAUUCAAAGUUUCCCAAUUAUCCUUUAUUUUAUGUAACUUUGCUUAUGUUUAAGCCUAAAUUUGGACAAUAUUUGUAAAAUAUUAAUAUUUCGUGUACUAAUUCGUUACCAGUUUCGUGUAUUUUUUCGUGUAUAUUUCGUGUUUUCGUGUUUUCAUGUACUAUUUCGUAUCGUGUCGUUUUCGUGUACAUGAAAAAAUUCGUGUACUACAGUUCGUGUCGUUUUUACCUGUUUCUAAAUCGUGUCGUGUUCGUGUUUACAAUCGUGUACACGAAUUGAAUUCGUGUCGUGUUCGUGUAUACCCACCAGAUACACGAAACACGAAAGUACACGACACGUUUAUACACGACACGAACGAUUUGCCAGGUCUANGAAACACGAAAGUACACGACACGUUUAUACAUGACACGAACGAUUUGCCAGGUCUAUUCAAACCUAGCAAGUAACCAAGAGGGGGCAAACUCCACCAGAGACAAAUCAAAGACCAUACCUGAGUAUUGCCAACAUAACAUUACAAACUGGCAGGUGAAAAAUAUGUGAAUAAGGUCUUCGUCACCAGAGUUACACAUGGGACAGUCAAGAGAAAGAUUUACUCCCUUAGAUUGUAAUCGACUUUUCACAGGCACAUUAUUCCUGCAAAAACGCCAUAAAAACACUUUGAUCUUAAGAGGAACCUCCAACUGCCAGAGUUUCUUCCACCCACUAGAUUGUGUAACAGUGCCAGUGCCAAUAUUUUGGGCAUGCCAAAACUGGUAACCUGUUUUCACAGAAUUUUGGCCGUUAGUAGUCUUUGACCAAGCUAGAUGAUCCACGGUCGACCUAUAGGGAACAGAAGUUUUUAAAAAUUAUGUAAUUCAUUCAAUUCCGUAUCAGACAAUACAUCUUAUCAUCGGUGAUAAUGGAAAUAGUGUAGAUGUUUGACCUAGUCCAUGUUUGACAACCAAUAUAAUAAGAAAUAAAUUCUUAUUUUUCUAAAAAAUAUAUUUUUGUAUAUAAAUGUUAAAGAGAUAUUUCUUAUUUGUUGUUUGAAAAAAGUAAAGACUUAUUUCAGAAUAAAUAAAAAUUAUUGUACAUUCUCUUUAUUUUUAAAAAUAAGUUUGGUCAAAUCGCCCAUAAUUCUCGUAAUUCAAAAGCCCAUUAUUUUUUUUUUUCUUGCUAAUUGAUCAGCACACGCACACGUUUCCAACUUCCCGCAAAGGGUACCGGAGUACCACCACACCGACGCUUUGUUGGGCCCAAUAAUUGGCUGAAGUUGAACGGGGCUUUCUGCCUCCGCUGGACCCCAGUUGGGAGGACUCUUUCCAAGUCUUUCGGAGACUCUUUCCCAUUGACUCCAACUUUCCAGGGUGUAUACAAAUUUUUUGAAAGAGGGUGUAUACAAAUUAUUCACGGCCAUCAAAUUAACCAGCGUAGCUGGUGAACAAAUAUUAUUGUUUAUUAUAAUUUUAUUUAAUUUAAAUGUGAUUAUAAAGAACAUAAGAGGACGUUUGAAAGUGUGGGUCUUAUUUCAAACAGUAGAUUUCAAAAAAUAUGAUUUCAAUUGUUAUUUAAAAUUCUUAAAUUUAUAUUAUAUUAAAAUGUUCUUAUCUAUACUAUACUAUUAAAACCGAAACAUUAAAAGUUUGGUCGGUCGGUACUUGGGCCGAUAUAUGGGCCUAUCUAUAUAACUAAUUAUUUUUUUUUAAUUUUGGGCCGAAAUACAGGCCUGUCUAUAUAAUCAAUUAUUCUUUUUAACUAAAAUAUGUUAUCUUUUUUACUAUUAAAGCCAAAACAUUAAAAAUUUGAUCGGUCGGUACUUGGGCCGAAAUAUGAGCGUAUCUAUAUAACUAAUUAUUUUUAUUUUUUUUUAUUUUUGGCCGAAAUACAGGCCUAUCUAUAAAAUCAAUUAUUCUUUUUAACUAAAAUAUGUUAAUUUUUUUUACUAUUAAAGCCGAAAUAUUGAAAGUUUGGUCGGUCGGUACUUGGGCUUCUAGGCCGAAAUAUAGGCCUAUCUAUAUCAUCAAUUAUUCUUUUAAACUAAAAUAUGUUAUCUUUUUUACUAUUAAAAUCGAAACAUUGAAAGUUUGAUCGGUCGGUACUUGAGUCGAAAUACGGGCCUAUCUAUAUAACUACUUAUUAUUUUUAACUUGGGCCGAAAUACAGGCCAAUCUAUGUAAUCAAUUACGCGGUAUUCUUUUUAACUAAAAUAUGUUAUUUUUUUAACUAUUAAAGUUGAAAUAUUGAAAGUUUAGUCGCUCGAUACUUGAGCCGAAAUACGGAUCUAUCUAAAUAACUAAUUAAUUUUUUUUAACUUUGGAUGGAAAUACAGCCCUAUCUAUAUAAACAAAUAUCUUUUUAACUAAAAUAUGUUAUCUUCUUUAUACUUUCUAACUAAAAACUCAAUCUUCUAAAUGAACAUGGAAGAAUAUAGUAAUUAUCUUUUUAACUAAAACAAAUUAUCGUCUAUUAAAUCAAAUUAUAACAAACUAUCCAUAAACAUCCUUAAUUUAUAACAAAUUAUUAAAUAUUUUUUAUCAUCUACUAAAUCAAAACAUUAAAAAUUAGAUUACCAUUAUGGAUCAGUAUUUGAAUUACGCUUCUCUUUAACUUAUAAUAUGUUUUAUACUAUAUUAUUAACUAUUAAUAACUAAAUAUUAAAACGCUGAUUGGGUUGUUUCUAUCUGGGUUUACGGGUCUCCUCAAAUUAUAAUCCCUCCGUUCUUAAAUAUCUGCCUUUUGACUUUUUGGCACGCAUGUUAAAGUGUUUUGAAUUUAUAGUAAAAAUAUUAUUUUUAAAUUUCUUUUUCUGAAUAAAAAUUUUAUAUCAAUACUUUUAUUCAUAAAAAGAAAUAUUUGAAAAUAACAUUUCUAGCUAUGUGGUCAAAAUAUCUUAAAAUGUGUGCGAAAAAGUCAAAAGGCAUAUAUUCAAGAACGGAGGGAGUAACAUGUAAAAAAAAUUAUUUUAACAUUAUCAUUAAAAAAUUAUAUAUUUGACCUAAUUAUAAAUUAACUAUUUGAAGGAAUAAACUAUUAAGAAUUUAUUUAGCUGCUAAAUAAAAGUUUUUUUAAUAACAUUAUUCUAUCACAAUUUUACUUUCAAUAAAAUUCGUUAAAUCUAAAAUAUAUGCGAUGAAAUAACAAAUAUUAAAACCGCCCGUGCAUUGCACGGGUUUUAAGCUAGUUCUAAUUAAUGAGUCACUAUUCGUAUUCUCAAGCAUGUUAGUUUGUUAAAAUUUAAAAUUUCAAAUGAAAUUAGGCUAAAAGACCAUAAUAUCAAAUCAAAAUCUCAUUAUCCAAUAUAUUGGUGGGCAAAAAUAUUAAACCUGGCUAUUCAUUAAUAUUGGUUCUUUAUUCAAAUUAUGUCAAAUUUAUAUAAAAUUUCGAAAAUUAUUUAUGAAUAAGAGUCGGCAUUCAUAUAUUUAUUAAGGAUACAAGUGAGAAAAUGUUAUUAAAUUAAUAUUUUUUAAUAUACGUAAGUUUUUUAAAAUAAAUUUGUAGCGUGGGACGGGAGUAUUAGACUGAUUCUGGCUUGGAGUGAAUCAGCCCAUAAAGUUUACAGGGUAGAUGACCAUUCUUAAAUCUUAAAGAAUCUUACGGUGACAGCUAACUGAACGACUCGGUUUCAGAAGUGCUGAAAAGUUUCGACGUAAACUACAAUUUGCCUAGCAUGUAAUUUCCAUGCAUUUUCUCGUUACGAGUAGGUUUGUCCGGAAGUACAAUUCAAAAUAGAGUGCUGUUAAAAAAAAUUGAGUUACUUAUUCAAUAACUUUUUUGAUAUUUAUAUAUUUUUAAUUAUAAUAAAGAUACUAGUGAUUAUGGUUAGCUUUUGGAGUACUUUUGGAGUACUUGGAAAUUUUCUUUUCGAGAAAAACGAGAGUACCUAUUUCAAUUUUUUACCAAAAAUUAUAAUUGAAAACAACGGACUUUUAUACUUAUCAUAACAAUUUUUAACAUCUUGUUUAGAAAUAACCUGUUGUUGUAUUAUGCAAAAGUAAUAUCACUAGUUUCUAUAUCCGUAUUCUAAUGAUAAUAAAAACAUCUCUAAUUCAUUAAAACUCUUACAUAGAAAUUGAUAAAAAAAGAAGAUAUAAAAUAAUUUAUUAAAAAUAUAUCAAAGUUUUUGCACUCGGUUAUAAUUAUUGUGUAAUUUUUUUUUUCAAUUCCAAGAUAUUGUUAUAAGAAAAUUUUACAUCAUAUAUAUAUUACAAAAAAAAUUAAUGUAUUAUAUAUAUAUAGGGUCCUACUCUGGUACAAACCUUUUUAGCGUACAAACUACAAACCAAAAUUAAAAAGUCUCUAAAUCAAAUCAGAAUAUAGCACAUAUGGUAUGGAAAUUGAUCGUUGCGAGAUGAACAAAAAUAAUGAUUAUAAAGUUUGUAUUUGAGCCAUUAUAUAUAUACUUACAAUAAAAGUAAUAAUAUAUUAUAUUCUAAAUAUAGUUAACCACUGCAGUUGGUCGCUUAUAAAUAGAAGUGUGCAUUAUAGGAUGAAACGUACAUCAAGCUGAGGAGAAACAUGGUACACUCUGCAAAGCUAUAUCAUCUUCUUUUACUUGUUUUCUUUUCCUCCUUACUUCCAUCCAUUCUAUUGGCAACAAGACGAGAAGGAGAAGCUCUUGUGAAAUGGAAGAAUAGCCUAGCCCCGUCUUCUUUUCUUGAUUCUUGGUCACUCUCCGAUCUCGAUAAUCUUUGCAACUGGACUGGCAUUACUUGUAACUCUGCAAGUUCAGUGUCUCAGAUAAAUCUUUCCCAAAAACAGCUCGAUGGAACGCUGUCCGAAUUUGGUUUCACUUCAUUUCCGAAUCUCGAAAAUUUGACUAUAAGAGACAACAGCUUCUCCGGGCUAAUACCACCAGGCAUUGCGAAUUUAACACAGCUUCAAUACCUUGAUUUAAGCUACAAUUAUUUCAGUGGUUCCAUUCCGUACGAGGUUAGCCAUCUUCAGAGAUUACGUGUUUUAGACUUGUCGUAUAAUGAAAUGCAGGCUCCAAAGUGGUCUGACUUCUCUCCCAUGCCUUUUAUGAGCAUCCUCAACCUACGGGCCAAUCAUCUUGUGUCGAAAUUCCCAGAAUUUAUAUCCAAUUCUUUUAGCCUGACUUUCCUUGACCUUGGAGACAACAAGUUCACCGCUGAUCAUCUUGUGCUCGAAUCAGAAUUUACCAAUUUGCAAAAUCUUGAAACGCUGUUUCUUGAUGGUAAUUCUUUUGAGGGGACGUUUCCACCGAAUAUAUUCAGGCUUUCUAAAUUAAAAUACCUUUCCCUAUCUGCUAAUAAGUUUUCAGGUUCUGUGCCGGAUGACAUAGGGAUGCUUCGUGAUCUUGAAUCCCUUUAUCUUGGUAACAAUUCUUUCAAAGGGAUGCUUCCACAAAAUAUUUUCAGACUUCCCAAAUUACGGGAUCUUUCCCUCUGGGGUAACAAUUUUUCAGGUCUUAUUUCAGAUGAUAUAAGGAUGCUUUCUAACCUGGAAUCUCUUGAUCUUAAUGGUAAUUCUUUUCAGGGUCCGCUUCCACCAAAUUUCUUCAAGCUUUCCAAAUUAAGACAUCUCGCCCUCUCAAAUAAUAAAAGAGUAUUUAAAGGAAGUAUUCCUCUUGGGUUGGGGCUUUUGACUAACCUUGACUACUUAUGUCUUAAUUCCAAUUAUCUCACUGGCUACAUUCCAUCUGACAUUGGAAAUCUAAAGCUACUAGAACAUCUUGAUCUCAGUUUUAAUCAAUUGACCGGACCGCUCCCAAAGAUCAUUUCUAACCUCACUAAUCUAACGCGUCUUGGUCUGAAUGAUAAUUGGUUUUCCGGCAGUAUUCCAAGUGACUUCUUGGAAAACUCUACAUUAUUAUUUUACAUUGAUCUUUCAAACAAUGAUCUGUCUGGAAGCAUUCCUAAGGAAUUCAACGUUCAUCCGACAUUGGAUUAUAUCAAUUUAAGUGGAAACCGUUUUAGAGGUCUACUUCUCUCUUUAAAUUUUUAUGUUCGUUUUGUAUAUGCUAGUAACCUGAUUAUUACACUUUUACUGAAGCUUCAACAAUUCUAACUGCAGGCAAGCUUCCAGCAACGAUUUGCAAUGCUACAUCCCUUUCGACUCUUGUUCUGUCAAAUAAUGAAUUCAGCAAUGCACUUCCACAUUGUUUGGGGAAUCUUGCUGAUCAACUUCUUUCCAUUAAUCUUGCUAAUAAUUUGUUUCGAGGACCAAUACCAACAACUUUCUCUAAGAGUUGUCGGCUGACAUAUCUAAACAUGUACAACAAUCACUUUGAAGGGUUGUUGCCGCAAUCUCUGGCAAACUGUAAGCACCUACAAAUUCUUGAUAUUGGAAACAAUGAAAUAGGUGGUAAAUUCCCGUCAUGGCUGUUUACUCUUGGAGAGCUGGAAGUCCUAGUCUUGCGAUCAAAUAGAUUCCACGGUCCAGUCAAUGGAACAAGCUCAGCAAAUUUAUUCCCCAAGUUGCGGAUUGUUGAUCUCUCCAACAAUCAAUUUACAGGCGAUUUACCAAUUCAGUAUUUUAAGAAUAUGAAACCAACAGAUAACCACUAUAGUUAUUUUUAUACAGAAAGUGGUUUUUACUAUCAUCAAGCAUCGAUCUCAUUAACUGUGAAAGGAAGAGAGUAUGAAGUGAAAAAGAUCCUUCAUAUUUAUACAGCCAUAGAUGUGUCAUGCAACAAAUUUCAGGGAGAAAUUCCCGAGGUUAUUGGAGAACUUAAAUGGCUUGCAUUGCUCAAUCUAUCACAUAAUAGUCUUAUUGGACCUAUCCCAUCACAGCUCGGAAAUAUGGAAUCACUUUUAUCUCUAGAUUUGUCUUCAAAUCAUUUGACAGGGGGUAUUCCCGAUCAGUUGAUUAGGUUGACAUUUCUAGAGGUCUUGAACCUCUCGGAAAAUCAUCUGACAGGGCCUAUCCCCCAAAAAGGACAGUUCAGCACAUUCAACAAGGAUUCUUACCUAGGUAACUUUGCCUUGUGUGGAUUACCUUUAACUAAUAACUGUACACACACUGUGUCACCACCACAAGAAGGCGGAACUGGUGACAAUGAUGCCUAUGAUGAACCCGAUUGGGAAGUGAUCCUCAUGGGAUAUGGAUGUGGACUAAUAUGCGGAUUGUCCACAGGGUACGUUGUCUUCACAUUCAGAAAGCCUCAGUGGUUUAUGAGAUACACUGAAAGCGUGCAACAGAAGUUGAUGAGAUGAUGCAUGUUGAGUACCGUUCAAUCAUGAAGCACAACUGGAAACAAUGUUAUCUUAGGAAAACAUGUGUUCUGAACCAGUAGUGUUUGCACAAAAUUUGUGGUGCUAUGUAAUACUUAUAUAAUUGUACGUAUGAUUAUUGAUUAGUCGUUGAGAAAAUGCAUUUUAUUUCAGUGUCAAUGAUAAUCUACAUGUUUUGGAUACUUCCAGCUUCUCAUACUAAUAUAGGAACCACUUGAAAAAUUUUGGACAGGCUCUGAGGAUGCUAAUGCUGCUGUUUAGUUUCUACCGCGGAAUUGACUUUAGCAUAUACUCGUAUGACAUAUUACUAGAUAUAUGGUUGUUAAAUAAAAUUAUCUUUUUGUGGAAUAAAUAGGAAAGCAAAAUCAUAGAAUAAUGUAUGUUAUAUAGGAAGGUAUUGUCCUCUUAGAUAGGUAUCAUUUAUGCCUCAUUGGCAUGUCUCAGAAAACUUUUGGGUUAACACAAUGUUUACUUAGAGCAUUGCCAUUCCUUAAAUAUAAUAUAAAAUAUUGGAUCUUAGUGACUUAAGAUGAUAAUAGCUAUUCGCACCUCCAACAAUAUUCCUUAUAUUCAUUCCUUAUAUACUAUUUUAUUAUUAAAAGUUACCAUUAUUGCAAUAGGUGAAAAGAGAGAACAUGUUUGUAUUCAAAAUUUAUUGUAAAAUAAUAUUUAGGAGAGGAGAGAGGUUACCUAAAGAUAAGGCAUGGCUAGUUAUUUAGAGAAUCACUAGGAUACUGUUGGAGUGGAUUAUUUUCCCAUAUUACUCAUAUUUUGGUUUAAGAUUCCUAAUAGGGAAGCUGCUGGAGUUGCUCUUAGAGCAUCUCCAAGAGAUUCUUCAUUUAAGCUCCUAACUUGAGAUUUGAGUAGGGAGAGGAAAAAUGUUGCUCCAAGAGACUCUUAAGUGGCUCUUAAAUCACUAAGAGCCUCUUGUUUCUCUCUCCUCUCUCCUCAAAGUUAAGAGCCACCACAUUGCUCCUAACUUAUUUUUUCACAAUAAAAAAAUCUUUUCCUCCAAUUCAGCUCCAUCUUUCCAUCUCUUUUGUUAUAGUGGAGCCCAAUAUAUGAAUAAAAUAUGAAAUAGAGAAGAGAUGUAGAGAGUAUUGUUGGAGUUUACACUCUUAACUUUGUCUUAAAUUGCUAAGAGCUAUUUUUUUAUAUUAUAUUUAGGAGCCAAUAAGGAGGCUCUUGGAGAUGCUUUUAGUACUAAUUGUUAGAAUAUGAAAAUGCAGUUAUGAACUAUUAUGCUAGAGAGAGAAAAAUUCAACAAACUUCAUUUCUGUAAACUACAACUAUUAGUCUGUUACAUUGCUGAAAGCUACAUUUAUACAUUUACAGUUUACAACAAACUAUGAAACUGAUUUUCCCGCGUCCUCCUCACUUGUCCACGUGGCCUGACUGGCUUGGUGUCCUUGACACUCUUUAUUAUUGCUAAUAUAUACUUAACACUAAUACCUCAAAGCAGGGUAUAAAUUCAAUAGCACAGCUUCUGGAUAAUGGAAAUUUAGUUAUCCAGAGGUCUUGGUUUUACAUAUCACUUGUAUAUUAUGUCUCGGUCUCAUUGAAGCAUACCAAACGAGAUUUUGGGUUUGUUAAUAUUUUUUUAGUCCAAAUUUGAAUAAUACUGUUAUGCUUAUUCACACGGUAGACGUGUUUUUAUUAAAAUACUGCAACUGAAAUUGAUGAAAACAUGCACAAAGCAUAGCAGACGAAAGACUUGAGGAGAUAUUGUCUUAGGCGAUGCAAUACGUUCUAAUAUAAUGCUAUAUUAUGCAAUCUCGUUUAAUACUUUCAUCAUUAUUCUCCAAGAUGUCUGAACAUGUAUUUUCAAAGAAUUCUCAGUUCACCUUUAGUCUUAUAGCGACAUUUUGAAGGCACUCUCAACUUACACCCUAUAUAUACACGUACGGUUCACUUCAGUACAAAGAUUUUAUGAUACAACUCUCAUAUUAUGAACUAGUUCUGUCGAAUACAUGAAUAUUGAUCAAUCAUUUGAACUCGAGUUUCCCAGCUGGCCAGAUACCCAGAUUAUUAGCCAUGCAAAACAUGCAGAACCACUAGUAAUGCAGAAAAACAAUAUAUUAGUUUUCUCCGGUGUUACAGAAAUCAGGAAUCGGACCUAAUCGGUUUAGCUACCGAUUUAGGGAUUAAUAGGAAAUAGGGGAUUAAUCGGAGUGAAAAUCGGAUUUAUUUUAAUAUUAAAAUAUUAUUUAAUAUUUAGUUAUUAUUAUAUUAGCUAUUUAGUAACUAAUAUAUUUACUAUAUUCAUAAACUCUAUAAUUAUUCGUAUUGAAAGUAAUAUAGUAUUUUAAUUUUAAUAAUUUACUAUAUAUACUUCGAUUAAGAAAUAUAUAUAUAAGGAUUAAUCGGAUUUCAAAAAUCGAAUCGGUGGCCAACCUUGCAGAGGAUUAAUCGGGGAUUAAUUGGUUGAAUCGGGGAUGUUUAGAACACUGGUUUUCUCCAAAUAUCACUACAACAAAACUGCCAUUUUACGACGGAAAUCUAAUAUUCUAAAGGGUUACGACCAAACUAUGUCGGUGGACUUUAUUUUAAUUUACCGUUUAACAGUAGUUAAUUUUGGAUAUCUACACUUGCGAUGGAAAACAUACGACAGUCUACUUCGUGAGAGAAAAUCAUUUUAUUUUAUUUUUUAGCGCCAGAAUUUUAAUACUGAAAUAUUAUAUAUAUGAAGGAAACUGAUCUCUAAUGUUUUCAGCUUGCUCAUCCAUCGUAAGUAAUCCGUCGAAAAAGUUAGUUUGUUGUGGUGGUGUCUUAUCAUGAGAGAAAAUGAUAAUAUCGCAAAAUAUUUGCAACUGAAAGAUAAAUUAUAAUUCUAGAAACCAUUUAGGUAACGAUGCACGAAGUUAUUUUCACUCACUUAGAAUUAAUGNUGAAAACAUGCACAAAGCAUAGCAGACGAAAGACUUGAGGAGAUAUUGUCUUAGGCGAUGCAAUACGUUCUAAUAUAAUGCUAUAUUAUGCAAUCUCGUUUAAUACUUUCAUCAUUAUUCUCCAAGAUGUCUGAACAUGUAUUUUCAAAGAAUUCUCAGUUCACCUUUAGUCUUAUAGCGACAUUUUGAAGGCACUCUCAACUUACACCCUAUAUAUACACGUACGGUUCACUUCAGUACAAAGAUUUUAUGAUACAACUCUCAUAUUAUGAACUAGUUCUGUCGAAUACAUGAAUAUUGAUCAAUCAUUUGAACUCGAGUUUCCCAGCUGGCCAGAUACCCAGAUUAUUAGCCAUGCAAAACAUGCAGAACCACUAGUAAUGCAGAAAAACAAUAUAUUAGUUUUCUCCGGUGUUACAGAAAUCAGGAAUCGGACCUAAUCGGUUUAGCUACCGAUUUAGGGAUUAAUAGGAAAUAGGGGAUUAAUCGGAGUGAAAAUCGGAUUUAUUUUAAUAUUAAAAUAUUAUUUAAUAUUUAGUUAUUAUUAUAUUAGCUAUUUAGUAACUAAUAUAUUUACUAUAUUCAUAAACUCUAUAAUUAUUCGUAUUGAAAGUAAUAUAGUAUUUUAAUUUUAAUAAUUUACUAUAUAUACUUCGAUUAAGAAAUAUAUAUAUAAGGAUUAAUCGGAUUUCAAAAAUCGAAUCGGUGGCCAACCUUGCAGAGGAUUAAUCGGGGAUUAAUUGGUUGAAUCGGGGAUGUUUAGAACACUGGUUUUCUCCAAAUAUCACUACAACAAAACUGCCAUUUUACGACGGAAAUCUAAUAUUCUAAAGGGUUACGACCAAACUAUGUCGGUGGACUUUAUUUUAAUUUACCGUUUAACAGUAGUUAAUUUUGGAUAUCUACACUUGCGAUGGAAAACAUACGACAGUCUACUUCGUGAGAGAAAAUCAUUUUAUUUUAUUUUUUAGCGCCAGAAUUUUAAUACUGAAAUAUUAUAUAUAUGAAGGAAACUGAUCUCUAAUGUUUUCAGUUUGCUCAUCCAUCGUAAGUAAUCCGUCGAAAAAGUUAGUUUGUUGUGGUGGUGUCUUAUCAUGAGAGAAAAUGAUAAUAUCGCAAAAUAUUUGCAACUGAAAGAUAAAUUAUAAUUCUAGAAACCAUUUUGGUAACGAUGCACGAAGUUAUUUUCACUCACUUAGAAUUAAUGCUAAAUAUUUGCAACUGAAAGAUAAAUUAUAAUUCUAGAAACCAUUUAGGUAACGAUGAGCGGAGUUAUUUUCACUCACUUAGAAUUAAUGAUAAAUAUUUGCAACUGAAAGAUACAUCAUAGUUCUAGAAAAGGAUCCACGAAGUUAUUUUCACUCACUUAGAAUUAAUUGUAAGUUAUUGUGAGUUUUUGAAUAUGAAUUAUCUCAAAUUUUAUUAAAACACAUGUUGAUUCUUAUAUACAAAUUUGCCUAUCUAAUAUUAUAAUAUUUAUGGAGAAGGUGUAUGAACAAUUGUGUAGAUAAUUAUACUUUACAAAGCAUACUUCUGCUAGCUGAAUUUUGAUUAAAAAAAUCGAAAGGGAUAGGUCUGGGUCUCUCCAAGUCUUUGAGGACUCAUUCCAAGUCUUCUGAUGAGGACAAAAUAUAUUGCUGGAAGUCUUUCAGUCCUUCCUAGAGUAUUUUGUGCUCUGCACUGCAUUAUGCAGCUCUCAUAUAACUGACCGCUAACCUCCUUCCAACACUUUGCGAUGCAAAACAGUGGCAUGUUAUAAGUAUUUCCGUAUGUGUAUUUAUUUGGAUAUUAAAGUUGCGUAACAUUUGUGUUGAUAAUUUGCGCAAUGUUGAUGAGGAUUGCUCCCAAGUCUUGGCGGACUCUUUCCAAAUCUUCUGAGGACCUAUGGGUUCAAAUUAGUCCAUUAAAAUGAAUACCAUUGUUUUGUGAUUAAGUUGUAUGGUUAAGAGCUUAUCCUCUGUCGUCCCAGGUCCUGGGUUCGACCCUGGCUCACCCCGAGAGUUUCGUAGAACAGAUACUCAUUAUAAGGCUAUAAGCCAUAUUUGUCAAAAAAAAAGUUGUAUAGGCAAUAUGCAUUGCAAAAUCAGCAACAGAAUAUAUACUAAUUAAUUACCUGAUAUCGGUUUGAACAAAUACUUUCUAUGUAGUUGUAAUAUUAGUCUUCUUUAAAAGUUAUCAUGAGGGAAGAUAUAUAUUGUGAUGCGGGGGAAAUAUUGUAACCGAAAAUAAUUAUAAUUCUAAAAAUUUCCAUUAUACACUUUUUUUAGUGUUCGUACGUGGUAAGUACUUCAGACGACAUUUCUCGCGUAUGCCUCCAAUUAAGAAUUUGAUGUUCAGCCUAGUCCUAAACUAAAAUUAUUAUAAAUGUGUAAUUCAAAAUUAUAUUGCUGGUAGGCUCUGAGAUUAACCUUAAACAAAAACAACUCAGUGGAACGCUUUCCGAGUUUGGUUUCACUUCAUUUCCAAAUCUCAACAAUCUCAACAUAGCACGAAACAACUUUUACGGUCCAAUACCACCAGCCAUUAAGAAUUCUAUUUUAAUAUGUAACAUUCUAUUUUCUAAAAUAAUAAAUAUUUUUUUUAAUAGUUGGUCAAAAAUUAGUCAAUUUGACUUCUCAAAAAGCAGAAAGGACAUGUAAAUUGAGACGGGGGAGUAUUUAACGGAAUUCAACGAAAGGUGUGCGUAUCGUUCUUGAAAUGUAAAAAUAGGUGGUGCAAUUCGAGUUUCCAAACCUAUGGGUACAAUAUCGUUUUUAAACGUAAGCUAGGGGGUCCAAAUUACAAUUACAUGUAUAUAUAGUGACUUAACGGAGUGCAUAUAGUUAACGGAAGUUAACGGCAGGGAGUGCAUCUCGGGCUUGAAUAGUAAAGAUAAAAGGUGCGAGUUGAGUUUCUCAAAGUAUGAGUACAAUAUCGUUUUUGAAUGAUAGUUAAGGGGUGCGAUAUGCAAUUACCUCAAAAAAAUAUGAUCAUUAGUAUAUUAUAUUAGUAUCCACACACUUAUAUCUCAAAAUCUAUCCUCCAAAAUUAUCAUCUAUAUAGGCUAGCCACAUAAAAUAAAAAUUUAAAGAUAUUAGAUAUUUAGUUAUUUCAAUUAUAUAAUUUUUCCACGCAAAAUAACAAAAUAUCUUUAUCAACUUAUUAUUUAUGAGUUAAAUAUUCAACUUAUAUAAUUCGGGCAUGCUGGGUAUAAAUAGAAGUGUAACGCCUAAUUUCCGGGGUCUGGGAGUAGUUAGCGGGGUAUGAGAGAGCAGGCUAUUUAGAAGUCUUGGUCAUGAAAACUUCCAAGCUAACUUCGACAACGGAAUCUUCUGAGGCUACUAUUCUAAAGCACGCAUAAUCAUUGUAUUCAUUUUCCUCUAACACUGGCAAAAAGUCUAUUUAAGCAAAUGAAAUACAAACAACUGAGUGGAAUGCUGACCGAAAGUCUUUUUGGCUGAGCUUAUGAUUUAUUAGUACAUGAUUAAUAUGAUAAGCUAAGCUGAGAGCAUAAGAUAUCGUGUGUAUAAUUUUGUGUUUAUUAAUGACUUAUAAAUUAUUAAAAAUAUAAUAAGAAAAAUAAAAAUGAUUUAUAACUAAUUUAUGUUUUAUGAGUAAUUUUUAUUAGAAAAAAGUUUUAAAAAAUUAUUUCACUGAAAAAAAAUCCUCCAACUAACUUUUGGCUCUAAGUCAGUUUUUGAUUUAUUUAUGAUUUUAAGUCGGAUUCUGAUUUUUACACAAACAGAAAAUUUCCAGCUUAAAGUUAAAAACAACUUUAAGCUCCGGUUUUAAACCUCUGAGUUUGGUUUCACUUCAUUUACAAAUCUCAACAAUUUCACCAUCAAACACAAUGACUUCUCCAAUCUCCGGUCCAGUUCACCAGCCAUUGAGAAUUUGGCACAACUUCAAUUCCAUACCAGGUUAGUCGGCUUCGGAGGUUACACGCCUUAGACCUGUCAAAUACAAAUUUCAAUCUCCAAACUGGUCCGAUUUAUCUUCUAUGCAUUUUGUUGAGUCCGGCUCAUCUAAAACCUGAAGGUGUUAGAAGAAACCCGAAUGAAUCUUAUAUAUGAAUCUUAUAUAUGCUAUAUUUAAACAAUUCUGAGCACACUCAACCUUGGUAUUAAUAAUAUCGUGUCGAUAAUUCCAGAAUUUAUAUCUAAUUCUCAUAGCCUAACUUUCCUUGACCUUUCCAUAUAACAAAUUUACAGUUAAUCCUGUGCUUGAAUCAGUAUUUGCAACCAAAAUUAUGCAAUUAUAGUGCAGGUAGUCUUCCAGUUCUUCCUACUCUAUGCUAUAAUUUCAUUUGAUACCAAUAAUUUUACGCUCUACACUCCAGGAUGAGCUCGCAUAUUAUUGACAGCAAUAAUCCUUCCAACACUUUGUGAUGCAAAGCAGGGGGGCGCCUGUAUUUUCAUAUGUCUAUAUUAUUGGAGAUUAAAGUUGUGUGGACAAUUGUGUUGAUAAUUUGCCCAAUGUUAACAGGGAUAGGUUGGCUUAAAAAUAUAUAAGGUCACUUGUGCAUCGCUGUUCACACACUUAGACCCUGUUUGUGUAAGCUUUAAGUCCGGGCUCAAGCAAUUUCGACUUAAUCACUUCCGAGGACCAAUACCAACAGCCUUCUCAAAGAGUUGCCAGCUAAGAUAUCUAAACAUGUAUGACAAUCAGUUAGAAGGACUAUUGCCCCGAUCUUUGUCAAACUGUAAGCACUUAAAAAUUCUUGACAUCGGGAACAAUAAAAUGGGUGGUACAUUCCCUUCAUGGCUAUUUAAUCUCGGAGAGCUAGAAAUCCUAGUCUUGCGAUCAAAUAGACUGUACGGUCCUGUAAGUGGAAGGAGCACAUCACAUCCAUUCCCCAAGUUGCGGAUUCUAGAUCUCUCCAACAAACAAUUCGCGGGCUAUUUGCCAAUUCUAAACUUUAAGAAUAUGAAACCAGCUGCUGAUGAUAACGCGUAUAGUUAUAAAAAUAAGUCACAAGGACUAAUUAAUUACAUCUAUGAAGCAUCUAUCUCCUUAAAUGUGAAAGGAACAGAGUAUGAAGUGAAGAACAUUCUUCAUAUUUACACAGCCAUUGAUCUAUCGUGCAACAAAUUUCACGGAGAAGUUCCAAAGAGAGCUUAAAUGGCUUGCAUUGCUCAAUCUAUCUCAUAAUAGUCUUGCCGGACAUAUGUUCUGAAUUAUUAUUAUGCUUUCAUCAAUAUUUUCAAACAUUUCUCAAUAUGUAUUUCAAAGAAUUCUCAAGCCCUGGAACAUUUGGACCGGUCCUUUCGAAGCCAAGAUGCCCAGGUUAUCAUGGCCAUGCACAAAAAUGAAUAAAUUAUUCCAAGUCUUCCAUGACUCAUUCCAAGUCUUCGGAGGAGACCCUGAGCACAAAGAUGCUCAGGGUCUCCCCAAGCCUUCCAGGACUCAUUCCAAGUCUUCGGAGCACGGCCUCGACUCGCCCUUUCAAAGAUGUGAUAGUAGCUCGAGAGUGAUAUAAAUUAUUUUCCGGACACUAAAAAUAAAUAAUCAGAUCAAAUUAAUCAAUAAUAAAUUAAGGAUGAAAUCCAAAUUAAUCCUAAAUUUUGAUAAUAUAUAAAAAUUAUAAUUAUAAAUUAUAUAACCAAAUCAGAAUUGAAUUAACUUCCUUGGCACUAAAUUGAUAAGGAAAGUAUAAUAAUUUAAAUUUAAUUGAUGAAAAGUCAAAGUCUUCUAAUAAAUCCAUAAAGAAUAUGAUAAUCAAAAUAACGAAAAUUAUAAUUGAAAAAUCAAAAUCAUUAGUGUAUUGGAAUAGUGUUCACACACUUAUAUAUCAAAAUUUGUGGUCCAAAAACUAUAGCACAAUAUCCUAAAUACACCACAUUAAAUAUUAGUUCAAAAAUAUUCUGUAAAUAAUUGUUUUCAUUCAUCAUUUUGUUAUUUAAAAAACUAAUAAUUUGGGUUGAUGUUAACCUAUAUUUUAAUAUAUAAUUAUAUUAUUUUCGUAUUAUUUUAUUUAACUAGAAACAAUAUUUUUAUCAGACAUCAAUUAUAUUAAAAGAUAUAAUUUUAUUAAAAAAAAUUGAAUUAAAUUAAUAGGAUAACUCUACGCCUCACCAAGUCUACAAGACUCAUUUCAAGUCUACCAAGGACCACUACCUCGGUCCUCAACCAUUGGGAGAUGUGAAAGUAGCUUGAGAGUGACAAAAAUUAUUUUCCUCACAAUAAAAUUUAAUAUCUGAUAUAAAUUAAUUAAAUUAGUUAAUAAUAAAUUAAAACUAAUCAUGAAUUAUGAUAAUAAUUAAAUAAAUUAUAAUUAAAUUAUAUAAAUCAACUCCAAAUGAUACAAAUGACACUAAACCUUAGUUACUUUAUUGGUAAAUAAAUAUAAUAUAAUAAUCAAAUUGAUGAAAAAUCAAAAUCAUCUAAUAAAUUCAUAAAAAAUAUAUGAUCAUUAAUAUAUAUUAUAUUAGUAUCCACACACUUAUAUUUCAAAAUCUAUCCUCCAAACUUAUCAUCUCUGUAAACUAGCCACAUAAAAUAAAAAUUUAAAGAUAUUAGAUAUUUAGUUAUUUUCAUUAUAUAAUUUUUCCACACUAAACAACAAAAUAUCUUUAUCAAAUUAGUAUUUAUGAGUUAAAUAUUCAAGUUAUAAAUCCAGCAUGCAGCGUAUAAAUAGGAGAAACAUGGCACACUCUGCAAAGCCUUCUCACCUUCUUCUCUUUGUUUUCUUUCUCUCAUCACUUGAAUCCAUUCUUGCAACAACACGAGAAGGAGAAGCUCUUGUGAAAUGGAAGAAUAGCCUAGCCCCGUCUUCUUUUCUUGAUUCUUGGUCACUCACUCAUCUCGAUAAUCUUUGUAACUGGACUGGCAUUACUUGUAACUCUGCAGGUUCAGUCUCUGAGAUUUACCUUUAUGAGAAACAACUUGAUGGAAUGUUGUCGGAGUUUGGUUUCACUUCAUUUCCAAAUCUCAACAAUCUCACCCUCGCAUACAACUUCUUCUCCGGUCCAAUACCACCAGCCAUUGAGAAUUUAACACAGCUUCAAUAUCUUGAUUUGAGAAAUAAUUAUCUAGAUGGUCCCAUUCCUUUCCAGGUUAGCCAUCUUCAGAGCUUGCUCAUCUUAAACCUGUCAGAGAAUGCAUUGCAAGCUCCAAAUUGGUCCCAUUUCUCUCCCAUGCCUUUUUUGCGCAUCCUCAACCUCAGUCACAAUCCUCUUGCGUCGAAAUUCCCAGAUUUUAUAUCCAAUUCUCAUAGCCUGACUCACCUUAGCCUUAAUUAUAACGAGUUUACUGGUGAUUUAGCACGUGAAUCAAUAUUUGCCAAUCUGCAUAAUCUUGAAGUCCUCAGUCUUAAUGGCAAUUCUUUUGAGGGGCCAUUUCCACCAGAUAUAUUCAAGCUUUCAAGAUUAAAACGUCUCUUCCUGGCAGUUAACAAAUUUUCAGGUUCAAUUCCCAAUGACAUAAGGUUACUUUGUGAUCUUGAAUACCUAUAUUUAGGCAACAAUUCUUUUGAAGGACCGCUUCCACCAAAUUUAUUCAAGCUUUCGAAAUUAAAGCGUCUUUUUCUUUGGAGUAAUAAGUUUACAGGUUCUAUUUCCAAUGAUAUAGGUUUGCUUUCUGAACUUGAAACCCUCAAUCUUCAAUUUAAUUUUUUUGAGGGGCCGCUUCCCCCACAUAUAUUUAGGCUCUCUAAGUUAACAGGUCUAGAACUCGGAGACAAUAGAAAUUUAUUUGAAGGAAGUAAUAUUCCUAUCGGACUGGGACUCUUGACUAACCUCAGGUACUUAGAUUUACAUUUCAGUAAUCUCAGUGGCUAUAUUCCAUCUGACAUUGGAAACCUGAAGCUACUAGUACUUCUUAGUCUCGGUUCUAAUCAAUUGACUGGACCGCUUUCAAAGAUCGUUUCUAAUCUCACAAAUCUUAUAUUCCUUGAUGUAAGUGAUAAUAGUCUUAGUGGAAAUAUUCAGAGUGACUUGUGGAAAUAUAACCAUCAUCCUACUUUGGAAUACAUCGAUUUUAGUGGGAACCAUUUUACAGGUAUAUUUUUUCUCUAUAGAUCUUUUCCUUUUGUCAUAUGUAACUAAGCUAGUAAUCUGAUUAUUGCAGUUUUACCGAAGUUUCAACAAUCUUGACAGGUGAGCUUCCAACAACAAUUUGCAAUGUCACUUCCCUUUCGGUUCUUGAUUUGUCAAAUAAUGAAUUAAGUGGUGCACUUCCAAACUGUUUCGGGAAUCUUGCUGAUGGAUUGCUUUACAUUAAUCUUGCUAAUAAUCAGUUUCGAGGAACAAUACCAACUACUUUCUCCAGGAGUUGUCAGCUGACAUAUCUAAACAUGGAUAAUAAUGAGUUUGAAGGAUUGUUGCCCCCAUCUUUGGCGAACUGUAAGCACUUGAAAAUUCUUGAUAUAGGCAAUAAUAAAAUAGGUGGUACAUUUCCGUCAUGGCUUUAUGCACUUGGAGAGCUAGAAGUUCUUGUCUUGCGAUCAAAUAAACUCUAUGGUACAAUAAGUGGAAGGAGCAUAGAAGAUCCCUUCCCCAAGUUGCGGAUUGUGGAUCUGUCCAACAAUCAAUUCACAGGCCAUUUGCCAAUUCAAUACUUUAAGAAUAUGAAAUCAACUGAUAAUUUGUAUCGUUAUCAGAAUUCCACAAAAGUUUUUUCUUUCCAUUAUGAAGCAUCUGUCUCAUUAACUGUGAAGGGAACAGAGUAUGAAGUGAAAAAUAUCCUUCAUAUUUACACAGCCAUUGAUCUGUCCUGCAACAAGUUUCAAGGAGAAAUUCCUGACGUUAUUGGAGAGCUUAGAUGGCUUGCAUUGCUCAACUUAUCUCAUAAUAGUCUAACAGGACCUAUCCCAUCAUUGCUGAGAAAUAUGAAAGGACUCCAAUCUUUAGAUUUGUCUUCAAAUCAACUGACAGGGGCUAUUCCACCUCAGUUAACUGCACUGACAUUUCUAGAGGUCUUAAACCUCUCGGGAAACCAUCUUAGUGGAGGGAUUCCUCAGAAAGGACAGUUCAGCACAUUCAACAAUGAUUCUUAUCUAGGAAACUCAGCGUUAUGUGGAUCACCAUUGACGAAGAAAUGUGCAAACACAGCAUCACCUCCACAAGAAGUCGGAAAUGUUGAUGAAGAUGAUGCGGGUGAUGAAUUGACAUGGGAAGCAAUCUUGAUGGGAUAUGGAUGUGGACUGAUAUGUGGAUUGUCAUCUGCGUACAUUGUUCUCAAACUAGGAAAGCCUUGGUGGUUUGUGAGAUAUAUCGAAGUACUGCAAUUGAAGUUGAUGAAAAGAUAUGCAUGAAGAAUGGUACUAGCCGAUCAAGAUGAACUCGAAAGUUGUGGUCCUUGUGGACAUUUCUGAACCAGUAGUGUUCUAUUCUCUUUGUGGCUGCAUAAGUAUUUGGUAUUGUGUAAUGUUCUGUUUGGUCUUGAAUCAUAAUAAUUUUUCUUUCUUCAGGGGUAUUUAUAAUAUAAACCUUGGUAUUGUGUACUAGCUGUAAUAUUCUGUUUGAUCAAUGUUUAUACCAGUAAUUUUAUGCUCCGCACUGCAUCAUGCAGCUCUCAUAUUAUCUUCAUAUGUGUAUUUAUUUGGAUAUUAAAAACAUAUGGGAUAUGUGUUAACAGGGACAGCUCCCAAGUCUUGGAUAGACUCUUUCCAAGUCUUCCGAGGUCCUAUAGGUUUAAAUUAGUCCAUUAUCUGCAUACUAAUUUGUCCAACUGAAAAAUCAAGGAUAUUAUGUAUUAACUGUUUUAAUAACAAUUUACAAGUAUAAAUUUCAUAUAUUUUUUCAUAGAAUAUAAAUUAGUUGACGUACUAAAAUCACUAGUCAAAUUAAUUUAAAUAAAUAUAUUGAAAAGAUGAUAAUAAAAUUAUGGUAAUUUAUCACUACAACAAUUCUGGACAUUAAUUAUAUGUAUACUUAAAUAUAUUGAAAAGAUGAUAAUAUAGUAGAAUACAAAUGGUUAUGAUUCCGUAGUAACUACACCGUCGUAAGUUCACAUAAUUAUAUAAUUAUAGUUAUUUGAAAACGAAAAAUAAAUGAGAAAAUAUAUAGUGACCAAAUAUGAAUCAAUCUAAAAUUUUCAUUAUGGAGAUCGUAAGAAACGUGAUGAAGAACUGGAAUGAGAAUUCCUUACAAAACAUUUGGGUUAUAUUAUCAAUGAUGAAUGUUGUAUAUUAUACCUAUGAUUUCAAGUCUCAUACAAAAUUAUAUUGCUCAUAGUCUUUCGAUCAGUUCUUACUAGUGUAUGCAAUAGUUUCUCAUUCCAUACCAGUUAUUUUAUGCUCUGCACUGCCUUAUGCGCGCAGCUAUCAUAUUACUGACAGCUAACCUCCUUCCAACACUUUGCCAUGCGAAGCCUGAAGAUUAAAGUUAACAGGGAUAGGUCUUCUUCUCUCCCAAGUCUUGGACGGACUCUUUCCAAGUCUUCUGAGGACCCAUCGGCUCAGAUCCGUCCAUUAAAAAUUUAUUAUUGAUUACUUAUUAUUAUUGAUUGAUCUAAGAUUCCAAAGACAUGUUCCCGUAAUUUUCAGACUUAGCCAGUUGGUGUGGGCAGAAGUUUUAGAAAUAGUAGAUUAUGGGGAUUUUAUUUAUUCUAACCAAUUUUGAGUUAUUUAUUUUCUUCAAAAAAAUCAAUACUUAUUUUUUAUUGUUAUGCGGAAUUCCAAUAAAUAUUAAAAUAUAUAAUUUUGAUUAUUAUCAUAAAUUUAUUUAUUCAAUAAAUAUUAUUAUACUAUUAUGGAAACAUUUUAUUUUGUAAUGUAUAGUACACCCUUAUCCCACCAACAAAACUACAUCACAAACAAAUUAUAUCAUAUUUAAUUUAAUAAACUCAAAUAAUUUAAUUUAUGUAACAACUCUAUAAAAUUAGAGUGAUUGAUACUUUGCACCCCUUAUGUUUAAGCGUUUUUUCAAUUUGGUUUCAAACAAUUUUUUUGGCAGUAUGCACCCCAAAAUUUGAAAAUUGCUUCGCUUUGCACCCUUUUAAUCGCUCUCCGUUUAAUUGAUAUUGACCGUUAAAGACUUAAAGUUGACAGAUAUGGGUUUACAUUUUCAACACCACAAUUUUAAUUUUUUUUCAUGGGUAUUUUGAAAUAUUCAGACGACUGGGAUGAUUCAAGUGUCUUCAUGUUAGACAGUGCGAUAGGUCGGUCGAGGGGUUUUCAGAAACUGGGACCAAAGAUUGGCGCCAUCAGAUUGGAUUUAUAUCAUUGGAAACUCUCUGUACACCUCUAUAGAAACUGGGACCAAAGACAAGAGGGAGAAGCUCUUGUGAAAUGGAAGAAUAGCCUAGCCCCGUCUUCUUCUCUCGACUCUUGGUCCCUCACCAAUCUCGAUAAUCUUUGUAACUGGACUGGCAUUAAUUGUAACUCUGCAGGUUCAGUCUCUGAGAUUAACCUUUGUGAGAAACAACUUGAUGUAAUGCUGUCUGAGUUUGGUUUCACUUCAUUUCCAAAUCUCAACAAUCUCACCCUCGCAGCUAACUACUUCUCCGGUCCAAUACCACCAGCCAUUGAGAAUUUAACACAGCUUCAAUAUCUUGAUUUGAGAAAUAAUUAUCUAGAUGGUCCAUUCCGUUCCAGGUUAGCCAUCUUCAGAGCUUGCUCAUCUUAAACCUGUCACAGAAUGCAUUGCAAGCUCCAAAUUGGUCCGAUUUCUCUCCCAUGCCUUUCUUGCGCAUCCUCAACCUCAGUAGCAAACCUCCUGCGUCGAAAUUCCCAGAUUUUAUAUCCAGUUCUAAUAGCCUGACUCACCUUAGCCUUAAUUAUAACGAGUUUACUGGUGAUUUGGUACGUGAAUCAGUAUUUGCCGAUCUGCAUAAUCUUGAAAAGCUCAGUCUUGUUGGCAAUUCUUUCGAGGGGCCAUUUCCGCCAGAUAUAUUCAGGCUUUCCAAAUUAAAACAUCUUAGCCUGUCAGAUAACAAACUUUCAGGUUCAAUUCCCAAUGACAUAGGGUUGCUUUUUGAUCUUGAAUACCUAUAUUUAGCCAACAAUUCCUUUGAAGGACCGCUUCCACCAAAAAUAUUCAAGCUUUCAAAAUUAAAAAAUCUUGUUAUUUGGGGUAAUAAGUUUUCAGGUUCUGUUUCCAACGAUAUAGGUUUGCUUUCUGAGCUUGAAAGCCUCUAUCUUGACUCCAAUUUUUUUGAGGGGCCGCUUCCGUCAAAUAUAUUCAAGCUCUCCAAAUUAAGGAUUCUUUUCCUUUGGCAUAAUAACUUUUCAGGUUCUAUUUCUAAGGAUAUAGGUUUGCUUUCUGGACUUGAAACCCUCUAUCUUGACUCUACUUUUUUUGAGGGUCCGCUUCCCCCACAUAUAUUCAAGCUUUCCAAAUUAACAAGUCUUGACCUCGCAUACAAUAGAAAUUUAUUUGAAGGAAGUAUUCCUAUUGGACUGGGACUCUUGACUAACCUCAGAUACUUGAGUCUAUCUUCCACUAAUCUCGGUGGCUAUAUUCCAUCUGAAAUUGGAAACCUGAAGCUACUAGAAGUUCUUGAACUCAGUUCUAAUCAAUUGAAUGGACCGCUUUCAAAGAUCAUUUCUAAUCUCACAAAUCUCACAGUUCUUGAUGUAAAUGAUAAUAGUCUUCGUGGAAAUAUUCAGAGUGACUUGUGGAAAUAUGACGAUCAUCCAACUUUGGAAUACAUCGAUUUAAGUGGGAACCAUUUUACGGGUAUAGUUUUUCUCUAUAGAUCUUUUCCUAAUCUCAUAUGUAACUAAGCUAGUAAUCUGAUUAUUGCAGUUUCACCAAAGUUUCAACAAUCUUGACAGGUGAGCUUCCAACAACAAUUUGCAAUGUCACUUCCCUUUUGGUUCUUGAUUUGUCAAAUAAUGAAUUAAUUAGUGGUGCACUUCCAAACUGUUUCGGGAAUCUUGCUGAUAGAUUGCUUUUCAUUAAUCUUGCUAAUAAUCAGUUUCUCCAGGAGUUGUCAGCUGACAUAUCUAAACAUGGAUAAUAAUGAGUUUGAAGGAUUGUUACCCCCAUCUUUGGCGAACUGUAAGCACUUCAAAAUUCUUGAUAUUGGCAAUAAUAAAAUAGGUGGUGCAUUUCCGUCAUGGCUUUAUGUACUUGGAGAGCUGGAAGUCCUUGUCUUGCGAUCAAAUAAACUCUAUGGUACAAUAAGUGGAAGGAGCAUAGAAGAUCCCUUCCCCAAGUUGCGGAUUGUGGAUCUGUCCAACAAUCAAUUCACAGGCCAUUUGCCAAUUCAAUACUUUAAGAAUAUGAAAUCAACUGAUAAUUUGUAUCGUUAUCAGAAUGACACAGGAGAUAUUUCUUUCCAUUAUGAAGCAUCUGUCUCAUUAACUGUGAAGGGAACAGAGUAUGAAGUGAAAAAUAUCCUUCAUAUUUACACAGCCAUUGAUCUGUCCUGCAACAAGUUUCAAGGAGAAAUUCCUGACGUUAUUGGAGAGCUUAGAUGGCUUGCAUUGCUCAACUUAUCUCAUAAUAGUCUAACAGGACCUAUCCCUUCGUUGCUGAGAAAUAUGAAAGGACUCCAAUCUUUAGAUUUGUCUUCAAAUCAACUGACAGGGGCUAUUCCACCUCAAUUAACUGCAUUGACAUUUCUAGAGGUCUUGAACCUCUCGGGAAACCAUCUUAGUGGAGAGAUUCCUCAGAAAGGGCAGUUCAGCACAUUUACAAAUGAUUCUUAUCUAGGAAACUCCGCGUUAUGUGGAUUACCUUUGACGAAGAAAUGUGCAAACACAGCAUCACCUCCACAAGAAGUCGGAAAUGGUGAUGAAGAUGAUGCUUGUGAUGAAUUGACAUGGGAAGCAAU
rnacentral:lncRNA from 1 species